rnacentral:lncRNA from 1 species
GCUAGUUUAGCAAAUAUGUAGCAUCCUUAAUUUCAUUAGUGAACUUUGUUCGAAAUAUUUGUUUAAAAUAUUUAAUCAACAAUUACAUGUGUGACUAUGCAAAUUCCAACUGCGAAGCAAUAUAGCUUUUUACAAUAAAAACUAAGGUAGCAUUCUAAAAUUUUAACAGAUAAGCAGAUACAUUAGAUACAAAUAACUUAUUAAAGCAUACAGAGUCAUUUUUUUUUAUGGCAGCCUCAUUCAAAAACCAAAUAGUAGAAAUUUAUAAGUCACUUAUGCCUACGCCAUAACUAAGACAGCUUAUCUUUUUCAAUUAUUUCCAACUGACCAAAAGAAUGCUCUUAUAAGGCUUUAGGAUAUCUCAAGAGUCAAGACCAAAAGUUAUACAUGAAUUUGUAAGGGUAAACUUAUGAUAAAAUGUCAUACAAAAGAAUUAAUCCAAUAAGAAAAACUUAAAGCUAUAAAAUGGAUCAAAUAAGUUGAACAAAGCCUCAUUAAUUCUUUAAGGAAAAAUACGACUUUUUAGUAUAAUAUUUCAAUCCUUUCCUACAAUUGUUCUUCUAAGAGCAUUUAAGCGCAUUUAUCAAGUUGCACUCAUCAUUAUGCAAUAACUCAUCAAGUUAUAGCUCAUGGAGUUGAACUUACUUGGUCAUCAGCUGGCUAGAUGAAGAGCGGUAUAUGAUAACAAUUUCUAAACAUAUGGACUGAAAAUUGCAGUAUGUAAAGAUCCUGUUACAUCAUUUACCACAAAUCCCAAGCGACGCCUAUCAUAUUUUGCCAUUACCUGAAGCAAAUUAGAAGUUAUAAUUGUUGUAAAUGAUUUAUUAAUUCUAGCAUUAGAAAAGUAAAUAAUAACAUUUACCUCGCUUCAACUCCAAUUUCUUCCUUGCAUGAUGGACAUCUAAUGGUACAUUCUAUCUCAAUAUGGAUAGAUUUUUGGGUCUUAAGCCAAAAGUUUCUGAGAAAAAAUCAGCCAAAACUUGACAUUUUUAGCAAAACUAAAUUGAAACUCAGAAGUCUUAAAUCAACAUGUACCAAAGCCAUGGUUAAACAUGCAAGUUCUAUGUCUUUAAAGCAAUGGGUGUUAUUAUAGGGUACUAUUAAGUUCAAGCCUUCACCAUAAGAAUAUGAAUUUCAAUUUGAAUCAUAAUGAGUUCAUAAAGACUAUCCUUUAAAUAAUGAUAUAAGAUUAUUAAACAAAUUAAUUGGACAAUAGUGGUUCUAGUUAUCAUUUUAGCAAUUUUGCCUCUUAGGCUCUUGUUAUCAACAAUACAUAAACCUUUCUGUUUUGUUACUCCAACAAAACACAGUGAACUGGAAAUUAACAAAAAUUUAAGAGUUUAUUUAUUUCCUAUGAUGUUAAGCAGCAGAGGAAAGGAGAAAAAUUUACUUAGCAGCAGGGGCUGUAGCAUGACCAUUAGCAGUAGAAACCUGGGGCUUCUUCUCUUGAGCUGGCUUAGAUGCCUGAGGGAUAAUUUCUUUUCCAACACCAGAACCCACAAAAGUUUGCUGACUUCUGCUCUCAACUCCACCAGCUCCAAUACUCUUGACAAGCCCAUUAGCACUCCUAGGAGAGAAUAAGCCACCGCAUUAGCCAAGUUUAUCUCAAAUCCAUCAUUCCCAGAAUAAAGUCACUUGCCAGAAUCACCGUUAAUGGUGUCAACAAUGUCCCCCUUGGUCCCUGAAAUUAAACUCUUAAGUACACCAAUAUGUGCAGAGAUAAGAAACUAACAACACAAAAUUUCUAGGAUAUGUGCAUAUGAUUUAUCUAAGAUAUGUCUAAGAUGUAUCUUAGAAAUUUUAUAUUAAACUUUGGAAUACAAUACAUAUGAUAUAUCGAAGAUAUGGGUUGGGAUAACAAACUAACAAUACAAAAUUUCGACUUCUACAGUUGGAAAUUCUCAAUCGUAUGCUAUAUUACAUCGGCAUCAUCAGAAUUUAUGUGGUAGCUCUUUACCUGGACAAACGGUAACCAUAAGUUUUUUAAGUUAUUAAAUGAAGAUGAAGUGUAAGACAUACUUGAAUCGGCAACUUCUAUAGCACAAAAAAUUGUAGAUCAAUGUUCCAACUACUAAUCUACUAAUAAUUAACUUCUUGAUAGGAUAAUUUGUGCCCUGAAAAAAAUGUUGAAAAGGAAAGAUAAAGUGCCAUAAAAAACGUAGAAGGAAUUGGCCGUAGAGAAAAAAAUGAUAUAGACCGGAGUAGAAUUUACCUGUGCGAUCAUUCUCUCAGUGUUUUCUCUGCUAUCCCAAGUUUCACACAAACAUUUUAUCAAACACUUUUGAUGGCCAUUGGUCUAUGAGAUUUCACAAAACCUUGACUUGCUUGAAUAGCUGUAUUUGCUAGAUAAAUCAUUGCAACCAAAAGAAACAACACAAAAGAGAAAAAACCAUCUCGAAUAUCAGAACAUCAUCUAAUAAAAAAAUAAGAGAAAAAGAAAGAACAAAAUGAAGAACAUCUGAUACAAAAAAAUUUAAAAAGGAAAAAAAUAAAAUGAAGAAAAAUUCAUUGACACAUAUAUUCACAUUUAGCAAAAAAGAGGAAAAAGAAAAUUUUUGUACUAAAGUUAGAAUAUCAUCUAAUAAAUACCUAAAGGGUGAAAAUAAAAUUCAGAACCAAAAGGGAAAAGAAAUAAAUUCUUACUUUUCCUACAGCCCUUUCUCCAGAACUCUUUCUUGUUGGAGUUCUCUUUUCUUCUCCUCUAUUGUACGCAAUGUCACAAAAUGUAACGAAGGAGAAAAAAGUGCCAAAAAUUAGACUCAAUCUAUGAAACAAUUGGUGGUUUCCAUGGCAAUAAUUAACACUAAUAGGUUAGCCAUGUGUAUUCUACAGUGGAGAAUAAGAAGGAUUUGGUGAAAAAAGAUACGGAGAAAGGAAGAAGCUUACCUGCUUCUUUGUUUUUUCUAACCAUGCAUAGAAGCAGUUCAGCUACUAUUCUUGAUUGUGUCUGAUGUACAAAGGAAAGGAAUGGAAAACACAGCCAAAGAUAGGAGAAGAAUGGCAGGCAAAAAGUCACAAACAGCCUAAAUAGUUAGUUACUGUUUUGAGAGCCAUUUUUUUUUCACUGGACAAAGUAGUAAUUUUACAUAAAAAGACACAAAUGCCCUCAAUAGUGGUAUACUAUUCACAGAAGUAGUCAACAUUCUGAGGCCACAAAAUGGAAAAAAAUUUCUCCCCAGUAGACUCCCUCCCUAGAGUCAACCACAUGGCUCAGUGUAGAAGAUGUCUUACGUGGUAGUUUGGGAAAAGUAAACAAUGUAAAGUCCAUAGACAAAGCAAAAGAAAAGGUUCAAAAUUCAUCCAAUGUGCCACGUGUUAGUAAGAGGAGCUGCUACAGUAACAUUGGCCUUUUGCUUGCUUUGCUGAUUACAUCCCUUCAGGUCAAUCACAAUGCUUAUAACUAACUUGCCUAAUGUUUGAUAGAAUACUGCUUAAGUUUGCUUCCUAUUUGUAAGCUUGAUCAAUAAACUAUUAGUAGUUGCUUGCUAUUUGUGACGCCCACACUUCUCCCUAAGGCGAAUCAAAGGGUAUCCGCGGGACGCCUGCCCAGCUCUCGCCAGGACUCACUACAAUCCAUCAUUCAAAAGCUCGAAAUAUUUUAAGUAACUUCAAUAUAUAAUUAAAGUAUUUCAAAUAUCUCACACUUACAAUUAUGUAACUUUCAAGUUUAAAUACAACUCAACGGAAAAUUGUACAAUAGCCAUCCGUUAUAAUAUAACUUAAAGUUUUCAAAAGAAAACAAUCUAGUACUACUCACGAGCACCAUUGGUCUCGAACCCUGUAAAAGAAAAUCACAACGUGGGAUGAGCUACACAGCCCAGUGAGGUUCCAAGACACUCUAACAGUUCAAAUAAAUCAAGUAAGUUGGGCAUAUCAUAUGCAUGAUUUAAUGUUACACAAUGGCGUGUUAUCAUGAGGUGAUAAUCAUUGUACGGUUAAUUUGAGACAUGUAUCAUGGUAUGAUACAUUUAUUAUGAGACAGUUAUCAUGGUUCAAGACAUUGGCAUGUAUAGUUCACAAGUGAUUGGAGCUUAUUACAGGUGCGAGUAAUUAUAAGCAUGUUACAGGUAUGGAGCAUUAACAUGAAACAGGUAUCAUGAUAUGAGUACAUUGGACAGAUAACAGGUAUGGAGCAUAACACAGGCAUGGCUCAGGAUUUCAUGUUGGCAUUUUAGCGUGAAACAAUUAUCAUGACACAAGGUAAAUAUAUACUGUAGGAUACGGUGUUCCAGUGGAACUCUGUCGGUCAUCUGCACCUUAUGACUUCCGGAUCCCCUCGGUUUGACUGGCCAUCACCUUAUCCCUCCAGUGGUAAUACUCGAGUUUACUGAAACGGUGGCCCAGGGUUCCAACCUACCCGACCGAGCCCAGUCCUGGCUCGAGUAGGUCAGUAACCAAGGGCAGGGCCCAAGUUCAGCUUAGAGCUUACAACAUGCACAAGUAAUCAAGUAAUCGACGUACGGUAAAAAUUUAUCAUGUUUAAAGGUCGAGUGAGAUAAAGUACACACUCGCCUUAAAACAGUGGCCCACUUCAUAUGAGCAUUUAAUUUAUGAUAAUCAGGUAAUCAGGUGGUCAAGUAAUCAAGUAAGUUCGUGAUUACGCAAGCAGAUAAUCAAGUAGGCAAGUAACCAAAUAGAUUAGAAAACGGUAAGUAACACGUUAACGGUAAACGAUAGUAAUUACGGUUAAUUGGUAGACAUAUGUCAUUUUAAUAGGUCGCCAUUGGCCGUUUUCCACUUUUACCACGUAAGAGUCGAGGAGAUUCACUCUAACCGACUUAUGCUGCCAUAGCAUAAUUAAUCAUUUAAACACAUCAUGUAAAUAUGCUCUCCAAGCAUUUCAUAUCUAGUAUUUCAAGUAAUCACAUAAAUAUGCUCUUCAAGUGUUUCAUAUCGAAUAGUUCAAAUAUACAUACUUCAGGUAUUUCACGUCGAGUAAUUCAAGUAUACCUUAUUCAAAUAUGCAUGAGUGUGGUAAAUACUUAACAUAUAGCACUUAACACUUAAUGACCAUGGGUUAAGCAUGUCAUAGACUUAUUUCAAUUACAUAUUCCUAUAUGGAACACUCACCUAUUGCAACAAGAGAGUAAAUACUCAAACAAGUGUCUAGGCGUCCACUUCUAGUUCCUCUUGAAGGUCCCCUUGAGCGCCUGAGCAAAUAACCAUUAACUAUUAUACACUAUCACUUAGAACCCCUACUUAUCAAAGAAGGUUGUACAAUCUAAGGAGAAUUCAUGAAUUGGCCCUUAAUUAUUAAUAAUCGAGGCUCAAGAGUAAAGUUUUAAAGUCUAAAGAGAGAGACUAACAUUUUCCAUGAAAUCGAGUUCAAAAUGUUCAAUCGAUAUCAAGAAAAGAAGGCAAGUUCCAAAAUCUCAUUUUCUAAGAAAUUGACAAAUUUCAGCUUUGGGUGUCAAUUUUAGAAAAAUCGUAUCUUGCACUAUGUAGGUCCAUAAUUAGAAAGCUUGAUACCGUUGGAAACUUCUUCAAAAGCACUAAAAGUUCCUAGAGAUACUUUUCCAUGAUUCCAAACGGAAGGUAUUCAAAAAUUGACUCAAAGUUGCUGCUUGGGACUAUUAAGACAGUUUCGGGUUGGUUUUUGACCAACUUUGAAAAUUCGGCAAAAUUCACACAAUACGAACUAGCCUCCGAAAUUUAGAACUCAAUUAGAGUUACAAUCAAAGUUUAAAACAAAACAAACAGAACAAGAAUCAAUGUUUUGAACGCCAAGAUAUAGCAGCUCAAAGUUGGCUAAAAAUUCCUCCUCGAUCAAGAAUUUCCAGAUUUAAACAUGAACUUUGGACUUCAGUUGGACAUUGAAAUAGACUCAGAAUGGCACCAAAAUUAGCAGUAUUACACUACCAUAUAAAAGCUAUUCCCUUGUCAAAUUUCAUAGGAAAAUUCAUUCGGCAAGUUGGUUAACAAAACCAUCAAAGUUUCAAGAAUUUUCAAGGCAAAUCUGCCUUGUACUUCAAAUUUUCUUUUCUAAAACCUUUGGCCAAUAAAAUGCCUAAAACAUGUCUCAUUUGUGAUAACCAGGUCUAAUAAGAAUCCAAGAUACAUUUGGUAGGUGAUUAACACCAAGAAUUUCAAAAACAACAAGUCCCAACCAAGGGUUAGGCCUUUACUAGCCAAAAAGAGGAUUUUUACUCACUGCAUCAGUUUCGAAAUAUGGACACAACUCACUCAAUUCAACUCGGAAUUGAACGUGGUUGGUGGCGUUGAAAAUAUCUUUUAGAAAUAUAGAAUUUCUCAGAAGAAACCAUUUUCAAAAUCUAUUCACAAGCAACUCAUUUUUGAGCAUCAAGAAGUAAUUUCUGUCCUGUCUCCUGGAGAGCAACGAAACAGGGCAGUGAUUUUCAAACGAAUGGUGUGGCUAACUCAAGUGGAACCAGAACGUGCAUUUGAUACCAAUGGAAAGCUGGGAAUGUCUAGUUUCAAAUGCCACUGACGGCACUCAAUUUCGACAUCGGAGUACAGAGUUAUGAACGAAACAAAAUGACUGCCUGGGCAAUACGGGAUUCAUUUUCCAGUUUUGCUAACUUUGGAAAUCAACUCAUUUGACCAACCAAAUCAUGUUAUUUUUCAAUGAAAUUUUGUACACACUCACAAUAACAUGUAAACAACAUAAUCAAGUCAUUAGAACCUCAAAAUUUUGCACAAAAAUGGCAGGACAGAGCAGGGGGUAAAACGGUCACUUUUGUUCCAAGCACCUCCUAUGAUUUUCUACCAACAAUACAACAUUAAUCCACUAAUUAAAACACUAAACCACCAUUAAUUUCAUAAUCAAUCAUUAAAUCAGUCUUUCUAUCAAAGUGGGAGUUUAUAGAGCCACUCACCAAUUUUACAACAAUUAAAGCUACCCAUGAGAAUCCAAGAGCUCAUGAGUGUAAUCUAACUUCCAUAAAUCAAGAAUUAAGAGGUUGAUCGUUCAUUACCUCUCUUGAUGACUAAAUCAGAAUUUUUGGUCACUUUGAAGCUCAAGAAAACCGUGGAAAUGAAGCCCCUUUUCUAGCUUAAGAUGAUCACCAAGUGAUUAGCUAGGUGUGGUUCAAUUUUGGUGGAGUUUGGUGGUGUUUUGUUGAAGAAAUGAAGAUGGAAUUUGAAGAGCUUUGAGUUGUUUCUUUUGUUUCCUUGGCCGGCUGUUCCUGGAGCAGAAAAAGAAGGAGUUGCACGGCACUUUAGAUGAUGAAUUGAAGGGUUUUGAUCUAGUGUGAUGCACCUAUGAGAAGCUUAAGAAUGUGUGGCCCAAAAUGCUCUAAAAGUCAACUCUCCUGCGUUUUGUGCUCGAUUCCUCUUGCAUUUGUUUCACUAGUGCACUAAAUCUCUAAUGCACUUGUAUUCAUAUUAAUAUUAUUCACUCUUACUUACCCCUAACUAAGGGUCUAAAGUUCUUCAAUUAAAUCGCGCGUAAAAACGCCUACCUCCAAUUUAAGUGCGAUAAUACGAAACUUCCGAGAAAUUCUUAUAACGAUAGUACUAAUAACUAUCACUUGAGUAUUUAAAUAUUAAAAUACCUAAUUUAGGUCCAUUACAUAAAUCUCCAAUAUUCCAAACUUAUUGUACUUUCAAUCGGUCAAGAUUUCCAAAGACGUGUUCACUAUUUUCACUAAACAAGCUCCAGGAAAUUAAUUUUUGAAACAAGUCACUUUAAAAAUAUAAUGAAACUAUAUUUCCAUGUAAUUAGGUCUCAAGAGUUUAGAAAUAAUAUCAGAGUAAAAGGCCAAAUAAAAUAAUUAAAUAAACUAAAAAUAGGAGAUUAAAUAAGUAAAUUUUGCGAGUCCUCACACUAUUUGAAUGAGUCCUACAGUAGCUGAACUGUACGUGAUUAAUAUGAUUCACGUUGGCCAAUUGCUUUCUUUUUUUUCAUACAAUCCAUCCUCAAUGACUUAGAACCAAGUCAUUUACCUAACUAUAUGCGUUGCUUGCUUCUAUACUCCUCCCCCAGUCUCAUGAUGAAGGUUAUCUUCUACAUUUUUUUAUGUCCAAAAAAAAGAAUAAACGUUUUGAAAUUUAUACAAACGUAACUUUUUCAAAUUUCGACACACCUUUAUUAUGUGAAUAUUCUAAAUUUGAAAGUUACAUAUACGAGUUCAUCCAAUACCACCUAAUCUAGUUACAAUAUUACAUGUUUUCAUAGAGUGCCUCAUUCUCCAAAAACAUAUUAGGACGGAGAGAAUAAUAAUUUAACUUUGAGUAUAAUAAUGUGGCUUUCAAUAAUCUUGGGGAUUUUGAAGUAUACAAUCAUUAAUAUUUUAGAAAGUUAUUUUUGUAAGACUUACCUCUUUUAGAGGCAAUUAUUACCUAAUAUAGAUUCUAGUGAUUGAUGUCUUUAUUAAUUGAUUGAUAUUUUGUCAAUAAUUAAUUAGUAUCUCCUAUUAGAUAAUGAUUGUGAUUGAUAUUCUAAUUAAUUGAUUGCUAUUUGAUUAAUAAUUAAUUAGUAUAUGUUAUUUGUUAAUGCUUGAUUUUUAUCUUCUGCUAAUUGAUAUUUUAUUCAAUCAACUAAUCAAUCAAAUCAAUCAAUUAGUCAGAAAGGAUUAUGAAUUAUGGCAAGAUUUUCUUGAUAGAAGAAAACUCUAGGAUUUUGAUAUUUAUCAGUAAGGGUCCCUAACUUAUGCUAUAAAUAGCUUGUGGUAUUCCAUCAAGACAAUACUCUCCAGUUAAGCAUAGGUUAGAAGAUUCUUACUCUAAUUCCUUCUUCUACUUAUCUCUUAUUCUACACAUCUACACAUUUUCUUUGUUAGUAGAAAUUGUUUAUAUAGAGAAGAAGAAGGCAAGAAGACAAGGAACUAUUCGGAUUUAAUCCCUGUUUGAUAACAAUGGUUUGAGGUAAAUCAUUUAAAUUUUCGCUACGUAGUACAACUUAUUUAAACCUACUUGUUUAACAUGUUGUGUUAGAGCCAGCUUCUAGCUAUGUUGUUCAGCUUAUUAAUUCAUAGCUUAUUGGCAAUUUAAUAUAAGUUUUAGAGAUUCGUAUCAAGUUUAAAUGAAUCGAAUCUAAUUUGCCACAGGAUCUAUGGCCUCAUUUUCUCAAUAAUUGAGAACUAAUGACUAAUCCCAUGAAUAUGUAUCAUUCGUAUGAUACCUUCUUUGGCUAUGCAAUUUAUCCAAAUUUCUUCCAAUAAUCUGGUAUAAUUUGCAAGUAAUUUGAAUGCUUCUUGGACUUACAUAUUUGUGAUUAUGAGCAUUAUAUGCAUUGAUUGUUAUUAUCAAUAAGUAUAACAAUUUGAGAAAUAUAUAAAGAGUUGUUAUUCAGCCAUCAAGUAUGUAAUUCAUUUGAAUCUUACCUACGUAUAUUUAAAUUGGUUGAACAACUAUAUCAUAUAUACUGCUUGAUUCAUUUUGCAUAUCAAGUCAUGUUCUUGUUGUAUUGAUAUACUGCAUUAGUGCAUAUGCUAUUAGAUUUGUGGCAUAAUCUCAAGACUCUAACAUGUUGUAGUAAUCAAACAAUCAUACAUUUAAGAAAUUUAUAAUCACUAAAGUUAAAAGGAUUAGUAUUAUAUUAAUCUAUGGAAGAUGAUUGGUUGACCUUAUAUGAAUAGAUCUACAUGCUUAUUGAAUUUCUAUUACCUUAUUAUGAGAUAAGUAACUAAAGGCAUGACUUUACAUUGGUUAUGGAUUUAUUUCAAUAUCAAUUUUGUCUUUAUAAUCCUGUUUUUAUUCGGAAUUAUGUAGUAUUUUUGUGCAUGGCACUUAUGUACAUUUAUUUCAUAUUAUUAUUUAAUUAGAUGAUGUCAACAUUAGUAUUGUUGACUAUGUUUGAAUUUCACAUAAUUUCUUUUAUAAAGUUUUCUUGCAUCUCAGUUAUUUGAUGCUCGAUAUAUUUUAAUCACCUAAAGAUUGAUGAUUAAAAAUGAAUAUAAAAAAGGAAAUUAAAAAAAUUCGUUCGUCAAAAUAUGGAUUGUUUGACUAUUUUGAUGUCUUAUAAAAUUUAACACACUAUAUAUUUGAGAGUAGUCAUAGCAUCUCAAACUUUGGUGUACUACAAUUUUGAUUACAAAUAGUUUAGUGAUUAAAUCAAGGAUUUUUAGUCAACAAGUUGACUACUUAUUUAAACCUUGGCCUUGCUGCAUCCGCAAUUGGGCAGGAGUGGGAGUUGGUUUGUUUGAGACUUGAAUGUAAUCUGCACUCUCUCAUGGUAUGUUGAUGGUUGGAAUCGACAUGCAUAUGUGUACUUAUGUUUGGUCUCAGCACUCAAGAAGGGGCAAGAGGGUGAUCCCGAGCCGAAGUGUACAAUUCUCACUAAGUCGGUGAGUGUUCUAAGUACAUGUUAGGACUACAUGAUUUACUGGAAUGAUGCUUAAUGUGCUUGGUUGAUUGCUACUGCUUAUAUCUUGAACUGUAAAUGAAUAGGUAAAUGUAUACUUUAUUACACUCGACCUAACUUGACUAAACUCUUGUUAUCCUGUUUAUAAGUAAACUAAUAUACGUGUGCAUGGCUUGAAAGUUGUUUGGGUAUGUUAUCCAAUCGACUAUACUGAGUGCUUGGGAUCCCAAAUCCUAUUGGCUAAUUAGUCGAAUCAACCCAGCAAGGGCUUAGUCGAGUAGAUUGACGAACCAUGGAUAGUGUUCACUGUUUAUUGCACUGGAUUCGGUAUACUCGAGUAUCACGUCUUCUAUUGUUUUAUAUUUGGCAUUUAGUCUCAGUAAGGGAUGAUCAGUGGAUGGAGACUGGAAUUAAGCUAUGAUCUACAUACAUUGUUUAUUACUGAAUUUCAAUAGUUGACGAAGUGUCAACAGACUCAAAAAAUGCUGCUGCUGAACUGGCUUGCAAGAGUCGAUUUUAUCCUUUUAGUUGCAAGUGAAAUACUGAACGGAGGUAAGUGCUAUGUCUGGAACCUGGCGGGAGACACCUCUAAAUCCGUAUCAAUACCCGUAUCCAUUUCUUAUUGCGUUAAAUUGUUUCUUUGAUUAUUUUAGGUAAUGGUGCUAAUUUGAUAGAAUUACUUGCUUAUUUAUUGACCUUAUUCUUGAUUUAUCUAGAUGUUGAUUCUUUUAUGAAGCCUACGAUUGUGACAAAUGUGAAAUUUGUGGUGCUUUCUGUUACUUGUUUGCUGAGAACCUCACCGGGCAUACACUCAUUUUGAUAAUUGUUUUCCUUAUAGGGAUGAGAGACAUCAAGGACAGCAAUGGUUUCAUUUGAAAUCUUGAGCUUGUAUGUUGACAGGCAAACUGUAUUAUGGAAACUAGAUGUUUAAUCCCUUCUCUUUUGGCUUGUACUUAAGUUUGGAUUUUAGAGGAUUUGAAGAAUUUAAAUAUUAUUGGGAUGAUUUGUAGAAUUUAGAUGUUAUAUUAGCGUACCUCAAUGUUAUUUUGGCAUACUUUAUUGUGAUUGAUUGAGACUUGUAGCGAGUGUUGGCGAGAGUUAGGCAAAUAGUCUGCUAAAUCCUUUGGUACGCUUUAGGUAAGGUGGGGUCAUCACAGAAACAUAGACAAAAAUACAAUUAUCUCCAUGUUGGACUUGUGCAAGUGGUAGCUGAACCUCUAACCCAAGAAGAACUAAACACAUCUCUAUAUCUCUAUCUCAAGGAUUGUAGAUUUUUAAAUUUCAAUGACUUCUUGCUUGAAAUUGUGGAAACAAGCCUAUGCGAAGGACUAGUUUACUUUGACUAUUUCCCGAACUUCAUCAUGUCUCUCCAGGAUAGAAAUAUAUUGGACACACCAAUAUUAAAUUUAAAAAUAGCUAACUGCAAGACCAAAACUAGAUAUCAAAUGUUACUAUUAUAUACAGGAUUCAAUACAAAGUAGUGAGCUCACCCUUCAACACAAGAGCUCUAAAAACAGUAGUGAAAGAAGAAAUAGUCCUCUUCCAAACAGAUCUUGCUAGAUCUAGAAUAUCUAUCCACAAAUCCAUCACUUGGGAUUAAGUAUUCUUGCUAGAUGAUUGAGUAUUGCCAGAUGUAGCUCCUAUAGUACCAGCCCCAAUAUGACAAUCCCAAGCAUUAAACAAUUUUGGGCUAGAGCUGUUUAGAUCAAGCUUGAUAGAUCAUACAACUUUAGGGCAUCUUCAGUUAGUACCAUAAUUGAUGCUCCAGUCAAAUAUUCUACCUCAGGAAGACGAUUGGUUUCCUCUAUCCAGAAUCUAGAUCUAUGUCCAAGAUUCCCCAAGCCAAAUAUACUAUCCAAACAAAAGCCCCUUUAAAGUCAUGAGAACUUGUCUGAUGACAACACAGAACAUGGAGGCUUUCCCAGAUCUCCUACAUAUUCAACCAUGAUUGAUAAUCCUGUAUUUGGAGAAAUGAGAAUUCUCAAUGCCAAGUACCACAUAGACAAACAAACUCUCAAGGCAAAAUUCAAUGCAAAUCACAAACUCUCAGUCCAAAAGGCAAUGGUUUGGAAAUUUAUAGAUGAAUCAAAACUAUUGGAGCACUGCAAAUCACAACUUGGAGAAAGACUUUGAUGAGAAGAACAUCUCUACCAAGGCUAGGCCUAUACAUAUGAAUCGAGAAUUAUUGGAACACUGCAAGUAGGAGAUAAGUGAUCUAUUAGCUAAAGGAUCAUUAGUCCUAGGCAACGUCCAUGAAAAUACCUUCCAUUCUAUGUCAAGAAACAGUCAAAAAUUGAAUGAGGAGUUCCACAUCUUGUAAUCAAUUACAAGGCACCUAACAAGGCCUUUUGAUAGAUCAGAUAUCCAAUCCCAAAUAAGAUUGAUCUUCUCCGACAGCUCUACUCUACAAAAUCUUCUCAAAAUUUGACUUGAAGUCAGGAUUCUAAAAGAUACAGAUCCAUUCUUCAAAUAGUUAUAAAACAACAUUCAUUGUGCUAUUCGGGCAUUAUGAGUGGAAUGUCAUGCACUUUGCUCUCAAAAAUGCCCCUAUGAGUUCUAGAGAAUCAUGAACACUAUCUUUAAUCUUUAAUAUACCUUUAUCACUGUUUACACUAGUGAUGUCUUGGUUUCUCGAACAACAUAGAUCAACACUUCAAACAUCUAAAUACCUUUUCUCAUAUUAGUCAAAAGAAUGGAUUGGUAGUCUCUCAGAAAAAGAUUAGCCUUUUCCAAACCAAAAUCCGAUUCCUGGGCCACUACAUUCAUCAAGGAACUAUUAUUCCAGUAAAAAGGCCAAUCGAAUUUGCAAACAAAUUUCCUACUCAAAUCCUUGAUAAACAACAGCUUCAAUGGUUUCUUGGUUGUCUCAACUAUGUUAUGGACUUACCAUAGACCUCAUCAAUUUAGUCAAAUCCUUAUAUGAUAGACAUAAAACCUCUCUGCCUUCAUGGACCUAUGUCCAUACUAACACUGAUAGAAAAAUUAAAACCCAAGUCAAAUCCAUUACUUGUCUCGCUGUUUCUGAUCCAACUCCACCCAAAAUGGUCGAAACUAACGCCUCAAGCAUUGGCUAUGGUGGUGUUCUAAGCAAUUAAAAGUUAAUAAAGAACAACUAAUUCCUUUUGCUUCUAAACAAUGGAAUAGUUUGCCAUGCACAUGCGUGCACACACACACACACACAUGUAGCAAAAUAUUUGACAUGAUUCAAAGAUGGAUUGGAGUUGACAAAACAAACAAGUGUAGCUUUCUAAGCAGAAAACAUGGCCUAAAUACAUGUGGCAAUCCACAUUUUACCCUCGUUUUGGAUUGAAGUAGAAAAAGACUAACAAAAUACUAGAAAAGCAAAAUCGUAAGGCAAUACGCGACCCCUGCCCCCAUAUAUUGACCCUGCAUAUUCAUGAGAUGACUGUGCAACUUGCACAGCCAUUUGCUCAAUUUUCUUACACCUUUCCAGCUGAAUUCCAGAUUGAAUUUUGGCUGCAGCUACAAGAGGAAUAUUGUGGAGCUUAAGGAGAAAUUUAACUUUAUGCCAUUACAAUUUUUCCUAGCUUUUUCUUCUAUAAAAACACAUUGUAUUGGAGGAUCAAGGGGAGUGAUAAGAUAAUCUUUAAAGAUUUUGUAGGGCCUUAAGAGAGGUAGAAGAAAAAAAUUGAGAGCUUGGUAGAUUGAAGUAAAAGUUGUGAGAGGAAACUUGUGGAGCUUAUUUCAAAAUCUUGAAUAAGAAUUUAUCAUUGUUUACUCCUUAAAUUCUUGUUAUCAAUCAUGCCUUGUUUCAUGAGUUUACUAUGCUUAAAUAUGCUUAAUCUUAUGUCUAGCUCAGCUACUUUCUCCUAGGGUGAAGAUGAACUUGUUUGUAUCAUGAUAUGAAGUAAUUAGUGAUUGAUUUGUGCCAUCUUGUGAACUUGUUAGUUCAUGUCUCUAUGCUUUAUAUUUGUAGUUAUUUGGUCACCAACUAUUAAUCACUUAUUAUGCAUUAAAUGUUCUCAUGCAAGUGUAGGUCAAGAUUCAUGAACCCUAAAGAUCAUGUUCACGAAAGUAAGAGAUGCAUUCAGGUGGAUUUGAUUUUAACUACUUCAUAGAUCUUAAUGAACUUAUAUUAAGUUAUCUCAUUAUGCAAAUAGGUGAAGACUUUGUGUAUAUUUGGAUAAUGGCUAGAGAAUUAUUCAAAUAAAAUUGAAAAGCAUCCUUGAGAAGUCAUAAGUUAAAGGCAUAAAUCAACCGAAUUAUUUCUUGAUCUUGAGCAACAAGGUAUUCGCAAAUCCUAGGAAGUUCUUCUACUAAUUUCUCCAUUGUCAAGUUAUUAGUUUUAAUUAGUAUAAUUGGUAGUAAAUUACUUUUAUUUCAUUUCUUGAUUGUUUAGAUCAUAGAUUAAGUUAAAAAGCCUUAGUAAUUAACUAAUCUCUUAUGGAAUCGACCCUAAUUAUCACUAUAACCUGUAUACUUACAAAAUAUCAAGGUAAUUGGACUUAAUUAAUUAGAUAAUUGUGUUUAAUUAGUUGAUUUGGCAAAUAUCUGGUGUUUCAAUGAAAUAAGGAUAAUUUGAUAAUCCUGUAGUAAGUAUAGUAUAUAUUUGAUUGCAAGAACACUUACCAAUUCCCCAUUAAUAAAUUUGGUUAAAGUUACAACCUGCUCUGAAAUUCAAAACUUCUAUUCCUUUUUACAAAUCAAAGCACAAUUUUUUAGAUCAAUUUUAAAUAUAGUCAAUGACAGCAAGCACAAGAAGACGUGAAGAAUAAAUCUUCUUCAUGUAAUGCAUUUUCCAGAAAGUUUCUUCAUAAAACAUUUCAUCGAAUCAAAUGGACAGUACUAACGGUUUGAACAAUGAGCAAGUUAUGGAAAAGCUUCUACACAUGCAAGUUGUGAAAAACAUGUUACACCAGCAAAUGAAUGGUACUUGCAUACGUGAAGCAGUGGCUCACAGUUGCCCAAAACUUAUCAUCAACUCUGAAAUCAGCUACAUAAAGCAAGGUCCGAAUCAUAUUCUGAGCACAAUUGCACUGAAUACUUCCUAGACAUAACACACACGUUGCAGCUCAAAAUGAAGCAGUCACUCCUCUUUCUUUCAUUUCUUCUCUUGAACUCUUUCCUUUCUUUUGCUGCUGAAAAGCCUAACCCAGUGCUCGACCAUGACGGGGACGAAAUCCGCGCUGGUGUCGAGUACUACAUCGUGUCCUCCAUAAGGGGUGCUGGCGGUGGCGGCGUAACUUAUGGCAGGAGCAUCGGCAAUGAAAGUUGCCCUCUGCCUGUUGUUCAGGAGAAACUUGAUCUCUUACGAGGCCAUCCAGUAACUUUUACACCGGUGAACUCAAAAGAAGGCGUGGUUCGUGUUUCCACUGAUUUAAACAUCAAGUUCUCUAAAGCAGCACCUGUUUGCAAUGAAUCAAAUGUGUGGAAGCUUGAUUUUGACGAAGAACUUGGACAACACUUUAUACUGACUAAUGGAGUUGAAGGGAACCCGGGAUGCGGAACCAUACACAAUUGGUUUAAGAUUGAAGGGCCAUAUCAUAAAAGUUAUAGGCUUGUUUUCUGUCCCACGGUUUGCAACAUCUGUAAUGUGAUUUGCAAAGAUGUUGGCGUCUUUUCUGAUCGACGACUGGCUUUGGGUGGCACUAGGUCUUUCACGGUUUUUAUCCAAAAGGCUCGAAGCAUGAAAAAUGCAGAUAUUCUUAAGUCCAUUUCCUCUGCUUUCCGUUUCAAGUAAGCGCUAUAAGGAAGCCAUGUAUCGUUUAUUCUCGAUUGAAUAAUGUACGACUCUGUAUGAGUUUCAACUCAUAACAUUAAAAUGGUAAAUAAAUGAGUUGCUACUUUAUUCAGCAUUAAUACUUGUCAAUUGUCAUCCUUACUAUUCAGUAUGAUUGUUGUUUUCAUUCCCAUGUUAACAAACUUGAGAAAUUCAGAAUCCAAAGAACAUGCAAUGUUAGAAACUUCCAAAAAUGUCACUCAAACUAGAAGAUUAUGUGGGAGAUACUCGUUAGCAUUUUCCGUGGGAAAAAGUUUUCUGCAUAUUCAUUUGUACAAAAUGGAAAGUAAUUUACAAUCAACCCAAGGGACAGUUAUAGACAUUCCUUCAAAACAAAAUAAAAAGAGUUAAUUACAUUUACCUUCCUUGAGAUUGACCAAACUACUUACCAAACCAUGAGGUUUAGCAAUAUUAUGGUCUCCCCCUAUCACUAACUAACACCGUCUAUGCACGACAAAAAGAUGCUGUAAGAUUACAAAAAUACCCUAUGCGUUCAACAAAACAACAACAAACAUGAUAAACAAAUCACUAGUAGAUAACUAAAUCUGACCAAAACAAAAAAACAAUAGAACAAGUAUGAGCAACUAAAUCCUCAGCCUGCUAAAGAUAAGAUAAAAAAGCCAAAAGAAAAAAGACUAAAAAAAUCCACAUCCUCAAAAAAGGAAAUAAAAAAAACCAAAGACCUUCUCCUACCACUCUCAGCUUUCUCCAUAGCAACAGAUUCUAGCACCAUUACUUUUCUUCACCCAAUUCCUACUUCAAUAUUUCCUCCAUUUGCUGAAUCAUCAACCGCUGACCCCCCCCAAAAUCCACCAUCAAGAAUUCUUAUCCAAUGGUCCCCUAAAUUUCCCACCCGCAAUCGCCUUCUAAUCCAUCAAAAACAACUGGAAAACGUGCUAGAACUGCAGUUGCCAUUGUUGUCAUGAGCACCACGGAGGCUUUUACAUAUACACAUGGUAAUUUAGCCUUGGGUUAUUCUGGUUCGGAUUUUCUCUAUGCAAUUGCAUAUAGUUAUCUUAUGCGAAUUAGAAGAGGAGAAAAAAAAUAAAUUGUGGGUUAAGAAGUAGGCAGAUCAGAGAGAAUGUGUAGAGAGUGGAGAAGAAAGAUGACAAGUUUCUGUGUUUUUUUCCAGAGAAAUACCAGAGCUAGGGCUGUUUUAUUGCCUAUAUUCGAUUUAGAAUUUUUUUUGGGACUACUCUAAUGUUCAAAUAAAGAAAAUAUGAUAAGUUUGAUGUUUUGUCAAUGAAAGUAAAAGCUUGGUGGUGGCAGAACCAACGAUUCUAGUAUUGAACGGACAAAGGAAUAAGAAUGGGGCUUUGGGUGGGGCAUGUGGUAAUAUGGGAAUUUGGAGAAGCUAGCAAUAUGUUUGUUAAAAUUAAGGGUCUGUCGGCAGGUGUCUUAACUGCUUCAAAUUCAUUAGAAUGGAGGAUCUUUUCGUAAUAUUAUCAAACCUCGGGGUUUGAUUUAUAGUUUAGUUAAACUACAAGGGAGGUAGAAGUAGUUAACCCAAAUUAAAACAGUAAUUUAGCUUGUUAUUAUUACAAGUUAAUCCCAAUUCCUUGCACGCCUCCGGAUACAAAGCCUUCCUUAUCUCAGCAUACACCUCCCUUCAACCGUUCAUCUGCCAGCUCAUUUGCUUUUUCCUCUGCAACUUUCAGUGCAUCCGUUCCGGAAUCUGCUACUUCUACAUUAAACUUCAAGUCUCUAUAAACAUUUACGGUAAGCCAGGGUAGCCAACCUUUGACUUAAUCAGAGCGCGAAGUAGGCUGUUAAAGUCAUCUGUUUGGCAAACGAACUUGCGAUGUUAGAGUUUAUUUGUUCAUUCUAAAAUAUAUAUAUAUAUAUAUAUAUAUAUAUGAAAAUUUCGUGUUAAAUUUUACAAAAUAAUUCUUAUUUUGAGACAUCCGAAAGGUGAAAACAUUAAUUUUGUACGUGGAAUGAGUAAUACAUAACGAUGACCACUUAGCUCUAGAACAGAGACAUGCACUACAAGUGCACUCUCUUAUUUUGCCAGUGGUGCCCGAGACAGUUCUAAGGCCACAUAGCCCAACUUGUACCAUCAGCCAUGUAUAAUUUUCCUUUCUCUGCAGAGUCUUCUCACAUUAAUUCUGGUUGAUUUGCUAGUUUUCCCCACACAGUAAUGGCGAUAGGCUGAGGCUCCACUAACGUUCAUAUCCUUCCACAAUCCUUCUUCCCCACAACCCCACAGCCAGGACAUUUUAACUGUGCUGCCAUCCGCAUUUACAUUUGGUCCCCAACUACAAGAAAUUGAUACUACAACUUUUGGGCAGAAUAAAAAUGUUGCAAAAUCUAAUAUGCUACAAAGAAAGUAGUAGAAGGAGCAUGAUGUGUCAAAUGUCUGAUUAUUUAACUCACAAUUCAUGCUAAAAUUAUACAUGAAUUACAGUACAUCGUGUGUAAACGAGGGCAUUAGAAGAGAAAAGUUCGCUCAUAUUAAAGAAGAUAAAAUGAAAAUCUUGAACCACUCAAUCAUUUAUGAUCAAAAUAUUUCUACAAAUAAAUUACUAUUUGUUAGAAUUAUUGGUCGUGUAUUAUGGGAUUGCCUAAAGUCAGAAAGUUGGUGAUAAAUAAGAGCAGUGAAAGAAACAGCAGAAGUGGUACAUGUGGGGUGGGAGUCUUAAUUCAUGGAUAAGUGAAAAAGCCAAAUUUCAUCAUCAUGAAUUGACUUGAAAAAGAAACAUGGAAGUGAAUGGAAUGGGAAACCUAUAGAAAAUUUCAUCAUUGUCAAAGGUUGUUGGUUUCAAACCCGAUUUGUGAAUACUUGAAGAAGGAAAAAAGCAAUGCAGUAAAAUAAGAUAAAUUAUUAUUUACCCCUUAUAGUUUUGCAUACAAUCACAUCACCCCUUUAAUGUUUUCAAUUAUCCACAUCCCUAUCUUGUUUAAUGUAAAAUGAAAAGUGGAUGGAAAGUAAUUCCAAUUACGACGAUUGACAUAGACACGCUCCAGAAAUGCAUGUGCUGAUAUUAUGCUUGAGUUUAUUUAAAUGGUGUAUUUUUGGAGAUGUUUGUCUAAAAUUUAAUGUAACUCAUCACAGUUGUUUUAAAAAAUAUUGGUGUUUAGUUUAAGGAGCAAUACGUUCAUAUCCUUAUACAAUCCUUGUUCCCUACUACCCCACAGUGUUAGGACUGGCCCUAGAAAAUUGAUAAAAGGAUUUUUGACAAUCCCAAAAGAUACAUAACAAAGCAGAAAUAAAUAAGACAAGAACAUAAGAAUUUAUGUGGUUCGGUCAAAUUAAUCUACGUCCAUAGGCGGAGGAGAGCAAACUUUCACUCUAAAGAAGAGAGUACAAAAAUUUUUAGAAAAUGUAUUUUAGACCCAAACUACCUAAUACUUAAAAUACAAGAGAGCCCAAUAUAUAUUUUACUUAAUAAAAGGUUUAAUGAACCAAAGGUCCAACUAGCCCAUUUAAAUGUGUCUUAAUUUGGUGCACUUAAUCGCAUCAAAAAUCCACUCUAUUUAUAGCCAACUAAGAGAAAAAACUCCCUUACAAAAAGCGAUGUGAGACAAAACUGCAUCUAACAAAUCUCUACCUUGACUUGUUCCCAAAAUCGACAAUAGUAAAUCUGCUUCACCUUCUCUACAUAAGCUCCUAUGGACCUAAAUCACCAACAACGAACACUAAUCAAGUCCAAGCACUGCUUGAAAUUGUAAACUAGAAGAGGUUUCGUGAACAUAUCAACAAGAUUCUCCUUGGUAUUAAUUUUCUGAAUAAGGACUUUUCUCUCAGCAAUAGUAUCUCGAAUGAAGUGAAACUUCACAUCAAUUUGUUUUGUUCUCUCAUGAUACAUCUGGUCUUUAGUCAAGUGAAUGACACUUUGACUAUUAUAGUAAAUAGUAAUAACACCUUAAGAUAGACUAAACUCGCCAACAAACCCUUCAACCACAAGACUUCUUUGAUUGCCUCAAUCACAGCCAUAUAUUAUGCCUUUAUAGUUGAUAAAGCGACAACAGGGUGUAAAGUACCUUUCCACCUAACUGUGUAACCACCAAUGCAGAAUACAUAAUUUGAAAGUGAUCUUCACUUGUCAAGAUCUCUAGUAUAAUCAGAGUCUACAAAACCAAUCAAAGUGUCAUUGAGUUUGUUUGGAUUGCAUUGAUUUCAAAUAAAAAAAUUUACUUCACAAAUUUCAACCACCUUUUUAUCUUCCCAAUCACCUUUUUAUCUAAUAUAUAUCACAUCACAAAAAGUGCUACAGUAAUUAUCUCAAAUAAAUUAUCCAAAUAAACUCUUAUCCAAACAAACUCAUUGUUUCUCCCAAACUCUAAACAACAGUUUGAAAUUCCUCGCAAGUAUCUGAGAAUCCACUUUACAAUCUGUCAAUGUGUUUUUUCAGGACAAGACAUAUAUCUACUAACAACACUAACUGCUUGUACGAUAUUUGAAUGAGUACAAAUCAUUGCAUACUAUCGACUGCACUGGAAUAGGGAACCCGUGCCAUAUAAUCUUUCUCUUCAACUGAUUGUGGUGACUAAGCAACAGAUAGUCAAAAAUGACUAGUAAGAGGAGUAGUCACAGGUUUAAAAUUUUUCAUGCCAAAUUUCACCAAAACUUUUUCAAGGUCAUUUUCUUGGACCAAGAAUAACUUUCCAACUCCUCGAUCUCUAUUGCCAAGAAUUUUUUUUGCUAUUCUCAUAUGUUUCAUUUCAAAUUCACUGAUUAACUGCAACCUCAAAGCAUGAAUUUCUGGCAAAUUCUUGGCAGCAAUAAACAUGCCAUCAACAUAAAAUAGCAAAUAAAUGAAAGAACCAUCAUCUAACUUCCGAAAGUAAGCACAACUAUCAUACAUGCUUCUUGAAUAACCACGACCUAACAUGAAAGUAUCAAUCUCUUAAACCACUGUCUUGGAGACUGCUUCAAUCCGUAUAAGGAUUUUUCCAAUAAAUAAAUAUAUUCUUCCUUUCCUUCAAUUUCAAAUCCUUGAGAUUGUUUCACAUAGAUUUUCUCUUUAAAUUUGCCAUGUAAAAAAGUUAUCUUAACAUCAAACUAUUCCAACUCUAAAUCAUAUAUGACAAUCAAAGCAUGCAAAACACGAAUAGAGCUAUAUUUAACAACAGGAAAAAAUACAUCAUUAAAAUCAAUACCCUAUACCUGACUGUAGCUCUUUACAACCAACCAUACUUUGUAUCUUACAUCUUCAAUCUCUAGAAUACCUUCCUUCUUCUUGAAGACCCAUUUGCAUCUAACAAUUUUCUUAUUUGAAAGCGGCUUUACAAGAACUCAAGUUUCAUUUUGGUGAAGAGGCUCAAUUUCUUUAUUCAUCGCAAUCAACCACUUAGCAGAAUCAUCACAAAAAACUGCCUCUGAAUAGGUAGUGCCAUCAGUUUUUUCUGCAACAAACAAAGUAUAUACAACCAAAUCUAUAUAUCCUUGUGGUGAUCGAAUAUCCCUCCUUGGUCUAUCUUUGGCUAUAGAAUAUUGCUCCUCUUCAGGAUUAUUCUCAUCAGCAGAUUCAAGUCCAUCUACUGGCAAUUAUUGAAUAGAAGAAUCACAACUACCAAUCUCAAGUUUCACCUAUUUCUACAUAUUAUCAUUUGCAUGACAAGAACUAGAAGAUUUCUUCUUGGAAGAUAACAUAGAAAAUUCAUCAAAGUUACAUCUCUACUGAUCAUAAUUUUAAAAAUUUGGGAUCAGGACACCCAAUUAUACCCUUUCACCUAGAAGCAUACCCAAGAAAAAUACACUUUUAAUUUGAGACUCCAAUUUUAUCAUUUACAUGCAUGUAUGAUAGAUACCCAAAAUUUGUAAAUUGAAAUAAUCAACAUGAGUACUUGACCAAACUUUCUUAAGAGUUUUGAAAUUAAGAGUUGCUGAAGGAGUACAGUUAACAGUAUAACAAGACAUAGAUAUCACCUCUGUCCAAGAGUCCUUUGUCAACCCUGAAUUAGAGAUCAUAUGCUUUACUCUCUUUAAAAGUGUUCUGUUCAUAUGUUCAACAACGCCAUGUUGUUGAGGCGUAUCUUGACAGUACGAUACUGAACAAUUCUUCAUUCUUGCAAAAUUUAUCAAAUUCACCUUCAUAAAAUUUCAUGCCAUUAUCCGUUCUAAGCUGCUUAAUCUACUACUUGUUUCUCAAUCAAAACUUUGCAUUGUUUGAAAGUGAGGUAAACAUCAUUUUUAUAUUUAAGAAUAUAAAUCCAAACUUUUCUUAAAUAAUCAUCAUUGAAAGUCAACAUAUAUUUGACACCACCCUUAGAUGGAACACGAGAUGGAUCCUAUAAAUAUGAAUGAAUAUGAUCAAAUGUACCUUUCUUCUUAUGAAUUGCUGGUAAACUGAAACUAACUCUUUUCUACUUCCCAAAAAAAUAGUGAUCAUAGAGUUUCAAUGAUCAGUAUUCUGACCGCAAAGAAGUUCCCUUUUGCUUAGCAUGUCCAAACCUUUCUCGCUUAUAUGUCUCAAACGUAUAUGCCAUAAUUUGGUGAUGUCAGAAUCAGAUAAACAUGAUGAUGGCAAAACUAUAAGCGGAUAGUAGAUCCCUGCAAAACAUACAAACUACUAGACCUGUAAACUUCUUUAUAACAACAAGAGCACAUUUAGAAACCUUCAAAAUGCCAUUUCAACUAUAUAUUUGCUCCAAGAGCCUCCAAGAUCCUCAAAGAGAUGAGAUUCUUUUUCAAAUUAGGAAUAUGUUUAACGUUAGUGAGCAUCCUCACAGUACCACCAUGUAUUUUAUUCGAACAGUAUCCUUACCUACAAAUCACAAAUGACAUUAUUAUCCAUCAAAACAAUUUCACCAUUACAAGAUUCAAAAGUGGAAAAUAAAUUUUUAUCGGGACACAUAUGAUAAGAGCACCUUGAAUCUAAAAGUUAUUCAUGUUUAGACCUUGUCCUUACAUUAAUCACAAAGAAAAUAUUUCCUUCAUUCUCAUCAGCUGCAACACAAGCUUCAACAGUUUUAGUGUUUUUCUCAUCAGAUUUCUCCUUUUGCUUUAAUAUUUUUCAAUUUAAAACAAUUUCCCUUAAUAUGCCCCAUUUUGUGAUAAUAAUUGCACUCCAAAUUUCUAUGUUUGAAUUUAGAUCUAAAUUUAGAUCUACUACUAUUAAAUUCUCUUUUCUCAGCUUUGCCCCUAGCAACCCUCCGCCUGACCUUCAUUAUUUCUUCCGAUAAUAUUCUUGUCUAUUUGCUCCUUAAAUUUUAAUGCAUAUUUAAUUUUUCGAUACGAAUUUAAAGGACUGGUGAAAGGAACACAAAGUAACAGGGCCUAAUUCUCAUCAUCAAUUUUUGAAUCUAUAUUCUCCAAAUCCAUAAUAAUAGAAUCAAAUUUUUCAAGAUAUGAGAGUACAAACGUACCUUCAGUCAUGCAAAGUAUAUACAAACUUUGCUUUAAAUAAAGCCGAUUCUUAACUGUCUCUUCAUGUACAAAACUUUAAAUUUGUCCCAUAUGACCUUUGUUGAAAUUAUAGUGGCUACGUCUUGUAAAAUCUCAUCAGAGAGAUUUAAAAUAAUACUGAACCGAGCCUUCUUAUCUAUCUCAGCAAAAUUUGUAUCUGUUACACUUUCUGGCUUUUUUGCAAUUCCCUAUAUCGUUAAAUCAACUCCGUCUUGAACCAAUAUGCCCUCCAUCUUAAGCAGCCACAUCCGAAAUUCACAUUCUUGUUGAAUUUCUCGAUAACAGUCUUUGUUAUUGUCAUUGUUGCCACAAAAUUCAAAGGCUCCGAAAAAAUUCUGAUACCAAUUUGUUAGGACUGGUCCCAAAAAAUUAUAAAAGUGUUUUUCGCUAUCUCAAAAGACAAAUAACAAAAUAGAAAUAAAUAAGAUAGGAAUAUAGGAAUUUAUGUGCUUCGAUCAAAUUGACCUACCUCUAUAGAUAAAGGAGAAGCAAAUUUUCACUAUAAAGAAGAAAGUACAAAAAUGCCUUAGAAAAGUAUUUCUAAACCCAAAAGACCUAAUACUUAAAAUAUAAGAGAACCCAAAAAAUAUUUUACUUAAUAAAAGGUUUAAUGACCCAAAGACCCAAAUAACCCACUAAAACUCUCUUGAUUUUGUGUACUUAAUCCGAUCAAAAGCCCACUUUACUUAUAGUCAACUAAGGAAAAAGGCUGCCCUACAAAAAGUGAUGUGGGACAAAGUCACACAUAACACAUAUCUAGUCUGUGCUGCCAUCUACAUUUACAUUUGGUCCUCAACUAUAAGAAAUUGAUGUUUCAACCUUUGUGCAGAAUAAAAAUCUUGCACAAUCUACUAUGCUACAAAGAAAGUCAUAAAAGGAAAUGCCUGAUUUUUAUCUCACAAGCCAUCCCAAUAAGUAUACAUGAAUUAUAUACUUCAUGUAUGGAUGAAGGCAUUAGAAGAGAAAAGUCUAGCUUAUACUAAAUAAGUUAUAUGAUGCAACAAAAUUUCAUCAUCAUGAAUUGGCUCAAAAAAGAAAUGUGGAAGUGAAUAGAAUGCAAACUUGUACAAAGUUUAGCCAGACGUGGUUGGUUUCAAACCCGAUUGUGAAUACUUGAAGAAGGAAAAAAGCAAUGUAGUAAAACAGGUAAAUUAUUAUUUACCCUUUUGUAGUUUUGCACCUUUUUUUUAUAAAUCCAUACAUAAGGGAGGGAUGACACCCCUAAUUUAUUAUUAAAAUACUAGAAAAAAUAAGGGGACAUAAACCAUAUCUCCAAAAUACAAAGCAAAAUUAAACCCAAAACGAGAAGUUCUACUCCCUUUUAAGGCCUUUGAUCGACACUUCCUAAUGGAAGGCAAACCUAUCUUGUCUAAUCUAUAAGCUCUCUGAGCCAGCAAUGAAACAUACACUGGUUGAUAUACUUAAUACUCGAGUCCAAAGCACCAACAAUGGAGAGAAUAUUAGAAACUUGAUUAACUUCUGGGAAACAAUGAAUAACUUGCAUGAGAUGAGAACUUAAUGCACAAAUCUAGUGUAUUUCAUGAUAUAUACUUCAUGGACAAGCUGCCCCAUUGAGUCCAACUCAACGUGAAAGUUUGUGAACUCGUGAACAAUACAUUGUUGAAGUCAAAUCAACAGUGCUUGAGUCUCUGAUUGAACACUCGUAGCAAUUUCAAAAUGAGAAGAAAAAGCAAGCAACAAAUCACCAUUGUCAUUCCUAAGCACACCUCCUCCACUGAGACUUGGAUUUCACUUCGAACAACUGUCUGUAUUCAACUUAAUUGUACCAAAAGAUGGAUCCAACCACCUAACAACUUUGUAAGUAAAUUGUUGUUUAAAGGAAGAGACUUCAGCAUAGAAGUGCUGCCAAGAGAUCGAAAGAAAAUUUUUCUUAGGAAAUUGCAAACUAAACAGCCCCUUAAUGUCCUCAAAUAUUCUAGAAGCAAUAGCUAAGAAUUCCAGCUAGAUCCCCUCAAUAACAUAAUAAUAAAUUACGUGCCUUCUAGAGGUGCCAGCAAAUUAGACCUAGAGUAACCUGAUGGACAAAAUCAAGAUACUUGUUCCAAUGAUCACCAUAUCACCAAGGCUACAAUAGUAGCUCUGAUUGAUAAGCCAACUUGAGACAUACCACAUAUAGCCCAAAAACUUUCAAACCUGAACUGCUAACUCACCUGAGUAGAAAAUAUGAUCCAGAAAUUCCACAUUUGAUUCCAAGCAACAAAAACACUUUGAAGGGUCAUGGAAACCAAACUUUAUUAGUGUUGAAUCCAAAGGCAACCUAUUGCGCAACAAAUAAAGCAAAAGGAAGGAAAUCUUCAAAGGAAUCAUUGGAUGCCAAAUCUUACUAAGCAUAAAAGAACAAGGCAAUUGAUCAUGAACCAAUUGGAAUGCAAACUUCAAAGAAAAGACGCCUGUAUAAUUUGGAGAUUAAACCAUUACAUCUUCAAGAUUAGAAUCAAGAAAACAAGUUCUCAAAAUAUCAACAAGAAUAUCCAGAGAAACCCAAUGCUAUAACAAGUUAACAUUUUGUUAUGACUGUAGACCAGUUAUUGGUUAUUCAUUGGAAAAUGCGAAUAUAAUUCUUUUAGGUAGUCAAAUGGAAUCUUUCUUGUUAGCUAGGCAAUUAUGUUGAGUUAGCAAAUAACUAACAAAGAAGGAAGAGAUAUGUUAUAUAAAGGGAGUAGAGUAGCAAGAUUGAAGGGGGUUGUUGAUCAUCAUUUUCUUUUUGGAAUAAUAUGUUCCUUUCUUCUUCUUCAAGUUACACUUUCUCUCUCUUUUUUCUCUUUAAUUCUGCUACAACAUAGCAGCAUUCUUUACAAUGGUAUCAGAGCUUCUGGUCCUUAGACUAGGAAGCUUGAUUCACUACCAUGGCAGAAGGUACAUGUCCCAAAACAAUUGAGGAACAGGUUAAGAAGCAAGAAGCAAGAUUGCAGACUUUCAUGCAUUCCACCAGUGAGACUCUUAAAUCCAUGGAAGAGAAGAUGACGGCUAACUCCAUAGAAUUGAAAGCUCUCAUAGCUAGUGUUGCAGCACAGAUUGAAGGAAACAAUAGGAAUUCUCAACAAGAAAGAGGAAUUCUUGCCACUCCCACAAGUUCUAUGCAAGGUAAUUCUAGACAAGGGUAGAUGAAUCAAGAUAGAGGAGAAAGAAAUGGCUUUAUCCCUGGGAUGCCCAAGCUAGAGUUUCCCAAGUUUCAGGGGAUCAAGUGAGGGAUUGGUCCAGAAAUGUGAGACUUUCUUUCAUCUUUAUGGCAUUAUGGAUUUGCAGAAGAUGUUUAUUGCAGAAAUGCAUUUGAAGGGAAAGCCAAUGUUUGGUUCCAGAGAUUCAAAAGAGAUAAAGGGACAAUGGCAUGAGAGGAAUUCAAAGGGGAUGUAAAUCAAAGAUUUGGAACCCUUGGUGAUGAGGAUAGGGUAGAAGAAUUUAACAAGCUAUAGCAAUCUUCCACAGUAAUGGCAUAUCAAGAGAGAUUUGAGGAGUUGAGGGCCAUAGUCCUACUCAAAAAUCCCGAUUUGAGUGAAAGUUAUUUUGUUUCAAGCUAUUUAAGUCGGUUACAAGAACAACUCAAGGCUUUGGUCAAGAUGUAUAAACCCCAGACCCUACAAGAAGCUUUUGAGGUUGUAAGAUGGCAAGAAAAGUCACUAGAGGUCAUUUUCAAGAAGAAUAAGACAGUAAACAGAUUCUCCCUACCUUCACAGUUGAGUUCCAAUGGAGGGUUGGCCAUGAACAGAUCUACUAUAGCCAAUGCAUCAUCCACCAGAGAGGGAGUUUCCAAGAAACCAGGUAAUUCUACUCAACAAUUUAAGAAAAUCACUCCCACUGAGUUCUAAUACAUGAAAGAAAAUAACUUGUACUUUACGUGUGAAGCCAAGUUUGGGCCAGGUCAUGUGUGUAAGAACAAAGGAAUACAUGUGUUUAUUGCUACUGAUUGGGAAAGAGAUGUAUAUGAAGAAGAAGUAAUAGAAUAUGAGGGAACAGUCACAAACAGGAUAUUGAAUUGUCCUUACAUUCAAUCACUGGGAAUUUAUUUUCUAGCACCACUAAAUUGGUGGGGAUGGCUAGGGACUUUGAAAUUUCCAGUAUGUUGGAUGGUGGGAGCUCUAAUUGUUUCCUUAAGAAGUCAGUUACUCAGAGAUGGCAUGAACUUAUCAAGCAAUACAAACCUUUUAAAGUCAGAAUUGCAGAUGGUUAGGAGCUUUGUUGCAGUUAGUCGAUACCAGGUUUCCAAUAGAAUAUGCAAGGGCAAAAGUUUUGUCACAAUGUAUACCUCUUAAAUCUGGAGCCACAUGAUCUAAUUUUAGGGGUGGACUAGAUGAAGGCUUACAGUCCCCUAACAUUUGACUUCAAAAAACUACAGGUCUCAUUCAGUAGAGAUGGUGAACUAGUGAAAUUACAAGGAGAUGAAGGCAUUGCAAAAACCAGGAUGGCUAAGGGGAAUGUGGCCCAAAGAUACACAAGGAAGAAGCUAAAGCAGGCAGCGUAGGCAUAUCUGACCAACACCACUCAAUUACAGGUAAUCACAACUCCAAAUAUUUUAGAACCUCUGUUGAUUGAGUUCCAAGAUGUAUUUAGUGAGCCCAAGCAAUUGCUCCCUAAAAGAUCAUUGACCAUCAAAUUCCUUUAAAAGUAUAUGCAAAACCCUUCAAAUUGGCCCCUUAUAGAUAUCCCCAUUUCCAGAAAAUAGAAAUAAGAAAACAAGUCAAGGACAUGUUGCACAGUGGCAUUAUCCUACCCAGUCACAGUCCAUUUGCCUCCCCCAUCCUAUUGGUUAAAAAGAAAGAUGGUAGCUAGAGGUUUUGCAUAGAUUACGGACAACUCAAUUCCUAACCAUUAAAGAUAAAUUUCCCAUUCCUAUCAUAGAUGGCAUAUUAGAUGAACUCCAUGGGGCCAAAGUCUUUUCCAAAAUUGAUUUGAAAUUUGGUUAAUACCAGAUUCGCAAGAACCCUCUAGACAUUCCUAAAACUGCUUUCAGAACUCAUUGUGGACUUUAUGAAUUUCUGGUAAUGCCAUUUGGACUUACCAAUGCUCCAGCUACAUUCCAAGCUCUUAUGAACUCAGUAUUUGAACAUUUUCUUAGAAAAUUUGUCUUGAUCUUCUUUGAUGACAUUCUUAUAUAUGGCCUAGACAUGGAAACUCAUAUCCUCCAUCUUAGACAAGUCUUGGAAACUUUAAGAUCCCACACCCUUUUCACUAAGCUCUCUAAAUGUUCCUUUGGACAAAAUCAAAUAGAUUAUUUGGGGCAUGCGGUUACUGGUGAAGGAGUAAGAGCUAAUCCUUCCAAGGUGGAGUGUAUGUUGAAUCGGCCAGAACCUACAGAUGUCAAAGCAUUAAGAGGGUUCCUAGGUUUAAUUGUGUACUACAAGAGAUUCAUCAAAAUUAUGGGUCCAUAGUUAAACCUCUUAUUGAUCUCCUGAAAAUGAUAGAUUUGCCUGGAAUAAAGAUGCUAGUUCUGCAUUUUAUGAAUUAAAACAUGCCAUGAGUCACACACCAGUUCUAGCAUUACCAAAUUUUCAAAACCAUUCAUUUAGAGACAAAUGCCAGUAACCAAGUUAUUAGAGCUGUUCUUAUGCAGCAAGGCCAACCAAUAGAUUAUAUGAGUCAGGCACUAGGAGCAAGAAAUUAGGCAUUAUUUGUCUAUGAAAAAGAGUUGUUAGCCCUGAUUUUUACUAUAAACAAAUGGAGGUAUUACCUGCUGGGGUCUCACUUCAUCAUCAAAACUGAUCAUCAUAGUCUGAAAUACUUGUUAGAACAAAAAAUUUGGACUCCCGUGCAAUAGAAGUGGUUGACCAAACUGAUGGGGUUUGAUUAUGAGACACAGUUCAAACAAGUGAAAGAAAAUGUAGUUACAGAUGUGCUUUUCAAAAAAGGGGAGGGAACACAAGAACUUAGUGCUAUAUCCAUCGCAAGGCCAACUUGGAUAGUUGAUAUAACUGAAAGUUAUGAGAAGGGUCCUAAAGCUAGAGAGCUACUUACUGCAUUAGCAGUUAAUGGCAAAGAAAUGCCAGAAUACUCAUGCAGUAGUGGAGUCAUCAAAUACAAGGGUAGGGUGUAUGUUAGGGCCUUUACUGAACUUAGGCAACAACUUACAGCCUGUAUGUACACGUCAGCAAUUCAAGGACAUUCAAGUAAAUUGGGGACUUACAAGAGAACUAAAACUUAUUUUUUCUGGCCUGGCAUGAAAAAGGAGAUGGAAGAUUUUGUUCAGAACUAUGAUGUAUGUAGAAGGAACAAGAAUGAGAAUUGCAAACUUAUAUUAUAACGGAUGGCUAUUGUACCCUUUUCCGUUGGGUUGUAUUUAAGCUUGGAAGCUGCAUAAUUGUAAGUGUGAGAUAUUUGGAGUACUUUAAUUAUGUAUUGAAGUUAUUUAAAGUAUUUCGAGCUUUUGAAUGAUGGAUUGUAGUGAGUCCUGGCGAGAGCUGGGCAGGCGUCCCGCGGAUACCUUGACCUUGUAAAAUAUCUUAACACCUUGACCUUGUAAAAUAAUAUCACUCAAUACAAAAUUCCUACAAGUUGUCAAAAAUAUAAUGCAUUUACCGCACUAGCGGGUCCCACGUCCAAAAUACGCUUUUAAUUUCUCAAAAACUAACCGAUACUAGAAAAAUCAUUUUAAAACUAUUUUUGCUCAAAACUUUAUUUGGGGAAUUUUUCUAAUCAAGAAAAUGUAGAAAAGGCGGGCGAUUAAAAAAAAAUAAACCCUAGAAAAUUAGAAAAUUUCCGGGUUCUCAAACUCAUUUUUUUCGGGGCGUCACACAACUAGCCUUCAAGUAAAAUUUCGGCAGCAUAUCCCUUGUGUUUACCUAUUUUCCAGCCAUCAUGGCUUCAUUAUUUCCUCAAAUCAGUCCCAACAUCUUGUACAAAAAUAAUCUCAUUCCCAAAAGCCGUUCACUAGGCUUAAUGGUAUUCAAGUACAAAAUUUAGCUAGGAAAUAACCGAAUAUGAAAGUCAAGCCCUAACUAUUCAAAUGAACACAAUAAGACUCGAUUACAAGUCAUAAACCAAUUCUAUAUACUACCAAAACAGGGUUCCCUAAGCAUACACAAACAUUAAAGGAAACCAGAAAAUUCGGAAAUGCAAUUAGCUUUGGCCUUGAAAAAAAAACAGUUUUUGUCCUCGUUUUACGGUAAUGGCACCAAUUUCACUACGAUUAUCGGAUGAGGGUGUAAGACCCACCAUCUCGAAGCUAAAAGACAGGGCUACAACAUCACAGAAGGUCACUCAACCCAGUUUUGAGUGCAAAUAGGUCAAAAAUGCAAGAUACUACAUCAAAAACGUAAAACAGAUUCACCAAAACGCAUUCUAGCGGAAACAUCAUAACUCAGACUCUCCAAGUCCAAAUCCAGAAAUUCCAAAACCAUCUGAAAGCUAAGGAACAGGGCUACAUUUCAUCAGAAGACCUCAACAACCAAUUCGGAAGCAAUUCCAGCCAAAACAACCAAUUACAGGCGCAAUUCUUGCAUUUGGGUAAAACCAGAACAGCAAUAGUAAUUUCGACUUUCUCACUCUACGCUACUCCGAUUGACCUGAAAUUUUGUAGGCACCUCUAAAAUGUCAUUCCAUACAACUGUCAUGUUUUAAUCUAAGGCCAAUUCGGCCUCUAACUAGGAGCUAUAAAUUCGGGCAGAAUGUUCCUUCAUGAACCCUAGGUUUUUCAAUUUUCUUCCAAAACAGAAAUUGGUUGCAAUUAAUCACUUUUUCCACCUUCUAGAUGCCUUAAAUAUCAUUUCCAAUCAUCAUACAUAGCCACACAAUCAUGCUUUUAUUAAAACAGAAAAAUCCCCAAAAAUAAUAAAACUUCAUCAUUUCAACCACAAAUCAAGAAAUAAUCCAUAAACUUGCAUCUUAUACUCCCACUAAGCAUGAUUUAAGCAUCAAUUAAAGGAGGAGGGUGGUUCUUCACAACUUACCUUAAAAACAAGAGAGAGAGAGCUAUAGGUCCUCCUAGCUUUCCAAAUCACUCCACCUAUCAACUUACUAACACUAAUUGAAGAGGUUUUAUGGAGUAAGUUCAAGUUUCAAUGGUUGGUUUUGAUGAUUUGGAGCAAAAUGGAAUCAAAACUUGAAGAGUUUCUUCCUUUCUUUUUGAGAGAGAGGGCCGGCCAACAAGGGAGAAGAAAUGAAGAAUUUUUGGUUGUUUUUUGAUUUCAUUAGUCAAUUGGUAAGACCAUGAAUAGUGGUCUUAAAGGUAGACCACUCAAAUGGUGACACUUGUCACCUUUUAUUAAAUAUCUGCCUAACUUGUCUCUCUCAUAUCAAUCCAAAUUGCAACCUCUACUUAUCUCUUAACACCCGGUAAAUUAAUUCCAGUAUCCAAAACUUAACCUAGUUGGCCGAAUGUUUCCGAACUUUUCGCACUAGUGGGUCCCACGUCCGGUAUACGCUCUUAAUUUCUCAAAACCUAUUCGAUACUAGAAAAAUCAUCUAAAAAUUAUAUCUGCUCCUUAAAUUCAUCUAGCAAUUUUUUUUUCUAAUCACGAAAAUGCGGAAAACAAGCCACGGAAAAUAAUAAAACCUAGAAAAUGGGAAAAAAAAUACGGGUUCUCACAUUCAGUAUUUUAAAAUACCCUCAGGACCAAAAGUGAAAUCAGUGGUUUCUCCUUUUUUCACUUUCUCUCCCCACUUCUGUACCAUCAGAUCCUCCUUUAGAGCUUCUUUAAUCCUCUCCAACAGGGUGGAAGUCACUUUAAUAUUGCCAAAAAUCACCUUAUGGCUCCUAAGGCAGGGUUUCCACUCGCAAACCGACUCGAGCAAAUUCCACUCUUUAAUCAUUAAGCUUGCAACCUGAGCUUUGCGACUUAGGGCAUCGGCCACUACGUUCGCCUUUCUUGGAUGGUAGUUGAUGGUACAGUCGUAAUCCUCCAGAAAUUUCAUCCACCGUCGCUGCCUCAUGUUUAAUUCCUUCUGUGAGAAGAGAUAUUUCAGGCUUUUGUGAUUGGAGUAAACCUCGAAGGUUACCCCAUAUAGGUAGUGUCUCCACUUCUUCAGAGCAAAAACAACUGCAGCUAGCUCCAGAUCAUGGGUUGGAUAAUUCUGCUCGUGAGGUUUUAACUUCCUAGAGGCAAAAGAGAUCACAUUUCGGUUCUGAAUUAAUACACAAUUCAGGCCUUCUCGUGACGCGUCCGUAUACACAACAAACCCGUCACCUCCGUUAGGUAAGACUAGAACUGGAGCCAUGGUCAAUCUCUUCUUUAACUCUUGAAAACUUGUCUCACUUCGAGCAUUCCAAAUGAACCGACCAUGUUUCUUUGUCAAGUCGGUUAGAGGACCGGCCAGUUUAGAAAAGUCCUUGAUGAAACGCCGAUAAUAUCCAGCCAGUCCUAGAAAGCUGCGAACCUCUGUGGGACUUUCGGGCCUCUUCCAAUUAGUCACAGCCUCUACUUUCGCCGGGUCAACGGAAAUUCCCUCAUGAGAAAUUACGUGCCCCAGAAAAGCAAUUUUCUCCAGCCAAAAUUCGCACUUGCUGAACUUGGCAUAUAGUUGAUGGUCUCUCAGGGUUUGCAAGACAAUCCUCAAGUGUUGCUCAUGCUCUUCAUGGGUCUUGGAAUAGACCAGGAUGUCAUCGAUGAAGACCACUACAAAUCGAUCCAGGUAGGGCUUGAAAACCCUAUGCAUAGGUCCAUGAAGGCGGCAGGAGCAUUAGUCAGUCCGAAGGGCAUAACUGCGAACUUGUAAUGCCCAUAUCUCGAGUUGAAGGCGGUCUUCGGAAUAUCCUCCUUCUUGAUUAAUAACUUGUAGUACCCUUGGCGGAGGUCCAGUUUCGAGAAGACCACCGCUCCCUGCAACUGAUCAAAUAGCUCAUCUAUGUGUGGCAGUGGAUACUUAUUUUUAAUUGUAAUAUUAUUCAGGCCCCGAUAAUCAAUACACAUCCUCAAUCCACCAUCCUUUUUCUUUACAAACAGUACAGGAGACCCACUUUCUUGAAUGAAUCCCUGCUCCAAAAGAUCCUGUAAUUGCAACUUUAGCUCCUUGAGCUCCGCAGGGUCCAUUCGGUAUGGUGUCUUUGAGAUAAGUGAGGAUCCCGGUAGCAAGUCUAUUUUGAAUUCAAUUUCUCUUUCCGGAGGUAAGGCUACUAAUUCAUCAGGAAACACGUCCGGAAAUUCCUUCACUAUGGGCACAUCCUCCACUUUCAACUUAUCCGUGGGGGUGUUAAUCAAAAGGCCAAAAAUCCUUGCGCCCCUCGACUUAGCAAUUUCCUAGCUCGAAUGCCCGAAAUCAAAGCAGAUGAGCCUAACCUACCCCUUAUGUCCAACCUUAAGGUCGCCUCACCAGGAAUACGAAAUUCAACCACUUUUGUUUUACAGUCCAGUUGGGCAUUAUACUUGGCUAACCAGUCCAUACCCAAUAUCACAUCAUAUCCCUUAAUAACCAAGCUUAUCAAAUCUCCUAACAAUCUCUUCUCUCCUACCCACACUUCGUAAUCCCUAUAAACCAUACUAGUAACCAAAUGUUGAUUCCCCGUAGGUGUACUAACUUCUAGGUCGUAUGGUAAACUAGCAGGUUUUAUAUCAAUGCCACACAUGAAAUCAGGGUUAACAAAGGAAUGAGUGGCACUAGGAUCAAAUAAAACUUUGGUAAAACGGUGGAAAAUAGGGAUCGUACCUUCUACGACCUCUGAGGAAUCCGGGACCUGUCGAGGUUCUAUUGAAUAGACUCGAGCUGGCACCUUAGGUUUCGCCUCAUUCCCCUUAUUCGGUCCCGUAUUGGUCUUGGACGUGGUUUGAGCUCCCCUUCCGUCUUGCGUUAAGAGUGGGCAGGUAGCAAGCUGGUGGUCUGCGCUUCCGUAACGCAGACAUUUACCUCCCUUCUUCCAGCAAUUGUCUUCAGAGUGAUUUGACUUCCCGCAGUACCCGCAAGGUCCACGGGACGCCGAACCUGAACCUUUUUGGAAGUUUCCACCUUGGCCUCUCCCGGCUAGGCCGCCCCUAGACUGAGCUCCUCUGCCAGAACCUGACUGUCGUCCACCUCCAGCUCCGCGUCCAAACUUGGAGGGAGUGUGGUGACCCCACUUCCCCCUAAGGCGAACCAAAGGGUUGGCGGGCCGUAUGCCUAGCUCUCGCCAGGACUCACGCAAGCAUUCUAACCCAAAGCCUUUCGAAGAAUAACCUAAUCUAUUACAAAACAAUUUUCCCCGAAUAAGAUCAUCACUAAAACCACAUUAACUUCAGAGAUAGCAGAGAUAAAAAUAGCCAAACGACGGCUCCUAAACAUUUCACGCGUUGCGAACUGCAGAAUAGAAUCGUACCGUCCCAACUAAGAAAAAAAAAAUUCAUACAACAAAAUACAACAACCAAGCCAAGCAUCCAAAAUUAAGUUUUACACAUUUUUCCAGCUUCAAGUGGCAAUCCAAAAUAAAAGUACAUUAUCCAAAUUUAACACACUACAGCCCACACAAAUAGUCAUAGUAUACAAAUACAUCCCAAAACGAAACAUGGAUAAGUUUCAAAGCUUUCAAUUUCCAGAACCUGUCAAGGAAAACAAAUAAUCGUGGGGUGAGCUAAAGCUCAGUGGUGCCCCAAAACAUGCAGUCACGUAAAUCAAACAGCGAGUAAUAACUUAACCAAAUUGAACAGUUAGGAAAGCGUAUAACAGCACAAGGUAGGAUACAGGGGCUCUCAGGAGCCAUUUUCCUCGCUUGAUCACCAUUCAUCGUAGUUGACCCUCCGUCAACUCUCACUACUUAUAGUCCAUGUAGAUCCACUCAUUUUAAUACCUAACCCGUCACCAUUCAUACCCCUGUCCCGGGCCCGCUCACCGACUAAGGACGCAGUAUACUCGAGAUAUACCCGUAGAUAAUUGGACGCAGUAUACUUGCGUAUACCCGUAGAUAAUUGGUCGAGGGAUUCACCCAACGACGUUAUUGUAGUUAGAUUCAUGUGUCGAGGGAUUCACCCAACGAUGUAACUGCAUUUAAUUACCAAGUCAGGAUAAGAGGCCCUCCCACCCUUAAGGUGUGGUACAUUCCCCUGCCUAGUGAUUUAGUACUUGGGAUAGGAUAAGAGGCCCUCCCACCCUCAGGUGUGGUACAUUUCCCUACUCAGUACUUAGCACAUGAGAUAGGAUAAGAGGCCCUUCCACCCUCAGGUGUGGUACAUUCCCCUACUCAGUGCUUAGCAAGUAUUCCAAGGUUUUAGCAUUUGAGAUAGGAUAAGAGGCCCUCCCACCCUCAGGUGUGGUACAUUCCCCUACUCAAUGCUUAGCAAGUGCAAGCAGGAUAUUUCAUGAAAAUAUUUCAAGCAAGUCACCACUCGAACGGCUAGUGCGAUAAAGUACACACUGCUCAUUUCGAUGGAUCAAAAACUAGUUUUGCAAAUUAUCACAUAUCGAGUCAAGAAAGCACUUUAACCAAGUAAGCAUAGAACAGGCAGGGACACUCACCAAGAGUGAAGUUCAGAUAUCAAGUUGGGAAUCGAAUUCCGCAUCCUCGCAAUAUCCUAGAAUACAAAAUUUUGAAACUAUAAGUUUCUAUUCAGUUUUUAAGCUUAUACACAUCGAGGUAUAUCUGAUAUACUACUAGUUUACUUUCCCUUAGAAAAAUUAAGAAUCCACUUAGGUUGAAACUUGACAAAAGUAGUAAAAAUGUUUCUUAUAGUUUUCUUUGAGAUACUUUUCCUUAUAAAAGGUAACUAGUAUUAUUUUCUUGAAAUAAGUCGACAACCUCUUAAGAUCAAAGCUAGAAAGAUAUAUUUGAAAAUUUCUUUAAAGCUAUGGUUCUUGCAAAAAUUAUCACCAAAAACUAUUUUAUCUAAAAAUAAGGUUUCUUGCCGAGCAAGUUUCUAUGCUUUUAACUAAAAUUAUUAAAACUCGUAUUUUGGAACUUUUCCUAUAGUUAACUAGCCAAGAACAAUUCUUAGAGGAAAGAAAAGGAGUAAAACAAGGCUAGAGUUUCAGAAACUAGGGAAAUCAUUUUCCAAAGGUAAUAAGGCUAGUUUAAACUUAAAGGAAGAAAUAUCGAGUUGGCAAGGUUGAGAAAAUCCCUACAUGACGUUUCUAACAUUAACAUACAGUGCUAGAUUUUUAUCGCACUCUACUAGAGUGAAGAUAUAUGUAAAUAGAUUGUUUUAGAACUUUUCUCAAGUUCACAGGACCAAAACGGAUUUCCUACGAUUCCGAUUUGUAAGCACGUAAUAAGUUAGAUCCAUCAAUAUAACAAACCAACAUUUCCAAUGGAAAUCUCACUAGGGCUUCGUCAAUCAUUAGCCCUAGGUUUCAAUAGGUUCAUAUCAAAUCAAGAAUAAAAUAAAUGACCAAGGCUUCAUCAAUCAUUAGCACUUGGUUUUUGGCAAGUUCAUAUCACCUCUUGAAUAAAUCAAAAAUGAAGGUAAGGCCUCCAAGAAAUCCCAGCAAUUAAAAUCCAUCACUCUUUAAUAGUUAUAACAUCAUUUAAAUGGCCAAGGGCUUCAUCAAUCAUUAGCUCUUGACAACCAUCAAUCACUUCCAACCACAAUUCAAUCAGGAAUUCAAAUCACAAAUAAGCUAAAUGUUCGAUCCAAGUCAAAACUCAGUUUCAUGAAGAAACAGGACAUUCAAGCAAGACAGCCUGCUUUGAGGAGUCACGGACAGCAGUACACAUGGAGGAAAAAUAUGAAAUUUCUACAGAACAAAGGUCCAUGACUCUAGUUUCAAAUGCCACUGACGGCACCUUAAUCGGAUUUUCCUACACCAAGAUAUAAGCAUUUUACUGAGACUGGUCAGGGACAUCCGAAAAUCUGAAAUUUCAUUUUUUUCACUUGUGAAAAACUCCUUUUUCUCUUUUAACACCAUAAUGUUUUUAUUCAAACCAUCCAUACAUUUCUUAUAGAAUUCCAAAACAACAUAUUCCAGGCAUUUCCAACCAUUAGGUUUCAAAGAAAAAUCUAAAAACCAAGCUGAGAUUCCAACUCAACCUUCGGCUAUCACAAACGAAAUUUCAGCAUUUAUAUACCAAUAUUUUUGGUUCCAUCUUUCAAUAUAUCAUAUAUUUCAUUGUUAAACAACUUACACCACUUAAAAUUUACAACUCUUUUGUAUUUCUAAACCAUUACAUUCCAAGGGAAAAAUAAAAUAAAUUUCCAGAAACCAAUUAAACUUUCCAAAGACAAACUGAAAUUUCUGGUUCAACCUUGCGGCUUCCAAAAUUUUCCAACAACUAAUAUACUUUAGAUCAAAUUUUCCCUUGGUUUAAACAUGGUGUUAGGUACUCAAAUUCAGCAUAUAAACACUUAGCUAGCUAUUAACGAUUUCCACUUCAAAACCGGAUUCACACAGCAACUAAAAUCAUCCAGGAAAAUCCAGAAAUCUGUCCAACUAGCCACGGUUAAACAUGCAUGGAGGAACUCUCUGUUUUCAUUUUAUUUUCUGGGUUAAAACAUGCUAUUAAGCUCUCAACUUCCUCAUGCAAUUACUUAGCUAGACAAUGAACAUUUCCAGUUCAGAAAUCGAGUUCAAACAACAGCCAUCAACAUCAAAAUUUCUAAAAAUUAUUCCAGCUUGGCUCGGAUGAACAUGCAUGUGGCAGAUUGCAUUUUGAUUUUAUUUUUCUGGUUUAAACUAAUCAAUUAACUACAUGCAGAGCCUAAUUAACUUGUUAUUAACUAUCUAAUUAUGGUUAUAAGCUCAAACAACAAAAUUAAACCAAAUCAGGCUGCAAUAAUCAAGCUAAGCUCUCGGCAGCUCCAAAGCUUGCACAUAACAGAAAUUCUCUUCUUAAAACUCUCAUCCGGCUGCCUAACAUCAACAUGCAUAUUCUUAGAUGGCUUAACCUUCUUGUUAUUAAUUGGUUAAACACUUAAUCGAGCUCAGAUUAUCACAGGAAAUUAGAAAUGAAGCUACAAUUCCAAGCCAGCUCCUCGGCAGAAACCUCUAGCCAAAACAGAAUUUUUGUAUGCUUUAACAACAUCAUCCGAAUGCACAAAUCAACAUGCAUGGUCUUAAUCUUCAAGUUUUCACUUAGCUAAAGACACUUAGGUGAUCAGAUUGCCACGGAAAAACAAAAAUGGAGCUGCAUUAUCACCUCAGUUUCUCGGCAGCAACAUUUCAUCAAAACCGAAAUUUUUCUAAUGGCUUGAUUUCAACAACCGACUACACAAUCCAUACAUGCAAGCUCUGAUAUAGCUUCCUCUACUAGUAAUCAACUUAAUUAGUCCAGAAAUUACCUCAGAUACAAGCUAAGCUCACACACGAAAAUCCAGAAUUUUCUUUCCUUCCUCUCGGCUUCAAGUGCAGGUCGGUUGGUCCUGAUUCCUGAGUUGCGGCUGGAGUGGUGUUGUGGUGAGGUUGAGUUCGGUUGGUUGGAGUUGGAAAUGGCCAUAGCUAGGAGAGGAAAAGGUGCGAUGGUCUCCUGGUCUCUUCCCUCAGCUUACGGACAGAACAGAAAGAAAGAAAUUGCAGCUUGCGGACAGCUCUUCUUGGUCGAUGAUUACAAGAUGGCAGCUCACAAGGUUGUCUCUCUCAUUUACUCUCGGUCUAAGGCAGAGGAAGAGAUGAGAUGUGGUUGUGGAGAGGAAGUGUAGUGGCUGCGGUGAAAUUGUGCAGAGGAAAUGGAAUUGGUUAAGAGGCGGUAUCUCGGUAUUAAGAAGGAAGAGGAAAUGGUUUGCGGAGAGUUUGUGCAGAGGAAAAUGAAAUUGUGGUUUGAGAUGUGAAAUAGAGAGAAAGGUAUAUGGUGCCGCGGUUUUAGGAGAAGGGAUUGAGUGUAAGAAUCGGUUGCAUAUCGAAUUGGAGAAAAUGUGAUUGGCCGAUAGUUGCGGUGAUUGAAAUUGCUGUCAGAGGGUUUGUUUGGUUUGCAUGGAAAUGUUGUGGUUGCAAGGGCAUUUUAGUCUUUUCACUUUGCUCCCUAACCUCUACUUAAAUUCUCCAUUCUAACUUAACUCCAAAAAUUACCCCCAAGCGUGAUUUGAAAGCCUAAUUAUACACUAGUAUACUUAAGCCAUUUUUAUCGAAUAUUUAUCGAUCACAAUUUAAUAUUAAGGUUCCUAGUAAUUCCUAACAUUAUUUAUCGAUUAAAUUAGUUAUCAUAAUUUCCAAUUAUUUAUUCUCAAGAAAUAGAGUUAGUCUAACUCGAAAUUUAUCAAUUUAGUAUAAUAAAGUCAAGUGGAAUAAUAAUUUAAUACAAGUGUGUCAGUUUACACAUAAAAAUGAUUUUUACGCACUUAUUGUGAAAACAAAGAAGGAUAAGAUGAUAAUUAUCGAAAUUUCAUGCCUUGAGUAAGUUUCGCAUACUUGUAUAAUAUUUAUCUAAAAUUCAUUGAUUUCGUCUUACCGUGAAAAAUUUCCUUUUUAACCUAUAAUGUUAGCAACUAAUUGGAAUUAAUCAUUGAGUUUCGAGUAAUUUAUUUUAAAGUAAUAAGAUUAAUCGGCUCAAGUAUCCUUAAUUUCGCAUAAGGGAAUUUAAGUAUUCUAACAUUUUAUGCUAAGGCGAAAAAUUUAAUCUAACUCUAAAGAUAUUAAUUUAGUCUAGCAAAACCAAGAAAUUUCAUAACUUAGGAAAAUUAUAUUAUUUUUCACAUAAACCUAUUUUUAUGUACUUAAUUGCGAACAAGUAAAAGUAAUGCUAGAAAUUAUUAAGGAAUAAAAGAAAUGCAAAUGAAAUAUGCACUGGCUUAUAUAUCUAUUUUCAGGGUUCUCACAGAGAGUACCUUUGUCCCCUUGUCCAAAGCUGCUUCCAGGAAAGCCCCGCUUUUUCGCCUGGAAGUUCUGGACUUGCAAUCGAGCACUCUCUACCCUUUGAGCCUUUUCUACGACCUCGCUAAAAGCAUUGAUUUGAGCCACUGCGAGGUCCUUCUGGAUUUCGACGUUCAGGCCCUGGAUGAAACGCCUGAUCCGCCGCUGCUCGGUCAUGAUCAACUCAGGCGCAAAUUUGGACAAGCGGGUGAAUUGACUCUCGUAUUCCGCCACCGAUUGAGCCCCUUGGCGAAGUCGAAUAAACUCAUAUUCCUUCCUCUCCUGAACUAGAGGAGGGAAAAAUUUCGCGUUGAAUUCCCUGAUGAAAUUCACCCAAAUCCUGGGCGUUUGUUCCCGUUCCCAUUUUUGUCGUAUCACGUUCCACCAGGAACGGGCCGCCCCUUCUAACUGGAAAAUGGCAAAAGUCACCUGCCGUUCCUCGGUGUAGUGCAAGGCCACAAAAAUAUCGACCAUCUUCUCGAGCCAUCUCUCGGUAACAUCCGGAUCUGGUCCCCCAAUGAACUUGGGCGGAGCAAACUUUUGAAAUCUUUCGAGAGCUCGAUCUUCGCUCUCGACAUGGUUGCCAGGGUUUCCGGGGUUAGGGUUUGGGUUCUGGCCUUGUUGCUGCACGACUUGUGCUAGUAGGUUAGUCAUUUACUGCAUAGCGGUAGCGAUUUGCACAUUGGGGUCAGGGUUAGGUCCAGUAGAGGUUUCCCCAGUACCCCUAUCCGGUGUGGGUUGUCUAUUUCCGCGCCCACGUCCCCGUCCACUACGUGUUCCUUCCAUAACUUUACUUGAUCUAGGCAAUGGUACUAAACCAAUAUAAAACAAUGCAUGUAAGUAACCCAAAACUUUUCCAAACAAAUAUAUACAUUCCAAACAAGGCAAACAACACACAUAUAUACAAGCAGUCAAGUCAAGUUCAGUAAAGUCGAGUACAAAACAUGGACAAUCCCCAAGGGAAUGGCCUCAACAAAAGAAAUAUACACGUAGCUAAUCUAACCGUACAAAAUGAUUAGCUAAGGCCCUUCUCCCUAUCCGCCCUAUGUACAAAACCAAAACUAUCUAAAACAAACCCUAGAAGUUAGGACCUAGACCGACGACGAGCUAUGAGACCUACCCGACGGAGUGGAUCCAACCCCAGUCUCAGGCCCUGCACAUGAGUCCUCGUCACUCACGCCCUCGGCCACAUCCGCGCAAAGGUUCAGGAUCGAGGUGGCUCGAGCCUUAACCUUGCGAGCGCGCUUGGUCUCGCGCUCUUGGGCUUCCCUAAGCUGAGUGCAGAGGUCAUCAACCCUAUCCUCUGCCUCAAGCACAUCGUACUUCAGACCCUCAAUGCGCUCAGUCUGUCUCUCAUUGGCCGCCCUAAGCUGGGUCACCUCGGCCUCAAGUCUCGCAUUCUCUCCGGCCAACUCCUUAUGCUCUUUCUCCAUCGCAAACACUAGAGCGUUAGGGUAGGCAUAUUUAUGUCGACACUCGCACCGUCUAAAGCAGUUAGACGGGUUCCAACGCACGAAGGCCCCUCCUGGCCGUAUCUGGUAUGGUAUCACUGGGAGUGCUCCACGAGGUCUCUCGCCCAGAGGACUAUCACUAGGCACACCCUGUCCGGCCAUCCUACACCAAAAGAGCAAUUAACCAUAAAUAAGCUUAAAGGCCAUAAAUAAAGAACCCUCACAUCGAGCAUUUCUAUUACACCCAGGCUAACUCAAACCUAGGCUUUGAUACCACCUGUGAUAGCCCCACCUUCCCCAAAGGCGAACCCAAGGGGUUAGCGGACUGCCUGCCCAGCUCUCGCCAGGACUAACGGUGCAGUUUCGAGCAAUCUAUUGCGUUCCGGAACUUACAAACUCGCGUAACCAAGUCAAAAUGACAAAAUAACCCAAAAUAAAAAAAAUGAAAUCCGGAGUCGGCCAUGAAUAGUAACCGACCCGUCAGAACCCAACCAAAUAUUAAAAACACAUAUACACUUGACAUUUUGCAAUUACAAGCCACAAUGGCAUACAAAAAUAAUCCAAAAGUUACUACAUGUUUGGUUUGCCAAAUUAAAGUGAAAAUGGCCCUAAAGAUACAUUUAGGGUCCCACUUCAUAUACAAUACAAAAGAGAUAUUCAUCUAGUUCAUUCAGCAACAAUCUAUCAAGAUUCAUUCCAAAAAGAGUCAUAUUCCUGUAAGGAAAACAAAAGGAACGGUGUGAGCUAAUUGCCCAGUGAGAUACUAUCACUUAAGCGACCAAGUUCAUGUAAACAUAAAGCUUUUCAUUUCAAUUCACCAAAAGUAAACAAAGGCACACAUUGAUGGUGGUGAUAAAAGGAUACGGAUGGCUCUCAAGAACCCUUUUUCCUCGUUUGCAUUUCUUGAUCGGACGUCAUUGACUCUCCGUCAAUGUUCAAAAAUAACCAACCGUAGACUCCACUUUACUUCCAUUCCUUCCACCUAACAUUCCCCUACCGGGCCCGAAAUCCAAACACUUGCAUUGUGGUAUUACUCGAGUAAACCGGAAUCGAGAGUCUCUCAUACUACAAGAUUCCAUAUAACACUUCCCCAAGGCACAUUAAUUGGCACGACCAAGCCCUCGCCGGCUCGAUUCAAUCAACGACCCAUGGGGUUGAGCUCAAGGAUAACAAUUGUAGUCGUUGGAUGCUCGUCCAAACGACACCAAGCCAUGUACUUUCAUUUCAUGUAGCAUUUCAUAUAACUUUCCAAUAACAUGAUAAACAAUAAGUGAGAGUGAUAAAGUACACUUUCACUUCAAGCAAUUAACAUUCAAAGCACCAAGUUCAAGUAUCAAAGCCAUAUAUUAACACACAAGUGAGUAGUACACUCACCAAGCUUGCAAAUGCUGUUUCAUGCACUUCCGUCACAAGAACGUCGUGAACUACCGUCACGCCCUAAAACAUGCAAACAAGUACAAUGAGACUUGAUAACGAGUCAUAAUCCAAUGCCAAAUAUGACCUCAAUAGGGUUCCAUAAGCAUACACACACUUUAGAGGAAACCAGAAAAUUCGGAAAUGCAAUUAGCUUUGGCCCUGAAAAAAAACAGUUUUUGACCUCUUUUUGCGGUAAUGGCACCAAAGGCACCACGAUUACCGGAUGAAGGUGUACGAUACACCGUUUUGAAGCUAAAAGACAGGGUUACAACAUUCCAGAAGGUCCCUCAACCCAGUUUUGAGUGCAACCAGGUCAAAAAUGCAAGAUACUACAUCAAAACCGUAAAAACAGAUUCACAAAACGCAUUCUGGUGUAAACAUCAUAACUCAGCCUACACAAGUCCAAAUCCAGAAACUCCAAAGCCACUCAAAAGCUUAGAAAUAGGGAUACAUCAGAAGACCUAAACAACCAAUUCCAAAGCAAUUCCAGCCAAAACAACCAAUUAUAGGUGCAAUUCUUACAUUCGGAUAAAACCAGGACAGCAAGGGUAAUUAUGACUUUUCUCAUUCUACACUACUCCGAUUGACCUGAAACUUUGUAGGCAGCUCUAAAAUAUCAUUCCCUACAACUUUUAUGUUUUACGCUAAGGCCAAUUCGGCCUCUAACUAGGAGCUACAAAACCGGGCAGAAUGUUCUUCACAAAAACCCUAACUUGUCAAUUUUUCUUCCAAACAGAAAUUGGUUGCAAUUAAUCACUUUUUCCACCUCCUAGAGUCAUUACAUAUGAUUUCCAAUCAUUAUAGAUAGCCACACAAUUAUGUUCAUAGUAAAACAGAAAAAUCACCAAUAAAUAGAAAACUUCACUAAUUCAACCACAAAUCAAGAUGUAAUCCAUAAUAUUGCACCUUAUACUACCACUAAUCACAAAUUAAGCAUCAUUAGAGGAAGGAAAGUGGUUCUGUAACGACCCCAUUUUCCCCUAAGGAGAACCAGAGGGGUCAACGGGCCGCCUGCCCAGCUCUCGCCAGGACUCCGUCAAUCACAACAGUUCUCCAAAAAUUACAAUAUAAAUCUCAAAUAUAUACAUCAAUUCUCCAAGAACUACAUAUCACAAACGCCGCGGAAUGUACACGUACGUCCAUUCAAGUCCAAUCAUUUAUUACAAACCAUAUCCACAAGCUAUUACACAAGAGGCGAUCCAAAUUCAAACCGUACAAGGUGUAAUUCCAUCCAUUCCAAUUCCCCUAGCCCAACAAUUACACAAGCGAUUCCAAAUCUAAACUAGACAAAUUACAAGCCAUCCAGGUACACAGAUAACGUAAUACAGCUCUUCCUUUGUUCGAAACCGGUACUCGCAUAAAUACAUCAAACACAUAAUGCAGUUUAUCCAAGACUUGACAAGGACAUAUAUAUACAUGAGAAAGGUUCAAUUGUACACUUCAAAAGUACUUGAAUGCAUUUACAUCAAAAUUUCAAGUUUUCGAGGAGCAACUCAAAACUAGCUACAUAACUAGCUCAACUCAUUUCAAAACUUGAGUCCAGCAGUGUCCCUGUAAGGAAAAGUAAACAACGGGGGUGAGCUUGCGCUCGUGAGGUACCAAAUGCACAAGUACAUGAUAUGGCCAAAUAACAUAUAUGCAUAAGUGCCUUCAUUCAAACAUCCAUUUAUAAGAGGAUACAUUCGGCCCUCAAGGGCCGUUUCCGAGGUCCAUACCUGAUCGUACUCGUUGACACUCCGUCAACCAUUGAGGAUAACCAAAAACCGUAGACACCACUUCGCACCAAUUCCUUCCACCAUUCACCCCCUAUUCGGGCCCGCACACCUCAUACUUUCAAAAGGUAAUACUCGAGUAUACCACAAGGUCGAGGAGAUAACACUCCACUCGCCUAUCAAAGACCCGAAGGCUCGUUAACGAAUCGCCCAAGCCCUUGCCGGCUCGACUCAAAUAACGGUCCAAGGGAAUGAGCUCAGUUUUCACAGAAAUAAUAGGGCAUUGCCCUAACAAAUAUCAAAUCACAUAUUCAUGAAAUUUCACAGUCCAACAGUAACAAUAGUGCAAGCAAGUGGUCAAGAGCGGUAAAGUACACCCUCGACCUAUUCAAGUCAUAUAACAAGUACAUUGAACCAUUUAAUGAUACACUCACCAAGCACGGCUCACGAAGCUUAUUCGGCAAACCUCAUUAUCUUGAUCAAGUUGAAAUCCUAAAACCAAAUAUCAAGUCAAGCAAAGGAAAAUUCUAACAUUAACAAGCUUCUAUUGCCUUUUGGCAUUUUAAUCACAAGUAAAGCUAUACCUAUCCGAUCAAAACAAAUCUUAUGGCGUUACGAAGCUAAAACAUAUGUCAACAUUUCUUAUGAAGAUUUCCAAGGCCAAAUCACACAUUUUCAGGAUCAAAUAUCGAAAUCUCGAAGAGGGCAGAAAACUGUCCGCAAAAUAGGGUCUAUGAACAGUCAAGGGUAUUUCAGUCAAUUCACAGGCUACAGUGGUCCAAACAAUCUGAAAUUUUGCAGGUAGGUAGUUAACUCAUAUAUCUACAAAAUUCAUGUUUUGAGCAAAAGCUGGUUCGGUCUAAAACACAGAGAAAAUGAUAGUCCAAGUUCAGUCUAGAAACAGGGGAAAACUGAAAUUACUCUCCUUCAACCUAUCUUUGCGUAUAACCAUCCCUAACCCCAAUUAAGGCCUAGAAAUCCCCACUUAACAUGAGACUAGUCUAUACUAAUCAUGUACAUGGCAAUUCCACGAGGACAAAUCAUUUCGAUAACGUCUGGAAGUACCACCAAACUUUCAAUCAUAAGAAUUCAUAAACUUAACCAAGAUUAACUCAAGUUCAAAGUAAUCAAAUGUUCUCUAAAAUUUGACAGCAUUUCCCCUUAAGUUUACACAUUUCCAACCUACCAUACAAAUACCCCAAUCAUAUAGCCAUUAACCACAAUUACACAUACGGUUCGUAAACGAUAAAACAUAUCCAAUUAGGGCCACAAAACCCUUUAAUCAAAACUAGUUAAAAGCUUAAAGCCAACCAUUAGAAAAACCCCCAAUUGAAACCCUAGAACCGGAAAUUCAUAUUAUAAGCGUAAAUUUUCCGCAAUUGAUCACCAUUAACGUAUAAGAGCUUCCAUUAACACCAUUUAAACCACUAAUCCAAGUCCAAUCCAAGACUUUCAUAUAAAAUCAUAAAAAUAUCCAAUAAAUCAGAAAAUCACCAUAAUUUCCAUAAACCCAUGAAAUACUCCAUAAUACAACACAUUUAAACAUCACAAACCCUAAAUUAACCAAUUUUAGAACCAAAAGGAACUUGUUUAUGCCACUUACCUCAAAUUCAAGAAAACUAUCAACAUAGAGCCUCCCCUCCAAAACCCAUCCAUCAAAAGCUCUAAGCCACCAUAGCAAGCCCAUGUGUGAAUUAUUGUCCAAAAUCAUUGGUGAAAUCACAAGAUUUUGGUAGAAAUCAAAACUAGAAAAUUGAAGAGUUUUCUCUCUUAUGAAGCUCGGCUGAACCAGGGAAAGAAAAUGAGAUAUUUUAGGUGCAAAAGUGAGAUAAGAAGGAAGAAAAAGGCAGCCGGUCAAAGCUGACCGGCUGUGACACGUCACAAUCCGGCCAGAAUCUGGCCGGAUUCGAGGCCGAAGCAAACUCAAUUUUUUUCAAAAUGGCCAGGCAAUCUGGCCAGCUAUCCGGCCAGAAACUGGCCGGAUUUCCGGCCGGAUUUGGCCCCCUUCAUGUUUCCCAAAAUUUUUUCUUCUUUUCCAAGCUGAAAACCUGUUUUACUCCACUCGUCCAACAAAAGAUCCAUCAAAUAAAAACCCUAAUUUUCGGGGCGUCACAAUCUCCCCUCCUUAAAACAAAGUCGUCCUCGACAUUCUACCUCAUAUACAUCUGGUCAAGAUAUCGUUCAAAAACCAUUCAAGCGUUAGAAUUCCAUCUAAUCCAACUUGCAUUCACCAGGUCCAAUUAGUCUUCCCAAAGUCGGUCGAAUACUAGGAAUCACUCCAAUCUCACUUGUCGUAAAUCAUGAUCCAGUAAAGCACGACUUAUCAAAUAAUCACUUAUCAAUUUCAAGUACUAAAUACACGCCAAUCCAACUUAUCAAAUAGUCAUGAUCCGAUAAGGAGUUAUCGCGUAGCCAGAUAAAGCAGGCAAAAGGCUUGAGAUCGGACGUAAAGUCCCAGAUAUCUGGAAGAAAUUCAGGGUAUAGCGAAGCUGCAAAUCAAAAACUCAUCCCUGGUGGUGCUGGACAACACAACAAGCUAGCACAACGGCUAUGCUUCACCAAAGAAUUUCAAUUCAGUAAGUUGGCCCCGGUGGUGCCGGACAACACAACAGGUUAGCACCACGGCUAAACUUCGCCAGAGAGCCUCAAUUCAAAAUUCCAUCCCUGGUGGUGCUGGACCACACAACAGGCAUGCCUCGCCUGAAGAAUGGCGGUGCUGGACAACACAACAGGCAAUGCCUCACCAGAGAGGUUCAGUUCACCCGCUACAAAAGAGUAGUAGCCGGUCUACAACCAUAUGAGUACGAAUAAGUUCAAGAGUAGGGUCAAAGCAGCGCCAAUUACUUCAGGUUCAUAGUGCAUGAGUACGAGGAAGUUCAAAAGCAGGGUCAAUUAUUGCAGGUUCAGGGAGCACGGUCACAAAUAAGAGUACAAGUUCAGGUUCAAGUGCAAGUUCAAGUUCAAGGAUCAUGAGUACUGGUAAAACACACUGGCCUAACCUCUGUCCAACUAUUCACAUUCUUAAGCAGUCAUGAAAUUCAAGUCCACCUACAGGUCUAAUACCAUAUAUUCAGUGAAGUUAGGUCCAUCAAGGAUACGUAUAAACACACUCGCCUAACGAGGUCAAGUCUCAAGGAAGUUCAAUCCAGUCGAUCUCAAGCAGCUGAAGACCAAUCUUAGGUAGUUCGAGGUCAAUCCCAAGUAGUUCAAGUAUAGCAAAUUCCAACACUUACCACUCAAGUGGUGCAACUUUUAUCCAACAGGAAUACUAGAAGAGAGAUACAAAACUAAAAAUUUCUCAACAAUUCUAGCCACUACCGAAAUCUAUCAAAACCCGAGCCACACACUUAUUGAACAAGUCCAAGUCAUUAUCUCACUCUCCUUAUUCGGUUUAGUCGUGAGUACAAUACAAAAUCUUCUGUGCUCUAACCUAUGCCAUCACAACUUAUCUCAAACUCACUUAUAAUUUCCAUUCACAUCGUCAUACAUUAAACUAUGUUCCAACCAAGAUUCAUGAGCAUUUCCUCAAGAAAAUGUCAAGUACUCUAAUACAAGAAUUCCAACUAAGAACUUCACGACUCAGAUCGUAUGGUAUUCAGCGAAAAUCAAAGUCAUAUUUUACAUAUACUACUUCCAGAAUUAGUGCCAAUGUCACCAAGUGGCACCAAGUUCAAUCGGAUCACAUGCCUUUACGAAAUUAGAUCCAAUACUUCCAUAACACAAGCUGAAACCAAAGGUUAUCCAUUCGAAGUUCAAAAUCUUCAAUAAACCAGCUACUAGUAAGAGCACCAUCAUCUCCAAGAAUAACCAAUCUUAGGUUCUAUAGCAGAGUCUCAAGUUCCAAGUUCAAAUCCAAGAAGUAAGCACAGCUUGCUAACUUACAUGUUAAAUAGAAACCAAGUCAAAUAAGCUCAUCAGUUAUUCACAAAUUUUCGAAUUCGAAAUUCAAGUAAAAUUCACCUUUUUACCAAAAUCGGAAAAUUACACAUUUUUAAAGCAUAUAUAUCGUAUUUCCAAUCAUCGCUUGCAAAUAAAACUAGGAAGUAUACAGGCAGAAAAUGCAUUUUAUUCAUUUGAUACUCUUUUAUCUUGGUUCAAAAUCAUCAUACGUGGAGUUUGGCCAGCAAACCUCGGUCUCUUAUUCCCCAUAGCCAGUACUAAUGAUUAUCUCAAUUCUUUCCACACUUACAAGUAUAAUUGCAAUUCAAAUUCGUCCAAUCUUUCACUACAAAACUCUCAUCCCAUAUUUUCCUUCAAUAUAAAUCCCAAGCAAGAAACUCCCAAAUAAUCAAUUUCUUUAACCUCUAAGAUACAAUAGAUCCUUGUUCACACAAUAUUCAAAUCAAUCCCAUAGUCAGGCAUCCUAAAUUUCAAACUUAGGAUACACUACAGAGAUCUGAAGCCUAAGCUCUGAUACCAAUUGUAACGACCCCAUUUUCCCCUAAGGCGAACCAGAGGUGUCAACGGGCCGCCUGCCCAGCUCUCGCCAGGACUCCGUCAAUCACUACAGUUCUCCAAAAAUUACAAUAUAAAUCUCAAAUAUAUUUAUCAAUUCUCCAAGAACUACAUAUCACAAACGUUGCGGAAUGUACACGUACGUCCAUUCAAGUCCAAUCAUUCAUUACAAACCAUAUCCACAAGCUAUUACACAGGAGUCGAUCCAAAUUCAAACCGUACAAGGUGUAAUUCCAUCCAUUCCAAUUGCCCUAGCCCAACAAUUACACAAGCGAUUCCAAAUCUAAACUAGACAAAUUACAAGCCAUCCAGGUACACAGAUAACGUAAUACAGCUCUUCCUUUGUUCGAAACCGGUACUCGCAUAAACACAUCAAACACAUAAUGCAGUUUAUCCAAGACUUGACAAGGACAUAUAUAUACAUGAGAAAGGUUCAAUUGUACACUUCAAAAGUACUUGAAUUCAUUUACAUCAAAAUUUCAAGUUUUCGAGGAGCAACUCAAAACUAGCUACAUAACUAGCUCAACUCAUUUCAAAACUUGAGUCCAGCAGUGUCCCUGUAAGGAAAACAAAACAACGGGGGUGAGCUUGCGCUCGUGAGGUACCAAAUGCACAAGUACAUGAUAUGGCCAAAUAACAUAUAUGCAUAAGUGCCUUCAUUCAAACAUCCAUUUAUAAAAGGAUACAUUCGGCCCUCAAGGGCCGUUUCCGAGGUCCAUACUUGAUCGUACUCGUUGACACUCCGUCAACCAUUGAGGAUAACCAAAAACCGUAGACACCACUUCGCACCAAUUCCUUCCACCAUUCACCCCCUAUUUGGGCCCGCACACCUCAUAGUUUCAAAAGGUAAUACUCGAGUAUACCACAAGGUCGAGGAGAUAACACUCCACUCGCCUAUCAGAGACCCGAAGGCUCGUUAACGAAUCACCCAAGCCCUUGCCGGCUCGACUCAAAUAACGGUCCAAGGGAAUGAGCUCAGUUUUCACAGAAAUAAUAGGGCAUUGCCCUAACAAAUAUCAAAUCACAUAUUCAUGAAAUUUCACAGUCCAACAGUAACAAUAGUGCAAGCAAGUGGUCAAGAGCGGUAAAGUACACCCUCGACCUAUUCAAGUCAUAUAACAAGUACAUUGAACCAUUUAAUGAUACACUCACCAAGCACGGCUCACGAAGCUUAUUCGGCAAACCUCAUUAUCUUGAUCAAGUUGAAAUCCUAAAACCAAAUAUCAAGUCAAGCAAAGGAAAAUUCUAACAUUAACAAGCUUCUAUUGCCUUUUGGCAUUUUAAUCACAAGUAAAGCUAUACCUAUCCGAUCAAAACAAAUCUUAUGGCGUUACGAAGCUAAAACAUAUGUCAACAUUUCUUAUGAAGAUUUCCAAGGCCAAAUCACACAUUUUCAGGAUCAAAUAUCCAAAUCUCGAAGAGGGCAGAAAACUGUCCGCAAAAUAGGGUCUAUGAACAGUCAAGGGUAUUUCAGUCAAUUCACAAGCUACAGUACUCCAAUCACUCUGAAAUUUUGCAGGUAACUAGCUAACUCAUAUAUCUACAAGUUUCAUGUUUUGAGCAAGAGCCGAAUCAGUCUUUAACAUGGUCAAAUGUACAGUACGAAAACAGGGCAGAAAUAAUACAACAAAAGCUGAAAUUACACUUCCAAGCCAAUCUUUGCAAAUAACCAUCACUAACCACAAUUAAGGGCUAGAAAUCCUCACUUAACAUGAGACUAGCCUAUACUAGUCAUGUACAUGCCAAAACAAGGAUGAAUGAACUUAAACAAAGCUUAGAAAUGUCACCAUUAUGGACUCUUAACAACCCAACACCCAAUUUACAAGAAUUUCCAUAAAUUUAAUCAAGAUCACACAACUUCAAAUCAAUCAUAUACUCUCCAAAAAUGGGACAGCAUUACCCCUUAAUUUAACACAUUCCCAACCUACCAUUCAAUACCAAAUAUAUAUCAAUUCAACUCCAAUUGUACAUACAAUUUAUAGUCUAGUAAAUAUACUCAAUUAGGGCCACAAUGCCCCUCAAGCAAGCCAACUAGAUGCUUAUAAGCCAACUAUUAGAAUUUUCCCCAAAUCGAAACCCUAGAAACCGGAAUUCACACCACAAGCGUAAAUUUUCCGCAAUUGAUCACAAUUAACGCAUAAAAGCUUCAAUUAACACCAUUUCAAUCCAUCAAUCCAAUCCUAAUCAUAACUUUCAUAUAAAAUCAGGAAAAUACCCAAUAAAUCAACAAUUCACCAUCAAUUCCUUCAACCCAUGAAAUACUUCACAAUAUAACACAUUUAAUCACCACAAAUCAUUAAUUAACCAAUAUUAGACCAAAAGGAAACUUGUUUAUGCCACUUACCUCAAAUUCAAGAAACCAUCAACAUAGAGCCUCCCCUCCAAAAACAAUCCAUCAAAAGCUCUAAGCCACCAUAGCAAGCCCAUGUGUGAAUUAUUGUCCAAAAUCAUUGGUGAAAUCACAAGAUUUUGGUAGAAAUCAAAACUAGAAAAUUGAAGAGUUUUCUCUCUUAUGAAGCUCGGCUGAACCAGGGAAAGAAAAUGAGAUAUUUUAGGUGCAAAAGUGAGAUAAGAAGGAAGAAAAAGGCAGCCGGUCAAAGCUGACCGGCUGUGACACGUCACAAUCCGGCCAGAAUCUGGCCGGAUUUCCGGCCGGAUUCUUGGCCGGAUUCGAGGCAGAAGCAAACUCAAUUUUUUUCAAAAUGGCCAGGCAAUCCGGCCAGCUAUCCGGCCAGAAACUGGCCGGAUUUCCGGCCGGAUUUGGCCCCCUUCAUGUUUCCCAAAAUUUUUCUUCUUUUCCAAGCUGAAAACCUGUUUUACUCCACUCGUCCAACAAAAGAUCCAUCAAAUAAAAACCCUAAUUUUCGGGGCGUCACAAACUCCCCUCCUUAAAAGAAUGUCGUCCUCGACAUUCCAACUCCUAUACAUCCGGUCAAGAUAUCGCUCAGAAACCAAUCAAGCAUUAGAAUUCAAUCUAAUCCUACUUGUAUUCACCCGGUCUCAUCCGUUUUCCCCAAGAUCAGUCAAAUACUAAGAAUCAUGGUCCAAUUCAACUUAUCACUUAUCAUGGUCAAAUACUAAUAAUCACUUAUCAAGUUCAAGUACUAAAUAUCACGCCAAUCCAACUUAUCAAAUAGUCAUGAUCCAAUAGGGAGUUAUCGCGUAGCCAGAUAAAACAGGCAAAAGGCUUGAAAUAGGACGUAAGGUCCCAGAUAUCUGGAAGAAAUUCAGGGUUUAGCGAAGCUGCAAAUCAAAAAUUCAUCCCUGGUGGUGCUGCAAAUCAAAAACUCAUCCCUGGUGGUGCUGGACAACACAACAAGCUAGCACAACGGCUAUGCUUCACCAAAGAAUUUCAAUUCAGUAAGUUGGCCCCGGUGGUGCCGGACAACACAACAGGUUAGCACCACGGCUAAACUUCGCCAGAGAGCCUCAAUUCAAAAUUCCAUCCCUGGUGGUGCUGGACCACACAACAGGCAUGCCUCGCCUGAAGAAUGGCGGUGCUGGACAACACAACAGGCAAUGCCUCACCAGAGAGGUUCAGUUCACCCGCUACAAAAGAGUAGUAGCCGGUCUACAACCAUAUGAGUACGAAUAAGUUCAAGAGUAGGGUCAAAGCAGCGCCAAUUACUUCAGGUUCAUAGUGCAUGAGUACGAGGAAGUUCAAAAGCAGGGUCAAUUAUUGCAGGUUCAGGGAGCACGGUCACAAAUAAGAGUACAAGUUCAGGUUCAAGUGCAAGUUCAAGUUCAAGGAUCAUGAGUACUGGUAAAACACACUGGCCUAACCUCUGUCCAACUAUUCACAUUCUUAAGCAGUCAUGAAAUUCAAGUCCACCUACAGGUCUAAUACCAUAUAUUCAGUGAAGUUAGGUCCAUCAAGGAUACGUAUAAACACACUCGCCUAACGAGGUCAAGUCUCAAGGAAGUUCAGUCUAGUCGAUCUCAGGCAGCUGAAGACCAAUCUUAGGUAGUUCGAGGUCAAUCCCAAGUAGUUCAAGUAUAGCAAAUUCCAACACUUACCACUCAAGUGGUGCAACUUUAAUCCAACAGGAAUACUAGAAGAGAGAUACAAAACUAAAAAUUUCUCAACAAUUCUAGCCACUACCGAAAUCUAUCAAAACCCGAGCCACACACUUAUUGAACAAGUCCAAGUCAUUAUCUCACUCUCCUUAUUCGGUUUAGUCGUGAGUACAAUACAAAAUCUUCUGUGCUCUAACCUAUGCCAUCACAACUUAUCUCAAACUCACUUAUAAUUUCCAUUCACAUCGUCAUACAUUAAACUAUGUUCCAACCAAGAUUCAUGAGCAUUUCCUCAAGAAAAUGUCAAGUACUCUAAUACAAGAAUUCCAACUAAGAACUUCACGACUCAGAUCGUAUGGUAUUCAGCGAAAAUCAAAGUCAUAUUUUACAUAUACUACUUCCAGAAUUAGUGCCAAUGUCACCAAGUGGCACCAAGUUCAAUCGGAUCACAUGCCUUUACGAAAUUAGAUCCAAUACUUCCAUAACACAAGCUGAAACCAAAGGUUAUCCAUUCGAAGUUCAAAAUCUUCAAUAAACCAGCUACUAGUAAGAGCACCAUCAUCUCCAAGAAUAACCAAUCUUAGGUUCUAUAGCAGAGUCUCAAGUUCCAAGUUCAAAUCCAAGAAGUAAGCACAGCUUGCUAACUUACAUGUUAAAUAGAAACCAAGUCAAAUAAGCUCAUCAGUUAUUCACAAAUUUUCGAAUUCGAAAUUCAAGUAAAAUUCACCUUUUUACCAAAAUCGGAAAAUUACACAUUUUUAAAGCAUAUAUAUCGUAUUUCAAAUCAUCGCUUGCAAAUAAAACUAGGAAAUAUACAGGCAGAAAAUGCAUUUUAUUCAUUUGAUACUCUUUUAUCUUGGUUCAAAAUCAUCAUACGUGGAGUUUGGCCAGCAAACCUCGGUCUCUUAUUUCCCCAUAGCCAGUACUAAUGAUUAUCUCAAUUCUUUCCACACUUACAAGUAUAAUUGCAAUUCAAAUUCGUCCAAUCUUUCACUACAAAACUCUCAUCCCAUAUUUUCCUUCAAUAUAAAUCCCAAGCAAGAAACUCCCAAAUAAUCAAUUUCUUUAACCUCUAAGAUACAAUAGAUCCUUGUUCACACAAUAUUCAAAUCAAUCCCACAGUCAGGCAUCCUAAAUUUCAAACUUAGGAUACACUACAGAGAUCGGAAGCCUAAGCUCUGAUACCAAUUGUAACGACCCCAUUUUCCCCUAAGGCGAACCAGAGGGGUCAACGGGCCGCCUGCCCAGCUCUCGCCAGGACUCCGUCAAUCACAACAAUUCUCCAAAAAUUACAAUAUAAAUCUCAAAUAUAUACAUCAAUUCUCCAAGAACUACAUAUCACAAACGCCGCGGAAUGUACACGUACGUCCAUUCAAGUCCAAUCAUUCAUUACAAACCAUAUCCACAAGCUAUUACACAAGAGGCGAUCCAAAUUCAAACCGUACAAGGUGUAAUUCCAUCCAUUCCAAUUCCCCUAGCCCAACAAUUACACAAGCGAUUCCAAAUCUAAACUAGACAAAUUACAAGCCAUCCAGGUACACAGAUAACGUAAUACAGCUCUUCCUUUGUUCGAAACCGGUACUCGCAUAAAUACAUCAAACACAUAAUGCAGUUUAUCCAAGACUUGACAAGGACAUAUAUAUACAUGAGAAAGGUUCAAUUGUACACUUCAAAAGUACUUGAAUGCAUUUACAUCAAAAUUUCAAGUUUUCGAGGAGCAACUCAAAACUAGCUACAUAACUAGCUCAACUCAUUUCAAAACUUGAGUCCAGCAGUGUCCCUGUAAGGAAAACAAAACAACGGGGGUGAGCUUGCGCUCGUGAGGUACCAAAUGCACAAGUACAUGAUAUGGCCAAAUAACAUAUAUGCAUAAGUGCCUUCAUUCAAACAUCCAUUUAUAAGAGGAUACAUUCGGCCCUCAAGGGCCGUUUCCGAGGUCCAUACUUGAUCGUACUCGUUGACACUCCGUCAACCAUUGAGGAUAACCAAAAACCGUAGACACCACUUCGCACCAAUUCCUUCCACCAUUCACCCCCUAUUCGGGCCCGCACACCUCAUACUUUCAAAAGGUAAUACUCGAGUAUACCACAAGGUCGAGGAGAUAACACUCCACUCGCCUAUCAGAGACCCGAAGGCUCGUUAACGAAUCGCCCAAGCCCUUGCCGGCUCGACUCAAAUAACGGUCCAAGGGAAUGAGCUCAGUUUUCACAGAAAUAAUAGGGCAUUGCCCUAACAAAUAUCAAAUCACAUAUUCAUGAAAUUUCACAGUCCAACAGUAACAAUAGUGCAAGCAAGUGGUCAAGAGCGGUAAAGUACACCCUCGACCUAUUCAAGUCAUAUAACAAGUACAUUGAACCAUUUAAUGAUACACUCACCAAGCACGGCUCACGAAGCUUAUUCGGCAAACCUCAUUAUCUUGAUCAAGUUGAAAUCCUAAAACCAAAUAUCAAGUCAAGCAAAGGAAAAUUCUAACAUUAACAAGCUUCUAUUGCCUUUUGGCAUUUUAAUCACAAGUAAAGCUAUACCUAUCCGAUCAAAACAAAUCUUAUGGCGUUACGAAGCUAAAACAUAUGUCAACAUUUCUUAUGAAGAUUUCCAAGGCCAAAUCACACAUUUUCAGGAUCAAAUAUCGAAAUCUCGAAGAGGUCAGAAAACUGUCCGCAAAAUAGGGUCUAUGAACAGUCAAGGGUAUUUCAGUCAAUUCACAAGAUACAGUACUCCAAACAAUCUGAAAUUUUGCAGGUAGGUAGUUAACUCAUAUAUCUACAAAAUUCAUGUUUUGAGCAAAAGCUGGUUCAGUCUAAAACACAGAGAAAAUGACAGUCCAAGUUCAGUCCAGAAACAGGGAAAAACUGAAAUUACCCUUCUUGAACCUAUCUUUGCGUAUAACCAUCCCCAACCACAAUUAAGGCCUAGAAAUCCCCACUUAACAUGAGACUAGUCUAUACUAAUCAUGUACAUGGCAAUUCCACGAGGAAAAAUCAUUUCGAUAACGUCUGGAAGUACCACCAAACUUUCAAUCAUAAGAAUUCAUAAACUUAACCAAGAUUAACUCAAGUUCAAAGUAAUCAAAUGCUCUCUAAAAUUUGACAGCAUUUCCCCUUAAGUUUACACAUUUCCAACCUACCAUACAAAUACCCCAAUCAUAUAGCCAUUAACCACAAUUGCACAUACGGUUCGUAAACGAUCAAACAUAUCCAAUUAGGGCCACAAAACCCUUUAAUCAAAGCUUAAAGCCAACCAUUAGAAAAACCCCCAAUUGAAACCCUAGAACCGGAAAUUCAUAUUAUAAGCGUAAAUUUUCCGCAAUUGAUCACAAUUAACGCAUAAAAGCUUCAAUUAACACCAUUUCAAUCCAUCAAUCCAAUCCUAAUCAUAACUUUCAUAUAAAAACAGGAAAAUACCCAAUAAAUCAACAAUUCACCAUCAAUUCCUUCAACCCAUGAAAUACUUCACAAUAUAACACAUUUAACCACCACAAAUCAUUAAUUAACCAAUAUUAGACCAAGAGGAAACUUGUUUAUGCCACUUACCUCAAAUUCAAGAAAACCAUCAACAUAGAGCCUCCCCUCCAAAAACAAUCCAUCAAAAGCUCUAAGCCACCAUAGCAAGCCCAUGUGUGAAUUAUUGUCCAAAAUCAUUGGUGAAAUCACAAGAUUUUGGUAGAAAUCAAAACUAGAAAAUUGAAGAGUUUUCUCUCUUAUGAAGCUCGGCUGAACCAGGGAAAGAAAAUGAGAUAUUUUAGGUGCAAAAGUGAGAUAAGAAGGAAGAAAAAGGCAGCCGGUCAAAGCUGACCGGCUGUGACACGUCACAAUCCGGCCAGAAUCUGGCCGGAUUUCCGGCCGGAUUCUUGGCCGGAUUCGAGGCUGAAGCAAACUCAAUUUUUUUCAAAAUGGCCAGGCAAUCCGGCCAGCUAUCCGGCCAGAAACUGGCCGGAUUUCCGGCCGGAUUUGGCCCCCUUCAUGUUUCCCAAAAUUUUUUCUUCUUUUCCAAGCUGAAAACCUGUUUUACUCCACUCGUCCAACAAAAGAUCCAUCAAAUAAAAACCCUAAUUUUCGGGGCGUCACAGGUUCUUCACAACUCACCUUAGAAACAAGAGAGAGGGAGCAAUAGGUCCUCUUAGCUUUCGAAAUAACCCCACAAAUCAACUCACUAACACUAAUUGAAGAGGUUUUAUGGAGAAAUUUCAAGUUUCAAUGGUUGGUUGGAUGGAUUUGAGCUAAAUGGAAGCAAAACUUGAAGAGUUUCUUUCUUUCUUUUAGAGAGAGAGGGCCGGCCACAAGAGAAGAGAAAAUGGAGAAAUUUUGGUAGUUUUUUUUUAUUUAGUCAAUUGGUAAGACCAUGAAUAGUAGUCUUAAGGUAAACCCACUCAAAUGGUGACACUUGUCACCUUUUAUUAAAUGCUUACCUAACUUGUCUCUCUUAUACCAAUCCACUUAGCAUUCUCUAAUUAUCUCUUCACACCCGGUAAAUUACUUCCAGUAUCCAAAACUUAACCUAGUUGGCCGAAUUUUUCCAAACUUUUCGUACUAGUGGGUCCCACGUCCGGCAUACGCUCUUAAUUUCUCAAAAAUUAUUCGAUACUAGAAAAAUCAUCUAAAAACUAUAUCUGCUCAUUAAAAAUAUCUAGAAAUUUUCCUAAUCACGAAAAUGCAGAAAACAAGCCAUGAAAAAUAAUAAAACCUAGAAUUUGAAAAAUACGGGUUCUCACAAUGACUGCUUGGAGAAUGACUCGGCCGAGGAAGAGUGUUCACCCACUCAAGGUGAAAUUGGUUGCUUGGUGGUACGACGAGUGUUAAUCGCCCGAGUCAAAGAAGAUGAGCAAUUGCAACGAGAGAACUUGUUUUAUACUCGAUGUAAAGUAAGUGACAAAGUAUGCAGUCUCAUCAUUGAUAGUGGAAGUUGCACCAAUGUCGCCGGUUUGUUAAUGGUGGAAAGCUUGGGGCUUCCUACGACUAGACAUCCACACCCGUACCGACUACAAUGGCUAAGUGAAGAGGGAGAAGUGUGUGUCUACAAGCAGGUACAUCUUCUUUUCUCGAUUGGCAAUUAUAUUGAUGAAGUUGUGUGCGAUGUUGUCCCUAUGCAUGCUACUCAUGUCAUUUUAGGAAGACCUUGGCAAUUUGAUAAGCAUGUUACCUUUGAUGGUAGGUCUAAUAAGUACACUCUAUUGCACAAUGGUAAACACAUGGUCCUAACACCCCUCACGCCUGCACAAGUAUAUGAGGACCAACUUAAAUUGCAACGAGAAUGUGACUUGGACCAUCAAAAGAGGAAAUAAAAAAAGGCCGAACCUGGAAAUUGCUCCACUUCAAAAAGUGAGCAUUCGGCCAAGGGCAAGGUCGUUACUCCGAGUGUCACAAACGAUCAAGCUCUAACUAGUUCGAACACUAGGAAGCAAAACAUGAUAAUUAAGGCUAAGGAUGUUAGGAAAUGUGUGAAUUUUGAUCAGCCUGUAUUGCUCAUGAUAUACAAACAUGUGCUUUUGAAUGUUGAUGUGCUCGAUAAGGCUUUGGCUUCGAGUGUAGUUGCUUUGUUGCAGGAAUUCGAGGACGUGUUCCCUGAUGAGGUCCUUGAUGGAUUACCACCCAUCUGAGGGAUCGAGCACCAAAUAGACCUGAUUCCUGGAGCACCAUUACCCAACAAACCCGCCUACCAAAUGGGACCCGAGGAAACUAAGGAGCUCUAAAGGCAAGUUGAUGGCCUACUAGGUAAGGUUUGGAUUAAAGAAAGUUUGAGUCCUUGUGAUGUGCCUAUUAUACUUGUUCCAAAAAAGGAUGGUACUUGGCAUAUGUGCACUGAUUGUCGAGCUGUUCAUGUUAUAACUGUUAAAUACCGUCAUCCCAUUUCUAGAUUAGAUGAUAUGCUUGAUGAACUCGAUGGUGUGAGGACCCGCAAAAUUCUCCUUGUUUUAUUUUAUUUUAUUCUAUUCUAUUUUUCCGCGUGUAUUUUCCUUGCUUUCAAUCAAUUAAUCAUUUAAUUUUCAGAGAUUUUAUAAGUGAGUAUCGUUUUUAAAUCAUUUAUUUUAGUAUAAGUGCGUACAUGUUAAAUUUGAGGUGCAUUAUGGAUGUGAGAUCCUGGAUUCCAAAUUGUCUCAAAUAAAUUAAAUAUGGAUAUUUAUAGUAGCUAUUGUGUGAAAAAUGUAUUUUACCAUGUGUUUUAAUUUUCAAAGAGUAUUUUACAUACCAAAAGUGAAAAAUUUAAUUGAAUCAUUAAAAUCCUACUUUCAAAACUAAACCGUUAAGUUUAAAUUAAAUUCAACCAAUUAGUAUUUUCGUGAUUGUAUGUGCAUCCAUGCAUGUUUAGUACGGGGGUUUGAGUGAUUAGUACCUUGGGUUGGUGGGCUUAAGUUAGUUUUAAUUAAACUAAGUAAACCAAUGGGUUAAUUGUGAGGACCCGAAAAAUUUCUUAUUUUUAUCGAAUAUUAAUGGUUUAAUUAAGUAUUUAUCCACCUGUUUUUCCCAAAUAAUUUAUUACGACCAUUUUAAAAUCCAUUCGUAUGGAAUAAUGUCUUGAUUAUGCUUUUAAAACGUCCCGUUAACAACUUCAAUUUUCGGAGGAUUGUUUAAGUGAGAAAUAAUGAACACGAGUGUUUCAAGGUGAUAUUGUAUUCGAGAGUAUGAUUAUCCUGGGGAAAUUAAGAACGGACAAUAGCAGAUUAAGAAAAGUUAAUCGAGAAUUAAAGGUGAAUAAGUUCUAAGUGAGCAUAUACUACUCACGCGUGGAUAGUUUUCCAAAAGACGCAUGGAUACAAAUUUAUUGGAGAUUUGAGGAGUUAAUACUCGACUCAUGUGAGGACUCGUAAAACUCCUAUUAAAACCCUAUUUUGAGCUUAUUUAAUUAUUUACUUGUUCAUUUAUUCCGAAUAUUAUUUUCUAGAUAUAUUAGACCUAAAUACAUGGUAAUAUAACUUUGUUAUAUUUUUAAAGUGACUCGUUUCAAAAAUUAAUUUCCUGGAGCGCGUUUAGUAAAAAUAGUAAAUAGUGCUCGGAGAUCUUUCCGCGUAGGAGCACAAUAAGCUUGGAAUAUUGGAGACUUGUACUAUGGUCCUAAAAUAGGUAAUCUUAUGAAUAAACACUCAAGUGAUAGUUAGUAGUGCAAUCGUUAUAAGAAUUUCUCGGAAGUUUCGCGUUAUAGCGUUAAAUUUGACGGUACGCGUUUUCACACGCGCGACUUUAUUUGAGGGACUUUAGACCCUUAUUUCGGGACAAUUAAGUGUGAAUAAUAUUUACAUAAAUAUAAAUGCAUUGGAGGUUCAGUGCACUAGUGAACCAAACGCGCGAGAAAAUCGAGCCAAAAACGUGCCAAACGAGCCUUAAUGAGAGUUGACCUUGGAGUGAAUUUGCACCACUCAUUUUAAUGUUCCCUUGGAAGCUAGAAUUGAUCACAUUUCACUCUCUCUUCUCUCCCAUUGUGCCGACCAGCCUUCUCCCUCUCUCUGUGAGAACCCGUUUUGCCCUAAUGGCAUGCCGCACAUAUAUUCUCUAGCAGCCUGAAAAACAUCCCAGCAAUGUGUGAAGAAAAACCCCGUGAAUCCAUCCAUCCAGCCGAACUUUGACCAUCAAGUUGGAAGACAGUAUUCUUAACUUCCUUUAACUAGAGCUCCUGAAAAAGUUGGUCAUUUUCUGUUUAGGCUACUAAAACUAGAACAUUCUGUAAUAAACUCUGAAUUGCUCGCUCAUCAAUCGUGGACGGAUCAGACAAGAGGGCUCAGGAAUAAUGAAUAGCCUCAGCACUAAUAUCUCCUUCAUUGAACAAAAAUUCCUGCGAAUUUUUGAUUCGGCAUAUAAAGAGUUUAGCUCUCUUAUCCAGCAGCAUGGAAUGGAAAAACUUGGUGUUAGAGUCACCUUUUUUCAGCCAUUUAACCCGUGCCUUCUACUUCCAAAAAACUUCUUCAUCUGCUAGACACUUAAGCAAGACGGCCAUUGCUAGACUCCAUUGCUCCCUUGUCUCUUUCGUAUCCUCCUCCUCUAGCCGAAUAUCCUUUUGUUGAACUUGGUUUUCCGCCUCCAAGAUAUUGUCAAAAAUGUUUCCGAAUACCUUCCUGUUCCAUUCACCUAGAGCUCACUUCAACCUCUUCAGCUUUUGCAUGAAAAGAAACAUGCCAUAACCUUCAACGGGCUGCGCCCAACUUUGCUUUACUACAUUCAAAAAAUCCGAAUGUCAAACCCACAUGUGUUUGAAUUUGAAGGCUCCUUUCCAUUAUAGUAAUCAGCAGCAAUCUUCAUUAAUAAGGGGCUAUGGUCCGAUACCACCCAGUUAAGGUGGUAGAGCUCCAAAUUAGUAAACUGAUGCUGCCAAGCUGCGUUCAUUAGAAUACUAUCAAAGUGCUUCCAUACUCAUUGACCUUGGCAAAUACCAGUCCAAGUAAAUCAACUCCCACUGGCCGUCAUGCAUGGUUUUCAACCCACAUGAAGAAAUGCAAUCCGUAAACUCGUUCAUGGUUGCUAUGUUCUGGGGAGUCUGGCCUAAAUAUUCACCUUCCUCAGUAAUUACAUUAUAAUCACUCCCCCACAGCCCAUGGUUUGGAAGCUAGACCCCCAGAAAGUGAAACCGAUCCUGACCAAAGACACCUCCUUUCUACUUGAGUGCAUUUAGCAGAGACAAAGGAGCAAAACACUACGCUUCGCCACGAUAGAUGAGUGAAGCCAAAUGUAUGAACUAUUCAAAAUUAACUAAGACAUUAAUUGCAAAAUCUGCCUUCCAUAAUAUCCAAAUCUUAUUACUUACAUUAUAAACAGGAUUUGGAUUUAAAUACUUCAAGUUGAGAUGCAUCUACCAUCGGUUCUAAGAUCACUAGGAAAGAGAUAGAGUGUAAUCUUAUUAGUUUUUUCAGACACCUGAUAGAAGUUCUGCUAGCUACUCCCCUAAUAUUCCAAAUGAGCAUAUUAAUCAUCAAAACAGUGGGAGGGAGAGCUAGCGGGGAUUGCUUUCAAAGACUGAUUAGUGACAAUGGUCUUUGGCAAAUUUAAAAUCGUUUCCUCCUACCUCACUUUACUGCUGCUUCCAUACCCAGAAUGGGAAAGAGACAGUCAAUUAUUUCCUUGAGCAUAGUAAAUUUUGCCAUGAUAAUGUGCCUUGGUUUAUCUGGUAGUGGGUCUUCCGUAUUAGAGAGGGAGUCCUAUCGAUGAUUACGACACUAGGCCAUCAAGGACUGAUGGUCAAGGAACUUUUCUACAAGAUUAUUUCCAUUCGACAUGUUGAGGCCAUGCUCCUUGUUGUAGUCCUGAGUAAUAGGAAUAGCCCCAAAGCAGAUAGAGGCCCCAGUACCAUGUCUGCUACGUUUGCCGUCUCCUUCUGAGGUACCACAUCUUCCUUAAGUGAAACAUGCUCGUUAAGGCUUAAUUGUUGUGCGCUGUUGACACAGAAAAACUCCUGGUCCAUUGUUUUCUGUUGUAUCGUCAGCCCAAAGCUGCUCGGCAAAGCUUCUAGUUGUUUAAUAUCAAUCUUUGGAAUCCAAAUCUUUUGUUUUUCGGGCUUCACAACUGGAGGAAUCUACCUUUGCUCAUGAGGAGCACCGGGACGAUGGUGACAUUGGUCCUUAUUGUGGCCUAGCUUUUGACAGAAAGAACAAUAGCUCAGGAGAUUUUCAUAUUCUAUUUGCUGCCAAAAUCCAGAACUGCCUUGUCCAAUCCAAAUUUUUCCUAGUAACUAUCCCUGCAGAUUAACUUCGACACAGAAUCUUGAUACUCCAAACCUGGAUUAAGUUGCAGUGGAGGCAUCAAUCUUUAGGGGGUCUCCAAUAAGGCGAGCAAUCGAGAAGAGCGGCCCUUUACUGAACAAAUGCACUGGCAAACGUGGGAGUGAAAUCCAAGCUGGAACUAUCGGUGUUUUCGAAUCCACGGAGAAGGAAGGUGUUUUCGAAACCCUUAUUUAAUUUCUUUUUCUUUGAGAAAUUAACAUUCACAUAACUUCAUUUCAAAUCUAAUAUUUCAUAAUGAAAAUUUGUAAUUUCAUUCCAAAUCUAUUAUUACAUAAGGAAAUGAAAUUACAAAAGAUGAAAUUACUUGUACAUUUUUCAUUCUAUUUGGAAUUUUUCAUUCCAAAUAUAUUUGUAAUUUCAUUCCAAAUUUCAUUACUUGUACACCAAUAUAAUAAAUUGAUAUUGACAAUACUAAAGAUGAAGCUUUUAAAUAAACAAAAGGGAAUUGAGAGAGUGUCUAAACAUAGAAUUUGUAAUUAGAUGAUCUAUUGACAAAGAAAUUACCAAUUUUAAUUCAUACAUUCUACAAGUUAUUAUUGAUAUCAAACAAAAUAAGUUUCAUUACUUUUCCUAAAUUUUGAAAUCUUUAUGAGAAAUAAUAGCAAGGUGCAGGUAAGGUUGUAGGAAAUAACAUACAAGUAUGCAUCUUUAUGAAAUUUCAUCUGUAUACUGUCUUCUUGUUUAAAAUUAUUUUUCUAGAUAAUUUGAAUAACUUGAACCAUAAUCUUGUCUAACAACAUAAGAAUGUUAUCUUUGCAAGCAAAUCAUUAGAGAUUAAUAAAGAAGGAAAAAUGGUUGAAUUUACUUUUAACCUUUGUUUCUAAGAUGUUUGAUUUUAGUUUGGUCUUCCUAAUCUUGAGUAAAGCUAACCUCUGUCUUGAGUAAAAGAAAAAGAAAAAUCAAAUCUAACAGACGUUGUUAAUGCCCACCAUUGAUUUAGGGUAGGAGUAACUCUUUUUUUUUCAACAUCAAGAAGAUAAUAUCAAUAUAGAAAUCAUGCUUGAGAGGUGAAAUUGUCUCAUUUUAUACAAGAUAUUUUACAAAUAAUCCUACUGGUUAUCUAUCCUUGCUAUGUUAGGUUAUGCCAAGGUACUGGUAAUUGAUAUAGUUAAUUGUAUAACCAUUAUCAACACUAAAAUGGGUAACAAUGACAUGCCUUGGAUAGGGUGAUCUUCCCCUCUUUCUAAAACUUUUUCUUUACCCCAAAGAAAGAAAAACAAAAAAUAGAGAAUCUAUAAUACAAGGUUGAAAUAAGUUAGUCAUUAUCGCAAUGAAUCAAUGGAAAAUGAAGAGCAAGUAUGAUUUGGGUAUAUAUUAUUCUUAAUUUUUUUUCAAUAAUGCCGUAUCAUAAACUACAUAAGAUUAUGUUGUGUGUCCAAACUGAUGACUUUCUAACAUUAUUGAGGAUUUUUGUGUAAUAUUAAUAUUGAAGUUCUAUAUUGGAAAAUUAUUUCAUGGCACUAAGCUAUCUUAUAAUCAAUCAAGGAAUAUUAAAUAAUAUUAAUCAAAUAUAGAUUUACUUUAACAAUUAAAAUAACAAUUGUUUAAUAUUUAAUUGAUGAAUGACCAUAAAAGUUUAUCAUAAGUGCAUUCUAAUAUACCAUUUACUAAACCCGAAAAAUUUGAGGAAGAAAACAAAUUCUAUUCCAUUUGCCAAGAGCGGCAGCUGUAAAAGCUUUCGUUCAAUGUUGAAUAAUAUGAAUAUUGCUCCAUUUUAAACUUUUGAUGUUCUAAAUCUAAAUACUGAACUUGUAAGUUGAAGUUUGGAAUAAACAAAAUAGCCUAAGUAGGAAAAGUUUAAUCCAAAAGGGAUGAUAGAAGUUUAUGUAUAAUGUCCAAGUAAGAUAAAAGGUGAUGAAAAUAAAAAAAAAGGCAUGCUCUCUCUUUGUUGCCAAAUAGUGACAAUGUCUGAGUAAGAUAAACCAAUAUUUUGUUAAAAAAAAUGUCCUCCAAAAAUGAAGUAAAUAUUUAUACCAUAAGGUUUCUUGCUUCUUUUAAAAAAGUUGUAGGAAAAGAGUCAAUUUACUUACUUAAAAAAAAAUCUAUAAAGAUUUUCCAAAUUAUUUAGCACAUGUUAAGGGAAUCAAUUGAGAAAAAUAAAGGGUUGAACAUGUGAAUUGUAAAUGUCCCUAAAUACUUUGCUAAAUUGUCUUUAUGUAAACGUUCCACUAAUUUCUCUUGCCAUUUAACAUUUAUAUUAUCUAGCACUAAUUUUUGUAGUUGCACCUUUCCUUUUAUUAGUAAUAAAUUAUUUUACUAUUGAGCAAACAAAACGUUAGAUUUCCCAAAAGUCAUUUGUGUAAAAUUCAAUUCAAAAUCAAAUUCAGAAGUUCAUUCUAAUAGAAUUCUAUUCCUAAAAUACAAGGUCAAUGUUGGUAUUACAUAAAUAACCUCAAUAGAUAUUGAAUGGGCAUCCAUAAGAAAAAUGUCCCACUAAUUUCUCCAGUCAUUUAGCAUUUAUAUUAUCUAUCACUAAUUUUUGUAGUUGUACAUUUCCCUUUACUACUAAUAAAUUAUUUUACUAUUGUGUAAACAAAAUGCUAAAUUAUCCAAAAGUCAUGUGCCUGCAAUUUCAUUCCAAAUCAAAUUCACAAAUUCACUUUAAUACAGUUCUAUUCCUAAAACAUAAUGACAAAGUCGAUAUUACAUAAAUAACCUCAAAAGAUAUUGAACGGGCAUCCAUAAAAAAAGUACAACAAAGUAAAUAAAAUAUGUAAUAAGGAUAUUAUUGGAAAGAGAAAAAUAAAUCACUGAAUUACCAAAUCAUAUUAGUACUUUUAAUAUAGUAUCCAAUUUCACAAUGACUAUUAAUAGACCCAUUCAUAAGCACUUGUCCAUCAUUGAAUAAAUAUUUUUAUCAAAUUAUAAGUGUGAAAUAUAAAUGUUAUUUUUAUAAUCCAAAACAUGGCCACUUGCCAUUAAUGUAAACCAAAAGCAAUUAUUUAGUAAUAGUACAGUCAUGACAAAAGAAUAAUUCAAAAAAAGAUAUUUAAAAGAAAUAAAGGACUACUCAAAUUGUCUAGAGCUUAACACGGACGGUUGUUCGAAGGGUAACCCUGGCUUAAGUGGAGGAGGUGGGGGGUGCGUGCGGAUGGGGGAGGAUGGUGCUGGCAUUUUCAUGUAGUUUCGGUUUGGCUUCAAGCAUGCAGGCUGAGGCCCGCACCCUAUUGGUUGGGGUCAAAUUGUGUCUCCAGAGGGGCAUCGAUACCUUGGACGUUGAACUGGACUCGUUGGUUUUGGUCCGCAUCUUGAAUCGAUUAGUACGUUGCCCAUGGAGCAUUCACACUGAGGUGCAGCAAUUGAUGGGGGUGGCAUCUCAUUUUCCUCGGAUUCUUCACUGUUACUGUUAGGCGAACCAGGUCACGGAUACAUUGGCAAAUAUUGGUUGUUAGCAGGCCCGUGACGAUAUAUAUUUGGCAGCUUCAGAUUUGCCCCAUUUAGUGCGAGGAGUUUUAUUUCUAGAUAGGCUAGGAGUGCCAUCCCUCCGCCAAGUUGUUAUGAGGGAGGGGUAGUUUUUGAGCAUUGGUGCUUGUAACUUUGGUUUUUCCGAUAAGAUAAUCUAUUGAGAAAAAAAAAAAAAAAAAAAAAAAGGACCACUCAAAUCAAAGUAAGAAACUCUCAAUUCCUUAAUAAAUGACCAAUUUGGGCUCUCCCUAGAUUAGGCUAGAGUAGGAGUAGAGUAGAUAAAUAACGAAUGAAAAAAUAAAAAUAAAAAAAUAAAAGUAUGAAAUAAGCAUUUAAUAGAUUGAAGUUGGUAAGGAUGAUAAGUCUAGCUUAAAUAUGGGUAAAAUAUCUAGCUCUACUUUUUAAACAACAAAGAACCACAAAGAAAAAAAAGCUACAAGAAAGAAUGUAUUAUGAAGAAAUAUCUUUUAAUCUCCAAGAAAUAGUGAUAUACGAAGAAACUAUCUUUUAAUACCCUAACUUAUAAGUUGAUAUAACCUACAGCUUAACAUCUAAAUCUUUAAUGUAUGACUUCUAACAAAAAUAAAGUUCGGUUCUUUUGAUUGUUCAAUUUUAAGAUGCUUGUUAGGAUUAUCGAGCAAAUAUCUAAUUAAAGAUAUAAUUACAUUUGACAUUUUUUUUUGUAACUAGAAAGUUUUGAAACUAGGAUCUCCUACUUAUAAUCCCUCUCACCUUACCACCCAACCCAACCCUUCCCUAAAACAAAUUAAAGACUAAAAUUUAAAACAACAAUUAAACAAGUAGACUAACAUGAGAAUACUAAUUCUUCAACCAAACACCUAUUUUACAGGUUGUUAAAUGCCAAUAAAAUCUUGGUCUUACAAAAUUAUUUCUACUAAUACUCUUCAUCAUUUUUAAUAAGAUGAAAUCAAGGAGAGACAAAAUCCAAUCUAAAACAUACAUAACAUCUAUAACGUAGUCAUAACUUUCUUUUGGUCUUCUGAAGUGUUUCUAUAUGCAAUUCAUGCACAAUACCUGCACACAUGUUUUCUUUAGAAAAUAUAAUUAGUUAAGAAAAGACAAACCAAAUUAACUAAUUAUACACUAAUUGUUCAUUAUUUUUGCCUUUUUCUUGGUUAUAAAUUAAAUGGAAUUUAUGAUUCAACUAUCUCUUUUUGCAUCUCCCGAAAAUUUGUAUGUGCACAAUAAUCUUGCAAAUUAAUAACUGUUAAAUUAUAAACUUAACCCUAAGCAAGAUACUAGGCAACGUGCAAAACACGUUCUCUUAUGCAAAAAACAUGGACCUUGCUCCAUUCAAAAGCCCCCUUGAACAUGGAGUUCCAAACUACUUCAGGACAAAUGAUAGAUUUGAUUAUUACCCUUGAAGAAGAAAAGGAUCUAUGUAAAUAUUCCUUGUCACUGUGACAAGAUGAAUCUGCCAAACUCUUUCGCGUUCAAAUCCCAUAAACUAGUUGCACUUGUUACUUGCAGUUAACUUUCCGCAAAAAGCCACCGAUUAACCUACUGCCAAUUCUUUCUAUUUCUAGGUUUUUGGGGAACCAUCGUUGUACUAGUACAACAUGAAUAUUCUAUAUUCCAUUUGAAAAUGUGGGUUUUCCACAAAGGAAGACUUCUUUCAUCCAACAAUCAGAAUUAGAGCUUUUUAAUAGGAGUUUUCCACUUUGAAUUUAUGAUCUUGGCAUAGAUGAGAAAUGGUUAUGCAUUUUUGUUUUUUUAAUUACAUCCGUGCUCUUUUAUAUUUGUUUUUGAUGCAAUUGUUCAGUAGAAGACUGCUUAUUAUUCUUUCUACCUUCCUAGAAGCUAAUGGAAUAGAGUAAUUGACAUUCAAAAGUAUUUGUCAAUGUGAAUGACAAUCAUUUUGUUUUGAUUACCAAAUAGGUUGCAUGUGCAUUGCUUAUGUCUAGUGAGAAUUUGAAGAACCAUAUAGAUGUAAAGAACAUUCUGAUUGACAUGGUAAUUUACUUUCAAGUUCAAGUAAAUUCUUGUUUGAUUGAUGCAAUCCUGUGCUCUAAGAAUUUUAUGAGUGAUGCAGUUCUAGUGAAACACGUAUUGACAAACUUCUUUUGAAGUUAUCUUUUGGAAAGGAUGGGAAGUAAAGAGGUGAAGGUUUUGUACUCUUUUUGUCUUUUUUGCUCUCUCUUAAUGAUGGGGAAGGGGGCUUUUGAAUACAAAUAAACAUGGACCCUGACCCUGCUCCAUGUUAAACAUCAGACUAGCAAGAUCCAUGUUUUGUCUUUUGUGUAUUAGUAAUGGGAGUGCGUGCAGUGCACGUGUAUUGUGUUUCUCGUGUGUUAUAAUUUUUUUUUAUAAAUUUUUUUUCUAGCAAUUAAUAAGAAAAGAGAGAAAAUUAACAAUUUAAUGUAAUCUUAAGUAUAUUUAGAUGUUAAUAGUUCCAAGUUAUAUACCAUUAUCUCAUUAUGAUAGGUAAAACCCACCUGAUAAGUGUUUAUUUUGAGUGUUUUAAGUGUGUUUUAUUAAUUAGUUUUAGGGUACAUUUGAUUCUACAGAAUUGGAAUUGAAUUAGAAUUGAAAUUCUAUAGAAUUUGAAUUCUAUGAAUUGGAAAUCCAAAUCCUUGCAAUUCUUUCAUUUGGAAAAUGCAUAGAAUUGAUACGAAAUUUGUUUGGAAUUCCAAAUUCUUUGUUUGGAUGAGAGAAGAAUUCAUUAGGAAUUAGAAUUGUUUUCAUGAAACAUUUGCUUACAUAAAAUUUUUGUUUUUUUCUUUUUUUUUUUAUAUAAUACUUUCUUUUUUCUUACAUUUAGCUAAUUUUUACUAAAAAAUUUAAAGGAAAAAACCAAUUUGUACCUUUAAUAAUUUACUUUUCUUGCAUUUAGCUAAUUGUUACUCAAGCUUUAAUGAAAAAUGCAAAUUACUUCCUUUUUUGGCAAAAUAUCAGCCAAAACCCCGAAACUAGCUAAGACAUUCAGGCAAAAUUAUAACCAACAAUGACAAUAUAAAUAGAAAAUAUUGCAACAAUGAUAAUAUAAAUCGACACCUACAUAUCAAGAAUAGAAUACUUGUGCUAAAUUGCUUGCUUAAACAACCAUCAUAGAUAUAGAGGUUAUAUACACUGUAGUGGAAAAGUAGCCCUCAUUUCUGGCUACUUUAACAUUGAAAUGGUUUGUUAGCAAUCGAAACUUUUGGCCUCUGGUAGCAACACCAGUCCUAGUCAUUAGUAGUCUCUUGGCAUCUGAAAAAAGCAAACAUUGAUACAGCCAAAUAUUGAUAUAAUCCAUGACUACUAUAAUGAAAAAAGCAAAUUACUUCCUUUUUUGCAAAAUACCAGCCAAAACCUUGAUAAGCCCUAAGAGCAACAACCAGCUGAGACAUUCAGGCAAAACCACAACCAACCAUGACAACAUAAAUAGAAAAUAUUGCAACACAAAUUCACGAUUCUUUAGAAGAAUGCAUUCUCACUAAAAGUUUAAUAAAUGUAUUCUCGCUAAAAGAAAUAGAAAAAUGUAUUCUUGCUAAAAGUCUAAAACAAGCCAAAGAGAAAGGUAGCCCUUUUGAAUUGUAAUAGUCCUUUCUAGCUUCAAAGGUAAGACAAGAAUUCAACCAAUUGUGGAUUUCAAAAACACAAAACAAAGGAACCAAGCCAUCAACUUCAACAUUGAAACACCAAGGCACCACCACUUUCCUCCUCCUUGCAGACCUACGCAGGCCAUCAGUUCACAAUGUUUCCAUGCCAGGUAAGGGUGACAAUAAAACUGCAUAAGCUCAAUGCUAAAUUAAGACCAUUUUCUUUUGACAAAUAAUACUUGAAUAAGGACACAACGACCAUUUUGCUUUAGCUGUAGAGCAAAUGUACCAUUUUCACAAGAAAUGAAGCACCUGCCACUAGCUUUUCCUCUUGCUUCUUAAUAUCAUUCUCAUCUAAUAUUCAGUGCCUUCCAAGAAAUUUGACGGGGUCACUAAUUUGCUACAACAAGUAUACAAUAAUCUCACCUCCUUUAAAGAACAAGACACUGCACCUGGUGUGAAAAGUUAACAAAAUAAGGAAGUAGAAUUAAUAGGCUUAAUCAUGGGAAAUUGCAGUUAUAUCCAAGGCUUACUUACAGAUGUUACUCUACAAGCAGUUAGUUUAAGUUCUUGUUCAAGUAGACCAGGCUCUGCUUCAUUUAAUUGGAGAAAACCUCUCUCCACUACCCUGUAAUAAAUUCAAUCGUGGGAUUAUUUGUAAAAGUCAUUACCGUUUAUAACAUACCUCGUCACUAAUUUUAUCAUACACCAAGUGCUACACAGCUACUGUUACAGGACUUUUAUCAGAUUUUGCAUGGACAUCCGACUGCAAUAAUGCUUUCUGCACUUUCUGCAGAGUUCCAAGUGCUACACAGGUCACAGACAAAACUUAGUGGAGAAGCGUAAAAAUACAUAAAACUUUGACUGAUGAAGAUGCAUAUAACUGAAAAUUUGAUAAUGCAAAACUCGGCGGUUUCUGCUCAUGUAAGUUUCUGAUGUUGCCGUAUUGAAAUCAGAAGAGGAAAUCAAACACGUAGCCUACUUUCAUAUGUCAUACAAUAUAAUGAGUUACUUUUAAACAGUGAACAGAAUUAUUUUCCUGGUGCAAGUCAGUCUAAGAAAUUAGAAAGGAGAAGUAGAGUUCUCCAACAUACCAGAAAUUAAUUUGCAGAAAAUGCAAUACAUAAUAUAUUAAAUGAGCUAUCUGUGCUAUUUCAUCCCUAAAAAAUGAUAGGAUAAUUAAGAAGUACUACUAGUUAAUAUUGCGAAUCAAGCUAAAAGCAAGAGAUAGAAAAUUAAGAGAUGAAUAUAAUGUGGUAGCAGUAGUAUUAUUAGUUUACUUCUAAUCAAAGUUGAUUUUUCCAAAAGCCUCAGGAUCAAUAAAAAAUGUCCAAUAUUAGUGUAUAUACUUGGUGGCUGGGCUGUAGUCUCGGCUGCAGUUUUGGGUAUCUUGUGUUUAUAGUAUCUAUCUAUAUUUGGUAGUAUUGGUAAUUGCACAUAAUUAGGUAAAUUGGGGCUGAAGUCACGGGAGUCUGAGGUGCACAUUGUACUUGUAUAUAUAGAGCAGAUGGCAAUGAGAAAACUAUGAAAACUUUUCCCAAUUCUUCUGGUUUUUCAUGGUAUCAGAGCAUUCUGGCUCUGAAAACAAUACCGAACCCCUAGACUAUAAAUCCUAGGACGAUGACAGAUCAAAAAGUUUCAAGUUUGAAGACCAAUUCGCCGUUCUUAUUGAGCGCGAAUGACAACCCAGGCAAUUUAAUUACGCAGACGCAAUUCAAAGGACCAAACUAUGAAGAAUGGGCUAAGGCCAUGAGGAUUUCGUUGAGGGCAAAGAAGAAACAAGGUUUCAUUGAUGGCACCAUUAAGGAGCCGAACCAGAACUCUGAUGAAAUUGAUGAUUGGUGGACAGUGAACUCCAUGAUUGUGUCAUGGAUUUUUAACACUAUCGAACCAGGCUUGCGUUCCACGAUUUCAUACAAGGAAACGGCAAAGGAAUUAUGGGAUGAUAUCCAGCAGCGAUUCUCUGUUCGUAAUGGCGCGCGAGUUCAUCAAUUGAAAACGGAGGUUGCAAAUUGCAAACAAAACGGGGAUUCGAUCAUGGCUUAUUAUGGUCGACUCAAGAAACUGUGGGAUGAUUUGAAUGAUUACGAUCCUAUGCCUACUUGUUCUUGUAAUGGAUGCAAGUGUAAUUUCGCUACACGGCUUCAACAGCGUCAAGAGGAAGAGCGGGUGCAUCAAUUCCUCAUGGGGCUUGAUGAAUCAUCUUAUAGUAAUGUUCGUUCCAACAUCAUCGCUUCAGACCCUCUUCCAAACCUUCAUAGGGUUUAUUCUCAAGUUACAGAGCAAGAACAAGUGCAGGUAAUGACGCGAGCAGCUCCCAAUCGGUCUGAUCCGGUGAGCUUUACCAUGAAAACAGUCAGCCUAGGCCCUCGGAAUUCAGGGGGGACCGAAAAGACGAUGGAAUAGUUUGCUCUCACUGCCAAAACGGGACAUAGCAUGGACACAUGUUUUCGUCUUCAUGGCUAUCCCGACUGGUGGCCAUGAAAUUCGACUCAAGGAAAAGGUAAAGGACAUGGUAACCAGGGGCGUGGUCGUGGUGGAGUAGCACGGGCUCAUGUUGCACAAGGGGUAGUACAGGCGGCUGCUAAUGUUUCCAUGGGAGACCACUUGAUGAUUCUGAUAAAGCUGGAUUGGAGAACUUGAGCAAAGCUGAUUGGGAGACUUUGAAGUCUCUCUGGAACACUCACACGAAUAAUACAUCAGUUGCUCAGUCACGGCUUAAUGGUAAGACAUAUUUACAAUGGUUGUUUGACACAGGUGCUUCGCAUCAUAUGACGGGAGAGGAAACUGCAUUUGUAGAGCUUCAAGGAAUACCUCCUUGUCCCGUGAAAAUGCCAAAUGGUGAAUACGUUAUGGCAAUAGGAGAAGGAACAGUUCUUGUAGGAAAAUUAUUUCUCAAGGGUGUUUUAUAUGUUCCUGAAAUGCGAUGCAAUUUGAUAUUUGUUUCAAAAUUAGCCCGUGACAAAGUUUAUAUAUUGAAAUUCACUGAUCGUUUAUGUGUUGUCCAGGACCGCACUUCGAGGAUGCUGAUUGGAUUGGGUGAAGACUUGAGGGGCUGUAUGUCGCACGAGGGGAGCCUUUGGUCAAUGCUCAUGGAGCCGCUACAGUCAAGAAUAUGGAUUUGUGGCAUAAAAGGUUGGGACAUCCCUCUGUGCGAGUCAUAGAAAAGCUCCCUACAAUAGAUGGUAGUAUAGAGAUAAAUAAAGGUGUUCAUGAACCUUGUGACGUUUGUUUCCGGGCAAAACAAACUCGUAUUCCUUUUCCUAUUAGUGACCGUAAAGCUAGUGAUAUCUUUGAAUUAAUUCAUUGUGAUUUGUGGGGAGCUUAUCGAGAGGCUAGUUUUUGUGGUGCUACCUAUUUUUUGACUAUUGUUGAUGAUUGUUCUCGUGGUGUAUGGGUUUAUUUGUUAAAAGGGAAACAUGAGGUCCCAUAUGUUGUUAAGAAUUUUUUGGCUAUGACCGAGAGACAAUUUAAUAAACAAGUCAAAAUUAUACGCAGUGACAAUGGUACAGAGUUUACUUGUUUAGAUGAUUAUUUUAAGGAGUGUGGCAUUAUUCAUCAGACUUCCAUGGUUGGGACACCCCAACAAAAUGGAAGAGUUGAGAGGAAACAUCGACACAUUUUGAAUGUUGGUAGGGCGCUUCAUUUUCAGGCUAACUUACCUAUUCAAUUUUGGGGAGAAUGCAUUCUCACUGCAGGAUAUUUAAUCAAUCGUACUCCAUCGUUGGUUUUGGGUGGAAAAACUCCAUAUGAAAUUUUGUUUGGAAGUCCUCCAUCUAUUUCUCAUCUUAGAGUAUUUGGAUGCCUAUGCUAUGCUAAGAACAUUAAUCGGGAAAAGGAUAAGUUUGCAAGUCGAAGUCAUAAGUGCAUAUUCAUGGGUUAUCCAUAUGGUAAAAAGGGAUGGAGGGUGUAUGAUCUAGAUAGGAAGGUUUGCUUUGAAAGUCGAGAUGUUGAGUUUGUUGAGCACGUGUUUCCUUUUGUCCAUACGGACUCCGCAAGAUCGGCACCUCCAGAUCCUCUGCCUACUGUCAUUGAGCCUACUAUAUUGGAGGACGUGCCUGAGAUUGAGGCACCUCCCCCAGUCUCUGAAUAUGACGGACAGUCCGUGGAAGAGGGUGUGACAGCAGAUGGGACCGUACCAAUACCUGAAGUUGCAGAGAUUACAGGUACAGCAGAGGAUCUUGGUCGCGGCAAACGAGCGCGACAACCUUCAGUUCGUUUGCAUGAUUAUGUGUUGCAUACAGCUACCCUCCGUUCCUCAAGCUCUCCUUCCUCUUCCUUGGCAUCCUCAGGUACGCCCUACCCCAUCACAAAUUAUGUGAAUUGUGCUAAAUUUUCUCUGUCGCAUCGUCGAUUCGCGGCUGCAGUAACUACAGGGAUUGAACCAACCAGUUUUAAAGAGGCAAUGCAGCAUUCAUGUUGGCGUGAGGUAAUGAGAAAGGAGGUUGAGGCUCUAGAGAAUAAUGGGACCUGGACAGUUUCUACUUUGCCUACGGGAAAGAAGGCUCUUGGUAGUAAAUGGGUCUACAAUAUCAAGUAUCAUGCAGAUGGAACAAUCGAGUGAUACAAGGCACGGUUGGUUGUUUUUGGGAAUCAUCAGAUCGAGGGUCUUGAUUAUACUGAGACGUUCGCACCCACUGCGAAGAUAGUCACGGUUCGUACCUUCUUGGCAGUAGCAGCGAUCCGUGGGUGGGAUUGCAUCAGAUGGAUAUGCACAAUGCAUUUUUGCAUGGCGACCUUGAGGAGGAAGUUUAUAUGCUUUUUCCACCAGGUUUUACGGCACCCGGAGCGGAUAAAGUGUGUCGUCUGUGCAAGUCUCUCUACGGGCUGCGACAGGCACCGCGGUGUUGGUUUGCCAAGCUGGCUGCGGCUCUGGUUCAAUAUGGAUUUCAGCAAUCUGGCUCAGACUAUUCUUUGUUCACGUUUCGGCGUGACAAAGUUCAGUUGACCAUUUUGGUCUAUGUGGAUGAUCUGGUGAUAGGUGGGAAUGAUAGUGAUGCCAUUCAUGCGUUUAAAACUUAUUUGAAUGAUUGUUUCCACAUGAAAGACCUUGGUAAAUUGAAGUACUUCCUUGGUCUUGAAGUAGCGCGAAAUUCGACUGGAAUUUUUCUUUGUCAGAGAAAGUAUGCUCUCGAUAUUAUUUCUGAGACCGGUUUGUUAGGUGCUAAACCUGCCGGCACACCAAUGGAGCAAAAUCAUCACCUUGCUUUAGCUAAGGACGAGCCCUUUCCUGACUCUAUGCCUUAUCGGCGUCUUGUUGGUCGUCUUAUCUACCUGACGAUUACUCGCCCUGAAUUGUCUUACAGUGUACAUAUCUUGGCAUAAUUUCUGCAGGAGCCACGGCAUAGUCAUUGGGAGGCGGCUCUUCAAGUUGUUCGUUUCUUAAAACUUCAUCCUGGGCAAGGUCUUUUGCUACGCUCUGAUUCCUCUCUUCAUCUUACGGCUUAUUGUGAUUCGGAUUGGGCGAGUUGCCCCUUGACUCGACGUUCUUUGACGGCAUAUUUUGUCUUUCUUGGGGAUUCUCCAAUUUCCUGGCAAACGAAAAAACAGCAUACCGUCUCUCGAUCUUCGGCUGAGGCAGAGUAUCGAUCUUUGGCCUCUACGACUUGUGAAUUGAAAUGGCUCAAGGGUUUGUUAGCUUCUCUUGGCGUUCCUCACUCAUCUCCUAUGCGGAUUUAUUGUGAUAGCCAGUCCGCUCUUCAUCUUGCUCACAACCCUGUGUUUCAUGAACGCACCAAGCACAUCGAGGUUGAUUGUCACUUUGUUCGUGAUGAGAUUCGUCGUGGUAUCAUUCUUCCCCAAUUUGUAUCCUCGUCUCACCAACUCGCUGAUAUCCUAACCAAGGCUCUUGGCAAACGUUCGUUUGAUGACAUUCUUUGCAAGUUGGGCAUUUCCGAUCUUCAUGCUUCAACUUGAGGGGGGUAUUAGUGUAUAUACUUGGUGGCUGGGCUGUAGUCUCGGCUGCAGUUUUGGGUAUCUUGUGUUUAUAGUAUCUAUCUAUAUUUGGUAGUAUUGGUAAUUGCACAUAAUUAGGUAAAUUGGGGCUGAAAUCACGGGAGUCUGAGGUGCACAUUGUACUUGUAUAUAUAGAGCAGAUGGCAAUGAGAAAACUAUGAAAGCUUUUCCCAAUUCUUCUGGUUUUUCAUCCAAGUUCCUAAUAAGUACCCUCAAAUCCUCAGGCAUUAUCCCGAAUGGGUUCCAAGUCAAACUUUGACUAAUUAACUAAAACUCAAACAAACAAGAAAAAAACCAAAGACCAACUUGUUCUUUUGUUCUCAUAACAUCGUAAAUUAUAAGCUUAAAAUAAUAAUAAUAAUAAUAACCGCAUAGAAUCAAUCACUACCACAAAUUAUCAAAAAAAAUACCUUAAAAAAACAAUGUUAAUAGAAAAAAAAAUUAUUAAGUUACCUUUAUAAACUCUAAUUCUAUCUGAAAAAUCUGGAAUAGUAGAGAGUAAAUUGCACAGGCAUGCCGUAUUGGUUAAAGUAUCCGUCAAUCCUGGAGUAAACCGUACAAGUGCGGUAUUUAUUGUUUGCAACUGGGGUUUCUUGACUUGAUGAAGAUCUGGAACUACAAAGCAAAUGAAUGAAGUUUGGAGGGGCCGAAGACGACUUCUUCUAAUGUAGCUUCACUGGAAGGGAAGGAGGAGAUUGACAAAAAUUAAUUAAAACCCCACAAUUUCAACCUGAGUUAUGCAAUGGGCAGCGAGUGGAGCAUGGAGGGGUGGAGGUGGCAGCAAAAGUGAUGGGUGAAGGCAGCACAAGUGGAGGAGGCGGCGGCAGGAAUGCUCCAACAGAGCAUUAGAUAUGGCAAUUGAUAAUCGAAAGAGAAGAGCGAGGUUUGAGUUUUUUCCAUCAAUUUUAUAGUUGACCCAUUUUUUAGAUUUUACCCGUACAAGACCCGCGUGUUGACCCGAUUGAGGAGUUCGGUCAUGGAAUUGGAAUUGGAAUUCUUUGGUCCAGCCAAAGAAUUGAAACCAUGGAAUUCGAUGGAUUUGGAAUUGCAAUUCAAUUCUAAUUCUACUGAAAAGAUAGUACCCAAACACAAGAAUUGAAAUUGAGGCUCCAAUUCCAAUUCUACACUCCAAUUCCAUGGGAAACCAAACGUACCCUUAGUGUAUUUUAAUUAUUUUUAUAGCUAAUUGAUUAGGUUUCUAGUGAAAGCAUGCAUUUUAUGGUUUAAGUGUUAAAAGUUGCAUUUCUGUGGAUUAAAUGGUGAAAACAUCAUGUUUGUGUAGGAUUCAAGGAUUCAAUCAUCAAAUGGAAUGAAUUGAGAAGAUAAUUGGAUGAUUGUUGAUGAUUUGAAGUGAUAUAAAGAGAAUAUGAAGUGGAAAAUAGUUAAAAGAUGAAAUGCAAUCAAGUAUAAAAAGAGGAGAAUUUUGACAGUUUCGACACAUGUUGGUAUUUUGACUAUAUCUUGAGCUACAAGUAUCAGAUUGAGGUGAUUCUUGAGUUAUUUUGAAGCUAACACAUAGUCUACAUUUCUUGUGAAAAUAUCAAAAUCUAGUUCGUAAUUUUUCACGGUCAAAAUGUCAAAAUAUAAUCAGUCAUUUUUGUUAUUGAAAGCUGAAACAGAGUUUUGACUAGGCAAGGGUAUUUGGUCAUUUCUCAGGUUAUAGAGCUCCAAAUUAGAUGAUUCUUGAAUAAUUGGAAAUCUAACUCAAAGGAAUACAACUUUCAUGCUUUGCACAAGAGUUAGUUUAGCUUCUAUCAUCAAGAAAAGUGUAGUUGAAACUGAAAGUAAAGAGUAAAGAGAAGAUUUGAAACUAAAAGCGGGAACCCGCAAAAGAGGAAAACGUGGGUAAUACGUGAGUUCCAACUCACGUAUUCCAUAGCUCAUAUAUUCUCCCCUAUUUUUUGCAACUUGCACAUCAAAUUAUUCUACAUUCACACAAUUUUUCCCGCUAUUCACUAGCUCAGAAUUUUGGAUGUAGCUGUAAAGAAAAGUGUGGAAACUUGGAGAAAUACCUUUUGAUGAUUUUAAGAGACAAAUUUGCCAACUAGAAACAACUCACUUUGAGCUUGAAUUCUUUAUAAAUAGGGUCUUUGUUGAGAUUAUUUGAUAACUUUGGAAGGCUUGAGACACUACUGAAAAUGUAGUUUUCACUAAUUUUCUUAUUUAAUUAGUAUAGUAUAGUUAGUGUAGUUUAUGCUUCUUGUAUUUAUAGUUAGAUUUGGAUGAAGAAUUAAAGAGCAAGAUGGAGAGUUGGAUCUCAUGUGACAAGGGUGACUUCUCUCCUAUCACUUUCUCUUUUGUAUUUGAGUUCAUGUUUAGCUAUAAUACAAGUAUGGUCUUUUCUUUUAUUCUUUUUAUGUUUUGCUAAAGUUUAUGCUUAGAGUUAUGGAUGAAAUUUCUAGAUUUUGUUUGUGAUAUUUACUUGGUUAUUUGGUGAUAUUAUUUUGAGCAAGUUAUUUAACACUUUUGUUUAACUAAUCAUAAUUAACUGGCCAUUAAUUAUGAUAAUAUUAAGGUGUUAAGUUUACAAUGAGAAUUGGAAUUUGUGACUAGUUUAACAAAGUCUUAAACCUAAAGAGUACACUCACAAGAAUAGAUGUGCACGUUUGUGGGUUUAGUGACAUGUUUCAUGUAAUUUCAUAGAAAAAAUGAGCUCAUAGUUCAUUUGAUAACCACGAGAGUAGGUAUAGCUUAAUUACAAGUAUAGUUGAUUCACUAUGAGAGUAGGUUUUACGUACAUUAGGGAAUUACGUCAUAACUAGCCAAAAUAAUAACAUUCAAUUAAUCGAAAAUUUUCAUUUGCAAGAGUAGUGAGAAAUUUCAUAACCCUAGGAGCUUUUUAUUGUUACUUUUAUUACUUUUAUUUCAUGUUUAUAGUGCAGAUUCAAUUUCUUGCACUUGUGACAGUCUAAAUAAUAAAGGAGUUUAAAAACCAUCGAUAAUUGACAAUCUCGCCUAUGGGUUCGACCUCAAUGCUCUAUACUCAAUCUCGACUUGUAUACUUGCAAAAAAUCGCGUGUGGGGAUUUAAUAAAUGUAAAACUUAACUAUAUAUGGAAUGAACUUAAUUGUUAUAUGCAUACCCUGCACUUGUCACUACCUGCAUGGUUAUAUUCAAUGCCAUACAUAUAUAUGUGGGUAAUUGGAUUGCAUAACAAAUUAAAAAUGUGGUAUGCUUAUUCAUCCAACGGCUAAAUAAUAAGCCACAUAAGUUCAAUAGUCCUCAAUUUAAACUUGUCAGAAUUUUGCCUACGUACAUCUGGAGUAUACACACACACACCAGAGUAUCAAAUUAAAUAAAAGAAAAUACGUAGUAAGAGAAAGUAUAUAUGGUGUAAUAUGCUAGCACAAAAAUCAAGUAGCGGAAGUAAAUAUAUCAAUUUAAAAUAUUAGAUAAUGAAUAAUUGAUAAACCAAAAAAUAACUCACACUACAACAAAAAUGACCUUUAACGGCAUUUAAAGGUGUCAGAUAGAUAAUUUAAGCUGACACUUUACCUUUUCUCACACCUCGAACGAGUGUUGUCCCUUCCAAUGUGGGGAUAGGCUAGUAGCAUUCAAAUGUGUCAGGAAAACUAUGCUAUUAUAGCAUCCCAUCUGCCAACAAAAAUCUUUUUUCUUGACAAUCGAAAGUGUCAGGAUAUUGUCGAUGCUGUUAAGCUAUGUUGAUACUUUUAACUGCCAGGAGUGUUUUUUCUUUUUUUUUUUUUAAAUAAAGAAGAAACCUAGUUGUGCUCCCUACUGUACAUUCCGUCAAUCAAAUACUCUAAGGACUUGUAAAAUUAUCCCAAAGAACAGAAUGCAUGUAGUAAUUUAAAAACAAAAGUUAAUGCUCAAAUAUCCUUCAACAACAAAAGUAACCAAAUGAAAGGGUUCAAAAGAAUUGCAAACUAACAUGAAAAGCAUUGCCAUCUAAUAAACAAAAGAAACUAAAUGAGAGAAUCAACACUAAGUCUAUAAGAACUUGCAGUAAGAGUUGUCCAAGGGAAUUUCUGCUUUUUGCUGGGUCCAAGGGAAUGCUUUUGGGCCCGAAAUUUCAGUAACUAACGAGGAAGAACUCUUGAAUGUUUUAACUUCCUGAAUUCCUUGCUUUGGGUUCUCUGAUCCCAAGGGUGAUGAAGGUGUAACUAGCUGGAAAGUUGUUCCAGAUGCAAUUGAAUUAGGCAUGGUGACACCAGUUUUUUCUUUACCAACAUCCAUAGCAUUGCCAAUUUCCAAGUCACUUCUUUUACCAGAUAUAAGUUCUGGAGAUGUCCUUAUUUCAGGCAAAGCUCUAGCGCUCUCUGGUGCCAGUUUUUCAGCAAAAGAUGAACUUUUAUUUGUAGCAGAUGUUUCUUGAUUUUCUCUCCCUUCACCCAAAGGUUCAAAUGCACAUCUUAAGCUUAUGUCAUCCUCCAACUCCAAGGAAUCCUGCAAGAUACAAUCCCAUAAUCGGGCGCAGAAGAAUAAGAAAUAAAUGCAAAUCUAAUUUUUCAAAGCCAUUUACUUCUUUCCUCUCCUCUUUUGCAGGAGCAAGAACACAAAGUGAAUUGCUCUGGGACCAAUCCUCCAACUUAGAAGAUAUAGCUGCACUUUACUGGUUUUAUGUGGUAUUUUAAGGCAUCGGAAUAUUAAUAAAGUAUAUUUAAAAAAAAUUCUUAUUGGCCAAAAAAUCAGUGAUUUUCCCCCCAAUUUAUGCUUACCCUUCCAAUUUACCUUCUAUGUACUCUAUCUCAUCUCCCAACUAUGCAAUUCUUUUUUUUUCCCAGAAAAAGGAGAGAAUCAAAGAGGGGAAAGCACUAUACAUCUCCCUUCCCAGCUCCUAUUUGCCUUCCUAGCCAAAAAACACGAAGAAAAACUCACACUUUCGCAUCAAUUUUCAGCCAUUUGAUGAGUUUAUUGUUGAGUUUUCUUGCCUUUUUUUUGCAAAAUUGACCUCCUAGCAGAAAUGUUUGCUUUUGUUAUUAUUGAUUGUUUCAUAGGUUUGAAAAAAUCAAGAAGAAGCACAGCAAAGUAAACAUCCAGUGUUUAAGGUGUGUGAUCAUCUCUUACAAUAGUAGCAUGCUUUGUGUUUGAUGAUUUGCUUCUAAAGGUAGCUUUACCACUAGACUGGUUUAGUUUUCUGAAAAUUUACGUGUCCUAUUGUUAUGGAGUAUUAAAUGAUUUGAGAGAUGCUGUUUAGCUUACUGUUUGGUCCUGAACAAAAAUGAUUUUGCUUUUGCCUUUGUGUUUGUAUGCUGAAUGAUCCUUUAAUGUCUUGCAAUGGCUCGAACUAUCUUUAAAUUCCAUUGGAAACAAUACUUUGAUAGACCUAGAAACAUUAAUUUCAUCGAUUGUUUUUGACUUUUACUGCAUUGUCAUGUUAGCGACUAUCAUAGUUAGAACCAAAGACCAGUUAAAGAGUAUUUUCCCAGCUUCUACUUUCUUGGUUCUAAUUUUCCACAUGUUUUGGGGCUCAACAAAUAGAAUCUGCACUGAAUCAUGAUUUGUUUGAUAUAAUUUGGUUUCUGUUUAAAUUUUGGUUGUAGGAACUGGACAUGCACUGAUUAAUUUCUGGCAAAGAUAAGCACUUCUGAGUUCCAUACCUUGGUUCAUUGAAAGAGGAUUGUUCAAUGGACAGAUCCUAACUGGGGGAGGAGGGGACAAAGACUUUUAACAUAUCUCAGUCUUCAAUUAUUUCGCAGCUUCCUUGUUAUAUUAGUUUCUCUGGUUUUGCACAUGGACAUGGACUUUGCUUUAAGUACCCUACUGCUAUAAUGGUUUGCACAUGGACAUGGUUUCUGAACAUGACGACAAUUAAGAUCUUCCGUGUUCUAUUAAUUUUAAAAAUGAGAGUUACAGGGUAAUUUUCAAUAAUUUUUACACAACAAAUUGGGCACAGCCAGAAAAUUUCUAGUAACAAUUACGUUCAAAUAUGUGUUUUACGCAAUUAUAAUAUUGACAAAUGAUCUUGAAGAAUUUUUAAAAUAAGGGAACCAGACCAGUCAGCCCACUCAAUUAUCAAAUCCACUUAACAACCACUAAAAGCCCACUGACCCAAUGCUAAUGCCCGCUCCCCUUCUCAUUCCCUUCGCACUUUCGGCGGCAAUUGUAACUCACUGAGUCAACUCACGUUGAAUCGUUCGAGGGAGAGUGAGUUGACGUGGGCUCUGGAUUCUCCGACUUGCAGGCAAUGAUUCUGGUACUGGCCAGCCUAAUUCCUUCUGACCAAACCUCAGUGCACUAAACAAUGAGUGGAAUUCGUGGAAUACUUUUCCAAACUUGCAAGAAGAAGUUUCACUGUUUGUCCCGAGAUGCUGGUCCCAGUGAAGUUUUGAAGAAAAGAAUUGCUGAAAUGGAGAGGAAGAGAAAGAGGAGAGAUCCCAGAAAGAAUCAACUUUUCAUUGAAGUGCCAGAAUCAAAAUCUUUUCUUGAUACUGCCACCAUGCCGAUGAUCCUCACUGUUGCCGGGACUGCCCUUUUUGCAAAGCUUCUAAUGAUGGUACACACACACACACACACAUUUACUCUGAUUCAGUGGAUAUUAGGCAUUUUCUUCGAAAGUUACAGAUGAUAUUUGCUGCAGUGUUUUUUGGAUUUGUGGGCCUGUCUUGAUUUAUCACAUUAGCAGAAAAUAUGGGUCGUUUGGAUUUUAGCAUUUUCUGUUUUGUUUUUCAUUUGGAGGGCUCCGGCUUGCAAAUUGAAUCGGAAAUUGUUUAUGAAUCUGUGGAUGGUAGCUUGAUGAGUCGAAGUCUCAAGAGAUGAUUGAGCGAAAAAUAAAGAAUGCGCCUCCUGGUCAAGGGAGUGUGAGGAUGCUAACUCGGGAAGAGUGGGAAGAAGUUCGAGAAGUGAGACCAAGGACGCCGUUUGAAUCAAAGCUUGCCCGUCCAAAUGCUCGAAUAAGGACUGGGGAACCAUUGCAUUGGGUAAUUCUCUGAAUUUCGCUUACUUUUAGAUUGAAUUAAUUUCAAUUAACAUAAAUUGCUCUUCGUCAAAAACGUCUGUAGCCUUGGAUAUGCUAUUGCUUUUGGAAUUCAUCGAUUCUGCUUUGUCUGUGAAGCACUUCAAUUGUUUAAAUCCUUGCUAUCUGUGUUGCUUCUUUUCUGCUGGGGCAUUGUACAUUAAUAAUAUGGAUUCUUGAUCUUGCAUAUGUUAGUGAUAUUGGAAUCCAUUGAGGGCCACAUGUUUCUACAAGGUAUAUCUUGGUUAUUCUGAAAUCCAUUGCUGUAGUUAAGUAUUUGUCAGUUUCAUCAGCAUAUUAAUGGCCUUAUGAGCAACUAUCAAGGCAUCCUAAAAUUAACAGUACCAGGUGAGUUGCUAUUGGUGCUGUCAUAAGAGGCCUUCUCUGAUAUCAAUGUGGCUUUGAUAAAUAAGAUUCUUCAUCUCACUUUAGGCUUAAUGUGCCUAACAGUAUGGUUUCAUACCAUAGCUGUUAUGUGCAUAAGGAGUUCUUAUUAACUUGAAGAGUUGUAUCUCCUGUGUUCUUGCAUUUUUGUUUUGUGCUGUAUUCAUGCCUAGUGAAAAUUUGGUAUUUCUACAAUUUACUAUGUAGAGUGAAUGGCCGAAAUGGUUGCUAAACUAUUCAAAAGGCACAGUUUGGUCACCCAACUUUUUUUGUGACCAAAAAGGUCAUUCAACUGGAAAAAAUGCGAUUCAGGUCAUUUUGUCAAUUUCUACCGACAAACCAUCUAAUUGCAUGGACCCCUGAGCUGGACGAAUAUUCUCGCAUGGGCAAAAAAUGUGUCUUAAGUCUCAAGUCUCUAAUCUUUCCCUUAUCUCUAGUCUCUCCUUCUAUCCUUGUACCCAGAAAGACUACAAACACUUUGAAACUCCUCGUUCCACAUCACCAAGACGACACUGUUUUCACCAUCUUCCUGGAUUUUUACACUCACCUCUCUUUUACAGUUCUUCUUAACAGUGCUUCUCCUGAAAGUGUUGAGGGCGAUCUUGGGUUCCUUCCACCUGAUCUCCAUUGUGAAUCCUGAUGGAGCCGCCCCACCACCUUUAUCUGUGGAAGCUGCCUGCACCCACUCAUUAUUGUUUUUGCCGGUCCCCCUCACUGCUAGAGAACCCUCCAAUCUCUAUACUUUCAAUUUGACCUCGCAUUUUCUUGUCUGCAGGGGUGGCCAUGGUUGUCACCUCAUCAUCUUGACCUCUGUUCUGAAAUUCUUUCCUUAAAUGAUAAGACCAAAAGCAAAUAUAGACCUUUUUAUUUUUUAAGGAAUUUGCCUAAAGGGGUAUGAGAUAUGAGGAGACUACAUAGGAAGAUAAAAAUGGAGGCAAUUCAGGAAAAAUGGCUAUUGCAAUUCAAUGUAUUUACUGUGUUUUUGUGAGUGUGUUGAUGGUUGUGAAGGGGAGAGAAAGAGAGAGAAGAAUAUUCUGUUAGUAUUUGUUUGCUGUGUAGAGAGAGAAAAGAAGGGGGGGGGGUCUUAAGGACUUUAUAUAAAUGAGAGGGAGAGACUUGAGAUUAGGUGGCAACAAAAGGAGCCGAAUGGUGUGUCCAACUCAGGGUGAGACGAGGGAGAGACUAGAGAGAGAUAUUUUUGCCCAUGCAAGAAUAUUCGUCCAGCUCAGGGCUCAUGUAAUCGGAUGGUUUAUCGGUAGAAAUUGAUGAAAUGACUUGAAUGGCAUGUUUUGUCCAGUUGAAUGACAUUUUUGGCCACAAAAAAGUUGGGUGAAACCAUACCAUUUUGAAUAGUUUAGUGACCAUUUUGGCCAUUCACUCUACUAUGUUUGAUCUGCUACUCAUCUUCACUAGCCACAAUAGAUCAAAUGGCCACAAGUUUACAUGCCACUGCUAGCUCAUUUCAUUUAUUAACGAAUUAGUGAUGUUAAAUGAUCCUAUGUUUGUUACUUAGAAGUUCAACAAAACUUAACGAACUCAUCUUUCUGUUCCUAUGUGUGUUUGUCAAUGUAUGCAUACUUGAAGGAGAAAAAUUGGUAAUAUGUUUCAUCAAAAUCUAGAAUGCAAACUGGAAAUCGAAUUCAGCAGCUGCUCUCAUAAGUAGAAUGCAGAACAAUUGGUUUUAUGUACAAAAAGAUGGUCUGUUGUCAUUCUUACUUGUACAUAAUUGUAGGGUAUUUUCUUUGUAGUUUCCUCAAAAUUUUCUCUUUACUAUCAUCUAGCCUGAUAAAGUCCUGAACCCAUAGACUUUAAUAGUCUGAUUAGGAUGAUUGUGUUUUAGUUCCAUGCUUUCUUCCUGUCAGAAAGAGAUCUCUUGUUCAGUUAGUAUUUCAUUUGUGCCGCUUGAGCAUGCGUAUUUAUGUCCUUCACCAAAGCUAAUCAGGUGCAUAAAGACCAGGAUGAUCUGAGGAGGUCUGCAAGGGGGCUGUGACAGGAAAACUUUUGGAUUUUACUUCAUCUUUAUAAAUUGAAAUAGUUGGAUAUUUAAGGGUUGAUUUGAACUCAAAUUGCAGAAAAUUUGCAAAAGACAGAGAUCGGUGGGAUAACUAUAUAAUUCUUCUGACUGCCCUUUAGGCGUCAAACUGAAGAAUGUUCACAUCACUAGAGUAGCUUUCUAAAAGUUGAAUUCUGUUAUCUUGAGAAAAACCUAUGAUGCUUUACCUAUUCAAUGGCAUUAUUCUCUUGCAACCACUAUAUAUAUGAACUUUUGAAACAGUCAAAUAUGUUUAUUUCAUUGGGUGACCAGAUGUGAGAAAAAGUAGGGAAGAGCUUAAAUUAGCAGAAACAGCAAAAUAGUAGACUCUAGAACUACUGAGGACCUUCAUAGUACUGAACAUUUGAAUGCAUAAAAAGAAACUCUAUUUCAGCUGAUAUCUUCUCAUACAAGGGUCAUCAACUAAACUCAACUAGAUACGAAGUUGGCUGCACAUAUCUUGAGUGUGCUUACAGCUUUGGAAGAAAAGCUUUUGCAUAUCUUUUUUCUCUUUAUGUUUCAUUGUUCCUGUUCUUGUUAUGGUUAGCAUUUAUAGGUAAAUGUCAGUCUAAAGUUUUGAAAAGUUGGAAGUGUCAAGAUGUGCUAGGUUCUGACUAGCAUCCAUGAUGCUGAUCGAAGGGCAUCAUAUAACUAUAUACAGCUCAUGCAUAUACUCUGACAUUUCUGAUGAAGUUUUAGAAGACAUCAUACUUGAUUGAACAAUCUGACGUGCUGCCUAGAAAGACGUUAACAUUUUUUUUUUUACUUAUCCUUCUUUAAGACAAUCAUUUUAUUGAAUGAAGUGGCUUUUUUUUUGGUUCCUCUGUAAUUUCCUUCUUUGUUCUGUUGAUGGGGUCUAUAUGCGACCCUAAAAGAGGGUCGAAAGUGGACAAGGCGAAUGAAUAGAAAAUGAGUCAGAAUUCUUAAGUAACUCCGUAAAGAGACAACAAUUUUAUUAGUAGUGUAUUAACUAUAUAUCUAAAUGGACUAUAACUGAUUAGAAAGUUCUGGAUUUACAAUUUUUCCGGAUGAAAACACAAUCACAUGAACUAUUUUAGAGAUAAUGAUUGUAUUUAAGAAACAUGAUAUUCUUUAUAGUUCCAUAUUUAGAGGCUUAGUUGAUCAAUAAGAACAAAUAGUUAACUUGUGAUCCUCAGCUCUUAGAAGCUAUCUUUUUUUUUUUUUUUUGGUACUAAAGUUGUCUUUUGGUUUUUACCCGUAUCAGAUGGCACCUAAUUGAAGAACUCAAUGUUUUUAUGGGCUUCUACUCAAUUCUCAUGGAACUGAUCUUAUAGCUUGUGAUAAGCACUACAAGGCAUUUGCUUUCACAAUUGCUAUUAAAAAGUGAUAUUAGGAGAGAGAAAAUAAUAUGAUUUCACCAUUGCUUCUCAUCUACUAAAUUAUUUAAUUAAUCUAAUACUAGCUUAAACAUUAAAGAAAACACUAGAAUUUGUUAUUUAUUAUCAAGGUUUAAAUGGCAUAUGGCUUCAAAAAUAACAUAUCAUUCUAUAUAUUUCACUUAAUGUAAGAUUUAAAUUACUUUUUUCAGUUACGAACCUAUUGUUAAACAUGAUCAAUAACAAAUAAUCAAAAAAAUUUGUAACCAAAAUAUUACAAGGAGCGAACUUUAAUACCAUAAAAAUCUCAAUAACUAACCUCAAUAUGUUGACAAGAAUAUUUAUAAUGUUAAAGCUUGUUUUCUGUAUUAUUUUAGUUGCAAAUUUUUGAUUAUUUGCUGUUGAUCAUGUUUGACAAUGGUAUGUAAUUGAAAAAAGUAAUUUGGAUCUUAUAUUAAGUGAAAAUGAUAAAAUGAUAUAUUAUUUUUUAUGCUAUAUAUGAUUUAAUUCCUAAUGAUAAAUAGAAAAUUUUGGUGUUUUCUUUAAUGUGUGAGUUGGUAUUCAAUUAAUUAAAUAAUAUUUUAGAUGAGGGGCAAUGAUGGAAUCAUGUUAUCUUCUCUCUUCUAAUAUCACUUUUUAAUUAUAGGUUGGACUUAACUAUUACAAGAUAAUUUAUCUCAAGGGAGGUUAGUAUAAUUUUUGAAACCCAGAGGGAAGCCACUGAAAUAGUCAGAAACCUUAGGGGAGGUUUAUGAAAUUAUUCCUUGUUUUAAUUUGUUGUUGUUUUCUAUCACUUGUUUUAGCACUAAUUUUUUGGCGCUCCAAGGGGAAGGGUGUUGCCAUAGAAGAAAGCCAUGAACAAGAGCAAUCUAAAAAGAUGGAUUCUUUUGUUGGUCUUAUGUGCCUUUGCCCACCCCUACCCUCUUCCUCUUGCUUCGUGGAUUUGUAUGCCCUCUUGUUAUAUUUCUGUGGACAGAAAAAGAAAGAAUAGAAUUACAAUUGACACAAUGGAUUAAGCAUAUACUUCAUGAUUCAAAUCAUUUAUCUCACACUUUGUAAUUGUAUUCUUUUCUUUUUUUUUUCCCGUUUCCUUUCCGUUGGGUAUUCUUUCUAUUUUUCAACAUUUUGUUUUUGGUUCUGCUUCCUGGUUUUCUCAUUUGAGUUGUAGUAGGAGAAGUCAACACUAGGAUCUAUUUUUCUAAUUGACACAAUGUCUUGUUGUAUUUUACGACUUUUCCUGAGGUACCUUGUUUCUAGUAUUUUGGCAGAUUUGACAGACUGAUGCUCAUGUUAGUUUCUCUUUAUGCUAUCUGUAGGAAGACGUUAAGGACUGGACAAUUGAUGUGCUCACAGACGGUUUCACUCGCGCUGAAGAAUGUGUUAGACGGCGAUCUAAUUAGCUUCAGAGAAGAAAGUAAACAGAGCAAAGAAUGAAAAACCUUCUAAUUUGCUACAAUUGAUAGUGGCUGUUCCUUGUCAAACGAGUUUGCAAGCUUUUGAGGUUUUUGUUUGUCACGGGUGGAGGUCUUCUGAGCUCUCUUUCCCAAGAAGGAGCUUGCACAAGAAAAAUCACAAGCGUCUCAUCGGUUAUAUCAACAACUUGAAGCUCAUUCUGGUUAUCUCACGACAUAGAUUCCAUAUCUGUGAUUAUCAGUUUAACGAUGGUAGCUCAACUUCGAAGAGCUUUAUUUGCCAGUGGACUUUAAGCUACUAGCAUCAAACUGACUAGGAAAAUUGACAAAUGGUCUAAUGCCUACUUUGUUCGUUGUGCUCCAAAACUUGCCAGUAACAGUGCCAUUCUAGUCUAAAUAGGUUGUUGCCAUGCGGAUAUGGUAACCGUUGUCAAUCAGCUGUCUGUACUGGCUAAUUUAUGUAUGCUGAAAGACAAAAGUUAUAGUAUGCAAGCAAAAGUAAAAAUAUUCAAUCUUGCACAUUUUACACUGGGUUUAAUAUAAAAAAGUGUGCAUCUCAAUUUCUCUUCAGCAGCAAAAUUCUGGAAGUUUUGAUAUGGUUAAAGGUGAAAGGGGCAAUUGUUUUGGCAGCAUAGCAAACUUCAGUUAAAUUAGACACUUUCGGCCAAAGACGUUGUUUAAUUUGUUUCUGAUGCAACUGGAUUGACUAAUAGAGGAAAUAAUUGUUUUAGUUAUCCUGCCUAGCCAAUAAUUCAACUUCAGGGGUCAUUGUAUCUCGGCUGGUAAGUAAGCGGUAAAUGUCAAUGAACAUCUACGGAGGGAAAAUGGGCUACUCUGACAUGGAGGAUAUGGUUCUCAUCCAAGGCCAGCGUGGGGCUUCUGUGCAUUUGUAUGGGUAACUGUCUGUUAUAUGAAUUAAUGCCCUUGCCAUUCAUAUUUACUGAAUGCCAUUAAUAAUAGCAAAGCAGAAAGCCAAAAUUUCAUCAUUUUUUGAAAUUAAAGGAAUAAAAUUAUUAGCCCCUCAAAACUGUGGGGACAAAUAUUCGAGGUAAUUGUCCUUAUUUUUUUUUUAAACUUAAGCAACAAUUUAGGACAUUCAGUCGCGGGCUUCUCCUUGUUUCACAGGCCACAAUGCAAUGCAACUGUCUUUCAAGAAGGGGGUGUGCUUGAUGCUACUAAUAUGCUUGGCCCUUUAAUUUUUUUGUAAACAAAUUCAGAGUGCUGCUAGUGAACUAAUUAUGCAUUUUAUUUGUUAAUAUUUCCCCUUUUAUUUUGUUAGAAUAUGGUGUUAAUUGCUAGAUUCUACUCAUAUAUAUUUUUUGAUGUUGUUAUUAGGAAGUUGUGGUGAAAAGAGAAUAAAAAGUGAGUUAAAAGUGGAAUUUUCAAAAGACUUUACAAAAUGCAGUCACGUCUUAACUUGUUAUGAAGUUCCAACAUUUUGCCAUUUGAAGUGGAUCCCAUUGCACGAAGAAAUCAUUGUUACACCAUCUCAUGUCGUUGCAACUUGAUUGGUCAUGAGUUACCAUUAUUUUAUUAGGAACUGAGGAGUCAUGACUCAUGACUUUAGUUUAUUGGGAGGUAGUUUUAGUAAGUGGACUUCGAUUAGAAAAUUUUUUCCUUUUUCAAGAAGUAAUAAGGAAUAGGAAGGGGAAGUCUGACGUAUUUUUUUCUUGUCUAGCAAUUGAACAAGCUCUCUCCUUAUUCCUUUUAUUCUUUUUCUCUUCAAAAAUAAACCCUAGUUUUUCUUUGGCUAUGAUUCCAUCGUGAGGAGUGGCUGAACUCACUUUCUAGUUAGAGGAUAAUCAAAGUUUUGGUUCAUCGAAUACUGUGAAAUCUAAUUUGAUUUAUUUAUUUCAUUUAUUUAUAAGUCUUUAUAUGGAAAAAUAAUUCAAAACGUCCAUCACAUUUUAUAAAAUGAUUUUUUCAUCUCUCAUUUUUAAAAGUAUAAUUUUAUAUCUCUAACAAAAUCACAUUGGUCAAAUUUGAUGCUUAUCUAUAUUUUUUACUAGUUUUUCCUCACAAUCCACCACGUACCUUGCACUUGAUCAUUUUUUAUGGGUAAAAUUGUCAAAUCACAUUUCACAUAAUCUGAUUUAUAGUCCAUCAUAUUUCACAAGAUGAAUUUUUUUGUCACAAACAUUUUACAAAAUGAAAAUUUUCAUCCCUCAUUGAUUAUGUGUAAAAAUAGUUUUUCUUAUUUUUGAAAAUCUAUGCAUAUGUCUAUUUGAUUUAACUCGAACAGCAUAAAUAACAUACAAUAUAUCUUUAUUUGAUUUCACCCGAACUAACUAAUUGUAAUUGUAGGUGAAUUCAAAGACAAAUAUAUUACAUGCUACUUGUAUUAUUCAGGUGAAAUUAAAUAUAUAUAUAUAUAUGGAUUUAAAAAAAAAAGUUAUUCGUGCACAUGAUUAAUGAAGGAUGAAAAAAUUUAUUUUAUGAAAUGUGAGAAACAAAAAAAAUUCAUUUUAUAAAAUAUGAUAGGCGAAAAAAUUUAUUUUGUGAAAUAUGAGAAAUUAUAGAUUCGGAUUAUGUAAAAUUUGAUUUAACAAUUUUGCCUCUCAAAUAUAAUCACGUGCAAGGCACAUGCAGGAUUCCCAUAAAAAACUAGUCAAAACCUAGAUAGGGGCCAAAUUGGACCAAUAUAAAUUUGUAAGGGACAUAAAAUUAUACUUUUAAAAGUGAGACGAAAAAAGUCAUUUACAAAAUGUGAGGGACAUUUUGAAUGAUUUUUCAUACAUAUAUAUAUAUAUAUUUCCUGUUCAUUCAUGAUUAUGAUUAUUUUAUACGAUUAUAUAACUUGCCACUAUUUAAUUGUUAGAAUAAUCUAUUGUCAUCCAAAAUAUUAAAUCUAUAAUUGUUUGGUAGCUUUAGCUUUUGUGACGAGUGAUAUAAUUUGGUUGUAAUAGAAACUUUUGAAUAUAUGUUACUAAAAUAUAUAAUCUAAUCUAAAUAAACCAAGUUUAUGCAUUUGUCAGUUAGAAUUUGUAGUUUCUCUAAUUAUUAUUGCUAUCAAUAGAUUAAAUCCUAAGAUCUUAUUUAGGGUUGUCUAACCGGCAAGAUAAAUAAUCACAGAGUUUGUUAUGAUUAUCGAAGUAGUAAGGAGAGGUAAGUUGUCAAAAGUUGUUGACAACCAUAACCAAUUUAAUUAUAAAUAAAUGAUUUUAUCUUUGCAUCAAUGAUUAGUUAAAUAAACCAAAGUUGAGAUUAGACCUUUGAAUAGAGAGUUGUCUAUUGUUGAUUUACAUUUAUUUAAUUUUUGAAUUAUUGUUUUAUUUAACUAAAUUACCUAGGUUAAUUUCUAACAAUCCCCAAUUUUAUGUAUUGUCAUUUUAUAAGAAAAUAAAUUACCCAGUCCCUAUGGAUAUAACCAUACUCAUCGCUAUAUUUGAAUUAUAUUUUUAGAGUAGGAAUUUAUUUUUGCUGGUUUGACACCAAACAAAUUUUGGUGCCGUUGCUGGAGACUGGUGCCUUAUUGAUUUAAUUUUAAUUUUAAUUUUCCUCUCAUUAUGUUAUUAGUUUAUGGCUGACAAUAAUCAAUAAUUUAAUGAUAGACAUGAUUUCAUUCACAGGAGGGUUAAUAAGAUAUGUGUAUCUUUUAUUGAUCAACGUUUACAUUUUCUAACAUCUCUUGUAGAAAAGUUGGUUGUAGGGCAAGUGUAGCAAAUUAAAACAUGUGGAAUUUAUUAUGCCUUGAGUCACCCAACUGACAUGUGCUCCACACUCCAAGAUGAUUUGAAUGCUCAUGUGAAUGUUGUUGGAGGUUUUUCAAGCCCUUCCAAAAGGGGUAUAAUCCUUAUUCGAACACAUAUACUAAAGGAUGGAGAGAUAACCUCAACUCUUGUUAUGCAGCAAGGCCACCAAUUCCACAGCAACAAUUAACUUUUAUGCCAAGUGUGCCUCUUGAAGAAAUUGUUAAAUCAUUAGCAACUAACACACAAUAAUUUCAAUAAGAGACAAGAAUGAGUUGAAAUCUAGAGACUCAAAUAAGUUAGCUGGCGUCUGCGGUGAGUCUAUUGAAGUCUCAAGUUUUGGAAAAAUUAUCCUCACAGACCAUUGUCAAUCCCGAGCAAAAUGUGAGUGCAAUUACCUUGAGAAGUGGAAAAGAGUUGCAAGAGCAAAGAAAGGAAGUAUCCAAGUAUGAGAUUGAAGAGAAAGAAAUUGAGAAAGAAGCAAUGUAGCCCCAAACUCAAAUCCCUCCAAUGAAAGAGUCUAGUGAAGAAUCCCCAACUAUGGUGAUUCCUUCGCCAUUCCCAAACCGAUUUGCAUGAUCCAAGAAAGAGGAGGAGGAGCGAGAAAUUCUGGAAAUGUUUCACAAUGUUGAGAAGCUGAAUGGCAAUGAUAAAGUCUAUAAGGGGAAAAUGCGUCAACUAUACUACAACAGAAAUUACCUCCUAAGUGUGGGGAUCUAGAAGGUUUUGAGCUUGAUGGACCAGAUAAGUUAGGAGCUGUAGUGACCAAGCAUCUUGAAUUGAGAAACAAAGUAACUCAUUUGCUUAAGGAUUACUAGCAUAAGGGGGAAAUAAUGAAAAGAGUUAAAAGAUUUUAUUCUCCUUGAACAAACAUGACAUCAUCUAGCCAAAGAUGUUAAAGAAAAGCGUUACUUGGGAGACAACCCAAGAAUUUCAAUUUUACUCAUUUUGUAUUUUUUUUAUUGUUUUUGUGUUAAAGUUAAGCUUAUAUUGUUUCUUUUUGAUAGAAGACUUUUUGUUGUAGGCCAUGGAUGCGUUCCAUGAUGCUUUCAUUUGUUUUAGAAGCAAUUUCUUAGGCAUAAGACCUUUUGUUACAGCAAGUGCCCACAUCUUAUAUCCAAUUUCAGAUUUGAGAUAAAUCAUGCCUACGCUAUGUGCUAAAUGCAAAUUGGUGAUUUGGAGGUUUGGAUGGAUAGAAGACCCUUCCUUACAUAGCCCUCCAAUACCGUGAUCCUAAAUUGAACCUCACUGCAUGCUUUUAUCCGGAUUGGUUUUUAAGCCACCUAUUUCUCCCUAAAUGCUUAGCUCAAAGGAGUCCUCUUCUUCUUCUUUUUGUAGUAAGUUUCAUCCAUUGAGGAUAAUGUAUGAUUUUGCUAUGAAGGAGGGGAUAUUUCAGGUGUACAAAUUUUUCAUGAAAAAUUUAAAAUUUUUAAUUUGGUUAUGGAUUUUCUUGUGUUAUGAAAAUACAGUUAGGAUGUAAAUAUGAGUAAUGCAACGUUAUUAGCAUGAGUGUGUUAUUUUCUUACAAUCAACUUGAAUGAUGGAGGUACAAGAUUUGACAUAUUUUUAACUAAUUUGUGAGCUUUUGAGCCUAUGGAGCAUGUUGAUUAUAUUUGCUCAAUUUUUUUUGUUGACAUGUUAUCACAUGUGGUUUGAUAUUCUAGAACUUGCUUUUGUGGUUUGAUAUUUUAGAACUCGCUUUGUUAUGCAUGUUGAGACUACACUUGAAUUUGAUGCAUUAAAAUGAUAAGGGCAAUUAGGUUUAACCCCUUUUUGACUUUCUAAAGACCAGCCCUAAUUAUAUUUUUCCCUCGUUAACCAUGUUUGAGCCUUGACUUGUUCUCUGUUUAAUAAACAUAAUUAUUACCUUAAUCUUUUUGUUUGCAUCUUCUUAUUUGAACCCUGGGUCAAAGGAAUACUAUAAUAUUCUUACUUGAUGAUUUCAAGAGUUGUUUCGAGACUUGAUUGAAGUUGGCAAGUGUAUUUAUAUUUCAAUGUUAGCAAUAUCUUGUGGAAACCAAAAAAAGGAAAAAGGAAAAAAAUUUAAAAAAAUAAAAGAGUGAAAAAGCUGUGAGGACUUGCAAAUUCCUUAUAUUUUUCUUAAAAAUACCCUUUUAUUUGGAAAUUAUUAUUUUAUAAUAGCCCUACUACUCAAUCACCCCACAAUAAGUGCAAAUGAACCUAGAAAGUAGGGUUUCACUUUUCGUGUUUUAAGUCAGAAUGAAUUAGGAUUUUACGUCUUUUCGCAGUAUGAGUAACCGGUAUGGAAUGUGUACUAAAUUUGGUGAUUAAGGGUAAGUUUUAGAUGAUAUUAAGUGUGUGAAUAGAAGUAAUAACCAUAAGAUAGUGAAUUAUAAGUGAAAAUCCUAGUGCGUGCGAAAUACGAAAAAACGGGUUGAACCGACGGGUACCGUUUGUUACCGAUGGAAUACAUCACUUGACCAUCACUUUAUUACCUUAAUCCCUUUAUGUUUACUUGACUAAUCAGCCCUAAAUUACCACUUAAUCCAGCCAUCUUUGUUGACUAAAGAAAAGGAAGAAAGAAAAAAAAAGUGAGAUGUAAUAUUGUGAUGACACUUGGCAAGCAUCUACCCAUUUUUGACCAACUCAAGUCUAAGCUUCUUAUCCCUUUCUUGGAGCUCAAUUUCUGUUUUCUAAGCUUCAUUGUGCACGAAAUUUAGAGAGGAAAAAGAGAGAAAGAAACCACUUCAUUCAAGCUUGCUUUCUUGCUCAAUCUUACAAACUAACCGAUAGAUUCACCAAAUAAUCCAUAGAAGUUGCUUAGGAGGGUGGAUUAUCAUCUUGGAGUGGAGAGUUUUGGUGGUUGAAGCUUCCUAGGGGCUGUUGUGCUUCUCCAAUUCUAGGUAAGGAUGGUAUUAUUUCAUGGUUGUGCUACUUAUUGGUUUACAAGUGAAAGUUAUGGCUUGUUAGGUAACUUUCAGGGUUUUAGUAUUAGUUUUGGUAAAUUCCAACUCUAUAGUGUAAAAAAUUCAGCUUUAGUUGUUGGAAUGAUGGUUGUUUGGAUGGUAUAUGGUGUAUGUAGGCUUGUAUAGGAGGUAGUAGUAGUGGUUUUAAGCUAGAAAUGUGAAGUUACACAUUAAAUUCUUGACAUUCCAGAAUUGAGAUUUCUUAUGGUUCAGUUCUGUCCGUUUCUGUUUGAGUAUGUUAGAAACUGAAUCAGCCUUAGCACAAAAUAUGAAAGUUGUAGGUAAUGAUGUUUUAUAAUUGUCUACAAAAUUUUAGCUCAAUCGGAGCACUGUAACUCAUGAAAAGACAAAAAUUACCCCUGAGACUGCCCUAGGUAGAGUCCAGCAGACAGUUUUGACAUUUCCUCAUGUUGGCUGCAUUUUUCACCUUGAUCCAUACCAAACCAGUCUUUAGCCAAAACAUGAAACUUUUAGCCCUAUGUUUUAUAUUUCCAACGCCACUGAGAACACCUCAAUCGGAUUUCGGUAGCCUGAGUUAUUGUUGUUUACGUAUAGUGCGGUUAACUAGCCUGAGUGUGAGAUUCUGGUUCUGUAAUUUGACAUUUUGACCUAGCUACACUACGAACUGGACUGAGUGGUCUUCAUCAAAGUUGUAGGUCUUUGUCUUAGCUUCGAAACGGUAUACAUUGUAUUCCAAUCCAAUAAGCGUAGCCUCAUUUAUGCCCAUUACGCAAAACAACAUCAAAUCUGUCUUUUGUUUUCAACUUAAACUUCAUUUCCGCACAUGUUCCUAGCUUGGUUUGGUACUUGUAUGACUUUGAGCCUAUUGAACCAUUAUUGAAAUGAGAUGAUUUUGUGUGUGACUUUGGGACUGAUUGAGGAAAUGAAUGAAGCCAUAAAUGGUUAGAAAAUAGGUAAAUACAAAGGGCGUGCUGUCCAAAUUUACGCUCGAGAACUAGGUAGAUACUUGCGACUUGUAUAAGGCUUGAGAGCGAAUACCACUUGAACCAUCUAGGAUAUUUGCAACCUCUUUUAUCAAGGCACAUAAGUUGGAUUUCGGCUGAACCUUGUACCCUUGGAAAAAAUGAAAUUUACAGCUAAUAGAAAUACGUUUUUUUUGUCACUCCGACUCAAAUGGAGAUUUUAAAGUUUUACGAGUGAGCAUAAAAACCAUAUUUAUAUUUUGUACUAGUACAUAUUCGAAUUUUCUUGGAAUCACUUAAAUCUUUGAUAGUUGAAACAUAAUGUGUUCUUUUGAUUAUAUUAGGGUUCAUCGGUGACUAACGGUAUUAUCCGGCAAGAUAUUUUGGAUAUUAUUUUGCGUAAAUAUGUGAGUGUUCCUUGUUUGUUAUAUUUUCAUUGACUAUAUGGCUUGUUCUUGACUAUAUGGCUUGUGGUGGAUGUAUGAUUGCAUGUUCCAUGUUAUCAAUGACUGUUAAAACGAAUUUUACUAGGCGAGUGUGUUGCAGGCACAAUAUGCAAGCAAAGAUCCAGAUUAUUUGAGUUGCAAGAAAAAGACAUGCCAAAGUACGUGGCUGGGAAGUGCAGAGUUAGCACCUGUGGCUGCCACUUUAUCAUUUCAUGUUAUUAACAUCAGAACAGACAUAAAAUUCGUUUUCUAUGGUGGCGGAUUUGAGACUCCUUGCAUUCUAAAAAUAUCUGAUUCUGCUACCUUUGCCAACCCCCAAAAGCCUUUUAUGGACACCUCUCCAGCACUGAUUCAACUGGAAAAUCUGUAAGUAAAUUACUCUUGCAUUUUAGGCUUUUUUUUGUCCCAUUAAUGCAGAUUCAUUUUGAGGCUUUUAUCCCAUUAUUCUACAAUAUAAACAGUUUUAAUAAAAUAUUUAUUUGAGUUUAUUAUCCCAUUAGUUCAUAGUAGAGGUGUCAAAAUGGGUGACUUGGGCGGGUUUUGGGUUGGGUAAAAUGGGUAAUGGGUAUAAGUGAGUCAACUCAUUUAUACCCAUUUAAUUAGAUGGAUAUAAAUGGGUAAGUCAAAAAAUGAAUUGGUAACCCAAUUACCCAUUUAUAACCCAUUUAUUUUAAAUUUUUGUAAACUCAUUUAAAUUCAUUUUUGCAAACUAAGUUAUCAAUUUAUACCACUCUUUGUACCCAUCAUUAGUUUUAAAUAUUUACUUAUAAUGUUCAAUAAACUUAAUUACCAAUUUUUUUUUCAUAUAUACUCUAUGUCACAAAAUUACCUAUUAUUUAAUAAUUGAAUAUAUAAAAAUUUGAACUAAGUACUAUAAAAAUUAAUAUAAAAACUUAAUCCAAAAAUUUUGAACCCCUAACAUUUUUUUCAUAUAUAAAUUUAAAAUUUCAUUUUAGAAAGAUAAGAAAAUAGGCUAAAAUUUAUCAUAAAUUGGUAAUGUUGAAAAACGAGCAAGUUAACAAACUAAGAGGAAAUAAUAAUAAGAUAAAAUCAACAAAUAAUAAUAAUAAUGAAACAAAAGUAGUUAACAUCAUGACAAAAUGAAAAAUUUGAAAAAAAAAUGGGUGGGGAAAAAGAAGAGACUUGGGGGGAAGAGAAUUCUAAAUAGGUUAAUUGGGUUUGAUGUGUUACCCAAUAAUACUCAUUUAUUAAAUGGGUAUUAUUGGGUAACCCAUUUAUACCCAUAUACAAAAAUUUAAGAUACCCAUAUUUAUCUAUUCAUAGACGGGUAUAUGUAAAUUUAGUUAAGUGGGUUAAUUUGCUACCUCUAGUUCGUAGUAUGAUUAAUUUGAAUCAAAGAUUGUCAUGAACUAGGAUUUAUACAUCAUAAAAGGUAAAGCGUUCAAAAUGAAAGUGUAGUGAUAAAAUCGGUUUGUAAGCCUAAGACUUGCAAUCAUGCCUAGUCGAGAAUAAAAUUCUAAUGGUGCAAACUCACAAUUUGUAAACAAUAUUAAAGGUGUAACACCAACUCCCUUUAAAAAAAAAAAAAAAAAGUUGUUGCAAGCAUCUUUUACCUCAUUAUUUGUCCAAAGGACAAGUAACAUAAUUUUGGGCUUUUCUUUUUCUAAUUAUAGAUGAGAGUAACGUGGGUAAGUGGGGAUAAACAACCACAGAAAGUUCAAUAUGGAGAUGGGCAAUCCCAAACAUCUCAAGUGACUACAUUUACUCAAGACAACAUGUGCAGUAAGUGACAUGUUUCCUAUGCCUUCUUUUACUUCAUUCCGAAUUUAAAGUUGUACCCAAAUAAAAAGAUCUUCAAAUGAAAACUACUAAACAUUUGCAAGAUGAAUCCAUUCAAUAGUUUCAUCAUGAUCACUGUCUUGUAUGGCCAAUUUCAUUUGGAGAUGUGCAAAAAUUCGAACUUUUUAGAAAUUCUUUUCAAUAACAAUACCAGCUUUCAGAGUGUGGAUGAUAUGGUUUCAUGUAUUGACUGCAAUUUUUGUUCAAAAUAGUUUAGCAUAUAAGUUUUUCAAUUUUUUUCUCAACCCUUCGCUGCAAAUUAAACUGAUAUAUAACCUUAAUUGGGACAAGUGAAAAAUUGGAUGAGCACAAUAUCAGAGAUCCCAUAACUAGAACAUAAGAAAUCUCUCCUCAACAUUAAUAUUGGUAUACAUGCAGUUCUUGUAACAUUAAUAUUCCUUGGAAAUAAUUUUAGUAUUGAUUGAAAACGAAAAUAAUGCUAAGAUACAAUCUUUAAUUUUUUUUAAAAAUUUGGUCUAUUUCAUAGGUUGGGCUGUGAAAAGUCCAGCUAGCGAUUUCGGCUGGCAUGACCCAGGCUACAUUCAUUCAGCAGUGAUGACUCGACUUAAACCUUCAACCCAAUUCUCUUACAGAUAUGGCAGGUAAUAAACUAACUGAUUCAACUAGCAAAAUCCUUCAUUUAAGAUGGAUUUUUUCAAAAAGAGUAGAGAAGUUAAAAAAAAAAAUGUCUGAUCUGAUGAAUUUAUUAGCUAAUCCCUCCCCGGAAUUAGAAUAAACCAUUACUCGGAACACAGAUGAUUUAUCUUUACUUAGAGAUGGACUUCACAUAUUUUACACUAACCCUCCUAAAUUAUUUAUUUUAACUCUGUACGUGUGAGAUAGAUUUGGUAGAAAUUGGAUGAAAUAUUAUAAUUUCCUAAAAACUGAUCUUCUAUGCUUGAUUUUUAGCUGCCUUAAUUGUUAUAUGUAUUGAUGCACCAUUAAAACUUUUCUAUCUUGUAGUGAUUCAGCAGGUUGGAGUGAUAAAAUCACAUUCAGAACACCACCUGCUGGUGGAUCAGAUGAGGUUAAGAUUGUUGCAUUUGGAGAUAUGGGCAAGGCCCCUCGUGAUCCUUCAGUCGAACACUAUAUUCAGGUAAAUAAAAAGAUACAUAGCAUUUCAACUGGCUUCAAGAAUCUGACUAGAAUUCAUGACCUUUUUGGUUGAUUGAGGAGUUGGUUUUUGUUACAUAUGCAGCCGGGAUCAAUAUCAGUAAUUGAAGCCAUAGCUAAUGAAGUAUCUAGCGGAAAUAUAGAUUCUAUAUUUCACAUUGGAGACAUAAGUUAUGCCACUGGAUUUCUAGUAGAAUGGGAUUACUUCCUUCACCUUAUUAACCCUGUGGCUUCUACUGUGUCGUACAUGACAGCAAUUGGGAACCAUGAGAGGUAGGUUCACUUUCUUGAAUAGCUAUGUGCUUAAUCUUUCACAUGCAGGAUUUUCUUUUUGAUUAUGGCCUUGUUCUUGUUGCUUUAGAUUUUUGCAAAAUCUAAUUAGGGAAUUUUUUUAUUAUUAAAAAAAUCUAUAAUUUUAAUAAAAAAAGUACAAUAGAAAUUUUUUUAAAAAAAAUAAUUAUCCAGAAUCAGAACUUGCAGUGGGUUAAAAUAAUCAGUCGAGAAUAAACUAAAAUGUAGCUAGCCCAUUAGAAUUUCUUCCAUAUAUAUUAAUAAUAAAUAUUUUCAGGGAUUAUGUGAGCUCAGGAUCAGUCUAUAUUACUCCAGACUCUGGUGGAGAAUGCGGAGUGCCUUAUGAAACUUACUUUCCAAUGCCAACAGCAGCAAAAGACAAGCCUUGGUAUUCUAUAGAACAAGGAAGUAUUCAUUUUACCAUUAUCUCAACCGAACAUGAUUGGACAAAAAAUUCUGAGCAAGUAAAUCUCUUCUUAAGCUGCAUGUGCAAUAUUCGCUUUUUCUUUUAAUAAUAUUCUUUGAUCAUUCUAUCAAAUUCCAACUGAAAUGCAAUAUCUUCUAUAUUAAUAACAGUACAAUUGGAUGAAUAAAGACAUGGCUGCAGUCGAUCGAUCUAAAACUCCUUGGCUAGUCUUUACUGGGUAAGUUUUGUCUUUGCUACUCAGUGAAAGAAUUAUGUGGUUCUCUAAAUUGGUUUAUAAACUAAUAUUUUAAAAUGAUAUAUGGGCUACAAAAUUACAUUUGAAAUAAGUUAAAAAAGGUUUUUCAUUUUAACUUAUUGGUGAAUAUUUUUUUUUUUUUUGCUUAAAAAACUAGAAAAAGAGUAGGUAAAACAUUUAUAGCUUUUAACCCCACUGAAAAUUUUUUCUGGCUCCGCCACUUUUGCUACUCCAUUUUUGUUAAGUUGAACUCAUGUUAUGAAUUUGCAGUGCUAAAAAUUGAUGAUUAAAUACUUCGUCUGCGCUCUUACGUUGCAUCUUGGCCUUUCUAGCAUCAUCAACUUAUGAUUGAUUGUUUACCAUAGUUUAUACUACAACCAAGCAUAUCAAGGAUAAACAUGGCAAAUUAAGCUUUUAUUUUGUAAAACUCGGAAUAGCCUAAUAUACAAUUUUUUUUAUGAAAAACAAUUUUUUUAUAGUAGAAAAAGAGUGAGAUUUAAGUAGAGGUGGCAAUAUGGAUAAAUGGUUCAUAAUUGGUUUUGAUUUAAUGGAUGGUGGAUAAAAUUUAUCCAAUCCAUUUAGAUCCAUUUAAUAAAUGGAUCUAAAUGGAUGGAUCUAAAUGGAUUAAAUAAAAACCAAUUAUCCAUUUAUAAUCCAUUUAAAUAUUUUUGUUACUUUUUUUUUGUAUUACCAUUUCUUGUAAAUUCAAGCCACAAAAUACCACGGAUGUAAAUUCAAGCAAAAUGAACCUUCAUUUCACUAAAAAAACUAUCUGAAAAUAUUAUUAUUAUUAUUUUUUUUAUUUUUAUUAUUAUAUAUGUAUAUAUAUAUAUAUAUAUUACAUAUUACAGAGUAGCCAUAUAUUGCAAACUAGCCCAAACAAUAGAAGUCCUGCAUAGACCGUACGUAGGGUAUCUACAAAUUCGGCAUCCAUGGAAUUUAAUUAUGGCCCAUAUUAUCUUCUACUUUUAGCCUUGACUGCAUUUAAAUUUAUCUCAAAUUCGGCAUUUCCCUCUCAAUUAAUUAAGUCCAAGAACAGAUACCAGUUUUCUGUUGUACUUUAAAAAAUAAGAGAGAUCUUAGAACAAGUAAAAGUUCAUAGAUAUAUGAUUCAAGUGGAUUAAUUAACCGAUUUGUAAACUUAUUAAUGUGUUUGUUACCAAAAAGAAAAUGAUCAAAUUUACCCCUCCUAAUUCAAAAUCCUCUCAUGGUCUGAUGUUGACCCACUUUCUUAGCAAAUGAAUUAGAUUUCACUAAGUGAAGAAUUAAAAUAAACUAGUAACUCACCUUAUUCAAAAAUGCAUUUAAAUGAAUAACUAUAUUUUUCUUGUUCUAGUUACUAGUUCAUGUAAGCAAAAUUUUCACACCCAAUUGCAAUUUUAGGAUGGCUCGCUUUUUAGUCAUUUCCUUUCCUCUCUUUUAUUUGGUUUUUAAGUAAAUAGAUAUAUAUGGUUUUAGUGGAUAAUCCAUAUAAAUCCAUUUAAUUUAAUGGUUUUACUUUGAUCAACCAUUUAAAACCAAUACUAUAAAUGGAUAAUCCAUUAUCCAUUUAAUUAUGGAUUAUAUGGAUGGAUAAAUGGAUUUCAAUCCAAAUUGCGCUUCUAGAUUUAAGAUACGGGCAGAAAAACCAUGGAAAUUUGAAUCAAAGACCUCUAAUAUCUGGUAUCUCAAUCUUACCUUCUAAAUCAAGGCUUCCUUGACACAACAUUAUAAAUAUGUCAAUUAGCAAAAAGUGUUUGUGGAAAGACCAAUACCGUGUACGUGUACUUUAUCUUACCAAGGCCACCUAGAUUAUGUUUAUUUAGCGCAUUUGUUUUUCCGUGUAUUCCAAAUUAGUAAUGAAAUUAAAAUUGCAAAUUGCAGACACAGGCCUAUGUACUCCUCCAAUGGUGGCUCAGUCAUUAUUCCAAGUGUGGAUAAAAAAUUUGUGCAAGCUGUGGAGCCCUUGCUAUUAGCAAACAAGGUAAGUAACUGACGAAAGUUAAACAACCAUUUACUACUUGAUAGUUAUUUACUUCAGACUUUGUACUAAUACCGAUCAAUCAACCUGGAAUGCUCUUUUUCUAGGUCGACCUAGCUCUCUUUGGUCAUGUUCAUAAUUACGAGAGAACAUGUGCAGUAUACCGGAGAGAUUGCAAAGCAAUGCCUAAGAAAGAUAAAAAUGGGAUUGAUAUUUAUGACAAUUCCAAUUACAGUGCACCAGUUCAUGCUGUUAUUGGAAUGGCUGGAUUUACCCUCGACAAAUCUCCAAGUAAUGUAAGCAUAUUGAACCUUUCUCAAUUUUAAAUUCCUCCCCCAUCCCCGUGCUUGACUCGUAAGAAACGCCUAUUUUAAAUGGAUUUGGGACAGGAACAGUUACUCGUAUCAAUUCAGUGUUAGGAUAAUUAGAUUUUAGAACAUCUGUUGUCAAAAAUCAGCAGCGUAUGAAGUUACUUUUUCAACAAUUAAUCUAUAUGAACCUCACAAACUUUUUUUAAUACAAUUAUGAUUUGUACAAAUCCCUAUUCCAAUUGUAUUAAAAACCAGUCCAACCAUUUUGAAUCACAGUUCCAAUCUGUAGACUGUAUGGAAGCCAAAGACAAGCUGUUUUCAAUUUAUACGUGGCUAUGAUAGUCAGAAAUUUUUUGGGAUUUUAAAUGUACUCGAGGUUUUUCCAAACAAUUCUUGUCAAACGUGAUUAUCUAAGCACUGAUGUUGAAGAAUCUCAUUCGAUUAUUACCAUGGAAUUAUAGUUUUGAGUGUCCCUUUACGUUCAAUGGAAUUAAGAUGAAGCAAUUUUAAUACACUUGUCUCGUGAUCAACAGGCGAUAGCUGGAGUUUAGUUCGGGUCUCGGAGUUUGGGUACGUGAGGGUCCAUGCAACAAAGAAAGAACUGAAUUUUGAGGUAAGGUUGCAGAUUUGUUUGGAUAUUGAUCUUAUUUGCAAAAAUUUGUUUACGUGUAUCAUAAACACGUUUUUAACUAUUUUUUUAUGUUUUAAAUCACACUUCUAUUUUAUAUAUAUAUUAUAACAUAAAAGUACUAUAGUGUUAUUUCGAAUAAUUUUUUCAGAAAACCCCUUAUCCAAACAUGGAUGAGAUCCAUAUUGGCUAUAGUGUUAGGAUAAAUAAUUUUCUCCAUAACCCAAAAGGUCAAAACCCAUAACCCAAUUGGAUUUGUUUGGAUAUUAAUCUUAUUUGCAAAAAUAUUUUUAUUUGUAUCAUAAACAAAUUUAUCAACUAUUUUUUUAUAUUCUUAAUCACAUUUUUACUUCAUAUAUAUUACAUCAUAAAAAGUACUACAGUAUUAUUUUGAACGAUUGUUUCAAAUAAUCGCUUGUCCAAACAUCUCCAAUAUAUGAAACACCCUUUACGAAAAACGUGUUUGAGAAGUUUGAUAAAAAGCAACGAUAAGUAGGAUACCAGGGCAGGAACAGCUGUGUAUGAUUGUUGUACUUCGUCUAUAAUUAAUUGAGUAUACAUUUAAAAAUGUGAUUGUAUUUAUGCAUUGAAUUGGCGUGGAUGAAUAAAAUUUAUGAAAAUAAGGCUGUAUAACCGAAAAUCAUGUUAUGUAAAAAGUAUAAACAACCAGAUAAUUGUACAAAAUUUCCAACUGUAUUUGCCCUUGUCCCUGAUAAGUAGUGUUAUUUGAAAGACUAAUAAUUAUUUAAGUUCACACCUGUUAUGUUGCAUUUUCCUUGAGCAUUGAGUACUGCUGUACUAGAAAAAUUAAACUCGUUGAUUAAUGCCCCCAUAAUCCUGAAAAAUAGGGCUCUAUGGUAAUCGUGCACAUUCAAAUAUUUGACUAUUUGUAUUCAUCUAAUUUUCAUUGCUUAAUUAUACAUUUUCACUCCAUAAUUCUCACAGUUAAGUUGGUGCAGGAGACUGUUAGAUGAAGUUGUCUCACUUUUUUUUCCAUUCAAUUUUACAGUUUGUAAAUUCAAGUACGAAAAAGGUUGAAGAUAGCUUCAGAAUCAUCAAAGCAUAAGGAUUACCGAGAAAAUAUAUAUAUGUAUACACAUAGGAAGCACAAGUAUAUCUUUAGCAAAAUUGCAUAUUUUGUCCUUGCUCCUUGAUAGAAAUCCUUUAUGAGGACAAUCCAUAUAAAUAUAUAGGGAGAGAAACAUAUAUGAGCUGCAAAGCAUAGCAAAAUAUUCCCAUAACUUUAUCUCAACCGGAUUGAAAGCAAGUUAUGUAUAGGAAGAUGAUCCAAGUUGAACUUAAUUCAUUAAAUAAAAUGAAGAUUCGCAUUGAUUUAUUGAUUUUUCAUUACCUAAAUUCAUCCUAUACACUAAAUUAUUGAGUCCAAGUUUCAGCACUAACCUUGACAGAAAAGAAAAAGGAAAUUGUCAUAGUGUCAGCCACUAAAAAGUUCUAAUUACUUAUUCCUCAUCAUCAUUGAUCAUUCUGAUAAGAUUGCACUAUCAUCAGUGUUAAAACACUAGCUUCCACUCGAGCAACAAGUUAGACAUGCAAACAUUACCAAUAAUAAUCCUAUUAAAAAUAAAUAAAUGCAACAGUAAAAUUAAAGAAAAUAUCUUAAUGAAAAAACUGAAUUAAGUAGUAUCGAUACAAAGAAGGAAUUCCUGAAUCGAGAGUUAUCGUUCUAUAUCAAACACUGCCAUUAGGACUCGCUCUCGAGUCGCACGAAGGAGCUUGACACACAAACCACAAGACACAGCUACAAUUCAUCACGGAUUUUGUAGGAUCAAUAUUUGUAAUGGAAUUGCUGCACCCAACUAUACACAUAAUAUUGAUUAUACCUUCUUAACUUAUCCUGUAGCUGUGCAAUCGUGGGCGUUUAGUUUCUUAAACUAGAAAAUUCAACUACAAUCGACUGAUCAGAUUACAUCUUGGCUUCCCAACCAGCUUUGCGACUAUCAAGCAAAGAGAUGGAAUUGGUGGGUGUUAUUCUUUGGAAUUUAUGGAAUAAUUGAAAUGGAGCAAUCUUGAUGGGCCCUACAAGAUCCUCUUAGCUUGGUCUCCCUGUCCAUAACAUUCCUAAAUCAAUUCCAUGAAGCAAAUUCCAAAGAUAAGUGCAAUACGCCUACCUCUCUUCAGUCAAGGUUAUCAAUAGGUCAUUGGAUAUGACCCAAAGCAGGUUUUGUUAAGGCAAACUUUGAUGGAGCUGUGUUUAUGGAUGAUAAAUCAUCAGGGUUGGUGUUAUUAUCCAGGAUGAUAAAGGAAGUUUCAUUGCUGGCCUCUCCAAGAAAAUUCUUGGGAUAUUGGAACCAAAUGUGGUUGAAUCAUAUGCGGCCAAACAUGCUACCCAAUUACUACAAUCUUUGAGUUUCAAUAAGAUUGUUUUGGAAGGAGAUUCACAAAAAGUCAUCAAAAUGCUAGAGUGUUUGGAAUCUGACGAUUCAUCAUGUGGCUUAUUGAUUGAUGAUACCAUUGUCUUAUGUCAAGAUUUCAUGUGUUGGGAAGUUUCAUGGAGGCUCACAAAUGACUUGCCUUGAUACUAAUUGAUAUGAUAUAGAAGCGUGAUAAAAUAGAUGGAGGCUCACAAAUGACUUGCUCUAAUACUACCUGAUGUGAUAUAGAAGUGGUGUGUGCGCAUGUGAAACUCGAUUGAAUUCGAUUAAACUCGACAAGUUUUCGAACUUUACAUAUUAAAUUCGAGUUCGACUUGUCAAGUAGGUGGACCUGCUUAAACUCGAGCUCGAACUCACAUUGUUUUGACCGAACAAUCUCGCGAGUUACUCAAUUAAGUUUGACUUGUUUGUCCUAGUGUCAAAUGUAAUAGUUCGCAGUUGGACAAGUUGCUUCAACAGUAGAGUGCUAUAUGAAGCAAGCAACAUGGCGUGAUGUAGCAGUAGCAAGCUUGCAAUGAACAUUACAACAAUUGUGAGAGACAAUGAAGGAAGGAAGGAAGGAAAUGGUGCUCCACAUGGAAAGGCAUUUACUUCAUCCGCUAUUAAUUAUUAAACCAUACAGACAAAAGAAAAUGGUAAGAGAUAGAUGCUUGCUAGUGCAUAACAACCAUUACUAGCUAAUACUACUAUUCCCAGCAUUCCUUAAUAAUCUUGGAUAACAACAUUAUGAAGUAAAACUAACCGUUGAAGUUUCACCUUCUGAUUUUCACUUACAAGCAUCUUAUUAAUAGAAAAGUAAUAUUGCUUUUUCAAUCAAAAGCCAGAAUUAUUAAAAAAAAAAAAAACCUUUCAUAUUGGAUUGGAUCUAUAAGCACAGUGGUAAUCAAGUCCUUGAGCUUGGUGGCAGAAUGUGUAUACCAAUCUUCGUCAUUGUAUAACAGAUUUAUACCAACCUCGUGUCCCGCCAUGUCGUCCAUUAAUCUACAAAUGAUUGAUGCAGCUCUAACGAUUAAUGGUUCGUUUGUUACCCAAUCAAAAGUUUGUGUAGCAAAGAAUCUCCCAUUCCAACCAUGGAAGUUGUUGCUAGCAUCAUGUAUGCUCCUGUGACAAGUGCAACCUUCAUGUGCUCCUCAACUUUUGGGACGUAGCCAUUGUGAAGCCAUAUGGCCUCUUGAAGAUAUCCCUUCACUAACUUUUUCAUCUGGAAGAUGGAACAAUAAUCUAUCGUAUGCCAUACGAUACUCCAAUAAUCAAACGACAAAUUUGUAAUAUACUCUGUGAAUAGACCAUCUAACAAAUAUGUAACUCUCAUAAUGAAUCCCACAUGUGGAAAUUGGAAUACAACUUCACAUGUAUUGAUUGUGAAAUGGUCUACCUUAAUUGGGAUCUCGAUCCAUCAGAAUUUGCAAGUUAGCCCAGAAAAGCGUUAAUCCAAGCAUAUUACCUCUAAUUUGAAUAAUUGACUCUAUCUGGUUUGCCUUCCUUGGCCAAUUUUUCCUCGAAUUCUUUGUAAACAUCCAGCAAGGCACGGUAACAGUGUCUCAUAUAAGAUGGUAAUCGAUCCAAUUCAUUGCUGUGCCACCUGGGUAUCAUUCAUGCAGACCACCAGACCAAAUUAUUGUUACAAAAAUAGCAAGGGACUUAGGACUGUGAAAGGGGAAAAAACAAACAAAAAAGUAAAUUUACCGUUCUAUCGCAUCUGUGAAAAUGAUUAAUUCAUCCAGAGUGGCAUAGACAUCAUAAAUGUCGUCAAUGAUGGAAGUGAUGGAGAUUACUUUUGUUAGCACUUCUCUAGCGAAGCAAUAUUUGGGCUCAAAAUACACUCCCCAUAUCCAAAAGUAGCACUCCACCAAUCGGUCCCUUGCAAAUGGUAAGUUCGUUGCAACAUCUAUGCCUUUCCACCAUCUGAAAUGUAAAGAAUCAGGGUAGAAGUUUCUUUUUACUCACUAGCAAUUGGACAUGUGAUUACUUGGAAAAAUUUUCAGAAUAAUCAUUUAGAAAUUUUUUUUUAAUAAUUAUUGUAGCACCCAUCAGUAUUUUGUGGGAUCGUCAGCCUUGCCCUGGUCCUUUUUUUUUUUUCUUUUUAAGCUAAGUAUUAGGAUAUAUGCAGUCAUUUACUUACUUUGUUAGUCCGCUUAGUUCCUUCUGAUGCAACUUCUGCAAUUUGUUAAAAUCCAAUUUUGCAAAUUUUAGCAACAAUUUAUCAUGUGAUUCAUGUUGUUGGUAGAGAGAUAUGUACUGCCUUGCUCCCAGCCUUGUCAAAGUUUUCUGGAUCGGCAGCUUAAGAGCUUGAACAACUUGUGCAGCAAGAAAAUGCUCAAGUUUGGAACCAAGGAUUCAAGGUUAUCAGAAGUAAAUUUCAGCGCUUCGUCCAAAACCUUCUCCCCGUGCACUCCAAAGUUUGCUGCUUCGUACAAGCUCAACAUUCCUCGCAUAUCGUUCGCCAGAGAUUCCUUAAAAUCUCCUUUCGGGUUCUUGAAUUUGUUGAACACGUCUGUUGAAAAACGUAAUAAAUAAACAAAAAUAAAUUAGUAAUGCCUUCCACUAAAAGUAUAAUAAACGGUGCAUGUCUUUUAUGUUAUCAAGAAAUAUUAGAGAAUGGAGAAAGAAAUAAUAGUCUCUGGUGUAGCACGUCCUGGUCCAUGAAUGCUUAAGUGCAUGGCAAUUUGUGAACCUGAUUUACAUCUAUGUGUGUUUUAAAGGUCGAUUUACUUACCACAAGAGGCAUGAAAACCUUUUUGUCUGAGUAAUCGGAAACGAAGAGCAAUAGUGUAGAGGUCAUUGCCAUCUUUGUGAUUCAACUCAUGGUAGGCAUCGAAAAUCUUUUGCAAUGAUGCCUCGAUUUCACUCUCAAAAUGGUACGACACCCCAAGACGCUGAAUGGUGUCUAUCAUGUCUAGCUUUCCAGGAAACUCGUCAGGAGUUUCAGUUAACAUCUCUCUAACCUCUUCUCUUAGCCGUUGAAGCUCUCCCCCUCCUUCGAAGAAUUUUUCCUUCAAAAAAGGAAAAAAAAAAAAAAAACCAGUUCCAAAAUUAAUUAAGUUUUGUGAUUCGCAAGAUCAAGAAAGUAACUGCCACAAGAAAAGCUGGAAAUCGUAUGCUAAUGCUAUCACCUUAUGCUGAGAAGCAUACGCAAGAAAAUGAUCUCCCCAAACGCUUGGAUGAUAAUUGGCAAAGCGACGGGAACUGGUACUUUUUCAACAACAUCCUCCAUAAUCGAUUUUAAGAAAUGCUUGGAGUUUAUUUAAGUAAACUUCCUGGCAGACUGCAAAGUUCCCGCAAUGCAGCUUUUAUGCACCGCCGCUCUCUCUACUCCGCUAUUUAUGUCCCUGUUAGAUGUGGCUAACUUUGACUAUAGCAAGACGUAAAGGAAUUGGCAACUAUUUCGUUAGUUUUUGUGCAUUCCAUAAAAAAUUAGAAUAAAGCCAGAUGAAUUUUAUAGUUUAACAAUCUAGGACAGUGCUAGGGUGCCUAUAGUUAUCAGAACGAUAUUAGGGACAUCUACUAUUGUACGUCUAUAUUAACUUUAGUAAUAGAUCAAGUUUUUUAGCAUCUUUUUAAAUAUUAUAUUAGAAUAAUUAAUAUUAACAUUAGUAAGUUUUUAAUAAAAUUAGUAAGUAUAUGUCUGAAAUGGUAAGUUUUAGUCAAAAUAGAAAUUUACACUUUGAGUAAUAUAAUUUACUUAUAAUUUGACAAAAGUUAUUUUUGUUUAAAUUAAGCUUACUAAUACUAAAAGUAAAAAAUUGCAUCUUUAAGUAAAAAAAUCACCUGUUCCUAAAAUGCUUGCGGGUUAUCACGUCUCUCUAAAAUCACAUGCCUUCUUCUUAUUCUCUUCUCACGAUAUGAUCUUGGCAAAAUUUUCCUCUUUGCCCCGCAUUUUGUCUUGUCGCAAUUGAACAAAAUAUUUUCUCUAGCAAAAUUUUCCUCUUUAGUCCACACUUUCCCUCUCUCCUUCGUAAUUGAUCGGUUUUAGAUGCUAACAUAUGCAGACCCAACAAAAGAGUUGAGAUUUUUAUUAGGGAUUAGUGGCAGUGGCAGUUGAUGAGAGAGCAGAUAAAAAAUAGUAGCCAAGAGAUUAGACCAUUCUUAAAAAUCAUUUGAUUAUAUUGCUUUAAUUUAUUUAUCUUUCAUUUGAUUUGAUUGUCAAGAUUUUCUUGCAAAAUACAUGGGAAAUGACUUAGACCCUUUAUGUGAAACUUAGUAGUAUGUAGGCAUCUAUGUUAAAUGUGGUUAAUUUGGGAAUACUAAUAGGAUGUUUGGUGAAAUGUCAAAGAAAAAUUUAUCUACUAUGUUUGAUGCUUGUGCGGGAUGAGAACGCACCAGGUAGGGUGUAACAACACCAGUUGAAAAUUUGUAUCAUCUUACACAGUAACACUCAUUUAAGAUUUGAGUACAGUUUAACAAACAAUUUGUUUCAGCAAAAUAACAUACAAUCAGAAGCAAUUAUGCAAAUAAAAGGGUAAAAUUGUGAAAAAAUAAUUAAUAUUAUAUAAGGAUAAUAAAACGACAGAUAAAAAUACAUUAGAGCAAAUUUCUUAAACUUCAAUUAUAAAAAAAGGAGGAGUAAUUGGGAGGCAUGCAGCCACCGGCCAUGCAAGAUAAAUGCAAAACAUGUCUCGGUACUUGGGGUGGGGGUCUGCAUCCACUGUUUAUGGCUUUAUGCCUUCUCCUUUUUACUCAUUAAUUCUCUUCUGCACAUUUUAAUUGUAAAUUGCAUUUCUCACUUCCCCUUUCCCCUCUUCACUUCUUAAAUUUCACUCCUCUGUUGUUAGAGAAAUUUUUUUAAAAAAAAAUUCCUUUUAUUUUUUCCAACGAUUUAACAACUUCGACAUUUUGACAACAUAAGUUUGUCACACAGGAGUGGUAGAAGACCCCCAUAAACCACAAAAUUAACCGAGUAUGAAAGUUUUUAAAAAAUACAAGAAGAAAAAGAAAAAGAAAAACUGUAAUUGGAAAGGGAGUACACAUUUACCAUGAAAUAAGAAGUUUGAAUAAUUUCAGCGUGUCAAUUCAUGUAAUCUUGAUCCAAACACAACUGAAAGAACUUAAAUUAUAUGAAGGUGUGCUUCAUUAUCCAACUCCUGUUUUUGAGUGUGUGUCUGGUGCUAAGUUAAUUGAAAGAUGCUAUCACCAGGUUAAGGGGAAAACAAAACUCAGAAAUUUUCUAAAUUGAUGAACUGAUCCAGACCGAUUACCUGCCCAUCUUCAGCAUAGUUAUAUAACAUGAGUGUGUGUCUAGUGCUAAGUUAAUUGGAAAGAUGCACGAUAAAGGGAGUAUAUAGCUUCUAAAAGGGCCUUCUGAGGAAAGUCCCCACCAUAAUCUAAAACCACUAGCUUCCACUUGAACAACAAGUUAAACAUGCAAACAUUAACGAUAAUAAUCAUAUUAAAAAAUAAAUAAAUACAACACUAAAAUUAUAGAAAAUACCUUAAUUAAGAACCUAAAUUAAGUAAUAUCGAUACAAAUAAGAAAUUCCUGAACCCAAGAGUUAUCGUUCUAUAUUAAACACUCUCAUUAGGACUCUCUCGAAUUCCACGAAGGAACUUGACACACAAACCACAAGAAGACACAGCUACAAUUCAUCCACGGAUUUUGUAGGAUCAAUAUUUGUAGUGGAACUGCUGCACCCAACUAUACACAUAAGAGGUUGUAUACCAUCUUGGGGCAAUUUCGAAACUAACAACUUCAUUGCCUUCCAUUGUCAAAACAUAUUUUAUUGUCCUUCCCCGGUUGAUAAGGAACUCAAUAUGCUUGGCCUUUGCAGGAAAAAUCUCAAUAAGAGAAGAUUUGCCGAAAAUAAAUUCAUUUUUUUUUACGGAAACGAUAGGAAAUAUAUUGAUUUCAAAAACAAGCUAUACAAACUUGAGCAAAGGCCCAUCACGAGCUUUACAAUUGUGUUGCUUGACACAGAGGACUUAGAUAUUCCUCAUCUUGCACUAAAGUAGUAGCAUACUUGCUAAUUCUUUUCCCUAAUCUAUUACACUGGUUUUCAGCCAAGCUGAAUGAGCAGUUCAUAAACAAAGCUUUGAGCAUGUGAAUGUCUUCUAAUUGAGCAAAAAGUCUGAUGUCUUGUGUGUUGUGAGUUCGCAGCAUUCGUAACAACUGAGCGGAUGAAACUGGUAGAUUAACAUCUGGCCAAGGCUUUUGUCUAAUUUUACACAAUGAUAAUUUGAGCGCAGCAGAAUAAUCCAGUAAAAAGUCACCUGUACUUCUGUCUCGCAUGGCCCAUGCAGCGUGGCCGAAAAUAAAUUCAUUACCAGACCAAAAUUCUCGUGAGCCAAAGUAUCAACUGGCUCUAUAGAUUUAACCAGCAACUCAUAUGGUGGUGGUCGAUUUAUUGGCGAGAAAUCCUCAGAAAUUUCAUCAACCAUCAAAUCUUGAAAUUCAUCCAACCCUUCAAAUUUGACGGUUGGAGAAUUUAGAUCCACUUCAGGAUCCAUCGCAGACAAGCAUGGAGGAAAUUCAACUUCUUCAUCUUCAAGAUUGGGAUCAUAGAUAAAUUCCUCCUCCUUGAUCUUAGGCUCACAAAUGACUUGCUCCGAUACUAAUUGAUAUGAUAUAGAAGUGCGAUAAAAUAGAUGGGGGCUCACAAAUGACUUGCCCCAAUACUACCUGAUGUGAUAUAGAAGUGUGUGUAUGUGUAAAACUCAAUUGAACUCGAUUAAACUCGACAAGCUUUCGAGUUUUACAUAUUAGACUCGAGCUCGACUCAUCAAGUAGGUGAACUUGUUUAAACUAGAGCUCGAACUCGUAUUAUUUUGACAGAACUCGUAUUGUUCGCGAGUUACUCAAUUAAACUCGACCCGUUUGCACCUCUAGUAUCAAAUGUAAUUGUUCGCAAUGCUUCAACAGUGGAGUGCUAUAUGAAGCAAGCAACAUGGCGUGAUGUGGCAGUAGCAAGCACGCAAUGAACAUUACAGACAAAUCGAGAUAUGGCCAAUAAUUGUGUGAACAAUGAAGGAAGGAAAUGGUGCUCCACAUGAAAGGCAUUUACUUCACCCACUAUUAAUUAUUAAAUUAUACAGACAAAAGAAAAUGGUAAGAGAUAGAUGCUUGCUAAUGCAUAUCAACCAUUACUAACUAAUACUACUAUUCCCAGCAUUCCUUAAUAAUCUCGGAUAACAAAAUUAUGAAGUAAAACUAACCGUCGAAGUUUCACCGUCUGAUCUUCACUUACAAGCAUCUUAUUAACAGAAAAAUAAUAAUGCUUUUUCAAUCAAUAGCCAGAAUUAUAAAAUAAAUAAAAAAAAUUUUCAUAUUGGGAUUGGAUCUAUAGGCACAGUGGCAAUGAAGUCCUUGAGCUUGGUCGCAGAAUGUGUAUACCAAUCUUUGUCUUUGUAUAACAGAUUUACGACCUUUGCAAGGUCCACAACUCGCUCAAGAACGGCCAUAGGCACUGCAUUUGAAUUGAGGCAUUCCCCAUUUAUAUCUUUCCAAGCAUUGGCUACCUGUUUGUUAAACUCAUCAAAUGCCUCUUGCUUUGUAACCCCAUAUUCAUUCACGUAACACUCAACAGCUGUGGCCAAAUGUCCUCUUUCCUGCUCAAACUGCACCACAUAAGAUAUUGGUAGCAAUAUUCAUGAGACCUGUGUAUAACAGAAAAUUAAUUUACAAUCGUAAAUUAUUUGAUAUAAACCUCGUGUCCAGCCAUGUCGUCCAUUAAUCUACAAAUGACUGAUGUAGCUCUAACGAUUAAUGGUUCGUUUGUUACCCAAUCAAAAGUUUGUGUAGUCAAAGAAUCUCCCAUUCCAACCAUGGAAGUUGUUGCUAGCAUCAUGUAUGCUCCUGUGACAAGUGCAACCUUCAUGUGCUCCUCAACUUUUGGGACGUAGCCAUUGUGAAGCCAUAUGGCCUCUUGAAGAUUAUCCCUUCACUAACUUUUUCAUCUGGAAGAUGGAACAAUAAUCACAUUAAUUUUUGAGUUAAUCUAUCGUAUGCCAUGCGAUACUCCAAUAAUCAAACGACAAAUUUGUAAUAUACUCUGCGAAUAGACCACCUAACAAAUAUAUGACUCUCAUAAUGAAUCCCACAUAUGGAAAUUGGAAUACAACUUCACAUGUAUUGAUUGUGAAAUGGUCCAACUUGGGAUCCCGAUCCAUCAGAGUUUGCAAGUUAGCCAGAAAAGCGUUAAUCCAAGCAUAUUACCACUAAUUUUGAAUAAUUGACUCUAUCUGAUUUGCCUUCCUUGGCCAAGUUUCCUCGAAUUCUUUGUAAGCAUCCAGCAAGGCACGGUAACAGUGUCUCAUAUAAGAUGGUAAUCGAUCCAAUUCAUUGCUGUGCCACCUGGGUAUCAUUCAUGCAGGCCACCAGGCCAAAUUAUUGUUACAAAAAUUGCAAGGGACUUAGGACUGAAGCCUAUACCUGCUUUUAUAUAUAUUGAAAAGUUUAAGAGGAUUUGAAAGGGGAACAAAACAAAAAAAAAUAAUAAAAGUACGUUCUAUCGCAUCUGUGAAAACAAUCAAUUCAUCCGGAAUGGCAUAGACAUCAUAAAUGUCGUCAAUAAUGGAAGUGAUGGAGAUUACUUUUGUUAGCACUUCUCUAGCGAAGCAAUAUUUGGGCUCAAAAUACACUCACCAAAUCCAAAAGUAGCAAAGUACGUUGCAACAUCUAAGCCUUUCCACCAUCUGAAAUCUAAAGAAUCAGGGUAGAAGGUUCUUUUUACUCACUACCAAUUAGACAUGUGAUUACUUGGAAAAAUUUUUAGAAUAAACAUUUAGAAAAUUUUUUAGAAUAUUUAUUGUAGCACCCAUCAUAGGAUAUUAAUCAUUUAGAAUUUUUUUUUAAUAAUUAUUGUAGCACCCAUCAGUAUUUUGUGGGACCGCCAGCCUUGCCCUGGUCCUUUUGUUUUUUCUUUUCUUUUCCUUUUAAGCUAAGUAUUAGGAUAUAUGCAGACCGCUUAGUUCCUUCUGAUGCAACUUCUGCAAUUUGUUAAAAUCCAAUUUUGCAAAUUUUAGCAACAAUUUAUCAUGUCACAUGUGGAUAUUUUAAAUUUUGGAGUAUUAGAAUAUUUUUUUUGAACAUGGAGUAUUAGAAUAUUAGUUAGUUCACAAGAGAAGACUAAAGAGUGUAAUUAGGAAACAAAAAGUGCAACUAUAUGCUUGACGUUUAAUCAUCCAAAGGAACCAACCCAAUGAACCAAAAUUUAUGAGUCAUCCUAAACUGGCAUUCAAGGAGCAAUUAUAAGUGCAUACAACAAUUGUACACAAUACGAAGAUGGUGUUAAUCAUUUUUUUCUGUGCUUUAUAUAAAAAGAUUUACUAGGUUACAGUGAUAUCUUUCCCACUUCAAUACAAUUGGAUCCAGAAAAUGCCUUGAUAUUGGACCCGUAUUUUAGAACCUCAAUCAGAAUAUGCUUUGAUCUUGAACCCUCUUCUCUAAAAUACAUCGGAGCACCAAAUUUGAAUGCAGUAAAAUAAGCAACAAUCUUAUGUAGGAUUGUUUCAAAUGUACGUUGACAAACAAUAUUCCCACUUUACUAGUAUUGGCAUUCAGGGGAACCAAAAUUGUGUGGUGGCAUCAACCCUAUAAUAUCUUAUUCUUGUUAUUAGCAAGGUAAAAUUAACAUUGUGUGUUACACCAUCAUGUCAACUUUCAAGAUUUCAAUAUGGUCCUUUUCGGUUACAGUAGGCAAAAGGCCUAACCAUUUUUUUUAAAUAGAGGUGCUGUAGACACCAAAAGGCCAUUUUGCAAAGGUCAUGGCAGAAAUUAUUGCCAUUUUUGGGCUUCAUUUCCACUCGUUUUUGUUUUUUCCUCUUCCCCAACCCUUUGCUAGCUCAUCCCUUUUAUCUCUAUCAAGAUUUUUCUAGAAGAAAUGCCAUCUAAUGGCUCAAAAUUUGGAGAAAAUACCAGCCUUCAUCCUCACCUUUGAGGUGAGGGUUUUGGGAUUUUUUUCUGGCCUAUAAAAAGGCUCAUAAGGGCGGCCAAGAGGAGGAACAAGUGAGAGAGGCGGCUGAGAACAAGAAGAAAAGAAAAACAGCAGAAACAGAGUGAAAAAAGGUAGAAAAAGCGAAAAAAAGGAAAAUAUUUUUGCAGAAAAUUUGUGGAAAAGGCUGGUUCUUCAGCCACAUUGCGGGGCAUUUCUCUCUCUCAUUAUAGCUUCUCUUGAGGAACUUUGAAUUUAUGCACCAUCUACGUAGCUAGGGGAAGAACUUUUGUUCAGAAAUUUUGUCGAAAAAAUGAUUUUAAAGCCUUCGAAUUUGGCCAUAAAAUCGUUGCAUCAUCAACCCUGGUUCCGCUUAACCUUGCUGAGAACUUUUUCAACCCGCGUUCAUUCGCAUUUUUUGCCUCAAAUCUAUUUCCUUUCCGAAGCUUCAUCAGGUAGUUUUCCAACCUUUCUUAGUUUGAUUUGACAUUUAUGCAACUUAUUGGAAUAAAUUUAUGGAUGUUCACGCUUUAGAAUUUAGAACCCAUGUCUAUUCAUAUUUUUUGGAUUUUGGCCUUUGUUUGAUGUUUACUUAAGCUUUAAAUGCCAUGAAAUACAUAUAUAUGUGAAGAUCCGCUUUUAAAAGUUGGUAAAAAUGGAUUCCGGCGAAGUUCCAGCCAAUAUGACGGAAUUUUUCCUACCUGUCGGAAUCUGCAUCCAGGCAGGUUGAUCAGUCAGAAUCGUCAUGGUGUUCUUGACAAUUUUUUGGGUCUUUUAUUUUCCGAUUUUUUGGCUUGGUUGAUCUUCCUCAAAGUUGUUGGGCUAAUUUUUGGUGUUUCUGGACUGAUGAUUGGGCUAAGAUCUGCUUCUUGAUUUGGGUUUAUUGUCAAAACCCAACUCUUUUGGUUGGGUUUGUUGUGUUAAACAAAUGAGGGCCGGUCCACCUGUUGCCUCCGGGUUUUUGUCGGGCUUACAGAAUUUUGGCCUAAAAAAAAAAAAGCAAAAAUGGCCCAUUGGCCUCUGGCCUAUUAGAAACCAGAAAAUGAAAUUGCAAAUCAGUCUCUAUAUUUUACAUAUUUAUUCUAAAGCCCUAAAAAAUUUAGAUUUCUUUCAAUUAGAUCCUAAUUUAAUUGUAUUUGGCUCUUAAACUAUAUUUUUAUUUUAUUUUAACCCUUAAUUUUUGUAAUAAUUAUAAUUUGACCUCUAAAACUUUCUUAAUUUUGCAAUUAGGUCCCUAACAGUUUUGAUUUCUAAAAUAUAAGUUACUUUUCUUCUUUAAUUGUUAAUUAUGCUUCAUUUAAGUGCUUUAAUUGGUAGAUUUCAUGAUUAUUUUCAUUUCUUUAUAAUUAAUUGUGUGUCUUAAUCAUUUGUUCAUUUUGGAGUAUAAGUAGAGCAAAUUUCACCCCAUUUAAUCACACACUUCAAGGGAGGUAACCUUUUUUAUUAUUUUAAACUCUUUUACGUUCUCCAAUGUGUUUUUAUGUGUAAUUGCAUGUUUUGAAUGAUUUUUUUUAAUUAGUGAUUCUUAUUCAUUUUAAAGUUUCAUUUGUCUUAUUUAAUUUUGAUGAUUAUUUGAGAGGCAUUAAGAUAUCAAGUUGUAAUAGAUAGGCGCUCAAGACAUGUAUUUAGCUAGUUUAUAUAAUAGAUAGGUUUUAGUUUUGUUAAAAAUGUAUUUAGUUAGAUAAAUGUAAUAGUUAGGUUAUUAUUUUUUAGAAUUCCCACCUUACAUUAUAGUUAGAGCCCGAAUGUAAUAGUUAGGCUCUUAUGGGUGUUUAUUUGCUUGUGUGCUUGCAUGCUUAUGUACUUACGUGUUGUACUCGCUUUUUCGGGAGAUUUGCAUCUAAAUAUUAUGUUUACGUGCUAUGUGCUCUAUGUGCUUACGUGUUUACUUGCUUUAAUUAUGUUUAUAUGAUUCCUUAUAUUAUAAUAGAUGCAUGACAUCACCACACUAGUCCAACGCUAGUUGUGGUCUAUUUCCUUGUAAAGGAUCGAAAACAAUCUAAGAGAGGGGUAAAUUAGGUGGUUUAAAAACUAGCCAAGAUAUGUGUCACUUUUUGAGAAUUUUUCCUCUUUUUCUAAAAGACCACACAAUUGAGUAAUUGAUGAGGAAGUACAAGUGCUUAAGAGUAGAAGAGAUAGACAAUUUAUAUUUCAAGACAAUAAAUAAAAGGAUAGAAUAGCAAACCAAGUUUCAAACUCCACUUGAGUUUGAAUACCACUUUAUAUAGCAAGUUUCUUCAAGUUGAUCAACUUACAACCAAUCUCUUGUGUACAAAGGAAGGAUCACUUCCUCCUCGCCCCAAGCCGCACUUGGUCAAGCAAAGAAGUUUUACAAUCAUUCGGAUAACCCUCACAAAACUACACUAUUGAAGAAAUAGAAACACACUUGAAAAGCUUAUUGAAAGUUCCACAACUAAGAGUACAAAUCUUCAUUCUAGAUUAUUCUCACACUUGAAUCACUCAAGAUUUAAUGUAGUCUCAAUGUGUGAAAAUCAUUUGAAGUGGUUGACUUUUUCCUAUUUAUAAGAGACCAAAAAAUUCUUCAAUUAAUGCUACCAACGGAUAGAAGGUAGUUGAAGAGUCAACUAGCCGUUGGUAGUGUCGGACGUCCGGUAGACUAGUUUUCUACAUUCGAACGCAGGCAGUGAGCUCCAGAAGUUUUCUUGAAAUGUUUAGGAUGUCCGCUACCUCCAGAAUAUACGUCCGAAGGUAUGAUGUAAAAUUGGAAAUUCUCCUUCAAUUUGUUCGGACGUCGAUGCCUCCAAUGUUUUGCGUCCGAAGUGUCGCAACGUUUAUCGGACGUCCGGUACUCAGGUGUUAUGCGUCCGAUCGAGGUCAAUUGGCUUAGAGAACUUGGCUUAUCAUCUUCGGACGUCUGAGAGUGGGUUCUUCAUGCGUCCGAAGUUACUCAAUGGUUGUCGGACGGCCGAUGCAGUCUGUAUGUGCGUCCGACAGCUAUACCUGUUCUGCUCCAAUUCUGAACAGAUCUAAUUAGAGAAUAUUAGUAACAUCCAUUUUUUGUACUUAUCAAAAGUUACGGAUUGAGAUAAACAAACUCCUCCUUUUUGAUGAUGACAAAACAAUGGAUGGAAUAAAAAGAUUUUAGGUACAGCUCCCCCUAACUUAAUGCAUUCAAGGAGGAUUCACAACAUCCCUUUAGAAUAAUGUUCACUCGUGAUUAUUCACAACUCCCUCUUACAAUGACUCCCCCUCACAUAUAGAUUACAUAUCCAUUUCUGGAUUUCUCGCUAGUCCAACGCUAAUGAGAACUUAUAGACAUGGAAUAGUCCAAUGUUAGAUCCUUAGAAACUGUCCACGGGUUAUAUUAUGUUUGCGGUGACAAUCACUACAUUUCAUGCAUAUUUUCUACUUUUUAGAAUCUUUACCAUUUUGCAUGACAUUACCUCUAUACUUACAUUCGUUAUUCCUAUGUGCGAAACAUGACAUUUAGACUUGCAUUUCAUUUAAAAAAAACUAAAAAUAGAUUAGUCAAUUUGCUUGAUUAGGUUAGGGAGUACCCUUCAAAUAUGGAAAAUGGAUGAAUAUGGUUUCUUAGCCUUAGCACGCUCGCAUCUCCUCUAUAAAAAAGAAAAUUGAAUCACGAAUCUUAGUCUCCCGUACCCGUUAUGUUGCAUUCCUAUUUUUAGGUCGCGUAUAUUUAUAUAUUAUAAUUUUUUCUUUUUUUCGAGUCUUACUCUUUGCAUAUUCGUGACCUUUUCUAAGAAUUAUUUUGUGCAUCACAAUUAAUGUGAUUUGCACCGAUUAAAUUUUGAAGAGAUAUCUCAACCCUCCCGAUAUCCAUUAGCUCUAGGUUUGCAUCCAUAUAGUAACAUCCAAAUGUGACAAGUUUUAUAAGUUAAAUUAAAAAAAUUUUCAACUAAAUCACGCAACUAGCCUUGGUUAGAUUAAAAGGGUGUCUUGGAUUUUAUCCUUGCCUUCCCUUUCUUCAAUCGUAACUCCCGAGCCCUUUUCUCUUGUUUUUCAAAGACUUGGAGUCGUCUAAAAAGAGUUUUCUCUAUUUUUUUAUUUAAAAAUUCGUUUUUAGGUGACUUGGUACACCUUAAUUCAAUACCAAGUGGUGACUCAUAUUUUUCUCAAAAAUCCUUUUUAGACUAUUAUUUUGGGUCAAAAUCGUCGCACUUUUUAAGUCCCAUUUUAGGCCCUUUUUCUUUAUUUAUUCUCUAAAAAUCAAAAACUCAUUUUCACUCAAAAUUAAUCAAAAUUCAUUUUAUAACUCAUAAUUUGGUCUUCUGUAUCUUGGAGAAGGUUUGUGCCAAUUUUUUCUGGGGAUCUAACUUAGAAGGUAAUAAGUUUCAUUGGGUUAAGUGGUCUACUUUAUGUUAUCCUAUUGAAAAAGAAGGAGCUGGGUCUUUUAUAAUGAUAUGAUUUAACUUGGAGCAAAAAAUGUUGACGUUUGAUGCCAAUGUUCACACUUGAAGAAAGACACAAAGAGCAAAGAUUUCUCUAUAAAUAGAAGUUUAUGUCUUCCAUUUUAAAGAACUUGGAGAGCGAACUGAUAAGUGCAUAGUUUACGUGCUUUUAGUGUGUUUUAUUAGUUUGUUUUGGUGUGUUUUAAUUAGUUUUAUAGCUAAUAAACUAAGAUUCUAGUGAAAAUAUGCAUUUUAUGGUUUAAAGUGUGAAAAUUGUAUUUCUAUGAACUUUUACGGCAAAAACUUUAUGUUUUUGUAGGUUUAAGAAUUCAAUCAUCAAAGGGAGUAAAUUGAGAAGGGAAUUGGAUGAUUGAUGAUGUUUUGAAGUGAUAAAAAGAGAAUAUGAAGUGCAAGAGAUGAAAUGCAAUCAAGUUCUAAAGAAAAGGAGUUUCACAGCUUUGACACCUUGUGGUAUUUUGGCAAUACCUUGAGCGACAAUGAUCGGAUUGAGGUGAUUCUUAUACCAUUUUGAAGCCAAGAGAUAGAUCUACAUUUGGUAUGAAGACAUUGAAGUCCAGUUCGGUGGUUUUCAUAGUCAAAAAGUCGAAAUACUCAAAAGUACAUUUUCUAUGGUCGAAGCUGAAACAAGUUUUUGACCAGUCAAGGGUAAUUUGGUCAUUUCUCAGUCCACGGAGCUCUAAAUUAGGUGAUUCUUGAUGCAUUGGAAAGCUAACACAAAUAGCUACAACUUGAAUGUUUUACACAAGAGCUAGUUCAGCCUCUAACAUCGAGAAAAUAUCAGUUGAAAUGGAUCAAAAACAGAGCAAGAGAUCUGAACCCGAAUCUAGUAUGAUCCGAGCCCUCGUCUGAUCUUUUGGACGAGUGGAUCCGAGACCAGAGGAUCCGAGCUCGGAUCCACUGUUGUAGGCCUCGGAUCCCAAUGAACAGUGAAGGAAAAAAUGAAGAAAAAUGCGAUCCGAGGGGUAUUUUGAUAGAUCCGAGCUCGGAUCUUGCCCUUGGAUCCCCAAUUUCGGCUCUGCAACUUGUGCUCUAUUCACACAAGCUUUUUGACCAAUGUAUCUGCAAGAAAUCCGGCUGGAACUGAGCAAGCAAGUAUAGAGAAUUCAAAAAGCAUCUUUUGAUGAGUCCAAGAAGCAAUUACAUCAACUUUAACAACUCACCAUGAGCUUGAAUUCCUCUAUAAAUAGCAGCCUUGGAGGAACAUUUUCACAACUUUGGAAGGCUAGAGAAAAUCACCAAAAAUGUAGUCUUCACUAGUUUUUCUUAGUUCAUUAGUAUAGUAUAGGUAGUGUAGUUUAUCCAUCUUGUGUUUGUAGCUAGAUUUGGAUGAAGAUUGAGGAGCAAAGAUGGAGAGGUUGAUCUCAUGUGACAAGGGUGAUAUCUCUUCUACUACUUUCUCUCUUGUAUUAGAUUUCAUGUUUAGCUAUAAUACAAGUUUGGAUUUGUAUUUUUAACAUGUUUAGUUAAAGUUUAUGCCUAGAGUUAUGGUUGAACUUACUAUAUCUUGUUUUUGAUGUUUACUUGAUUAUUUGAUGGUAUUAUUUUGAGCAAGUUAUUUAUCAUUUUUGUUUUUCUAAUCAUGAUUAACCGGCCAUUAAUUGUGAUUAUCUAAAGGUGUUAAGAUUGCAAUGAGAAUUGGAAUUUAAAACUAGUUCAAGGAAGUGAUAAACCUAGGGAAUACACUCACGAGAGUAGAGGUGCACCUAUGUGGCUUUAGUGACGUGUUCAUGUAAUUUCAUAGAAGAAAUGAACUUGUAGCUAAUUUCAUAACCACGAGAGUAGGUAUGGUUUAGCUACAAGUAUAGUUGAUUCACUACGAGAGUAGGUUUCACAUACAUUAGGAAAUUACGCCAUAACUAGCCAAGAUAAUAGCAUUCACUUAACCAGUAAUCUCAUUUGCAAGAGUAGUAAGGAAUUCCAUAUCUCUAGGAGCUUUUUAGUGCUAAUUUUGAUUUCUAUUAUGUUUAUGGUAGUCUAGAUAAUAAAGGAGUUCGAAAAAUACCGGUAAUUACAAUCUUCUCUGUGGGAUCGACCCUUAAUACCCUAUACUCGCUCACGAUUCGUAUACUUGCGAUAAAUCGCGUGUGGGGUAUUUAGGAAUCAUAAAUGUAAAACUUGAUUGUGGAUGAGCUAAUUAAUAUAUGUAUACCCCGCUCACAUCAAGUUUUUGGCGCCGUUGCCGGGGAAGAUUUGUCAAUAUCGGUGCUAAGAAUAACUUUAUUAAUUUAGACAUUUUUACUUAUUUUUCUUGUGUUUGUAGUGUCUAGUGUCUUAAUUUUUAUUUUUUAGUGUCUUUGUUGAGUCUUUGUAUAUGUUUUUAUGUGUUUAGAGUCAUCUAUUCUUCUUGACUAAAUUUGUUUUUAAGUUAUUUUGAAAACAUGUUUAGGGGUUCAAGGAGAGUAGAAAAUAUGAGGAAUCAAUGCAUGAGAGAAGGAAGAUCGACAAUGGAUGGUUACUAUAUGCAAAGCUCCUUGAAUCGAGGUAACCAAGAAAUUGCCGAAAGUAUUUCGUUUGAAGAUGGUUUAAGGAGUUUAAAGGUUAAACUUGAUGUUAUAAUGUUACAAGUUCAAAUGGAUACCAUGAUGCAUAAAAUUGAGCAAAGGAGGAAUGUUAAUGCUUUUAAUUAUUAUCAUGUGAUUUGUGACUUGUGUGGAGGUUAUCAUGCUACUAGUACAUGCAUGCAAGCACAAAAUGUGGAUUAUUAUGAUGAAUUAGAGCAUUGCAAUCCUUGUUUUAAUCAAUACAGUGCUAAUUGGAGCAAUUCUCAUGUGUAUGGUUGGGAUAAUCAAUGUGCAUAUAGUGAUUCUCCAAAUUUUUAUGAUUACCAACUUCAAAGUGUCCAAUAUGAAUCAAAACCAUUUUGGGAGUUGGCAAUAGAGAAGUUAGCUAAUGCACCUCUACCUUGGGAAUUAGAAAGUGAACCAUUAGCUAAUUGUUCUUAUGCCUCUUGGGAGCUAACUGUAGAAAAUUCUUAUAAUCAAUUUGAUUUAGCCAUAGAAAAGCUAGCACAUGCAACCUCUGACCGUUUUGAUAGGAUUGAGGAAAGGUUAGAUGAAUUAGCUUCUCACUUUGGUAGAGUACAAGACCAAGUGCAUGAGUUGUGUGAAGUUAUUUCUUCUAAUGAUGUGCAAAUUGACCCUAGCAUGAAUGGUGAGCAUGUUGCAAGUGAAAAUGGAUUGCAUUUUGAUGAAAAUGAUGAAUCUCAAUUGUGUUUUAAUGAGAAAAUAUCCAUUUCACAUGAUAGUACCUUUGGAGCUAACAUUGAACCUCAAGAGGUGAGCUUUAGCGACUCAUUUUUCACCCCUCUUAAGGAAUGUGUUGAAAGAAUAGGUUUUAAAGGUAUUAUUCCCCAAGAAAGCCACGCGGACGUUCCUUUGGUGAGUACUCAAGUGACGUGCAUUCAAGGUAAUAUCUACGAUUCACUUGAGAUUGGUAAGCCACUUCCAUCUCUCUUAUCAUUAGAACAUGUGGCUUUCGCUAUAAAGCCACCUUAUAAUGAUCCACCCCAACCUCUAAUGGUGGAUUAUUCAUUAACUAAACCUCCUUGAGAAAUGAGGUGAUAUAGUCAAGCUAAUGACCAUAAAAAAGCGCUUGUUGGGAGACAACCUAACAAUUUCUAGUUUUUUUUAGUAAGUUUUAGUAAUUUGAUUAGUAUUUUUGUGUGUUUUAUAGGUAGCAAUGACGAGAAAUCAUGCGAAAUCAUUUCAAGUGCAAAGGAGUUUAUAAGGAGUGGAGACCGAUGUGAAAAAGGGAAGCUUAACCUUCAUUUUUGAGUUUACAAUGCUUAAUUUCAUGUUAUGUGGUUAAAUUAGUCAUUUGCAUGAAGUUGAAGUGAAUUCAAGUGUUUAAAUGUGUUCAUGACCUAUUUGCACUCUUUUGACCAUUUGAGCACUACCAUGUGCAUUGGAAGUGUCAAGGGGAACUAUUUGAUCCAAGAACCUCAACCCUCAAUUUACAUUCUACAUGUUUUUGAUUUGUUUUGAGAUGUUGAGAUUCAUGUUUAAGUCACUUUUCAUGUGCGUGAAGUGUUGAAUUGUUAAAAAUUUCAUUGUAGAACACGAAUUGGAGAGUGUGUUUCAAAUUGGGGCCAAACUGAAAAUUGCAGAAACUUCUGCAAUAAGUGCAGAUUCAAUGGAUCCGAGCUCGGAUCCACUUCUGCAAUCAGAAAAAAUUCGAGCUUCUUGAUCCGAGUUCACUUAUCAUGAUCCGACCUCGGAUCCUUUCAAAAACGACCUCGGAUCCUUUCCAAAACAAAGGCUUGGACCACUUUUUUUCAUUCUUCCCUCUUUUUCCUCCUUCAACUCCACUUUUCUUCUUGUUGGUUGCAAGCUUUUAUUCUUAAGAAGUUUUAUUUCUGUCUUUUUCAAGGUGCAUUAAUUGAACUCUCCAUUCUUUCAAGUAAAGUUGAAAAUUCAUCACAUUGCCAUGGAUUCGAAUUGCGCAAGUUCAUUAGGGGAGUAUUACUUUCUCUUACUUUCGUUAUUUUUCCUUUCUCACAUUGAGGACAAUGUGAAGUUUAAGUGUGGGGGAGGAAAAUAUUUGAACUUGCACUUUAAUGCUAUGUGAUGAUAUUUUGUGACUUUAAAUGAUUAGAAAUGAUUGGAAUUGUGCAUAGAAAUCUUGCCAUAUGGAUAAUUUGCUUGAAAUUGGGUAUGUUGUCAAAAUUUUUCUAAAAAUCUUUUCCAAUAUUUCACUAUGGCUCAAAAAAAAUUUUCAAAUUUUUGCAAGUUUAUUUAAAAAUGGCCAAUUUGUUCCAACUUUAAGUGCCUAAUUCUUUCACUUGUUGAAACUUUAUAUGUAUAUUGGAAGAUUUAGUUCUCAUUUGACUUGGAAAUGGUUAUUAUGCAAUUAGGAUUUUUGCAUUUUAGAAAGUAUAUCCGAUAAAGUGAGGAAAAUUAUGCCUAUAAUUUUACAUGUUUAAUGAGAUUUCUUCUCUUUACUUAAUUGUCCAAGUAAGUGAUUGAUAUAGUCAAUAAAUGUUAUACUCCUCCUUUGAUUAUUCUUAUAUAUUUUCUAUAAGGGAAAUUUAUUUAUUGUCUUACAAAAAAAAGAAAAAAAAAAGAGAAAAAAGAGAAAAGAAAAAUAAAAGAGAAUAAGAGUUUUUUUUUCCUACUCCAAUGAUUCUUGUACCAAGUAACCGGGAGUUGGCAUCUACAAAUGUCGACUUUCGCGUAAAAAAGUACUUGAAUUACGAGUAUGCAUAACAAUUUAAAUAAGUGAAAUGUUGAAUAACCGGAGAUCUUCACCUAAAAGUGUCGAUUUUCGCAUAAAAAGACUUCCUCACUAUUUAAGUAAAAGUAGUGCAAAUAAAUCUCUCUUAGUUGUAAAAUUUUGAGAAAAAGAUGAUUAUAGGAAGAGGAAUGCUAUAAAUUGACUACGUGACUUGCUUAUUUGUAAAAUUAGGUUGGGGUAAGAGAUUAAGUUUAACUUGUUGAAUUUAUGGCAUAAUUCUCUUCCCUUUAUUUGAUAUUAUGAGUAUUUAGUGUAAAUUGAACAAGUGCAUAAUGAUUGUUUACCAAGUUAUGAGGAAUUUAAUUCGAAAAAAUGCAUAUAGGGUUUCACCUCUUGAAUCAUUGUUAUUGGAGAUAUGUUGAUUACUUGAGGACAAGCAAUGGUUCAAGUGUGGGGGAGUUUGAUAAGUGCAUAGUUUACGUGCUUUUAGUGUGUUUUAUUAGUUUGUUUUGGUGUGUUUUAAUUAGUUUUAUAGCUAAUAAACUAAGAUUCUAGUGAAAAUAUGCAUUUUAUGGUUUAAAGUGUGAAAAUUGUAUUUCUAUGAACUUUUACGGCAAAAACUUUAUGUUUUUGUAGGUUUAAGAAUUCAAUCAUCAAAGGGAGUAAAUUGAGAAGGGAAUUGGAUGAUUGAUGAUGUUUUGAAGUGAUAAAAAGAGAAUAUGAAGUGCAAGAGAUGAAAUGCAAUCAAGUUCUAAAGAAAAGGAGUUUCACAGCUUUGACACCUUGUGGUAUUUUGGCAAUACCUUGAGCGAAAAUGAUCGGAUUGAGGUGAUUCUUAUACCAUUUUGAAGCCAAGAGAUAGAUCUACAUUUGGUAUGAGACAUUGAAGUCCAGUUCGGUGGUUUUAAUAGUCAAAAAGUCGAAAUACUGAAGUACAUUUUCUAUGGUCGAAUCUGAAACAAGUUUUUGACCAGUCAAGGGUAAUUUGGUCAUUUCUCAGUCCACGGAGCUCUAAAUUAGGUGAUUCUUGAUGCAUUGGAAAGCUAACACAAAUAGCUACAACUUGCAUGUUUUACACAAGAGCUAGUUCAGCCUCUAACAUCGAGAAAAUAUCAGUUGAAAUGGAUCAAAAAUAGAGCAAGAGAUCCGAACCCGGAUCCAAUAUGAUCCGAGCCCUCGUCUGAUCUUCUGGACGAGUGGAUCCGAGCUCAGAUCCACUGUUGUAGGCCUCGGAUCCCAAUGAACAGUGAAGGAAAAAAUGAAGAAAAAUACGAUCCGAUGGGUAUUUUGAUAGAUCCGAGCUCGGAUCUUGCCCUCGGAUCCCCAAUUUCGGCUCUGCAACUUGCUCUGCAACUUGUGCUCUAUUCACACAAGCUUUUUGACCAAUGUAUCUGCAAGAAAUCCGGCUGGAACUGAGCAAGCAAGUAUAGAGAAUUCAAAAAGCAUCUUUUGGUGAGUCCAAGAAGCAAUUACAUCAACUUUAACAACUCACCAUGAGCUUGAAUUCCUCUAUAAAUAGCAGCCUUGGAGGAACAUUUUCACAACUUUGGAAGGCUAGAGAAACUCACCAAAAAUGUAGUCUUCACUAGUUUUUCUUAGUUCAUUAGUAUAGUAUAGGUAGUGUAGUUUAUCCAUCUUGUGUUUGUAGCUAGAUUUGGAUGAAGAUUGAGGAGCAAAGAUGGAGAGGUUGAUCUCAUGUGACAAGGGUGAUAUCUCUUCUACUACUUUCUCUCUUGUAUUAGAUUUCAUGUUUAGCUAUAAUACAAGUUUAGAUUUGUAUUUUUAACAUGUUUAGUUAAAGUUUAUGCCUAGAGUUAUGGUUGAACUUACUAUAUCUUGUUUUUGAUGUUUACUUGAUUAUUUGAUGGUAUUAUUUUGAGCAAGUUAUUUAUCAUUUUUGCUUUUCUAAUCAUGAUUAACCGGCCAUUAAUUGUGAUUAUCUAAAGGUGUUAAGAUUGCAAUGAGAAUUGGAAUUUAACACUAGUUCAAGGAAGUGAUAAACCUAGGGAGUACACUCACGAGAGUAGAGGUGCACCUAUGUGGCUUUAGUGACGUGUUCAUGUAAUUUCAUAGAAGAAAUGAACUUGUAGCUAAUUUCAUAACCACGAGAGUAGGUAUGGUUUAGCUACAAGUAUAGUUGAUUCACUACGAGAGUAGGUUUAACAUACAUUAGGAAAUUACGCCAUAACUAGCCAAGAUAAUAGCAUUCACUUAACCAGUAAUCUCAUUUGCAAGAGUAGUAAGAAAUUCCAUAUCUCUAGGAGCUUUUUAGUGCUAAUUUUGAUUUCUAUUAUGUUUAUGGUAGUGUAGAUAAUAAAGGAGUUCGAAAAACACCGGUAAUUGCAAUCUUCUCUGUGGGAUCGACCCUUAAUAUCCUAUACUUGCUCACGAUUCGUAUACUUGCGAUAAAUCGCGUGUGGGGUAUUUAGGAAUCAUAAAUGUAAAACUUGAUUGUGGAUGAGCUAAUUGAUAUAUGUAUACCCCGCUCACAUCACGAACGGAAUACCACAAAAAUGUAGUUUCUUAGCUCUUUAGUUUAGAUAGUGUAGGAUAGUUUAGUUUUAGCUAAUUCAUCAUUUCUUAUGUAUUAGAUAGAUAGAGAUGCAAUUGGAGGAUGAAAAAGGUAAGGAGGGAACUCAUGUUAUAUGGGUUACUCUACCUUCCCAACUCUUUAUCUUUUGAAAUUGAUUCUAAGUUUAGUUAAUGUAUAAGUUUGGAUUUUAUGUUUAUUAUGUUUUUUUAAAGUUAUGCCUUGGGUUUUGGUUAAAUUUUCUAUGAUUAUAUUGUGUUGAUUUUUUGGCUAUUUGAUGCUAUUUUUUUGAGCCAGUUAUUUAGCACUUUUGCUCCUCUUAUCAUGAUUAACUCGGUACUAUUAAUUGUGAUUAUCUAAAAGUGCUGUUUUUUCAAUAAAAAUUGGGAUUUAACACUAUUUUAAGAAAUGCUGAACCUUGAGUCAAGUAUGUUUCUUAAAUAAAAGUGCUUGGUUUUAAAAUAAGUUGUUUAUUUAGUUAUUGUUUAGUCAAUAAGAAAGGCCAAUGUGUGUUAAGCCUUUGAGUUUAAUGGGCCAAUUAUUGAGUCAAGUUUGUUUGGACAUUAGGGUCCGGUCCAUAGGGUUUAAUCUAGAAGUUAACUCUUUUAAAUAAUGUUGUAUGGAACACGGUUAUUCAAUUGAGUGAUUUUAUGAUAUUGAGCAUAUGAGGUUUUCUACAAGUAAGUGGAGACUCUUGUCUUUCUAAUCUUGAUUCACUUUAAGCAUGAUCUUGAGUGAAUUGACUCUCAUAUCAAUUUGAUAUUCACCCAAAUUGAGGUUAGCCUACCCAAAUUCCAUCUAAAUUUCGUCCAAACCUAUCUCUUUAUGAACCUGUGGGAUUGCGAAUUUCUCUUAUCCUUGGGGAAUUCGUAUAAGUUGGUAUCAGAGUUUUGACUCAAGAUGAUAGGUUAUAUCCUUAUUAAUUUCUUGUUUUCCUUUUCUUCUACUACUAAACCCUAAUCGUUUUAAAAAGAAUUGUGAAUUAGAGUUUAUCUACUUUUAGGGUUUUAAAUCUUCCAUUCGUGUUUUUCUUGUGUGUUUCCUCAUUGUUUCUUGUGUUCUUCAUUGUUGUGAUUGUGUUAAUUUUAUAUCUACCUUCCCUCGUUGAUUAAGAUAAAAGUACUGUAGUGAUUACUAUUCUUGUAUUACUGUUCAUCGUACUGUUCAUCCAGAGUUAAUACUCAUUUGAAAAAAAAUGUUUGUUUGUUGCUUUAUUUCUGUGAAUCCUAAUCCUAGUCAAAUCUUGCAAUUUUGUGACUGCUUUUUUUUUCUUUCCUAAUCCUAAUCAUAUAAAUAUUUCUCUUUUUAAUUGUUUCCAAAUCAAAUUAGGAAACAUAACCUUAUUUUUCCAGCAAUCUUUAGAUGUCUAAUUCCUAAUCUAAUUAGGAAAUUGAAGUCUGAAAUUUCAAGCUUUAAAUCACCUCCUUUUUUAGAAAAUUCCCAUCAUUAGUUCUUGAAAUUUCCUUGUUGUAUUGCUUUUCAAAUUUUCAGCCUUAUUCUUUGAUUUUCUAGGCCAUAAAUGAGGUGUUUCUUGGUUGGUAUAUUCCUCAAAUCCUUGGAGAACCAAAUUUUAAGUGAAUUCAAGACACCAAGGCAUUAAAUGAGUGUGAGACCAUAAAAGUGAGUGCAAACAUGAGUGGCUGAGGGUAUACACAUGAGGUUGAGUGUGUGAAAUAUUAUUUUUGACCUAUCUUGCAGGAAAUCAUGUCUAGCAAGGAAGAUUUAGAUUCUCAUCCUGUUGACUUAAAGUUCAUCAUGAAGGUUGUGAAAUGAGAGAUGAGGUGAUUGAUGUGGACUGAAAUGGAAUCCAUCCAUGAAUGCCUAGAUCGGGUUGAGAUUUCUCAGGAGCAUCUAUCCAAAUGUGAGAGACACACUUCCAAGCAUGAAAAAGCAAGACGUUGGAAUUUAGAGGAGGAAUACUCCACUACUGAAGAAGUAGAUGAAUCUGAAGUUGAGUUUAGGAGACUGCCUAGAAGGUACCAUCGAGUUGAUGAUGCUACGUGAUGGGAGUGAAGUCUAAUAUCCCUUCUUUACAAGGAAAUUUGACCUCAAAACUUUACCUAGAAUGGGAGUGUGGGAUGGAGCUUGUUUUCAACUGUUAUAACUACACUGAAGUGCAAAAAGCUAAGUUGGCCAUGGUGGAGUUUUCAAACUAUGCAAUCACUUGGUGGGACCAACUAUAUCAGUAGAAGAAGGAUGGCUAAGGGAUUUGUUAGCACUUGGCAGAAGUUCAAAGCAUUAAUGAGAAAGUGAUUCAUCCCUAUUUAUUACCACAGAGGCCUCCAUUAGAAGCUGCAAAAUUUGGUGUAGGGUGAUCUAACUGUCAAAGAUUACCAAAAAGAGAUGGAGAAGGCGAUGAUGAGGGCAAAUGUGAUAGAGGAUUUGGAGGCUACAAUGACUAGAUUCUUGAAGGGGUUGAAUCUAGACAUUGCAGAUGUAGUUGAAUUGCAGUAUUACAUGGAGUUGGAGAAGAUGGUGCAAAAAGCUAUCAAAAUUGAGAGACAGUGGAAGAGAAGGGAUGGCUACAAGCCCAACUCAUUUUUUGCACCUUUCACUGCAAAAGGUGUGCCAAGGGAAGAUAGAGUAUCUUCAAAAUCUAAGGUGAAAUUGCCUAAAGUCUCAAGCAACACUCCAGUUUCUAUUAUUCGAAACUAGGAUAUCCAAUAUUAUAAGUACCAGGGACGUGGUCACAAAACUCUCCGGUGCCCAAACAAAUGAGCUAUGGCGAUUAAUGCAAAUGGACAAAUUGAGUUUGCAAAUGAGAAGGAGAUUGAAGAGAAACCUCCUUUGAUUGAGAAUCAGUCUGAUGGGGAAGAACAUACACCUGGAGUGCUUACCUUGGUGACUAAUCGAGCUUUAAAUGCGGAAGUCAAAGUGGAAGUGGACCAGAGACAACGCAUCAAUAUCUUCUACACUAGGUGUUGUGUUAGGGAUAAGGUGUGCAGUUUAAUUGUUGAUGGUGGGAGUUGUAUGAACUUUGUCAGUACAAUCUUGGUGGGUAAGCUUGCACUACCAACAAUUGAUCAUUGGAGCCCAUACACCAUACAUUGGUUUACCACCUAUGUAGGCAGAAAAAUUACAAAACAAGUUCCAGUGGCUUUCUGCAUUAGGAAGUAUGAGAAUGAGUUAUUGUAUGAUGUAGUUUCUAUGCACGCAAGCCAUAUUCUACUUGGAAGACCUUGGCAGUUUGAUAAGAGAGUUUAUUAUAGCAGACUUUCGAAUAGCUAUUCUUCCAAACAUAAGGGUAGGAAGAUUGCACUUACCCCACUUACUCCGCAACAAGUGCAUGACGACCAGUUGUAUUUAAAGUGGCAAUAUGAAGAGGAGUUGUUAAGGAUAAAAUAGGAGAGUGAAGCCAAGCUAAAGGAGAAAGAAAUGAGUGGGCAAAAAAAAUUUAAUCGUUUGUUGAUUGGGCUGCCAUUGGAGGGUUCAAUAUGUCUUACUAACCUAUUAACUUAUCCUUUGUUUCAUUUUUUAUGGGUACUUUAUAGGGAUUUUGAGCAAGGUGGUCACAACUAUUUUGAGCGAGUAAAGGUCAAAGAUUUGAGGAAAAAUCUUCUUGAAGAGAUGGGGAAUGAUAUGGAUGCGAAGUGAGUAAAAUUAGUUGCAAAGUUUGUCCAAGGAGGGGGGCAGAAGACUUUGCACUAUAAGCCACAGGCGUGUCCCGUGCCUGAACACAAAGAAAUUGUGUCAAGAAGACUUGUGUGUAAGAUAAGACGUGGGGCACACCAGAGUAGCCAUUUGCUAGUCCGCCGAUUCCGUGGAUUUGUUUGUGAUUUUUAGGGCUUUUCCUAUUUUAUCCGUUUUAGUAAUUAUUCUUUGAUUUUAAAAUACAUUGUUUAUUUAGUUUUUUUUAGUCAAUAAGAAAGGCCAAUGUGUGUUAAAUCUUUGAGAUUAAUGGGCUAAUUAUUGAGUCAAAUUUGUUUAGUUAUGAGGGUCCGGUCCAUAAGGUUUAGUCUAGAUUUUCUUUUAAAUAACAUUGUAUGGAACAUAGUUAUUUAGUUGAAUGAUUGUAUGGCAUUGAACCUUUGAGGUUUUCUACAAGUUAGAGUGGAUACUCUUGUCUUUCACUUUGAGUGUGUUCUUGAGUGUGAUCUUGAGUGAAUUGAGUGCUAUAUCAAUUUGGUAUUCACACAACUUGUGGCCGACCUACCCAAAUUCCAUCCAAAUUUUGUCCAAACAUGUCUUCUUAUGAACUGGAGUUUUCGUAUGGGAUUGCGGAUUUCUCUCAUCCUAGGAAAAUUCGUAUCACUAAUGGACUCCCAAUCUAUCCAAAUACAGAUAGGGCACUAACAAAUUUUAAAGAGGUUUGGUUUAUUUUUAUCAAUCGUUUAUUAGUUAUAGUAGAUUACUGAUUUAGUGGGUGUCUAAUUUCUAGCAGGUGAUUUAUGAAUAACUAAUCAAAUGUCUAUUAGGGAAAACAUUAGUUCUUUGGCAUUUUAUGCUGUGUAGAUGUUAGUUUGACACAGUUGUUAGAACUCAACCAUUUUACUUUGGAAGGAAAUCAAAGAGUUGAAGAUUUUGAAAUAUGGGCAAAGAAAAGGAUAGAAAAGAAAAAGGGAAUUUUGUAUUGUAGACAUGACUUAACUUUUGGCAUUCUGACAGUCAUCAUUCAAUCAAAAAAUGAAGCUAAAAUAGAUAACCGAUCACAUAACAUGCAAUUUAGACAUCAUAUUUGAUUGAUAGGUUCCCUGCAAAUAGCGCUAAUUCAAAUAUUCAUACUCAAAAAUUAAUUGGAUCCCUAAGCAAAUCUAUAAUAUGAGGCUCCACAACAUUGUGUGGAUUAGUGAAACCAUCCACUCCCUGCUUGUAGAAAACAUUCACAAUUCUUGCUAGGUUAAGAAAUCGCUCGAGAAUUUCCGUUGGAAUAGUUGUACUGAGCUUAAGAAAUUCCUCAUUGAUGUCUUUCCAAGCGUCCUCUGCAAUAUCCGCAAACUUCUUCUUUGCUUCUAGCUCAGACACAUUGUAAUGCUUCAUAUAGCACUCGAUUCCAGUGCCUCUGUAUUGUUUCUCACGCUUGAAAUGCAAAAAGAGCAGUUUUGAGAAGUUAAUCUACAGUACUAUAUACAUAACCAAAUUGGGGGGAAUUUUUUUUUCUUUUAUACAUACGUGAGAGUGCUCAAAUUUCAAAUUUCUCACUUACACUCCCUCCUCCUGAACCAUCCAACUCAUCCCUCCUCCAAAUUAGGGGAAAUUGGUAUUCUCCAGUUCAACAUUUUUUUAAGGGUAAAUUACUUAUUACCUCCCGUGUUACACAAUGCCAGAUGACCUCUCUAAGGUUUUAAAAUAAUGACAUAACCCCUUAUAGUUUUAUGUAAAUUGGAAAGUAGAUGGAAUGCACCAUUGAUUAAGACGUUUAUACCAAAUGAGCUUUAAAAGCACAUAUAAUAAAAUCUUAAUAUCCAUAUAACCUUCUUAUGGUUUGUAUAAAUAUCUACUUUACUCUGUGAUUUUUGUAUUUAUCUAUGUAAUCUCUCUAUACUUUUAUACAAGGUGGUUAAACUAUUGAUUGAUUUAGUAUUUAAAUAAGGGCACCAUUAGUGUUUUAACUAACGACAUUCUAUAAGUUAUUUUCCAUCAAAUUUCUACUUUACAUAAAAUCAUGAGGGUGAAGUGGAUAUUUUGAAAUGUUAGAGGAGUCAUUCGCAAUAGAUGAAACCACAGGGGGUUAUAUGUAAUUUAUCCUUUUUUAACCAUCUUUUUUAUUCUUAUAAUGACGGGUAACAUAGUUCUCACCUUAUUCACAAAAAAAAAAAAAAAGAAAAAAAAUCAUGCCACGUCAAGGAAGAGUUCUUUCAAAGAUGUAAGAAGUGAGAAAGUGAGGUUCUAUGUGAUUAUUGUAUUGUUUACAUGUUCGGCGUGUAUUUAUAUUACCUUUUUACUCAUGGUUGAAUUCAAUUUAUAUACACUGAAUUUUGUAAGAAGUAUAAUAGCACACAUAAAGUAAAUCAACCAGGCACAACUAUACCAAAUCACAACUGCGCUUUUCCUCCAGAAGAUUUUGUAAUUUAAUUUAACAUUAAUUGACUAACAACUUCAGAGGCAGAGCAUAGUCAUACCUCAUAAGACCCGAUGUCAUUGGUCAAUCGGCAUAUUUUUGCUAAAGAAACAAGAAUUUUAGGAUAGUUUGAUAGCCAAUCAUACACGUCCUCGGUGGCACAUUCCAUUGCAAGUAAUGCCGUUGGUAUUAGGAGAUAGCAUAAGCUCGUGACCAAUCCAUUGCUCAAGUAAUCAGGAAAUGCUGGCAAUUCUCUUGGGAUAAACCACAGUGCCUCAAUGUAGCUACUCCUUGCAUAUUGUUUCCACUAGUUGAAACCAAUGUUCCAAGAAUGUAUUAGGUUUAUAUAAUCAACUUGCAGCACGAUUUAGCUAAAUUAUUAUACAGGCGAAACUUAUUAAAGGAUGCAUGAUAUGUGACAAAAGUUACUUUUCAAUAAUAUAUAUACGCACACAUAUAUAGGAUAAAUUUUUAUGCACUAUCACUGUAUGCAUGGGUGGGUAUAAAUGCAUGCUGUGUAAUCUAAUUUUAAUUCUGAAAUUCACUCUUUGUAUGGAUUGCAUGCAUCCAUACCUAUUAGUUAGUGUAAAGAAUCUCUACAUUAACAGUGCGUAAAACUUAAUUCAUAUAAAAUCUCUGGCAUUCUUGAGACAACUGAUACUGAAGUGCUAUUUUGUUUAUAGAAGUUAAGCACUUGAACGGCGCCCUAUAUACCGAUUGAAGAUAAUCGCACGUUUAUAUAGUAGUUCGAUUAAUGGCCAAGAUUUGAUGAGGUAUAAAAUUAUCAUGACUUUCGAACACAGCAGAGCUCAAAGGAAAAACUAAGUCAAAACAGAAACAUAUAAAUGUAUGCCGAACAAAUGUGGUACCGUACUUCAUCUUUAUACUUGUCGGAUGCAUAAGACCUUUGUUGUGCAGUUAACUCAUUAUCAACACCAUCACUGACAUUUAAAAGGGCCAAGUAAGAUGUUCUCAUGCAGAUUGAUAAUCGAUCAAUUUCUUUAGCAUCCCACCUGAAACCAGAAGAAAAUUAAUUUCUGCAAAACUUAUGCCGCAUGUGUUCAAGUUUGGCAGAGGAUUCAAAGUUCAUGGCUUAGUUUAAUCAAUAGGCAUACCUUUCAAUUGCAUCAGUGAAGGUUAUUAGCUCAUCGAGAGUGCCAUAGGAAUCAUACGUGUCAUCGAUCGCUGUAAGCAGGGCAGUAGUCUUUGCUGAGAUGAUUCGGCCGAGAGAAUGUUGAGGCUCAAAAAACAUUCCUAAACCGUAAAAGUAGCUUUCAACAAGUCGUGCUCUUGAAUAAGGAAGUUUUGAUACAAUUUCUGACUCAUUUCCCCACCUGUCACGUGAAUCAAGAAUGCAUAUAUAAAAAUACCUUACUAAAUGUUCAUGAAUCUCCAUGUUCCCUCUAAAAAAGAAUAUGGUGAUGCAAUUAUUUUCUUUUUCGGACUACUGUUGAAAAAAAAUUAUUUUGCAAUAGGCGAUCAAUACGUCUGUAUUAUAAUGACAUAUAAGUCUGUCAUGUUUUGUCUUAGUUAUUAGGUGUAGCAUGAAAGGUAUGAUUGGGUGCUAGGCAAUUUCUUAACAGAUCAUGCACAUGUGCCCAAGUUGGGCUGCACAUUUCAAGUUUCACAAAAACAAUGAAAAAAAAAAUUUCUCAAGAUUUGAGUAUGACAUGUCGGCAAUGAUGGAGCCAAGGGGGGCUGAGGGGGGCCAUGGUUUUGAAAUUUUUAAUUCAUAGUAUGUAAAUAUAUGUAUAAGACAAAGUUGGCCCCUCCUAAUUUUUUACAAUUUUAGUUUAUAUUAUGAGAGUUUAUAUAUAUAUGUGUGUGUGUGUGUGUAUGAAUUAGCCACCUUUGAUAUAAUUUUUUCUUCAAAAAAGUUAUUUAUUUUUUAUUGUGCUAAUUAUUUAACAUUCAAAAAAUUAAAUAUAUAAUUUCAUAAGCCAUAGUAAAUUGACCCAAUUUGAUAUAUUAUAAUAAAAGACUCAAUUCAUAAUUAUGAAUGGGCUAAAAUAAAAAUAAUUACUUUAUUAGUCCAUAUACAAAUAUACAACUUAGCCUAAUUGAUAAAAAAAAUUAAAAUUAGUGAUCUAUCCUCUUGUUGACCCAUAUACAAAUAUACAAAUAAUUACUUGAAGGCUUGGUGAAGACAAGAAAUUGAGUGAUCUAUCAUGUUGUUGAUAGAUUGAUUAUAUUUGUUUUCACUCUUCAUGUAUCAACUACAAUUAUAGAACAGACAUUUUCAAUUAUAAAUAUAAUCAAAACAAAACUGCAAAACAAGAUAAAACAUAAUUUCGUGAAUGAUUGUCUAACAAUAUACAUAAAAAAGGGAAGUUGUUCAAAAAUUUAGUACUGAUUCAAUUAUAGAUGAAUUUAGUUAUAUGAAAUAAUGUAAAGCUCAAUUUACUUUUAAGAAAAGAGGUUGAAAUUUCAAGGUGUGCGAACAUAACUUUUAUCUUUUUUUUAAUUGAAAAUAGUUAUAUUUAUAUUGCAUAGUUAUAUUUUUGUUUUUGCACAAGUGACGUAUUGGAUCAUCUUCUCAUAAUGUACAAUUUGGAUAGUUUGUAAUGUUAUAAGAUAUUUAAUCAAAGGUUAUUUCUUGUUCUAAUUUUUGUUAUGACUAUGCUACAUAUUUAUGAAAUAGACAUACCUUUAUAAUUAAAUUUAAUAUUUGAUAUUUUAAGAUGUCAUAUAUUUAAAUCGAUGAAAAUUAUUUUGAAUAUAAUAUAUUAAGAUAAUUUUGUUCAAAAAAAUUUUGGCCCCCCUCCCAAAGAAAAAAUCCUGGCUUCGUUCUAUAGUCUAUAGAAUGGACAUUUUCAAUUAUGAAGAUAAUCAAAACAAAACUCCAAAACAAGAUAAAAGAUAAUUUCUUGAAUGAUUGUCUAACAAUGUACAUAAAAAAAGGAAGUUGUUCGAAAAUUUACCAUUGAUUCAAUUAUAGAUGAAUUUAGUUCUAUGAAAGAACGUAAAGCUCAAUUUACGUUUAAUAAAAGAGGAUGAAAUUUCAAGACAUGUUAACAUAAUUUUUAUCUCUUUUUAAUUGAAAAUAGUUAUAUUUAUAUUGCAUAGUUAUAUUUUUGUUUUUGCUCAAGCGACAUAUUGGAGCAUCUUCUCAUAAUGUGCAACUUAGGUGAUUUGUGAUGUUAUAAGAUAUUUAAUCAAAGGUUAUUUCUUGUCUUAAUUUUAGUUAUGACUAUGCUACAUAUUUAUGAAAUAGACAUAUCUUUAUAAUUAAAGUUAAUAUUUGAUAUUUUAAGAUGCCAUAUAUUUAAAUAGAUGAAAAUUAUUUUGAACAUAACAUAUUUAAAUAAUUUUGUUCGAAAAAAUUUUGGCCCCCCCAAAGAAAAAAUCCUGGCUCCGUCACUGAUGUCGGUGUAAGUUCAUUUGGAUCAUAAAUUGUGGCAUUUGCCAAGAAACUAGAUCUUGAACAAAUGCAAUGCUUGAUGGGAGAACAUAACAAGGAUUCUCUGAUGGGAUUGAAAGAUGAGCCAAAUAAUUUGAUAUUCGAACCUAGGUGUGGUUUGAUAAGUGCUCGAUUGAGCUUGGUUCUCUAAUUAAUUAAUUCAAAAUUUGAACAUAUUUUGUGUUUAAUAAACUCUCAAACUUGAUUCAAGUUUGGCUCGAUUAGUAUAAAAUUAGAUUAUACAAGUAAAAAAUUCAAACUACUCGAGGUCAAUUGUAGAUCGAUUCAAUGAGAACUCACUUGAGUUUAGCUCAAUAGAUAAACAAGCAAAACAUGGACAAAAUUUCCAGUCCGUUCAAAUAAUUAAAAAAAUUUAUAUAUUAGGGCUUUUGAUUUGAUUAGACUUGUCUACAUCCCUAUAUCUCUCAUCCAUACUGCAAUUAGCAUAAAUACAUAUUUGCAUCCUUGAGUUAUGCAACUAAUUAAGAAAGCACUUUUGUUGGUCUAGUUGUCAGGAGAGGCUUUUAGAGUUCUCCUUAUUGUAGAUUCAAGGAUCGAAUUCUGAGAUUGACAAUUGGGUGUGAAAGGGUUAAAAAAAAGUACUUUGACUGGAAAAACUAAUUAAGAAACUCUCUGUUCGUGCUCUAGCCUCAAGUCCUAGAGAAAAGUACAUACCUUAUGAUCUCUGAAAGUUCUUGUUUGUACAACAUUUGUAACAAGUUAUAGUCCAAUUUGGCGAACUUGAGAAGUAAAUGAUUCCUACAUUCAUCUUCCUCAUAGACAGAGAUAUAAUGGCGAGCCUCUAUUCUUGGGAUGCACUUGUGGAGCGCCUGCUUAAGGGUAUAGUUGACUUGUUUUGCAAGGCUAUGACUUGUAUAUGAGGCCACAUGUUUUAGAUUAGCUUCUGCAAAAGCAAGAGCUUCUUCUAAAAUGAUAUCUUUAUGUGUCCUCACUUGAGCAGCUUCAUACAGGCUCAACAAACCUUUUAUGUCAGUACUUAGUGAUUCCUUGAAUUUCCCAUCAGUUUCCACAAAUUGGUAAAAAAUACCUACUCACAAAUUAUAUGGUAAGAAUCAAAUUUCAAAAAGCUUAAAAAAUUAAAGUUAACUUGUCAUGCAUUAAAAAAAAAAAAAAAGGAACUUACUCUCAGAAAUAUUAAAACCAUGUUGUCUGAACAGUCGAAAAUGAAGUGCAACAGAGAGUAAAUCAUCUGGAUACUCUUUAGUAUUGGCAUAUACUUUGAAUGUCUUCUCUACUAGGUUUGCAAUCUCUGCUCCAUAAUGGUAUGAGAUACCAAGUCGUUGUACGAUGUCUAUCAAACUCAAUUUCUCUGUUAUUGUGUUUUCUGUUGCCAAUAGCAUGUUCCUUACUUCUUCCUUUAACAUUUUAAUUUCUUUGGCAUACAUAUCAUAUACCUGAUAACAUCAUGGACGUCCACCAUCAAGAACUUAAAACCCAAAAACAGGAAAAAAAAAUUUAAAAGUAUCAACACAAUAUGGAAAAACCUGCGUACUUUGCAUGUGGAUUGGGACCGUUACGCCAAUUCAACUCUUCCCCACCCCCCCCCCCUCCCAACCGCCAACAAAAAAAAACAAAAGAGCUUCUGAUUCAAAUUAACUUAAAAGAGAGAAUUUAAGAAAGGAAACUAACCUGUUGAUCCUGAGAGAAGAAAUCAAAAUGAUCACUCCAAAUGUCGUCUGGGAAAUCUGGUAAGGGGCGAAGAAUUUCACUCUGGUUUUGUAAGGGAACAGCAGCUUCGGUGGGGACCAUUGUGUUUGGUUAACCAGUGGAAGACUCAACACAAAAUCUAAAUGUGGUUUAGGAGCUAAUCAAAUUCAAGGCGAGUAUUUAUAGAGCAAAACAAGGCACAUGCUUUGACUGGCAUACCAAUUGGGAUUUUGAAGGCAUUGAAGAAAGCAGCUAGAUCAUUGACUAAAAGACGGUGGGAGUUGUGAAGAAGAAGUCGGCCAGAUUGUCGCAAUAUCUGAUCUUAUCUUAUCUUAUCUACCAACUAGAUAAGAGAACAACUCAAGAUCUCCGUUGAUGUCAAGUGUAUUGAAGUUCAAAGGGCUAAUAGUUCCUCACUAUUUAGGGGCUAAUUGGUAAAAAUAGUUGAAUUAUUUUCAUUUGAUUUUUUUGUUUGGUUUUUAAUUGGUGAGAAAGGUCAAUUGAAUCCUUUUAUGAAAAAUAGCUUUUUAAAUAGUUACUAACUAUUUAGGGUUAUUUUUGUCCAUUUAAAUUAUUCCUUUUAUAUUUCAUUGGUCAAAUGUAAAUAGUUGUAAACUAUUUGGGUGUCCUUUUAUCACAUGGGGUCCUAAUUAAAUAUUCCAAAUAUAAAAACCGUUAGAACUGAUGUGCCAGCCAAAGUCUUCCAAGAUUACUUCUCCCCGUCUUUGUUCCCUGCAUUAUAGAGCUAUGACGAAGCACGUCACUUCAGUCUUUUCUUGUUCCAAACUGUGGGCCAUUUUUGUUGACAGGGUGUCAAACCUGUGCAAUAAUAAAUACCCGUUUAAAUAAAAUAUAAUUUCUGUAGAUAGUGAUAAGUAGGGUCCAAUCCACAGGGACUGGGGAUAAUUUAUUUCUUUUAGAGUCCGAAGUAUGGGGGGUUUUUGAAAAUGAGAGUAACUAAAUUACUUGGAAUAAAUUAAAAUAAAAUAAAAUAAAAUAACUACAACUCAAAUAACUAAUUAUCACAAUAAAAAUAAUAAUAGACGAACUCUAGCCAAGAGACAACUUCGGAGAUGGUUCACUUAAUUCGAUCACAGAUGCAAGGAUUAUUCCAGUUACUAUCUGAUAAAUUAGUUAUAGUUGUCAUACACGCGAUAAACAACCAACUCUUCCUCAAUUUGUCGAUAGCCAAGGUACGACUGUUGACUAUUUCUCUAAUCAGGAAACAACCCUAGGUACGACCAUAGAAGUUCAAUUUCCUAAUUGCAUGAAUAAUUAGAAGAGCCUAAUUCUAACCAAUCAACACGCUACGAGGGUCUCUUUAAGUUAGCCUGUCUAUCUCCCUGACACAAACCCAAUCAUGCCAGUUGCCACCAGUUUAGAAUAAAUAAAUAAUUACGGAUUUAACUACUCUAAUUGGGUUCAGGUUAUUGAAUUAAUCUAGAAUCCGGGCCCUGGAUAAUCGAAUAAUAAAACAACCAUAUGAACAUAAAGCAGAAGAUAGACGAAUACCAGUGAAUAAUGGAAAUAAAUAAAAACUAAUUCGAUCUCACAAAUUUAGUAGAACCAAGGCCUCCGUUGUUCCUCGACUAGAUAUAUUUAGCCACGCCUCAUGAGAAAAUCUCUAAAUAAUUUAACUGAGAUCCAGGCCAUCAAAGAAACCAAGAAAGAAUAAAACUAAACUAUGCUCCAAAAAAAAGAGCUCUCCGUAGCCUUUCUUACAAUUGUCUUUAUAUAGCCAAAAGGAAAUGAAUAAAGCUAUCUAUCCAGUGGUCCCCGCACCAAUUCAAAGUCCAAUUCCAUUUCACAAGCCUUUAUAUGUUUCUUUUCCAAGAGUCCAAAUGACUCAUGUUUCUUAUCCGUGGUCCCCGCACCAAUGAGAGUCAAAGUACAAGAAGAAAGCCCACGCCAAUUCCAUUUUUCUCAUGUCCUCUUCAUAAGAUGACUCUUAGUCGGCGCCGCCUCAUCAGCACAAGGACCGCACCAAUGAGAGUCAAAGUACAAGAAGAAAGCCCAUGCCAAUUCCAUUUUUCUCGUGUCCUCUUCAUAAGAGGACUCUUAGUCGGCGCCGCCUCAUCAGCACAAGGACCGCACCAAUGAGAGUCAAAGUACAAGAAGAAAGCCCAUGCCAAUUCCAUUUUUCUCGUGUCCUCUUCAUAAGAGGACUCUUAGUCGGCGCCGCCUCAUCAGCACAAGGAAAAAGGCGAUCCGUUUCUUCUUAGCAAUGUGGGCCAGGUUUGUGGAGUAUUUAGAAGUCUCAAUUUUCUCCAGAAAAUACCUCCUUUUUUGUAGUUUUUUGUUCCAUUCCCUGAAAUUAAAUCCAGAUACCAAAUAUAAGUAAAUAUUAAUAAUUAAAACAAUAUUUGGCAAGGACAAAGGGGAAAGUAAUAAUAAAAUACUCAACAAUUAACACCCUAUCAAUUCCCCCCACACCUGAAUCAUGUUUGCCCUCAAGCAUGAGAACAGCAUUUGAAUACCAAAAUUUUGACAAUGGCUAUCGCUCCAACUACCGUAUUGCCAAGAUACCCCGAAAAACAUAUAUCAAGCAUUACAGGUUAAGAUCAAAGAAAAACCACAUUACUUAAAUGUAGAAGAGUCAAGUAAGAAGUUUAUACUGGAAAAAUCGUUCAAAAUGUUAUUCACAUUUUGCAAAAUAACUUUUUUCGUUCUUUAUUUUUAAAAGUAUAAGUUUACGUUUCUUACAAAUUUACAUCGAUUAAAUUUAGUCCCUAUCUAGAUUUGUGACUAGUUUUUGGCCGAAAUUCAUCACAUGCCUUACAUAUGAUCAUUUUUUUAAGGGAAUAGUCAUCAAAUUAAAAUUUACAUAAUUCAAUCCAUAGUCCUUUACAUUUUACAAAAUAAUUUUUUUGUCCCUCACAUUUCACAAAAUAAAUUGUUUCAUCCCUCACAUUUUAUAAAAUAAAUGUUUUUAUCCCUCAUUCAUCAUGUGUAUGAAUAGUUUUUUUUAAAUCCAUGUAUAUAUCUUUUUUAUUUCAUCCAAAUAGUAUGAAUAAUAUAUAAUAUAUUUCUAUUUGAUUUUUCAUGAACGUAUAUAUAUAUGGGUUUAAAAAAAAUUGUUAGUUUUUUACUCAUGUUCAUUUUCCUUUGCUCGAAAAUUGAAAACAAAGAAGACAUUUAAUCUUAAACAUUAUUGAGUGUUUAUGUCGAAUUAAAUUUGGACCAAAAAAUAAACAAAAGAAAAGUAUAACAAAAAGAAGUAAGUGAUUAGCACUUUUAAAUUUUAAAACAAUCACAAGGUAAAUAAUUUAACUAUUGAUUUUUCCAUCAAGAGCUCCCUUUCUCUAUUACCCUAAAUUCCAUCAAGAACAGAUUUUUCCAUAUCUGUUAGAAUAUUCCUAGUUUUUAAGAAUACAAUACCCUAUAAGUAUACAAUUUAGGGCAUACCCUUUCAGUGCAUCAGUGAAAAUUUUUACUUCGUCUAUAGUGCCAUAGGAAUCGUACGUGUCAUCAAUUACUGUAACCAAGACUGUUACCUUUGCCAAUUAUAAGUUGAUCCGGCCAAGAGAGUACUGUAGUUUGAAAAACAUGGCUAGAGAAAAAAAGUAGCUCUCAUCAAUUCUUCCUCUAGAACGAGGAAAUUUUGAUUCGAUUUCCAAGUCUUUUCCCCACCUGUCACAUAAAUCAUGUGCAAAUGUAUCUUAUUAACUGGUACGACAAAGAAACCAUCCUAUUCUCUUUACACAGAAAUGAAGUAGAUCGGUCAUCGAGAAGAAAAACAAUAGAUCAUUUAAACAUUUGGUUCAUGCAAGGGAAACAAUACAGUUACACAGUGGAGGUUAUCAUUUGCGCAUUCAUAUAUUAGUAUUAGUUCAUGCAGGGAAAGGCUGAGGAUUAUAACUAUUUUCUCCCUUCUGGGACACUAGAUGAUCAAGUUUAUUGAUUGUGCAAGGAAUUGAUCAAUGGACGUUUUAAUUGAACCGACCAGAGUCGGAUUCUUAUGCAGACUCCAAGGUGUUAUAGUAAUGCUAAAACAUCAAAUCCUGGAAAAGUGAAAAAUAAAAAUUCAAACUUUUACCAAGUUGAUGAGCGGGAGUCUCGUGGGCUAAUGCUCAAAUCUGGGAAAAGCGAAAAUCCUGGCUAAAGAAGAUUAUAGAAACAGAGUUAAUUUUAAGAUUACAAACCAAAUGUAAGAUUUUGAAAAAAAAUAUUUUUUUUGGUAAAAAGAAUUAUUGUAUUUCAAUAUUUAUAUUAAUAGUAGCAAUUACAUCAAAUAUGAUACAGAUACAUAAACUUGUCAAUCAAUUGAUAUAAUAGAUCUAAAAAAAAGGACUAGUUCCACUUUGCACUCUCAAACUUUACCAGUUUUCCACUUUGCACCUUAAACUCAAAAUUUGAACACUCUACAUCUCAAACUCUUAAUUUUGAGCACAUUGCACCCUAAACUCUAAAUUUUUUUUUUUAUUUAAGUCCAGUCAAUGAUAAUUUUAGCAAAAUUAAUUAUAUAGAGAACCUUACAAAUCAAUGAUAAUUUGCAACAAGUGAUAAAAAUGAGCAAAGAUGUUGCAACUAUAGCAAAAUGAUACAUUUUCACUAAUUUACUCUAUUUUUAUAUUGUUAAUUUUGCUAACAAUAUGAGUAAUUCCGAACAUACAAAAUCAAUGACAAUGUGUUGAAAAUAGUAAAAAAGAGUCAAGGGAUCAUAUAUAGAAUAACAUGAUAUAGUCAUUAAUUUGCAUAGUCCUUUAUCUUAUUAAUUUUGCUAAUGUUGUCAUUAAUUGGACUUAAAUGGGACAAACUUAAGAUUUUAGAGUCCAAAGUAUCAAGAAUUAAGAGUUUAAGGUGUAAAAUAUUCAAAAUUGAAGUUUAAGGUGUAAUGUGAGAAAGUGAUACAAUUUGGGAAUACAGAGUGGAGUUAAGCCCCAAAAAAAUUACUUGAUCAUGAUAUUGAAACUCCAAGGGUAUCUUCCGUUAUGAAUAUCUCCCAACAAAUUUAUAGAUAUGUCUUUUAAUAGUUACAUCUAAUAAAAACUCUUUCAAACUCAAAGAAAGAAGUUUGGAUCUAACUUUUAGAAUUGAUUUCUAAAAUUUACCAAAUCUUUAAUCUCAGCCACCGAACAAAAGGACCAAAAAAAGUGAAAAAAAAAAAACCAAUCUCGCAAGGAUAUCCCAGGAGAAUUUUGAAAACUCAAGAAGAAUUGGCAUUUCGAUCAGAAAAUUCUACGGAAGUAUUCAAUCUAGCUCUCAUCAGAUUUUAUCAGCACCGUUUUAGCUUUAUCACAUAGUUCCGUCUUAAAUUGUCAAGAUAAUUUACAGAAAACCCUAGAUUUGUGCUCAUGAAGCAAAUUACCUACAUCAUUAACUGGCAAAGUUCUUGCUUGUGCAACAUUUGCAAUAUAUUUCAAUCCAAUUCGGCGAACCUCAAAAGUAAACUGUUAUUUGAUUCAUCUUCGUUGUAAAUAGAAAUGUAAUGGCGAGCAGCUAUCUUUGAAUGUCCUUGCGAAGCGCUUGUUGGAGGCGUGAUUUGCUUCUUAUGCAAUAGUAGGACUUGCGUGUAGCAGCCUGCAUUUUAAGUGUAAAGUUGCGUUAAAAAAAAAAAAAAAAUUAAAUCAACAUUAAAAAUAAAAGAAUUUCAAAUUUGAACAAAAUUAAAAGCGUUAAUUACAUUAACCUCCCUCGUAGUUUAGCUGAACUACAAACCAACCCUUAAAAUUUGGCCAAAUAACAUCUGACCCCCUAUUACUAACACCAUCAGAACACCAUAGAGGGAAAGCAUAAAAUGACACAUGCCAUCCAGCUGAAAUAGUUGAAUGAAAGUAAUUUCAAAAGUUGCAGAGCAAUUCCAGUGAAGAAUAAAAUAGUAAGUGCAACAAAUGAAAUUUCUCAACUGCCAAGGAUCUCGAAAGAAAACAGCAAGAGAUAAAGGACGAGUUUCCAUUCCUGUCCAAGUUCUCAUAAUAUCAUAUGCCGAUGUGCUGCGGCUGAGGACUGCCACAUUUCUUUCUUCUUUUUCUCAAACCUUGAUUUUAUCUCCCUGUACUAAUUUUUCUACAACUUUUACAAAUCCACUUGAUACGCCGCCAUGUCUAUCGUCUUUUCUCCACCCUUGGCUGUUAUCUCUUCCAGCGAAGUUACACAUGUCAAACCAAAUUCAUGGGUUAGGAAAGGAAAAAAAACCCAUACAGUAUCAAACCCGUCAACAAGCGGGAGUGUUUUUUGGCUUUUAAACCUAAAAGUGAGGCAUAAACAAGUGGUUUAUCCAAAAUAACACAAAUUUAUAUGUUUAUGAUGACAAAAGGGACAUAUCCACCGAUUCCUUCUUGAAAUUCCUAGGCUUCAACAUGCCAUGACUGGAGUCAGUCACUUUGGUGCUUACGAUUUAAUUACGGCAGAGUCAAUAUCAAGAGCUGGCUUUUCUUCUUCUUCUUCUUUUUUUUUUGAUAAAAUGGUUGACUUUUUUUUGUGUUAGAUUUUGCUGCUAUAAGUUUAUUUUGAGAUUCAGUGAAGUGUGUUUAUUCUGAGUUUGUAGGAUGGAUCACAAUUUAAUUUUGUAGAGUCAAUAUCAAGAGCUUGCUUUUCAUUCAACUCGAUAAAAUGAAUGGUUUUUUUUUUUUCUAUUUUUUGUAAGAUUUUGCUGCUAAAAGUUUAUUUUGAAUUUAGUGAAGUGUGUUCUCUCUAAUUUUGUGGGAUGGAGAAAUAAUUUACUGAUGGUUGUAAAUUUGAAUCGAGACACUGGUUGUUGCAUCCAUUUGAGCACUAUUUUAACCAUCUUGUAGUCGUGGGCUAAAAAAAUUUUCUUUUAGCCCAAAAUAGUGUACAGAAUUUUGAUAAAUUUGGAGUUGAAUGUAAUUAGGAAGAUCAUGGUUGCAGACGGUACUCUUACAGUGAUGGUUGGAGGAAUUGUAAAGGGGGAAAAUUAGACUUGCCUUUAGGAAGAGUGGAUGUUUGAGAUGAAUUGAAUGAAAUUGGGAAAGAUCAAAGAUUGAUCAAGAAAUUCAUUGGCUCUAGGCGAUGGCUUCUGACUUACACAUAAUACAUCGAUUGUUCCUUUUUUUUUUUUUUCAAAUAUAAAGUAGAUGAUAUAUAAAUAGAAUUUUAGCCAUUGUUGAAUUACCAUUAAUAUUUGUCAUUUGUUCCUAUUUGUAUAAUGUUUUUCUAACCUUCGCUGUUGUAAAGAAACUAAAAUUUUGUUUGUUUAAGAAUCUUACAUAAGUAAAAUUAAUAUUUUCUAAGGUAAUAUUUGAACUUAUAGUUAUCAUAUUAUAAGAACCUAGAGUUGAUUUAUCGUGACAAACCUUUUAAUUAAAUUAGAGUUAGUCUAAUGUAGGACACUUUUUUAUGAAGAAGUUAAAGAAAAUUAACAACAUAACUAACUAUUAAUAUGUUUCGGUCAAACUGAUAGUGUUUUAGUUUAAAACUAAAACUCUAUUGUAAUUUUUUGGAGAGCUUUGGGGAGCGGCUGCCCCUGCCCAUCCCCCUUGUGUCCGUCAUUGCGUUGAAGCAUUAUCUUUAUUAGUUUCUCAUUUGUUUUUUUUUUUCUUUUGAUUGGUUCACACGGAGAAAUAAAAGAUUGAGGAUUAAUCCGAAGCCUACUUGGUUAUCCGACAAAUCAGCCUAAUACGGACAUUUUUUGGGUCUUCUAGACAUUUGAGGCUGUUUAAGCAAAUACUCCUACUUUAAAGCUCACUCCAGCUUCUCUUGCCGGUCACAGCUUUGCUUAUACUUCAAACCAAAGCAAACAUUUUUUUAGGAAUUGCUUCGUGUUGCAAAUAGCAGCAAGCGCAGUACUAUGAUGUCGAUCUGUAGACAAACAUGAGUCAUGCUUUUCCUCAUAAAAUCUUGGAGCAAAUCAAAUUUUGAGACUUGACUAAGCGUAUCUGUUAAGUCUCACUCAACUCUUCUUCCUUUCGCGCUUGGCCUUUCGAAUUUUUCCACAGAGAAGAAAGAUAUGGAAACUUUCCCUUUUGGCUUCUGGCUAUUGCUAUAAAUGACUUAUCAUCGUCUUUUGAUUUAUCAUUCGUCAACCUCUAAAAUCAAAGAGCUGAAAAAAUGGCUUCUUUCUUCAUUUACACUAUUUCCAUCUCUUACCUUCUAAUUAUGCUUCCAAUGUUUAUCUGUAUCUCCGACCAAGCUUUCUCAGAGGAUAUUUCUGAAGCUAUAGCAAUGAAAAGAAUGAUGAAAACAAGCCACCUGCACUUUUACUUCCAUGACAUUGUUAGUGGUAAAAACCCUUCGGCCAUGAAAGUUAUUGGGACAGAAAUUAUGAGUUUUGGCACAACUUUCAUCAUAGAUGAUGCAUUGACUCAAGGUCAAGAGCCAACAUCGAAAAUUGUAGGCAGAGCUCAGGGGAUGUACGCCGUUGCAGCACAGAAUGACCUUGCAUUGCUAAUGGUGAUUAACUAUUCAUUUACAGAUGGGAAAUUCAAUGGAAGUAGCAUCAGCAUUCUUGGGAGGAAUCAUGUUUUUGAUGAUAUCAGAGAAAUGCCCAUUGUUGGAGGCACGGGACUGUUUCGAUUCGCUCGUGGAUAUGCAUUGGCACAUACAAUUUGGUUUGAUAUCAAGACAGGAGAUGCAACUGUAGAGUAUAAUGUGUUUGUUCAACACUUCUAAUUCUAUAGAAAAUUAAGUAGCAUGAUUGAUCAAGGCACGCAGUUAUCUGUCAAUUUUUGAUAGAUAGAUUUGGUUUAAGCUAUCUUGUUAAGUUAAUGUUUUCCGUCUAUUUUGUUCAUUUUAUUAGUUCUUCUGGACCAAACUGGCUAAUAUUAGGGCAGCAGAGGAAUGGAGUUCUUUCCUUUCUUCUUCUUCGUAGUGCUUGUUAAACAAUAUUUUCUUUUCAAAGUUUGAGGCAAUACAUGUCAAGUAUGUAAUUCUUGAUUUUGCUCAUUUCUUGAAACUAAGACACAGCAAAUUUGAAAAUUCUUCUCAACAAAUCUUCUCUUCAUUAACUGCAUGUAGUUUUAAAUUUUUGGGAACAAAAUUGACUAUAUUUUGAAUGUUGAAACUAAAGGUAUGAAUUAGUCAAUUCAUUUUAUUAGAACAAAGCCUAUGUCAGUACCAAAUACUCCUUCAAAGAAUAAAAUUUAAAUCAUGUUAGUCUGUCUGUUAGAGAAAAGAAGCUAUGUAUUAGCCACCUUGAUCCCCUUGAGACUUCAAUAGGUACUUGCUGUGUGACUCUUGCAUAUGUUAUGAAAAAGUUGACAUGCCUAGCAUGUCAAUGGGUUAAGUUUCUCGUCAAAGUCAAUUCAGAUCGAUCAUUAUUGUUUUUAUGGGUCUGGGUAUUAACUUUCAAACUCAAACUUAGACCUAUAAGAGAAUUAUAGAUUUGAAUAGGUCAAUAAUCCAAACCAGAAUUAGAUCCAUAUCAAGAUCCUAUCCACACCUGCUUAUGCUCAAAUUUGUAAUUACAAUGGCUUUCACCUACCUCUUGAUUAGUCAAACCCCCAGUAAUUAUAUUUUGUUGUAUAAUAAAUCUGGUAUAACAACUUUCCAUAAUGUUUUAUCUAUACAAGAUAUUUUUCUCUAAAGUAGCUCGGUACCACUAAUAUUUUUUUUGAUAAGUGAGAGGUUUUGAAUUCAGAAAUUCCUACUUGUACUUCCUUCAACCUUACCACCCAAUCAAACACUCCCCUUAUUAAUAUUUUAAUUUUGUUUGAAUGGAUAUCAACAAUUAAUUUCAAUAAGCAAAAUUCAAAUUGCAUAAUAAUGUAUACUUACAUUAAUUUAAAGGAAAAUAGAAAAAAUUGGAGGAGGUUCAAACACAUGUAAAAUAACUUGGAUGUUAAAUGCAGCUGAAACUUUUAAGGAAAUUUAAUUGAUAAAAUUUUAUACUCAGUUAUUAUGAAAGCAAAACCUGUGUCAGCAUUAAAUAUUUCUCCAGUGAAUUUUUUUUUUUUUUUAAUAUAGGCGCCAGUGAACAAGUUCUUAAUCAUGUUAGCUCCGCAAACUAAGAGAAGCAAUAUGAUGAAAGCUUUUUAAUUUUAUGUGCCAUCUUGAUCCCUUUCACGCUUCAAUAUGCAACUGACAUAUGGUAAUCGCUUAUUACUUGAUGUAAAAGUUAAAACUAAACAGACGGUAAUUGAUUAUUACUUGAUGUUGAAGUUAAAAUUAGCUUUCACUCCAACAUUCAAGUAACUUUUUUUACUUUCUAACGAUUCGCAAGUUAAACGUUAUCAGGAAGACCAACGUGGCUAUGCCAUGAAGUUAUGGAGUUUCAGGACAAUUUAUUACAAGUGUUCAUGUCGACCAAAGAUCCUCCGGUGGCGUGAAGUAAAAGCCCUCACCCACUAAAGCAAGAAAACUUAGAUUGAGGCACGUGACAAAAACACAUUGAUUGGGCUUAAUAAAAGAUGUGGAUUGGGGCCCCAGGACGUAAGGCCCAUGCUCAUAUACAAAUAGGCUUCUGAAGAUCGCCAACUGUCACAUAUUGCCGAGUGCCAACCAAGACUGGUAAGAUCACGGUUCUAUUUUAGAACAAGAAUCGCCCCUCGUAUAAGCAGUGCCAGUUUUAAUUCUGGAAUUGCUAAUUACGGAUUCAGUUACAAUUUCUGCUUCACUUCCUUCUGAUUACAUUUAAGAUUAUCAAAGUGAUUGUAGAAAGAAAAGACAAUGAAAUUGCGCUUUGUUCCAAUAGUGCAAGAAUUUCGAAGGAAUUUUGUGCGAGUUCCGAGAAUACCCUGCUUCAGUUUCCAUAUAUUGUGUGGCAUCAUAGUUCCACGAACUUGUCCAUGUAACUGUUGAACUGAGUCAGGAGUUCAAAAUGAUCAACCUAAAUUACCAAGUUAACUCACAGGUCUAGCAUUAUACACUAAUCCCUGUGGGAUUGGAGUUCAAAUUCUGAAGAUAGCCCCGUACGUUUGACACCAAAUUCACCAUUCCACUUGACUCCUUCCCCCCCCCCCCCAGCAUGCAGAGACCACGAGAUUUACUCCUUUUGCAUAGUCGAAGCUAAAAUACCAUUGAAUCCCAAACUCAUCCGGUGCAGAAAUCACAUGAGGUUUGGUUUGACACCAUUUGUAGUACCCGAACUCAUGGGUUAGCCCAAACAACUUUUAAGUAAAACCAAGACUUCAAAAUGAUGAACCAUAUUAAUAAGUAAUCCACGGGCUCAACGUUAUGUACUCAUCACAAUAAUGAAGCAGUGACAAGAUAUGUAGGACUCAAGCUUUGGCAUUGUUCCCAAACAGCUUUUGGGAAAGUAUCAUGCACUAGUGUUGUUUGCAUUUAAUGUGAGUAGAGCUUACAAAAAAAGUCUAAUACCUAACAAUCCAUUAAACCCGUCCAUUGAUUUUUGACCGCCCAUUGAUUUUAAAGGAUAGGUUGGAUUAUGAAUUUUGUUGAAUUAGGUAAGAACAAUCCAACUUAUUUAUUGGACGGGUUGGAUUUUUUAUUUGGGCAUCCAAUACCCACCUGCUUUAAAAUAAUUCAAAACAAUAAAUACAACAUUCAGUAUACAUCUGCCCAACCACUUGUAUUUAGACAUGUAUUAACAAUUUAUUGAUCAAUAUGUAUUCAAAAUUCUCAUAUAUAUAUAUAUAUAUAUAUAUAUAUAUAUAUAUAUAUAUAUAUAUAUAUAUAUAUAUGUUUUCAAUCAAUUUUUUUAAUUUUUAUUUAAAAGAAAAAAGAAACUUGAAAUGAACACUCAUGCUUAUUUUACUUUUAUAAUAAUAAUUAAACUUGCUCAACAUCUAUAAUAAUUUAUUAUACCUUUUAAAAGUAUGUUGUGUUCCUCCCUUUUCUUCUUUCUGUUUAUUUAUUGUUGUUCUCCAAUUGCUACUUAUUUCUGUUGUUAAUAUUUUGUAUACCUAGAAUAGAAUUUUGAAUUUGUUCUAAUUGCAUUCUUUUACUUUUCUCUAACUUGUUUUAUUUCAUUGUUAAUAAUUCCUCAUCAAUAUUAUAAUACAAUAAAUUAUAUGUCUCUUAAUUACAUUUUCGAGCAUAAUAUAAUCUAGUAUUUAAUAAUUUAAAUACAGAAAAUAUUACAACUUACAAUAGAGCAUAUAUGAGUAGUAAAAGUGUUAAAUAAGUUGUGACAAAAAUAAAUUUCAAUCAAUUAGUUAUAUUAAAAGUAUAAAGUAAACAAAUUUUUGUAGUUAAUCUACUUAAAUGUACAAUUUAUUAUCUAAGAUUUGCAAUACAAGCAACAUAAAAUAUUAUUCUAUUUAUGAUAUGUUUCCAAGGAGUUUAAGAAGUGAGUGCGAGUUUGUGUGGGGGAAAAUGUGUUAGUGUGUGAAUGUAUGUGAAGAUGGGUUUAUGUAUGUGAAAAAAAUCUUUUUGUGUGUGUAAAUGUAUAAGAGAGAAUAAAUUAAUUAUCAAAAUCAAGUCAAGGAAAUAAUCUUGGCAACGGUUCACUCAAUUGAUCACUGAUACUAAAAAUAACUCAUAUAUUCACAAAUAAAUUGGUUAUAGCAAUUCAACAACCGUUGAACCACCAAUCUCUCCUUAAUUUCUUGGUAGUCAAUAGACACUCAUUAAUUACUUCGCUUGUAAAGUAGAUAAUCCUAAAGAUGCUCAUAGAAUUUAAUCUAUUCACAACCUUAAAUAUUAGAAAGACCUAAUUCUAGUUAACAAAUACACAUGCAGGUUUAUUUAAACUAGAUUAAUUAUUCCUUAGAGUGUCAAACUGACUCAUUAAAAGAAGUAAGAUCGGUAACUCAUGGAGUUAAGAGGUGACGGGCCUCAAAUAUGUGCUCAAGUUUAAAUCUAAAAUACACCUAUUUACUGCAAGUAUAUAUGUUAAAUUUAUAGAGCAGGGCGAAUAGGGUUGAUCCCAUGAGAAGUGCCUAAUCAAGUACGAGGUCCUUCGCUUACUUUAUAAUCUAGACUAAUAUCAAUUAAAAGCAAUAACAAGAAACUAAUUCACUAAUUAAUAUUUCAAACUACUAACUUGUAGAGAAAGACAAAUGAAGAAAGUACACUAAGUACUAAGGUUCUACGGUUUAGAUUCCACUAAUAGUCCAAAAAGGCAAGCGAAUAAAUUUAACCCUUUAAAAUACACCUAUUUAAUAAAUAAUGUAAUACUGAGAAAAGAUCACAAGCUCUUCUUAUGGCAUUUGAAUCCUUUCCAAAGCAGAGGAUACACUUUGCAAGGAGCAGGGGAAGAGGGUUGGGCAGAAAAAAGGACCCUUUACACAUAAAACUGUAUCAAAUUCAAAAGGAAAAGAAAAAUGAAUCCAUCACUUUAAACAUCAACAAUUAAUACCUCUUGAAUCCCCAUGCCGAAACUGAAAAAAGAGGGUAAUCAUGCCAGCAAAUGAUAAAAUAGCCACUUUCUUCCUUGAUCUUAAAGCCAUCAUAGUUGCAACUCUGCAGCACUCUCAUUGCCUGCUUCAUUCCGUUGUAGCUUAAAUUAAUCUUUCCAAAACCUGCAAACUCUAGCCUAGGAAUCCAUUUGUCAAGUUUCUCAUGCCUUGCCUUUCUUUCAAGUCCUUCACAAGCUAUGAUGCUCUUAAUUUCUUCUCCAAAAAGGAACUUUUCAAUCUUUUGUCGUUCAACUGGUGCCCUGGGAAGGGUAUUCUCUAAGCAAUCAAAAAGUGCUGCAUAAAAUUUCAGUGCUUCAUCGACUCUUUCCAUCAAACCAUGGCAGUUGUGGUUUGAUUCAUGUUCAGUUACUACCAUAAGUUUUGGGGAAAGGCCCCACAGGGCGUUCAGAAAGCUUAAUGUUUUUGGAGGUGGUGAUGAUUGAGAAUCAGGACUGGCACCGUACAAACUCAUCACAUCUCGCUCAAGAAAAUCGCCUAAAGUACGAGGAUUCAUAUGCAAAACUCCAGGCAAAUGAACUGAGCUCGAGUUAUUUGGCACAGAUGGUGAGUUCCUUCGCAUUGUAUCAUCAUCAUAUGCCAAAAGAGAAUGCAGCUGAAGCACAGAACUAAUGGCAACAGCUUCUCCAGACUUUACGCGUAAACUUUCAAUAUCAAGAUUCUCUAAUUUGCUGACCAUUGGGCAAAACUGAAAAGGUAUGUCCAGUUUUUCAGCAGCUUCCUGCAGCCGAACAGCCAUUUGAUCUAAUACCUCUUUCUGUUCAUGAAUUCCUGUAAUUCUAAGGUGAGGGGGCCCUUCUUGCCUUGCUUUUAGUUCCUCGAGAAGAUUAAUCCACUGCGCUGGCUCAAAACAAUGAAGAUCAAUGAUAUGCACAACUUUCUCCCCUUCCAUAGUUUCUAGAAUGGCUUGGUUGGUAAUCACAUAAGAAAGCCUCAAAAAGGGACAAUACUCAAAGAAUAAUUUCUGUGCAAGAAUAAUUUCAGCAGCACAUGUUAGUUUGGUUGAAUUCAGGGCCUUGUGUAAUCCAGGCCUCCAGCCUUUCAGCACGCGAUCAGCAAGUGCUUCUGUGAAGUAAGCAACAAUCCUCUGAACUAUGUCACCAUCAGGAGAUGCAAGAAGUGAAAUCUGCUCAAGUCCACUGCUAGCACUAUCAAGGCUGCCGGCUGCAACACAUCUCGCACAGGCUGUGAGAAAGCCGAAUAGCCACAUUCCUCUCUCAUCAGAUUUCAUCUCCCUCAACAAUGUGUAAGGAGAACCUAUACUUGGUGAAAGUGACAUCAAGAAGAAGAAAAGAGGUGAUGAUCCCUCUUCCUGAGCAAUUCCUGCCACUAAAAGCAUAAUUCAUGUAAAAUUGAGUUAGAAAUACUGUUCUAGGUAUGUAAUGAAUCUAUAGAUCAUAGAACAUGGAAAUGCAACUUAAAUUUUACAAAUGACCUGUUUUUGCCCAACUAGAAUGUAAAAAGAUUGCACUUAGACAACAAUCAACAAUUAAUUUAGUCUCGAUGUUAUUAAUUUUAUCUUCCAACCUUUCCAACUUGUGAAAUGAAAGAAAAUUUUCUUUCAUGGUUCCAGCCAUCGUUGGCUAAAUGGUUAACAGACAGGGCAAAUGGAUAUCACCGAAAUGACCAGUGUACUAGUAACAGAUGCAAAUCAAGAAUAUAUUUCAACUGAUCUGAUUGCUAAUAAAUCCAUGAGAUUUAACAAUGAGUACAGACUAUAGAAUUGAAAUGGGGUGACAGUGAACUUACUAGCUUACUAGCAAGUAAUGACCCUUGAAGGCUGAUGAAAUAUUUCUUGAAAGAAGAGAAAAUUCAGGCAGCAAAAUGGUAACUUUAACAAAAGGCCCACAAAAAUGGACCUAUGACGGGCUUUUAGCAGCUUGCUGGUUUUUGGGAACUGUAGAGGGGCUUUUGUUGCACAAAAAUAAGUCAAAAAUGGUGCUAAAACUAAUUGUCCUGAAGGACUUUACCAUGGCAGCAUUGCAUAUGACAAUUCAAAGGGUAGUCUUUGUCCUCGAGUGGAUUGUUGUCCAUAGAUGGCUUCGAAGAGGAAUAAAGGAAUUUGUGAAUCACAGAGCCCUCUCUUCCUGCUCACUAUGAGUUUGUUUUUGUCACCAUUCCUUCUGGAUGGGAAUAAAAGUUGGCCAAAUUUGGUUUUUAUUCCUAGCAAAACGCAAAUCCAAACAUGUAUUAUCAAAAAUACAACUUUUAUUUUUAGUAAACAGAAGAAUAAUCAACUUUUUUUGUUGCUUAGUGGUUAGUUGGGGAUUGCAAGGUAAGUCGUACAAAUUCCUCCAAAACCAUAAUCUUGUUUUCUUUUCACAAAUGUAGACUAUAAAUUUGGUAUUUUCUUCUUGCGUUAAGGUAAAAGGGACAAGAAGUUUCUGGGAAAAGCCAAAAGUAGUCUACUAGUAAAUUGAGAAUGUAACGUUAGACAUGGAAUUUUGGACGUGAGUGCUUGGAGUUUCCCAAAAUCACAUGCUAAAGGCUCUAAUCCAAGAAAGAAGUCUUACACUAUUGUCUGACCAUAUAGCAUCUAAUCCUUCACAAGUUGAGUAGACUUGCUAAAUAAUUGCGAGACUAUUAAGGGGGGCUAUAAACCAACCUCCUCUCUACCUGGUUUUAUGGGGAGCUAAAUUUUCUUGACACUACGUAGUAUUGCUAAAUAAUUGCGAGAGUAUUAACCAAGCUAAAGCCCUAGAAAUUGAAUAACGAGAUUGAGGAUUGUGAGAUAAAAGAGAAGAAAAAUAAUCACGGACUACUUUUUUACCUUAUGUAUUUGCACUUGAUCAUAUGGUCAUAUUUUGUACCCUUAAUCAUUUUUAAUGGGGUUGGGCUAACGUUAAAAUGGAUUUAAGUAUUAAUUUUCUUCUAAAAGUGAGGUUCAUUGGCAAAAGUGUGUCAAUGCAAAAGGAUUAAUAAUUAUUUGAUUGCAUUCAUGUGGUAAAUUUUAUAUAAUUUAUGUGUACUAAUAAGCGGACAGUCUUCUAAAAUAUCUUUUUUCGUAAUAUUAUCAUUUUCAAUUCUGACUCCUAUCAUCUUUGACCGGUUCAUAAUUAUUGAUUCUAUGUGUAAAAUUUAAGAAUAAUGUGUGAAUCGUUCAUAAACAGGGCAACGUUUCUGGUUUUACUUGAACUUUGCAGAGAGAAAACUUACAUAUUUUCUUUAGCUGAUUGAGAGCUCGAAAUUUGAGCUUAGAGACUUCUUGUUUACAAGUGAAUUUCGUCUAUUGUUUUGAUUGAAAAAAUUCUAGAAUCUGUGAACUAUUGUCGGCAAAGCAUAUAUGAGACUCUAUACAAAGCAAAUUCUAAUAAGUGCAUUUUGGCAUGUAAACAUCAUCCAAUCAAAAGCUAUAUCCCUUCAAGAAAGGACAGUCAACAAACUGUUUACAGUCUUAGCAUUUGCUUAGGCAAACUUGAUAGAAAAAUAAUACAGUUUGUCAGCUCGUUAUCAAAAUUGAGUACUUGUCUCGUUUGUCUUAAGCGGUGGUCGGUCCUAACAAUAUUUUGCUUAGUAUGGGCGUCUUCAACAAGUGACAUUUUGUAGCUUUAUGGGUAUAUUUUUGUGAUAUUUCCAAUGUUUCUCAGUAUAUAAAUCUGGCAUCGUAGAGUCUUGUUCCAGAUUUAGCACAUAGUCGAGAUGAAAUGAUGAUUAGUACAACAAAGCUUAAUAAUCGUUAGAAUAGCUGCUUCAUGUUUUAUUCAUGUGGAAGUUAAUGACCAAAUUAAGUAGUUGUCAAAAAACACAAGAUGCAUUAGAAUCAUAUUUCUAAGAUUGGAAUAAAGAUUGAGUUUUGGUCGUUGUAGGUUUGGCUAAGCCAAAUAGACGAGACGUUCAAUACUAAGUCGGAGUCAAUAUUUCACCUUUCAGAUAGAGAUUUGGCAUAAUAAUGUUCUAGUGAGUUUCGUCACAAUUGGAUGUAUUUUGCUGUGACUUGUUGUAUAGUGUAGUCCUUGUAAAGAGAAUAAUGACAUUAAACAAUUUAACCGCAAAUAUCUAUGAAAUUGUUGAAGAAUCUCCAAAUGCCCAUCAAAUUGUAAUUCAUUGUACUCCAAGAAUGAGAACUGCUGUUUGUUUAAACACUACAACUCAAGCAUAUGUUAUUCCAUAGGUUGAGAUUUAAAAAAAAAAAAAGUUUAUUCUCUGCUUAUAUUUAGAAAAGGUGAUUAGAAUGUCAAUACACACAAAAAAAAAAAAGGGGGGGGGGGGGAGUAAAGGAGAAUCACAAUAUUGGUGGACGAGAACAUUAGAUGGACACUUUAACUAGUAUUCUAGUUAGGAAGAAUUAAAACAACAAAAAAAUUAAGGGCAAAUUACACUUUAUCCCCUGUGGUUUAGUAUUUUUUACAUAAUCCCCCUAUGGUUUCAAAAGCUAUACAUAACCCCCUCAUGAUUUGAAUUAAAGUGUCAAAGUGACAAAAAUAAUCAUUUGUAAUGGAGUCACCUAAAAUGUCAAAAAUACCCUUAUGUAAAGUUGAAAAUUAUUUAUUAACUAAGGGAGGUUAUGUGUAUAUUUUAAAAACUAUAAGGGGGUUAUAUGGCAAAGUAUUAAAUUAUAAGGGAGUUAUAUAGUAAAACAUAAAAUCAUACGGAGUUAGUAUGUCAUAUAUUUAUAAGGGUAAUUUUGGUAUUUUUAAAAGUUCCGUUACGAAUGAUCAUUUCCAUUUUUUUGAUACUUUAAUCCAAACCAUGAGAGGGUUAUAUAUAGCUUUUGAAAUCAUAAGAAGAUUAUAUAGAAAAACACUAAAUCACAAGGGAGUAAAGUAUAAUUUACCCAAAAAUUAAUCGUUAGAGUUGGUGAUUUAGGCAUGAAACCCUUGCGAAAUAAAGCUUAUCAAAUAACUUAUAAUUACAAAAAAAAAAAAAAAAAAAACAUAGCCAGGAUUAUUUGAGCAAAUGAUGUCCACAAGGUUGUCGCAAUUGUACUCAUUCUGUGCGGAUUGGGCCUAUCUUAGUGUGACAACCAACUAAUCCUGACUAGAAUGACGUGAGUAACAAUUAUAACUAAUUAAUAUUUUAGAACAGAAAUUCUUAAUAUAAAAAAGAACGAAAUGUAGAAGAGGAAAACAUUAUUUAAAAAAAAAAACAAUUCAGAAGGUUCAGAACUCUAUUAUUGAGUUUGACUUAGCCAACAGUAUUCUUAUGCUUCAUAUAAAUGUACGCAAAAAUAUCCAAAAGGGGAGCUGCGAAACUUUGAAGGGGAAUCGCUUCAACUGGUUUUGCUUAUGCAAUUGUUUGCUUUGUCUUCUAAACUGGAGAAGUUGCCUCUUGGUGUAUUACAUUUUUUUUUCCACAAAUGAUAAUAGCUUUCUAAAUAUUAACACUUGAUACUACAAGGAUUACUUACAAAAGGAACAUUAGCCCUUUCAUCUAAUCUAUUUGCCUCUAUCAACCAACUUGGGAAGUGACUUUCCCAAUCUAUGUCAUUAACUAGCUUUGAUGCAAAAAGAGCUAGCCUAUAUUUCUUGGUUUAUUACAUGUAUGACAACUUUUGCACGUCUUACAGGAUUAUUCCCUUUUCAGCCAAAAGCUGGGCCCCACUCAGUUAACAUUUACCACCAACCAACUUCCUCCAGAAAAAUUGACCAUCACAUGGAUUGUGGAGUGGGUGGUCAAGGGUUCAAAUUUUAUCUUUCAUCAAUGUGCUAUUGUAUAUGAUUUUUUUUAAAUAAAUAUGGAUGCGUGGUCCACCCGUUUGAUCCAAUGAUAGUUCAAUUCCUGUCGAUUCUCUCAAUUCAGUUGGUCCACCCCUUAGAGUAGGCUCAAGUAGGAUUAGGAAUAAGUUAAACUAGCCUAGAUGUAUCGUUACUCAAAAAAUAAAUAUUUAACAUUUACAACCCAAACUUUAGUUUAAGACACGUUCAAUGAUGGAGCCAGGGGGGCAGAGGGGGGCCAUGACCCCCCCUAAGUUUUGAGAAUUUUAAUUCAUAAUAUGUAAAUAUGUGUGUAAAAUAAAAUUGGCCCCCUCUAAAUUUUUACAAUUUUAGUUUAUAUUAUGAGAGUUGGUAUAUAUAUAUAUAUAUAUAUAUAUAUGAAUUAGUCAUCUUUGAAUGGAAUGGCUUGCAAGCUUUAAUUUGCCAUGAAUGUCCAUAUGCCUAUUGCAUUCAUUGUUUGGCUCAUAGGCUUCAACUUGCUUUAGUUGCAGCUUCUAGAGAAGUAGCUUCUGUUCACCAAUUCUUCUCCAAUUUAGUUUUCAUUAUCAACAUUGUUAUUGCAUCUAGCAAACGUAAUGAUGAAUUAAAGAAGGCUCAAGCAAUUGAAGUUGGUACUAAGAUUGCUAAUGUUGAACUUGAAACUGGAAGGGGUUUAAUCAAAUUGGCACUUUAAAACAAGCUGGAGAUACUUGUUGGGGUUCUCAUUUGGAUUCUAUUUCUAGUUUACUAAAAAUAUUCAAUGCUACUUGUGUACGUAGUUUUAAGUAACAUUGCAGUAGAUGGAGGUUUAUACUUUCAACGUGGAGAUGCAAAUUUUGCUUUGAAUCAGUUGUUAUUCUUUAAGUUUGUUUUCACUUUGCCUCUUAUGAAAGACAUUAUGGAAAUUACUCAUCUUCUUUGUAUGGCAUUGCAAUGUAAAUCUCAAGAUAUUUUGAAUGCAAUGCAUCUUGUCUCAAGCAUAACAAAGCUACUAAAGAAUUUUCGAGAUUCGGGAUGGGAUGAUUUCUUGGUGAAAGUUAAAUUAUUUUGUGAGCAACAUCAAAUUGAUAUCCCAUGUAUAAAUGCUCAAUAUAUUGCAAGACGUGGUAAAUUUCGAAGUCAUCAUGAUGAGAUUAGUGUAGAGCAUUAUUAUCGAGUAGAUAUAUUUCUUGCAACAAUUGAUUAUUAAUUGCAAGAGUUACAUAGCAGGUUUAAUGAUCAUACCGUGGAAUUGCUUGUUUUGAGCACUGCUUUAGAUCCUAGAAAUGGAUUUAUGCUAUUCAAGAUUGGUGAUAUUUGUAAACUUGCAGAGAAGUUCUAUCCGAAUGAUUUUAUGGAGCAAGAACUAGUACGUCUAAGAAUAGAACUUCAACAUUUUGAUCUCGACAUUUCAAAUCAUCCUGAAUUGUAAGAAUUAUUUGGUUUUCAUAAGUUAUGUCAAGGUUUGGUGAAGACAAGAAAAUCGGUGAUAUAUCCUCUUAUUGAUAGAUUGAUUAGACUUGUUCUUAAACUUCCUGUCUCAACUACAACUACAAAGCGGCAUUUUCAAUUAUUAAAAUAAUCAAGACAAAGCUCCAAAACAAGAUGGAAGAUAAUUUCUUGAAUGAUUGUCUAACUGUGUAUAUAGAAAAGGGAGUUGCUAAAAAAUUUAGCAAUGAUUCAAUCAUAGAUGAAUAUAAUUCUAUGAAAGAGCGUAGAGCUCAAUUUGCUUCUAAGAAAAGAUGUUGAAAUUUCAAAAUAUGUUAACAUAACUUUUAUCUUUUUUCAAUUGAAAAUAGUUAUAUUUAUAUUUAUAUUACAUGGUUAUAUAUAUAUAUAUAUAUUGCAUAGGUGACAUAUUGGAGAGCAUCUUCUCAUAAUGUGCAAAUUGGAUGGUUUGUGAUGUUAUAAGAUAUUUAAUCAAAGGUUAUCUUUUUUGUUAAUUUUUGUUAUGACUGUACCGUAUAUUUUUGAAUAGACACACCUUUAUAAUUAAAUUUAAUAUUUGAUAUUUUAGAUGUCAUAUAUUUAAAUAGAAGAAAAUUAUUUUGAACAUAAUAUAUUAAAAUAAUUUUAUUAGGAACAAAUUUUGUCACCCCCCCCCCCCAAAAUCCUAGCUCCGUCGCUGGGCAUGUUACACUUUAAAGAAGGAAUGAAUCUAUGUCAUUAUCAUAAUUCAAAAGUUUAGUGUAUUAAGACAAAGAGUAAGUUUUUUAUACACUAUCAGUAUACUUUUUUUUUUUAACACUUGCAGGUUUAGAUCAUUACUACUUAAGAUGAAUUCAAAUUUAAAAUUCAAAUAAUAUACAUAUGACAUAUAUCCAUAACUUCUAGUCUAAAAAAAUCAGUACACUACUAGUGUAUACAAAUAUAAUUCUAAGAGAAAAAUUUAAUAAAAAAAUGAAUUAAUCUUUUCUACAUUAUCAGUGUAUACACCGAUGGAAUUAGAUAAAUAUCACAUAAUAUGAAUUUGAAUUUAAAUAUCAAAUUUUAUAUAUGUGGCAUGUAUCUAGAAUUAGUAGAUAUACUGUCAAUGCAUAAAAGAUUUAACAAAAAAAAAAUACACAAUUAUUCUUGUAAACCGCAAGGGCAAGUGUUAAACAUAUAGAUCAUUUUUAUUUACAAUCAUUAAAAUUUGGGCUUAGCCUUGCAUGGCCCAAGACAAAUCCAUCACCGGCUAUAAUAUUAGGCCCAAGGGUCUGCUCUAAUAUCAGUGAAAUCCACCCCAUUGACAGCCUUACAAUGUGACUGUUAUUCUAUUGCUUCUGCAUUUUUUAAAGAGAAGAACACCUAGAACAAAAUCAAGAUGGAAGCCCAUUAAGAUUCAAAAAAAAAAAAAAAUUUAUGAGUUUUCUAUAAGCUAAUUUUGUGGAAACUAGGAGUAAAAAUAUUCUAUAAAUAAAAAAUAAAAAAUUGAAAGAGAUAUCAAUUAUUGAAUUAAGAGAAGGAUGAGAAAGAGAGAAAUGAGUUUUGGCGUAGUUAGAUGAAUAUUCAGGUUUUUCUUUUUCUCAUCUUAAAAUUUGAGGGUUUGAACACAAGGGUGACUCUGGGCUUUUAACGAUUUUAAAGAGCUAAACGACAAGUCGACGUAACGGAGGGACAAAAGUGGUACAAAGACUAAUAUUAGGAACGAUGCUACAAAAUACAUUUCAGAACUAUUAGUUCUAGUUUAAUAAGUGCCUGCCUGAUUCUAGUUUGAUUUCAGUUUGAGCCUGAAUCGUGACCAUAUCUUAAUAUAUAGAGGGGUUUAAUUCAUUUAGUGCAUUAGAUCAGACCAUUAACAUAUAUAACUCCAUUCAGCAGCAAGUAAAAAUUUAAUAAACUUUGUCAUCAAAAUUGAGAACUUGUCCCGUUGUCGUAAGAGGUGCUGUCGGUCCUAACAAUAUUUUGCUUAGUCUGGGCGUCUUCGACAACUGAUAUUUUGUAGCUUUUUUUUAUAUAUAAAAGUGACAUUUUGUAGCUUUAUGGGUAUAUUUUUGUGAUAUCUCCAAUGUUUCUUUGUAUUUAAAUCUAGCAUAGUGUAGUCUUAUCCUAGAUUUACCACAUCGUAGAGAAAAAAUUAUGAUUAGUGGGACAAAGCUUAAUAACCAUAAGAAUAGCUGCUCCGUGUUUUAUUGAUGUGGAAGUUAAUAACCAAAUUAAGUAGUGGUAAAAAAUACGUGAUAUCGGGGGAUCAUAUUUGACUAAGGGUCCGUUUCGUUGGACUGAAAAUAUUUUCCUAGAUCGAAGUCAUUUUCCUGAAAAAUCACUUCCUUCUCCAUAAUUUUCUAGUGUUUGGUUAUUAAGUGAAAAUAUUUUCCGAAUUCCUUUUUCAUAAUUUUCCGGUGUUUGGUUUGUCAAUGAAAAUAUUUUCUGAUAUGUUUGUUGAUAUAUUGCAAAUAUUUUUCUACUCUCAAAAUAUUCAUUUCAUUACAAGUUAAUUUUAGUUUCUAUCCAUUAUAAUCAUGUUAUCAUUUUUAUAAAAUAUUUAUUCAUAUUACACCAUGAAUUCUUAAAUUUCCCAACUCGAAUACAGGGCGAAAUUAGGAUAGAUCUAGAUCAAACUAAAAAUAUUGGAUAUUUUGAUAUUUGAAAGAAAAUGAAUUCUUUCGUCUCAAAAUUUAAUUAAUAUUCAUUAUUUAAAUUAAAGUGGCUCUUUCGAUCAUUCAUAGAAAAAAAAGACACUUGUAAUCCUAAAAGAACUAAAUUGUCAAAUCCCACCACCACCACCUAACACAAAUGCAAUCUUUCACAUUAGACUUGAUUAUCACAUAAAACAUAUUAGCAAUUGAAUUAGAAUAGUGUAGGACAGUUUGAUAUUCUUGUAGCAUUGUUUACUUGCCUUAAGUUGCUUCUAAUUAGUAGAAAGGAGAAAGGAAAAUGUCUGGGAUAUUUUUGAGAUGAAUGCAAAUCCGACUGGAGCUGUUGAUUUUAUUCUUGUUGUCUAAUCUUCCAUGGGCUCAAGGGAGAAGAGCAGAUAGGUCGUUAUGUGUUAGAGAGGUUUGAUGUCAUAAUUCAGUACUUCUACAGCAAUACUUUAGUUUGCAGGUUGAGUGUAGAUACUUUUUAUUUAUCAAUUCAAAUUGCUCGACAAAUUAUGUGCAACCAAAGUUGUAAAGAAUUCUAGUGGAACACCCACUGAUAUUGUGACUAAUAUGAUUCUGCUGCCGGUGAUUCUCUAGCACUGGGGGCGGGUUAUCUGGUUAUCGGAAAUUAACUUCAGGAAAGUUGCUGUUGACGUUAUUUUCCACCCGGUGGCGUGAAAACAUUUCCAGCUGAAAUAAUUUUCCAACCUCUUUUGCUUCCAAACAUCAGAAAUUUUGGAAAACUUUUUCAGGAAAAUAUUUUCAGUCCAAACAAACAUACACUAAGGGUCCGUUUGUUUCGGAUGAAAAUAUUUUUCAGGAAAAUAUUUUCCUAAUUUCUCGUGUUUGGUUGCACAAAAGUUAUUGAAAAUAUUUUCCUAUGUAAAAUAUUUUCACUCAGCUUAUGGAAAACAACUUCCCUUCCAAACUUACUGAAGUUGUUUUCCAAAAUGCAUGCAUCCCGCCUGUAGUAUGUUUAAAACUUACUGAAAACAUCUUGUAGUAUAUUCUUUUUUUUUUUUCAAUGUAAACAGGAGGACUCGAAUCCAAGACCUCUUCCUUACACUCCCUCCCCCGUACCACCCAACCCAACCUAACCCUCCCCCUAGUAUAUUCAAAAUAAAAAAAAAACCUUAUCCUGCUCAUCCUAUGCUAAUAAUUAAUUAUGUAUAAUAGGGACAUUCUUUUCUAGAAAAACUUUCAGCAGUGAGAGUGCAAGAUAUAUGUCACAAUAAGCAUUGCAUGUGAUUGAUAUUUGACACUAAAUGGCCAGCAAUUUGUUUAUUGCUUAAGGAGAUAUUUUUUAUUCAUAUAUACAUUUUUUCAAGAUUUUUUAAAGUUAAACAAUGAGAUAAAUUUUCUUAUUUUGUAUGGGAAGAAGUAUGUAGUUAUAAUGUGUAGAAAGUAAAGAUAGAGAUAAAAGUGAAAAUAUUUCAAAAGUUAAACAAACACCAGAAAAAUGAAGUAAGAAAAUAUUUUCAAUAAGCUAACCAAACACUUGAAAAUGAUGAAAGGGAAAUGAUUUUCAUGGAAAAUUACUUCCACGGAAAAUAUUUUUCCAAUGAAAACAUUUUACUUCCAACCAAACAGAGACCUGAGACUCAAAUAAAGAUUGAGUUUUGGCUGUCGUAGGUUUGGCUAUGCCAAAUAGAUGAGACUUUGAAUACUAAAUCAGAGUCAACAAUUUCAUCCUUAAGAUAGAGAUUUGGCAUAACAAUUUUCUAGUGAGUUUCGUCACAAUCGAAUGCUAUUUGCUAUCUUUUGUUGUGUACUGUGGUCCUUGUUAAGAGAAUAUUUAGAUUUAAAAAAUUUAAACCCAAUUAUCUAUAAAAUUGUUGAAGAAUCUCUGAAUACCCAUCAAAUCAUCACUGCAAGCAUGAGAAUUGCUAUUUAUUUUAAACACUACAACUCAAGCAUAUGUUAUUCUAAAGGUUGAGAUUUAAAAAAGAAAAAAGUUUUAUUCUCUGCUUAAAUAUAGAAAAGAUGGCUAGAAUGUCAAUUGACACACACAAACAAAGGGCAGGAUAAAGGAAUACUACAAUAAUGCUAGACCACCUCAUUCGAUGGACACUUCAACUAAUAUUCUAGUUAGGAAGAACUAAAUAAAAUAAAAAAAAAACAAACAAUCCUGAGAGUGGCUGGUUAUGCUGGUAACGAAGAAGUGCCAAAUAUGCAUCUAAGCAAAAAUGACUCUGUUAUCUUUAUCCUAAUUAAGGCUGAAAGGCAUGCCAGUUUGCUUGUACUUGUGCUUUUGGAUGCACAUGAAUUGAAAGAUUUUCUUUAAAAAGGUAGUCGUAAAUAUUUUAUUACUUUGAUUGUUUAAAUUUGUUCAUGUUUGUGUUACGAAGUCAAAGGAUGAAUCGUUAGCAUGUUCAAAAAUCUUAUAAAUCACUUCUUGAAAAUCAAUUGGAUAAGAAUAAUUAAAAUAUAGAGAAAUGAUAGGGGAGAUGAAUAUUUUUCGUGUGAGUUAUCUUUAUUUUGUGAAUAAAAUAGAAUUAUACACAAAACAAAGUGCACUAGGCACUUUAUAAUGAAGUGGUUUGGUUGAGAGAAAGAAUAGAAUUUUGGAAAAUAUAGUUAAUUAUGUGUUACAAAGUCCUGAUUGCCAAAAAAUGUAGAGUGAAACUUUUUUAACUUCAUGUUACGUUUAUAACAGAAUUCCUUUAUUUGAAAAAGAAAAACAAAGGUCUCUCCAUAUGAUGUAUAGAAAGUAGGGACGACGGGGUGGGGCGGGGGUGGGGAUGGGGAUGGGGGAAUUUUCCUCCCCCACCCCCAUUUUAACUGGGGUGGGGGGCAGGGGACGAUACCCUUGCCCCAUCCCCCGUCCCGUACCCCACUUCAAUUUAUUAAUAUAAAUAAAUGUAUUAUAUUAUAUAAUCUAAUAAUAAUAAAUUUAUAAUAUUUGGCAACUAAACAUAACAUUUAUCUCAUUUUUAUCCAAAUUCCUGAUUGCUAUUUGGCACAAAUAAGUUACACGUUCUAUGAGUAUUUCCAAAUGUUAUUUAUAUAAUCCAAUUGAGUUUCUUAAUUUUCUUGGUGUUUUAUUUCAACACUUUUCUUGUUUCAUUUUUCUUUUUUCACUUUUUUCAGUUGUGUUUUCUUUUAUUCUUUGAAUUUAGUUUUGAUCUACUGAAUAAAAACUUCUAGAAAAAAAAUCAAAUUAUCACCCAUGGGGAGAAGCGGGGCAGGGGGCGGGGGGAACGGAGGCGGGGAUGUGGAGUUUUUUGGCAAUAGGGCGGGAGAUGAGGGGAGGGAUUCCCUACCCGAAACCCGCCUCGUUGUCAUCCCUAAUAGAAAGGGAGAAAACCAAACCUAAAUUAUCUUAGAGUUUGGAAAUGCACAGCUAGUACAAGGUCCCAGGUAAUAAAAGAACUAAAUUACGACCAAGUGCAUUUAUAGGUUACGAUAAAAAUUUUAAAGCCUAUAGAUUAUUUGACUUUGAUUCUAAUGUGAUUGUAGAGUCAACAAAUGUGCAAUUUUUUAAAUAAGAUUUUCAAAAUUUCAAUACCUACUGCAGAUCGAAAAAUUUUAAAGCCUAUAGAUUGUUUGAUUUUGAUUCUAAUGUGGUUGUAGAGUCAAGAAAUGUGCAACUUUUUAAAUAAGAUCUUCAAAAUUUCAAUAUCUACUGCGGAUCGAAAUAAUGAUCAAGAGCCACUCCAAGAUAUUGGUCCUUCCUAAAAUAAUAAAAGGAAGGUGGAUGACACCCCUAUUGAACCCAGGGUAAGUUAAGGACAAAUAAAUGAAAAGUAUCCUUUUUUAUUUUAGAUUUCAUAUCUUUACAAGCAAUUAUCUUUUUGAUUGAAAGCCAUAACGAAUCUCUAUAUAAUAAGAUACCAAUCUUAUUGAACGUAGAAGAAGAUCCAAAAAUAUUUAAUAAAGUUAUGGCAUUAGGAGAUGCUGGAUCUUGGAGAGAAAUGAUAAUUGAUGAAAUGGACUCAAUAUUAUCUAAGAAUACUUGAGUUUUAAUCGAUUUACUACAAGGUUCAAAACCAAUUAGAUGUAAGUGGGUAUUUAGAAGAAAAAUGCUACAGAUAUAUCAAUUGUGGCCUUUAAAGCUAGAUCAGUGACUAAAGAUUUUAAACAAAAUGAAGGAAUACACUAUUUUGAGACUACACCAAUUGCUAGACUUACACCCUUAAGAGUACUAUUGCCAUUAAUUUCAAUGCAAAAUUUGUUUGUAAAUCAAAUGGACGUAAAAACAACAUUUUUAGGUGGUAUCCAUGAAGAGGUAUAUAUGAAAUGACUAGAAGGUUUUAGUAUGUAUGGAAAUGAAAAGAAAGCAUGCAGAUUGAUUAAAUCAUAUAUAGCUUAAACGAAGCACCUAAUUAAUGGCAUAAGAAUUUUGAAUCCAUAUUACUCUCAAGUGGAUUUAAGUAUAAUUAAUAAUGAUGAUAAGUACAUUUGUUUUAAAUUUACUCAAGGAGUAUGUUAUAAUUAUUUGUCUCUACGAGGAUGACAUGCUCAUUAUUAGAACUAAAAUGAAAGGUGUGAAAGAGACUAAGAAGUGUCUUCCUUCAAAGUUCUAAAUGAAAGGAUUUUGGAGAGAUGGAUACUAUUUUGGGCAUUAAAGUUAGAAAACAUAGUAGGGUUUUUCCUUAUAUUAAUAUCACUAUAUCAACAAAAAAUUGAAUAAGUUUCAACAUUUAAAGGUCAAAGUACUAAGUACCCUCUUUGAUUCUAACUCGAAACUUUAUGAAAAUUCUGGUAGUUUAAUUGCUUAAUUUGGGUAUGCAAGUGCAAUUAAAACCUUGAUAUAUGCCAUGCACCAUACAAGACCAGAUAGACCAAGAAUCUAGGUAUGGGACAUUGGAAUUCCAUUGAGAAAGUUCUUGGUUAUCUUAAUGGACUAAAAUUCUACAACUCUUUUAUAAUAAAUUUUUAGUAGUACUUGAAGAUUACUCUAAUGCUAGUUGCUUUACCAGUGCAAGUGAUAAGUAUUCACUUUGAGUGACAGUGCAAUUUCUUGGACUGUCAGGAAAUAAACUAUAAUUGCUCAUUACAUCAUGGAAGUUGAAUUUGUUGCUUUGGUUGCUGUUAGGGCAGUCAAAAGAGCCCACUAAGCCUAAGCUUAAUUAGAUGAGACGGAGUUUAGACCUUAAUAUUACACCCGAAUUAGAUAAAGCCGUGUUUGGGCCAUGCUAUGCUCAAACUUGAUUAAGGGUAGAGGUGUCAAAAUGGGUGACUUGGGCGGUUUUGGGUUGGGUAAAAUGGGUAAUGGAUAUAAGUGAGCCAACUCAUUUAUACCCAUUUAAUUAGAUGGGUAUAAAUGGGUAAGUCAAAAAAUGAAUUGGGUAACCCAAUUACUCAUUUAUAACCCAUUUAUUUUAAAUUUUUGUAAACUCAUUUAAAUUCAUUUUUGCAAACUAAGUUAUCAAUUUAUACCACUCUUUGUACCCAUCAUUAGUUUUAAAUAUUUACUUAUAAUGAUCAAUAAACUUAAUUACCAAAUUUUUUUCAUUUAUACUCUAUUUCACAAAAUUACCUAUUAUUUAAUAAUUGAAUAAUAAGAAUAUAAAAAUUUGAACUAAGUACUAUAAAAACUUAAUCCAAAAAUUUUGAACCCCUAACAUUUUUGUCAUAUAUAAAUUUAAAAUUUCAUUUUAUAAAGAUAAGAAAAUAGGCUAAAAUUUAUCAUAAAUUGGUAAUGCUAAAAAAUAAGCAAGUUAACAAACUAAGAGAAAAUAAAAUAAUAAGAUAAAACUAACAAAUAAUAAUAAUAAUAAUAAUAAUGAAACAAAAGUAAUUAACAUCAUGACAAAAUGAAAAUUUUGAAAAAAAAAAGGUGGGGGAAAAGAAGAGACUUGGGGGGAAGAGAAUUCUAAAUGGGUUAAUUGAGUUUGAUUGGUUACCUAAUAAUACCCAUUUAUUAAAUGGGUAUUAUUGGGUAACCCAUUUAUACCCAUAUACAAAAAUUUAAGAUACCGAUACCCAUCUAUUCAUGGGCGGGUAUGGGUAAAUUUAGUUAAGUGGGUUGAUUUGCCACCUCUAAUUAAGGGUAAGCCAGUAUAUGAGUGUGUGUGGGAUAUUUGUGUGUGUGUGCGUGCGUGUGUAUAAUUUAUAAUUUAUAAUUUAUGAUUAUACAUAUUAUGACAUAAAAUGAUAAUAAUUUAUAUACAAAUUUAUAGUAAUUUAUAAUUAUAAAAUAUAUAUUAUAUACAAUUAUACAUUUAAUUAUGAGAUUGGUUCGAGUCCAAUUUGAUCCCGAAACUCAUAUAAUAAUAUGUGUUGAACUUGAACCUUUUAAUUAAUUUGAAAUCGAAACUCAAAAAAUCACAUAAUUUAUGAGCCGAAUCUAGGCAUGCCAAAAUCUGUUCAAAAGGCUCAAUUGACACCUCUAGUUGUUGCAUGUAAAGAAGUGAAUUGACUUGAUUUAGGAGUUUAUUACUUGAUAUCAAACUAUGGCCACAACCCAUGCCUAUGGUCUCUUCAUGUUACGAUAGUGAAGCUACUAUGUCUAAAUCCUUGUCAAGAUGUAUAAUUUUAAAUCCAAACAUAUUAGUUUAAGAUACGAGUAUCUUAGAUAAAUGUUAAAAAAUGAUGUCACGACCACUAUAUGUGAAAGAAUAUAUAACAAUUUAGUGGAUGUGUUGAUUAAGUCCUUUACAUGAAACUUAGUGAAUUUGACAUCGUUUGGAAUGAGGUUAAAACCCUUUAUCUAAAAAUCACUAACAAUGAGAACCCCAUCUUUAUUCUAACACUUCUAGCAGAUGAAAAGUUUAAGAGGUAACAUAAUAACUGAUUGUGAGCACCACGACUUGUGUAUACCACUACACCCCACCAGUGCACGUUAUUAUUAAAGGUUGAGUGGAUGCUUAAAUUAUAGGGCAAAUUACAUUUUACCCUCCUAUGAUUUAGUAUUUUUUGUACAUAAUCUUCCUAUGGUUUCAAAAAUUUUAUAUAACCCCCUCAUAAUUUGGACUAAAGUGUCAAAGUGACGAAAAUGAUCAUUCGUAACGGACCCUUUAAAAAUAUCAAAAUUACCCUUGUUUAAAAAUUAAAAUGGUUGAAGUGAUCAAAAUAUAUAAACAUAAUAUACAUAGCACACUAUAUCCGUAUGGUUUUAUGUUUUACCAUAUAGCCUCUUUAUAGUUUAAUGUUUUACCAUAUAACCCCCUUAUAAUUUUCAAAAUAUACAUAUAACCCCCUUGUGGUUAAUAAAUAAUUUUUAACUUUACAUAGGGAUAUUUUUUACAUUUUAGGUGACUUCAUUAUGGAUUACAAAUUCCGUUACUUUGACACUUUAAUUCAAAUUAUAAGGGGGUUAGAUAUAACUUUUGAAACCAUAGGAGAAUUAUGUACAAAACCACUAAACCACAGGAAGGGUGUAAUUUGCCCUAAAUUAUACUCUUAAUGAAAUGUCAAGCCUUUCACGGUUCCAUAUUAUAAAGCUUCAAAUUAGCUUCACCUAGAUGAUCAUAGAAAUGAUACUGCUUCCAGCAAAAGUUUUCAACUUGCUUUCAUACAUGUUCAUAAAUCUAAGAUUGAGUAUAUGGCCAAUAAUACUACUAAAAUUCUUUGUGAAUUAAUCAAAGUUUACCAUGUGUAUGAUACAUCCAGUUUAAUUUAAAAAUUAUAGUUUGAAACUAUAGGCCACCUUGAUUUGGUUAGCUUUAGUGAUAUUUAUACUAAGGGAAAGUUUAAAUUAAAAGAUGCUUUAUUUUAUGCAUCAUAUUGACCGGGUUAGUUUGAUUUUUCAUUUAUUUACUAGGGGAAUAUUAGAUUAGUUUGAAAAUGAAAUGUACAAAUGUGCAAACACACAAAUAUGACUCAAAAUAUACACGUAAAACAUUAAAAGAUUAAUUUUGUAUACACUAAAAGUAUAUACAUUUUUACUUUUGGAUGCGUGACAACAAAUCUAAUUUUCAAUUUAAAAUUUAAAGUUUAUAUAUGUCAUAUAUCUAAUUAUAAUAGUAUAUUUACUAUUAAUAUACACAAGAUUUGCUUAAUAUAUGCAAACGUGAGUUGAUUUGUGAAAUGCAAAACUUGUUUAACUUAGAAAUGGAAAUCCAAUGGACUAACUUCAUCAAAAGGAUCAGACACCAGAUCCUAGCUCCUUCAGCAGGGCCGGAUUGUGUCCAUAAAGUUCCAAAAUCUAGUUUUACAAAUCUGGCCAGGGAACCUCGUGAUUCGACGCAGAAUGCUUGUCGGUCAGAACAAUGAACCGGAUCUAGUCCUAUACCCGAUUCUCAGUGCAUCCGGAUUCGGGGCCGAGCUUCAUCAAGAAAUUUUCUGUUGACUUUUCCCUUUAAACAGUGCUUACUUUGGUAUUAAUAAAUGCUUUUUCAAUGGCUGGCAGGAAGACGACCUUCCAGCAGAAACUGAAUUGUCACAAGUCUCAUUACAAGGAGAAAUCAAGGUUGUUUGGAUUGUUAGUCUUUGGAAAAAAGUGGAAAUAUUCUCUUAAUUCAUCUUUUAACAAAGUUUUUAUAUGAUAAACAUCACAUUCUAAAUUGUGUUAUUAGUGUUUCUAAAUCUCAUCUACGCAAUCCCAACGUUCUUUUAUUGAUGUUCGGCUUGAUAUACAGUUUCAUUGAUCUGCAAUUACGGUUUCGGGGAUGAGUCUAGAUAGACAUAUUAAACAGAAGUCUCAUUGAAAAUAUGUACCCAUGGAUAAAGACACAUGAUGAUUAUAACAGCGCUCUACAAAUCAGAUGGAUCCCCGAUGAUGGUAAGUCACUGGUGUACUUUAACCGGUUUCUGCUUGCUGAUAUUUUAAUUCGAGCGUUCUUCAAAUCAGAUGAUUUGCUGAUUUUGAGUCUGUGUCUGCGAAAUAUAGAAGUAUGGACCAACCACAAGAACCAUUAAACAGGUAAAUUAAGAACAUUCGUUCUAAAUUUAACAAGAGAAAGGAGUUUACAUUAGAUAUGAUCACACUCAAAACAGUGUCUUAGAUAACCAACAGGCAGACAAGCAGAGACAGCACCAGCAAACACACAGGUUACCACCUUUAUACAGAAGAAGAAGAAGACUCCCAGAGAAACCACGGCGGAAUUCCAUGGCCACUUUAUUACAGGGGACUCCCGUGACCCAUCCAUCAUCACACAAGAGUAAAGGAUGGUAGGGAGUGAUGUACUACUAUAACGGCCCCGGACACAGUAAAAAUAUUAAUGGAUGGUGUUUAGUCAUUAUCUCUGCCUGUUUUGUUUAAACAUUUGGGUGGUUCUUAAGGAUCCUUUUUUGGAGUUGAACCCGCAGGUGGCGUUGCAGGCUUUGCAUCAGUCCCAUUUCCUUUGCAAGAUACCAAAAUGUUAAUGGAUCUGUCAUAGCCCACGAUCAAAUAAAAGACGUAUUAAUUCAAUUUCAUGUCCCGAUUUCAAGGUACCAGUACUAGAAACUGGCAAUUAAAUUCAAAUAUUUUGGCAAGACCAGUGACACAUACGUCCUUUUCAGUGGUGGUGCAAUACCAUCCAUGAGAGUUUCAGUGGUGGUGCACAAAGCUGCAGCACCUAGAGCACUGCCACCACUGAAACUCUCAUCGUUGGUGUUGCUAGAUGCACAACCCACGCAGCGACGUACAUCCUGGUUAAUUUAUGAAUGAGUUUGCGAGAAACUUUUCCAAUGGAUCAAACUAAGAUGAAAAUGAAAAUAAUGGAUCGCACACGAGAAAACCGAUCAACACUUUUUGACUCUUUUAAGGUUGAAAUUGAGUUGAGACGAGGAAAAAAAAAAUGAAAUUCAUGCAUGCGUGUCCGAUUGAUUGAAGAAAGAAAACUAACUUACUGGCCACAGCCGCUGCAGCACAUGCAACAAGAACCACAGCCACAGGAUCCUCCACAGUGCGACCCACACGACUGACAUUUUCUAUUUACAGACAACAAGAUUGUAUUAGCUAGAUAAACAUCCCACAUGACGACAUACGUCCUGAUUUACGAGUUCACAAGAAACCCAAAUUCAUGCAUGCGCGUCCGAUUCAUUGAAGAAAAGAAAAGAAACUUGCCCGCCACAGUCAAAGCCACAGUUUCCUCCGCAGCACGACAUUUUCUGUAGAAACAGAUAGGAGUCUGAGAUAAAAGAAGUAAUCAAUGGAAGCUUUGAAUGCAGGACGAGGAACUGGAAUGCACCCAUGACCACAAUUUAUAAGGGAUUAGGUGAUAAAGGGGAUGGACAUGGACCACGAUCUCGUGUGGAAUGGUCAUCCCCUUCGAAUUGGAAGUCCGUCCUCUCCAGCAGCACACCUUUCGACCCCGUAUCUGUCUUUUUCUCUGGUUCCAAUCUGUUCCUAGAAUAUGGGUUUUGGUUUUGUUUCCAAUUUUUGAGUUAAAUUUUGAAGGCGCCUUAAAACAAAUUAGAACUAUUAACAAAGAUGAGAGUAAUUUGUAAUUACAUAAGCAGUAGGGAGGGUGUGUACUUCUGCAGCAAUAACAUAGAGCCUUAAUAAAAAUUAAACCCUUCCUUCAUUGAUCAGUCACUGAUGGUGAUGGAGUAGAAUACAACAGCCCUUUCUCUUUUACAUGGAUUACAACAGUAAAUAAAUGAAUGAGCAAUGAAAUCACUGCCACAAAAUUUUCAAAUAUCGUCGAGCACUCUUGUAUUUGCUUAACAGUAGUGCUGUUAAAUGUCACUCACGAAACAUGUAACAAUUAGAAUUUGGGACAGGUAUGAUUGGCAUUAGGUAAUGUUGAUGGAAUUGUUAUACUUGUCUUCAAGAAUCAGUGUGCUCUUACAGAUGUAUUUGUACUCAAUACAUUAAGUAGAUACACGAACAAAAUUUUUACCCAUAUAAUAAAAUUAUAUUAAUAAAUAUCACAUCAUAAAAAAAGAGUACAAUAAUCACACUAACAAUAUUUAAUGCCAACUACCCAAACCCUAAUAAUUGAACCUAUCUUCUAAGAUGUAAUUUAAAAGUCAUAAUCACUGUUCAUAUAAGUAAGUCGUAGUCUCGACCCUUCUAAAGCUGCUGAUAUGGAUAGAGAAUUAUUUCAAAUAAUUAUUUGAAAUAAUUACUAUAAUACUUUUUAGGAUUAAUUACAUUUACCUCCCCUGAGGUUUGACCAUAUUAUCAAUCAAUCCCUGUAAUUUGUCCAAAUAACGGUCUCACCCUUUGAAUAAUCAAACGUUUAACAAAAACCCCCUUAAUGUCGAAAAUGCCCUUAUUGAGGCCAUGUUGCAUUAAAAAAAGAACAUAUUUUUAUUUUAUUAACCCUGAAACAAUCCAAAAAAAUAGAAAAAAGUUUUUGCUUAUUAUUUUAUAAAAACCAUAUCUUUGCUUUCAUAAAUAGUUUUGAAUCAAUAAUUAUUUUAAAUCUUAAAAAUGAAUAUUAAAAAUUAGAUAAAUUGAAAGAAAAAUUAAAAAAAAAGAAGAAAUUAUUUUAAUUUCUGAAGUAUGGUUCAAAUUGAGGAAAACAUGCCUUAUGCUCUCCGCAACAUGCCUUGAACCACAAAUUCGAACCAUACUUGAGGAUUUAAAAUAAUUGCUUCUUUUUUAUUUUUCUUUCAAUUUAUCUAAUUUUUAAUAUUUAUUUUUAAGAUUUAAAAUAAUUAUUGAUUCAAAACUAUUUAUGGAAGCAAAGAUAUGAUUUUUAUAAAAUAAUAAGCAAAAAUUUUUUUCUAUUUUUUUGGAUUACUUGAAGGUUAAUAAAUAAAAAUAUGUUCUUUUUUUAAUACAAUAUGGCCUCAAAAAGGGCAUUUUCGGUAUUAAGGGGGUUUUUGUUAAACGUUUGAUCAUUCAAAGGGUGAGACCGUUAUUUGGACAAAUUACAGGGAUUGAUUGGUAAUAUAGUCAAACCUCAGGGGAGGUAAAUGUAAUUAACUCUAAUUUUUAUAAUGUGAUGUAUAUCAGAUAAAAAAGUGAUUAAAAAUAUAAAAAAAUAAAUUAAAAAAUAUAUUUAUGAUACAAGAAAAAAAAUUUUUUAAAAAAUUUAUUAUCAAAACAUAAUUUUAAGACCAGUUUGUCCAGCAAGGGAACAUGUAUCUGACGAACUGUACUUCUGUUUUAGUAUAAUGAUGAAUUACCCCUGCAUUUUAGCGAUAGCUUUAACUGUGGCUGGUGGGAGGAUUUCUCUGUUGUUAAAGCUGUUGCAAAUGCAUCAACGCUAGAAACUGUAAUUUUAGUUCCCGCGUGAAUAAAGGCGGAGAAUUUCGACAGCAAAGCAAAUGUAAAUUGUUGGGGGAUGGGAUUUUUUAUUUCUUUUUCUGCGGGCCGGGGAAAGGGGCGGGCUGGAGCUUGGGGGUUGGCAACCGGGGAUCGGAGCCAGGCAUAAUACCAAAUUACCAACGCGGCAAAGGGCAAGACAUGCGGCGGGGUCUGUCAAUCUAAAAAAUUAUCUGUCUAAUUGACAGUGGGGUCUGUCCAAUUUUGAUAGAGUUCACUAAUUCACAUGUUCAUCUUUUGAAAAAGUAAUUUUAAUUAGGGAGAGUAUAUAAAUAUAAAAAAAUAGUUUUAAUUAAGAAAAGCAUAUAAUGUAACAUAAGGUAAUAAUUAUUAAUAUGUGAAUUCAUAUUGUAAAUUAGAUAUAAUCCAAAUGUAUUAGCGAGUACCCAUUGAACACUUGUUAGAAAAACUCUAGAAAGUAUACUGGUUGUUAGUGGUAGGGUUGUAAAGCAAAAAGGAAUUGUAAGGUUGGGCAUGCAUAUGGAAAUAUGGAGAGACGGAUCUAUUUGAAUGGUUUGUUUUUUGGAUGUUCGUCUAGAAUUUUAUUGUAAUUUGCUAUAAAAAUUUUACAAAAACUUUUGUAUAUUUAGAGGUUUAACGACAAAAUGUUGCGUCACGAAGCAUCCAUCUAUCUUUUUAUUUAUUGUAACAGUUAGAAUACAUGAUGUGCCAUGGUAUAAACGUUAUCACCCAAAUUUGAAGUUCAAAGGUAAAGCAAAAAGUACUAGAAAUACAAAUUUUAAUUAUAAGCAAAUAGAAUACAAAUUUUUUUCUUAAUUUCUUACAUUGAAGAAUAGAUGAAAUUCUUACUCUUAAUAUACUUUAAACCAUGUUCAAUUGUAUUAUACAAGGAUAUUGAUUUUGACAAAAUUUUAUAGUAAUCUCAAGAAUAUUUCUUUCCUGGUUUACGGAGUAACUCUAGGAGCUAUUCUUAAAAUAGCAGCUAUUCGUAAAAAAAUUUGAGGAAACUUAGAUUAACAAAGUUGUACCGCAAAUUUACACCCUCAAGGCAGCUUUUCUUUCCUUCUCCCGAGGCAAUCAACUUCUAGUAUCAUUUCUUAAAAUAUUUCAAGCAAUAUUCAAUUCCAGUAUAUGAGAAAAUGCAUUCUUACAAGUUCUAUUUCUAUAUUCAAAACCUCAUAAUGGAAAUUUUAUUCUCAUAAUAGGUUCUAUUUCUAUGUUAAGGCCUCAUUUUCCAAUAUCACAGAAUUAGCUACCAAAACCAUAAGAUUUUCGUUUGUAUAUAUACAUACGUUGUUGUUACCCGAGAGACUGUUACUCUCCAUCUCAAUUUCCCAAAUCCCUGGUAGUACUCAAGGCAAUUAAGAGGUUCGCUUUCUGUUUUUUGGUUCCUCUCGUCCGUCUCAAUACUUCUUCUUGAUGCAUGUAUUAUUCUUUGGUUUCUCGUCCGUCUUCAGAAUUAAAUAUUAUUGCGUGAUGCAUUAUGUUGUUCCGAAACAGGGAAAAGGCAAUUAUCAAACACCAAAAUAUGUACAUGUUACAUGUGUUAAGAAGAAAAAAAUUAUUAUUAUUAUUAUUAUUAUUUUGCUUAUUUUCAAGUAAUUGUUUGCAUAUCAUAUUUUACUGAAUCUUGGAUAAGUAAUCAUGGUGGGUGAUUGGUAUACAAUUAAUUUUUUUUUAUUAACAGUCAAAAGCAUGAUUAGUUUUUUUUUUCUUGUUUCUCUUGGAUCAGUUGGUGAUAUUUUCGUCAGUGGUGCAAUGGAGUCUUAUGCAGAGGCAGUAAGUGGUACCUUUUUUUUUUUUUGGAAAAAAAAAUUCAAAAUGUAAACACCUAUUUGUAGCUAAUUUAUUACAACAAUGGCAUGGCAGUGUUGUAUCUUGAAAGUGAAUGUCAAUUGUGAGGCGUGUAAGAUGAAGGUGGUCCAAGUGCUGAGUUCUGUUAUUGGUAAUCAUCCAUAUUAGUUCCUUUAACCUUUUAUUCUCCUGUUUUUUUUUUACCUGUUACUUUUCUGGGGAGAAAAGAGAAAGACCGGCCAAAAGGAGUCGUGGUCUAAACAGUAAAAUUUUGAUAAAUUUUGUUUAAGUUAUGGUACUUGUCCACUUGAAUUUGCCAUCGAGAUGAUAUAGUUGCGUAAUAAGUUAUGAGAUUGAGUUCUAUUAUUUAAUGUUUUAGCACCAUGCAUUAUAAUUAUUGAACUAUAAUAUUGUAGAAGGAAAUGGGAAAAAAAUAAAAAUGUUUACAUAUGCUAUGAAUUUGAAAGUUACAAAUUACUCUUAUCCACUAGUUUUAUCAAAUUUAUUAGUUAAUUUGCAAUACGUUAAAUACGUACGUCUUAUAUAUGUCUGUCUGUAUACAUACCUGUACUGUAUUUGUGACGGUAGAAGACCAUGGCUUGGCUUCUUGUAGCUUCAACAUUAGCCCUUCUUGCCUUUCUGGCCCGCCUUAUGGCUUUGUUUGGCAGGUAAGUUUUUUGCCAAGUUUGUCUGUUACAAGUUUUUUAAUAAUAUUAACUACAGUAAUUUCAAAAACUUCUCAAAAUUUUUAACUAUACAUUUCAAAAUAUUUAAAAAUUUACAUAUUUCAAAAAAAUUUGCUACAGCUUCUACAGUAAACUAUAAUAAAGUUUUAGAUAAACAUAAAAAAAAUUCACUUGCCAAACGGGGCCUUAUGUUGCUAGGAGAUGGUAACUAAAAGAAAAUUUAGAAGUCUCCCUGACUCUAAAUUGACUAUGAAUUAGUGGAAGAAAACUAAAGAAAUCCCUCCAAUAAAAAUAGGUCGGUUCUCCUUAUAUGCAUGGCAGCAUUGAAAAUUCACGUCCUCUCUCUAUUUUUAACUGAUUGGCAGGUGUGUAUUCAGUAGACGUGGAUGCACAGGAAGGGCUGGCAAAAGUGUACGGGGAGGUGGAUCCAAACAUGCUUCUCAAGGCCUUAGCCAGAACUGGGAAGCAUGCGGAGCUGGCAUGGGUGAAGGUGAAGCAUCCGGAGCUGAACCCGCGCAAUGAUGACUAUCAUAAUUACAGCAACUAUGGCUACGGAAAUUACGAGGAACCCCACAGCUAUAGCAGGUACAGAAGGCCGGGAUGGCAACAGUUCUACCCACCAAGGAGGUCGACAAUGGCAGAUCACCAGAAUCCUUAUAAUUAUUACAAUCACUACCGUCAAGGUUAUGGAUCGUCGUACCGCCCACAUUCGUACCCCUAUGGGGAUUAUACCGCCAAUAACUGCACCAUCAUGUGAUCUAACUUGAUCAUUGUUACCAAAGCUUACUUUUGGUUCCCAAGUAUGAUACUGUGUGGCGAUUAUUUUCUUGAAUUUCUUUAGUUUUGGUUUGAUGACAGACUUGAAAAUACAAUGCUAAUGCUAAAGACCCUAAAGUUUUAUUUGUUAAUGUAUUGCUUGACAUUAUGGGAUCUUAUAAUGUCAUCAAGGUGAUUACACUCAAUCGAUUAUGGGAUCUUUAAUUCUCCAGUGCGUUUCUGAAAUUUAGAAAUUCUCUCUCUCUUUUUUUCUGUCAAAAUUUGUUCUUUCUUCUGUUAUAAUUAAUUAAUUAUACUAUAUAUAUAUAUAUAUAUAGUUUGUUCAACUUUGCAAAUUAGAGAAUGAACAACAUAAAUUUUUUGUUAGAGAAAUUUUAUUUGCUUAAAUUAAAAUUUUUAAAAUACAAAACUAAUUUGGAAUAAAAAAGAAAAGACUAAAAAAGAGAGAAAAUCAGCAUCAUAAAGGGGUAAUUUGUCUCUCCAAGGUUAAAUGAUACAAAUAAAGGUUAUGGGGUAAAGUGAGAAUCAAUAUAUACCUUAAGGGGAUAAAUUAUAAUUAACCCUAAAAAUGUCAUGUAUUUGUUCUAAACUCAAUAUAAAACAUACAACAGCCAAUUUUAUUUUGAUUUACCAUUUGUUAUUCCUGUGGUAAUCAAAAACUUUUCUGAUUUAACUUUAUCAUUUCCUGAGUGCCGCCUGUUAUCAUAUCAAGUUUUUUACUUUGGCCCUGCCUCAUAACAUGAUUUAAAAUUUAAAUUUAAUGGGUUCAAAUCUUAAUAUAUUUAGACGCAUUUGAUAAUAAAAAUAUAACAUUUUAAUUAAUUAAAUGGCACUUAAUUUUCUAAACAAAACUAACUCCAAAAAAUAAGUGAUAACCUAUUCACUUAUUAAUUAAUGUAAAAUAUGCUCAAAUGUGAAGAUUUUAAUGCUUAACAAUUUAGUAAUUUAAUAGAUUUUUAUUUCAUAUUUCAAAUUUCAAAUUUUAGUUUUAUCAAAUGUACAUGAAAUGAAAAGAACCUAUCACUUUUGGCUAUUUAUAAUUAUAAUCUUUAAUCAGACGAUCACUUGUGCGGUCAUAACUAAUACGUGGAAAAUCUCAUUGUAUUUAUAUGUCCUUUAAUUACAAUUGGCCAUCUUUAGUCUAUUUACCCUCUUACUUUGUUUUUGUUACAUCUUAUUGAUAAGUGCAAGUGUCAUAUCUUCAAAGAAACGUGCAAGUGCUAUGAUAGUUAGGGCUGUAAAUAUGUCGUGUCAUUUAGUUUUUGUGUCGUGUCACAAUUAUAUUCAUGUUAAAUGAAUACAAGUUUAUAAAUGGCACAUUAAACUUUUAUAUUAUAUUUGUGUGAUGAUUACUUGGGAUCCUCAAUUACAUUUUUCUAAUGUCAAUCCAAUUUCACCGCUAGAAUUGCGUCAAGUGUCUUGUUAUCAUUAACACUUUAGUUUUUUAAUAACUCAAAUUGGUUCAAGAUUAACACAAGUUUUCUUAUAUAUGAUUUUAUUUUUUAUAUAAUUGUUAAAAUAUCUAAGAGCGUAUAUUCUAGUGACAAAUUACAUAUCUUACCAUUCAAACUCGAAUAAAGCAUGGACUCGAUCUCAAUUUACUUGUCAUUUGACAUAGAGUUCGGUAUCAAAGUCCUUAUAUUUUGCACAAGUCGAGCUCAACUUUCAAAAAUAGAGGUCCAUCAAGCUUGAACUUAGGUAAUGUAUUUCAAACUCAACUCGGAUUAUUACCAGCCCUAAUAGGGAGUUGGAAAAAUGAGAAGGGGUGCAGGGGGAACAUUGAGAGAGAGAGCGAGAAGGGGGGGAGGGAAGGGGAAGAUAGAGAGAGGUUGCAUGAUUGGGUGCACGAGGAGAAAAGUAGAAGGAGAAGGAAGAGAUGCUUUGGAAAAUUUACUCUUCUCCUUCUUCAAUGAUAACAGUGUAUACCAUAGUUAUUAAACCCGGCCGGGGAGGAACCCGGUGAAGGAGGUGGGUCAACGGGUUACUGGUUCAACCGGUGGGUGAGUGGUCCAACCGGUGGGUCACUACAUAUAUUUAAAUAUUAUGUUUUAUAAUUUUUAUGCCAUAAUAAAUAUUCAGUUAGUUUAAUUUAUUAUAGAUUCAUUAAUUUUUAUAAGAAUUAACAACCUAAAUUUAAUUAGUAAUCCACCAAAUUUCAAGUAUAAAAUUUUAUCUAAGUAUAAUUAUCUAGUUUAUUUAUGAAUUUUAAGUGCAAAAGUUUAUUAAGAAUAAUAUUUACCAUUAAAAUGAUUUGUGUAAUAUGUUAUUUUUAAGUCAAUUUCAUAAUUUAUAGAGUUCAGGGAAUAAUAAAAAUGUUAUUAAAAGAUUUCAAAUAAAUUUUGUUUUGGAGAAAUAAAAUAAGAAUAAGAUUGUAAUAUAAAAUAUAAGAACGAAGUAACUAAUAAAUUGUUGGUUGGUCCAACGGUAAUGGUUGUCUUCUUCUUUGCAUGAGGUCGCGUUCAAUUCUCAAUUCCAGCAAUGUUUACAAAUUUUUUUCGACCGGGUUUUUCAUAAAAUCGGCCGGUUCAACCGAGUUAACCGGUUCAACCGCCGGUCCGUUGAAAAGUCAACGGAUUCAAUGCAGAAACGAUCUUGUUAAGAACCCGGCCCGGUUUCAUAGCCGGUUCACCGGGUUGACCGGUUGAACCACCGGGCCGGGCCGGGUUUAAUAACUGUGGUGUAUACACUGUCAAUAUAUAUAUAUAAUUGAUUUUGCAUAUAAAGUCAUUUUUUUAAAAACAACUACAAUGAGGUAGAGUAAAUUUUAAAUGAGCACCUCCUAAACCCACUAUCUAAACAGACACAAGCUCAACAUCAGCACACACAUUUCUGAAGCUUGCAAGUGGGGUUACUUUCUGAGUAAUUUUCACUGGAUUAAUCUUUUCUACACUGACAGUGUAUACACUAUCAGCGUUGGAUGAAUGACAACUAUAUAAAAUUUGAGUUUGAAAUUCAACUUUUGCACACAUGUCAUGAAUCCAACGAUGAUAGUGUAUACACCGUCAGUGUAGGAAAGAUUUACUCAUUUUCAUUUUAUGUAAAACAAGAUAUGGGUUAUAUGAAUAUUUGUAAGCUUUAUGAGAGUGAUGUGAUUAUAUCCAAAUCUUCAAGGAGGUAAAUAACAAUUUUCCCCAUUUUACUGCUUUGCUUUUUCUUUCUUCAAGUAUUCGCACAUCAGGCUUGUAACCAACAGCAAUUGGCAUUAAUGAUGAUGACCCCAAAUUUUCUGCAGAUUUCCCAUUCCAUUCACUUCCACGUUUCUUUUUUGUGUCACUUCGUGAUGACAUUUUGAUUCUAUUUUCUUCUUCUCUUAUCCAGGACAACAUUUUUACAAUAUUUUUGUCCAUGAAUCAAGCUACCAAGCCACGUGUCCGAUUAAUCCUAUCAUCUUUUGACUUUUCACAGCCCAUGUAAUACUGUAAUACAAGAUCAAUGCAUUCUAAGGAGAAGUAAUUAUUUGUAAAAAAUCUGACCAUCAUCAAAUCAUUAAGUGGUUCAACAUUUUCAUUUUAAUUUCUCAAGUAUGAGUGAGACUUUUUAUUAGCAUAUGUAUAAAAGAGUGAAUGGCAUGCCUCAAGAGUGUGUACUGUUGAUGAUGUGGCCAAACAUGAUUGGUUUGAGAGUGUUCGUCCAACUUGUCUUCUCUUCUCUUCUCCAAUUAUAGGUUGUUUUUUUCCCUUCUUCCUUCCGUUGUAUUCUGGUUCGGUUCCCAUUUUGGUUUCUUAUUAUUAUAAUAUAAUAUAAUAUAAGAGAGGACUAUAUAUGACUAUAACUGACACUGGAAGAUUAGUAUAAGAUUGGUGAUGUGAAGAAGAGAGUUCUGAGAGUAGUGGUUAUGGGCCUUAUGGCACAUUAGCAGGUGUGAUAUGUCUUCUUGCACUUGGGAUCAUCGGUGACAUGUUUUCUAUGCCAACUCAAUGCCACCAAUAGUGUUGCGCCAAGUAUCUUGUUAUUAUUUACACUUUAAUUUUCUAAUAAUUCAAUUUGGCUUGUUUAACACAAGUUUAAAUAAUAACAAGACACUUGGCGCAACACUAUUGGUGACAUUGCGUUGGCAUAGAAAACAUGUCACCGAGGAUCCCAAGUGGUCUUCUUGAAUGACAACGGUUAGGUGGUCAUGGAAACUGAAAUGACAAUUUUACCCUGAGUAUUAUGCUAAUAUUGCAGAUUCUGCAUUAGAGGCCCUCUUGCUUUGGAUGGCCUGUUUGUGUAAAAUUGCCUUUCUAAACGCUGUCAAAUGCUGACAAAGAAUGACUUUCUGCUCUUUUCUUCUCUUUUUCCUUUUCACUGUUGCUGAGACUGCUGAACCAAUUCCCGUACAUCCUUCGUCCUCUCAGCGUCAGUUGUCCAUUGGCUUUUGGGAGUCCUGCAUUAUGAUUAGUGUUGUUUGUUUUAGUUUUGCAUGUUGUUCUUCUUCCGUAAACAAUUGGCUAGACUUCUUCCUGUUUGGAAGCUUGCUUGCAUCUCUGCAACUUUCGGCUAACAGCUGGUAGGCAUGGUUUACUGCAUGCUAUGAAUUUUUCAUUGUUCUCUUCCGUUUGCUUUGUUCUAAAUAGAUUCAUGGUUUAUCUCUUUUUUUGCCUUGCUCCUUCUUUUUUACUACGAAUCUAUUCCUUUUUGGAAUCUUUUUCUUUUCCUUACUUACAAGAUCCUCUGCUUUACAUGACUUUUGAAAUAUCUUGUUCUUGUGUAGAUUUUUCUCUGUUCGGAUUCUCCUGUCAGCUCCUCCUUUUUUCAGUACAGGUUUUAGUAUCUUUAUCCUUGUUUUAUUCUUUGACUGCAUUUUCCGAAAUUAUUUGCUCCUCUCCGCUGUACUCUGUCUUAUGUCACAUUUGCUUUUCGCUUGUUUAUCCCUUUUUUUUACAGCAAGAAAUUAUGUCCGCCUUGUUGUUGCUGUUUUAUAUUCGCUGAGGUGUUCCUGCUUCUGUGUUUGGCAGAGGUAGUGUUGCUUCCCUUCUCGUUUUUCUCCCUUGACUUUUUCUUAGCAUGUACCUGCGCUGUUACCUUGUUUACUUUUAGUAUGCGCUGGUGUGUUUUCUUAUAUUAUAUCUUAAUUAAUCAUGUAUCUUUUUUCCCUUUUCCCCGUGUUGCAAGUUUCCCGCUUUGUGGCUUCCUUGGUUAUCCAUGCAGCCUUUAUUAACUCAUUACUGCUGUUUGCUUUCGGUUGCCCAUUCUUUCUCUGACUUUUGCAUUAUUCAGCUGUGUGUUAUUGCGUUAAACGACUUUUAUUGGCUUGUUCCUUGCUGUUAAAUUCCAUCUUGUCAUGCUUACUUAAUACCCUCGGGUUGCUGCUACUCUUUUUAGUAGCUGGAAUUAGAUGGAUAAAAUGCCUUGCGCCGAAAAAAAUACGCAGAAAUGCCGCCUGCCAAGAAAGCAGAAUUUCUGCGCUCUCUAUGUGAAGCUAGAGCUGCGAAGAAAAAACAGAGCCUUUUCCUCUCUCGCGUUCGAAAGAUUCCGCCUACUUCUAUGGAAUCUUCUGUUUGUUUCUCAUAUAGUCACGAUAGACCUUCUGACACUCAUGAUCAAGCUCGUGUGCUUUCUAAUGCACUAGAAAAUGGAGAAUGCUUGGUUCCAGUCGAUAGUGUUAUUACAGAUAACUGGCAGCUGCCCUGCAUUUCUUCUGCUGUACCUAAUUUCUUCGAUGAUCAUGCUUCGUCAUCUUCUUCUUCUAGGAAAAAAACAACUUCCAGUGAUGCUGUAUCCCUUAAUAAAGGUAUUGCUUUUUUAUUAAUUAGUUUAUUGUUCUACUUGGCUUGGCCUUUCCUCCUUCACAUCAUUCCUGCUUCUCUGCCUUCCUAUUUAUUGCUAAGUACUUUGUAUUCCUGUAAAUUAGCUCUCUUUUGUUUGCGCGUUGCUAUACUUCUUUUCAAUAAAUGUCUUCUCCCUAGCCCUUCUCAAAACACUUAGAACCUUCCAAACCUUUCCUGUUCAGAAUCAGACUCUGACCAGUUACAACCUUACUUAAUUAGCAUCUGCGCCUUUUCCUGCCUGUACUUUCCACAAUAGAAAAUUUCAGUUUCAAAAUAUUAACCUGUUGGUGAAAAUAAAACCGUGCAUUACCAAAUGCUUCCAGAUAUUUGGCUUUCCUUUGGUGCAAUCCCUUUCUUAAACGCUCCCUAUUGAGUUCUCUUUAAGCUAUAACUUGCAGGCUAAUUGUUUGCUCCUUCACCUCCUCAACAUUUUUUACUGUGUAUUAACUCUUGGCAUACACAACCCUGCUCAGCUGUGGUGCUCAUCUUGUUGGCUUUUAUUAUCCACAGAACCCUCUUCUUUCCCAAGGAGAGAGUUUAAUCAGCUUGCACCAAAUUAUCCUCGCCAGGCAAGGAAAAAAAAAAGGAACGAUUCCCUUGAUCCAUUGCCUAGCCUUUCUGAGUAUAGCAAGAAGCGUGGUAGUUCUUCCGCCGUGAGAACAGAAAAUGCAGGUUCAGUAUUGUUUCUCAUUUAGCUGUCGCCAUCUUUAGCCUCCGUUAUUGCCUCGUUAUACAGAGCUUUAACUCAACCUGUUUGUCAACCGCAUACAAAAACUUACAGGAAGAAAGCGCAGGCGCGGUCAGCCAAAUCUCUCAAUCAUGAACAAUAUUCCUAAUGUAUCUUUGGUUCUGCCUGAUGCUCCUCCUUGUGACCAUUGUGGAGCCAAGAGAUUCCAUUUGGAACCUCCUACUUUUUGUUGCUCUGGAGGAGAAAUCUCUCUUGUUACUCCUUCUAUGCCUUAUGAUUUGAAGCACUUAUUUAUUGGUCGUGAUGAGGAAAGAUUUCAUUUUAGAAAUAAUGCUCGCACUUACAACAAUAACUUAGGCUUCACAUCAUUUGCUGCUAAAUAUGAUUCUAAAUUAACAAAGAACACAAAAGGUGUUUACACCUUUCACGUUCAAGGUCAGUUUAUCAUUUUCUUAAUGGCCUUCUUCAGUCGGAUGAUAGAGCAUCUGAGAUUCAGCUCUACUUUUUUGACACUGAUGAAGAAUUAGCAAAGAGGAUUGCUGCCUCUGAUAAGUUGCGAGAAAGCACUUUAACACUUCUUAUGCGCAUUCUUAGCGACAAUCCUUAUGCUAAAUUCUUCAAAAAUUUAAGGCAUGUUCCAAACAUUAACAACCUUAGCAUUAUGCUUAAUUGUUAUCCCACACUUGAUCAGCGGGUUUAUAAUUGGCCUUCUGCCUACCAAGUUGCGGCGAUAUGGACUGAAAAUCAAGAUGAAACCGUCAUACGGGAGCUCAUAUUCAAGUUUAUGCGCAUUCAAAUAGCAGCUACAAAAUUAAACAUUACUAUGGCUGCUAUGAUCCAUUACAAUACCCUCUUCUUUUCCCGCGCGGCGAAUGCGGAUGGCACCCUCAUCUAUAUUCCCUUGUUGUAAAGCACAUGAUUCAUGGUCCUUGUGGUGAUCUGGAUAGAACUUGUCCUUGUAUAAAAGAUGGUCGUUGUAAAUAUCACUAUCCUAAGACCUUUUGUGCCCAAACGACUCAUGCUGAAGAUAGUUAUCCGCAAUAUAGAAGAAGAGAUGAUGGUACAAAAAUAAAGGUCCGAAGGCAUACUCUUGAUAACAGAUGGGUUGUCUGUUAUAGUCCCUAUCUGUUAGCUACAUUUGACUGUCACAUUAAUGUAGAAAUUUGCUCGACUGUUAAAUUGGUGAAGUACAUAUAUAAGUAUGUUUUCAAAGGACAUGAUUCAGUCAGUUUUAGGAUUGUUUCGUACCAUGCUCCUGAUGACACUGAUGAGAUAAGAGAAUUUCAGCAAGGUAGAUGGAUUUCGCCCCCUGAGGCAUUUUGGCGUAUCUUUGAAUUUCGCUUGAGCGAAAUAAGUCCAGUAGUCUAUACUCUUCAGAUCCAUCUCCUGGACCAGCAGUUUGUUUCGUUUGACAAAAAUUCAGACCUGUUGCAAUUAUUGAGCAAAGUUGAUUUUUCAAAGACCAUGUUAACUGAAUUUUUUGAUAUGAACAAAACAAAUGUGGUUGCACAUAACCUUAAAUGUCUUUACAGGGAAUUCCCUCAAUACUUCGUUUGGUCUCCUAAAUAUAAGAAAUGGACUGAAAGGAAGUGUCGAAAAGUGAUAGGUAGAAUGGUCACUCUUAGUCCAGCGGAUGGAGAAAGAUACUACGUUAGACUACUUCUGAAUCAUGUUCAUGGCCCGACUUCCUUUGAUCAUAUUUUGACGGUUGCUAAUCAAAAACUGAAUUCUUUUAGAGAAGCUGCUUUAGCAUUAGGACUCUUGCAAUCCGAUACUUACAUAGAGGAUACGUUUCAAGAAGCUAUGACCUUUCAGAUGCCGUCUUCCUUAAGAUUACUAUUUGCUACUUUGCUUGUCCAUUGUUCUCCUGUAAAUCCUCGGCUGCUCUAGGAAAAAUUCCAACAUGAACUAUCUGCAGAUUACCAGCGACAAUGCUCAUUUUCUGUCCUUAGUGCUUUAGAGAUCAGGGCAAGAGUUCUACAGGACAUUAACAGGUCAUUGGAGCAAAUGGGAAAGCGAAUUACUGAUUACCUAUUAGUUUCGCAUGGUUUUGAUUCUUGUCCUCAUGAACGAUUAACAAGGGAAAUUGAAAAUGAAAGAGGUUUACAUGUUACUCCAGACGAUUUGCUAAUGUCUCUCAAGUUAAACUGUGAACAGAAACAUGCUUAUGACCUGAUUCUUGCAGCAUGUUUUUCUGCUGAGGGCCAGGCUUUUUUUAUUGAUGGCCCAGGAGGCAUUGGUAAAACAUUCUUAUACCGAUCGCUACUUGCUGCAUUAAGAUCACAGGGUUACAUUGCCAUUGCUGUUGCCACUUCUGGCAUUGCAGCGUCGAUUCUUCCUGGAGGGAGAACGGCACACUCAAGAUUUAAGAUAUCAUUGGACUUUUCAAAGAAUAAGACCUGUCAACUCAGCAAACAAAGCAGUGUUGCCAAAUUGCUUUUUGAGUGUAAGCUUAUCCUUUGGGAUGAAGCGUCAAUGGCUAAGCGAGAGAUGAUUGAAGCAUAUGACGACUUGCUUAGAGACACAAUGGAUUCUGAUUUGUCUUUUGGAGGGAAGGUUGUCGUUUUUGGUGGAGAUUUUCGCCAAACCUUGCCAGUUAUUGAGCGAGCAACAAAAUAAGUCCUCGUAGAAUCAAGCUUUCCUAAUUCUAUUCUCUGGUCUAAAUUACAUAAGCUGAGACUCACACAGAAUAUGAGAGCCAUGUUAGAUCCUGCUUUCUCUUAGUUCUUACUAAGAAUAGGCGAGGGAAAAGAGCUUGUAGAUGGAAAUGGCGAAAUCACUUUACCGCCUGAUAUAGUUAUUCCUUAUUAUGAUAAGGAACAAUCUUUAAACAGGUCAACAGCUUGCAUACGGUUAUACUUUAUCUAUCUGAUCCCUCUUUUUAUCUCUACCUUUCAUUGAUUAUGGUUAUUUAUAAUUUUAAACAGGUUGCUUGAAAGUGUUUUUCCAGAUUUGCAUCUGUAUUCUAAAGAUUCUUAUACCAUGAUAAAUAGAUGCAUCCUUGCUCCCAAAAAUAGCUCAGUUGAUGAGCUCAACGAGCUAUUAAUAAACAGAUUUCCUGGAAAUCUUCAAGUUUAUAUAAGUUUAGAUCGGACUGUUGAGCAGCGACACCAAGGAGACUAUGAAGAUUUUUUGAAUUCACAGAACCCAAAAGGGCUUCCUCCUCAUAAGUUGCUGCUAAAAGAAAACUGUCCUAUUAUGCUAUUAAGGAAUUUAAAUCCUAGUGAAGGAUUGUGUAAUGGCACAAGAUUAAUAUUUCUGUGGAGAGCUAAGUUUGAAUAUUAUUUCUGCAGAGAUUGUGUUUGGCAGUCAUGCAGGAAAAAGUCUUCAUCCCAAAGAUACCUCUUCAGACAUCUGACAAUGAAAGGAAUGGAAUUCCAUUCAUAAGAACUCAAUUUCCUGCCCGACUUUGUUUUGCGUUAACCAUUAAUAAGUCGCAAGGACAAACUCUGGAUUACAUCGGCCUUUACUUGUGUGAACCCAUUUUCUCACACGGACAGCUGUAUGUCGCACUCUCUAGAGCUAGAACUGCUGCUGAGCUUAAGGUUCUUCUCGUUCCUGGAACGUUUGAUGAGAGAAAGACUGACUGCAAAACUAGGAAUAUUGUCUUUAAUGAGAUUUUUUAUUUAACUCAACAAUAAAGAACCUGUCUACUUUAACUAUACAUUGGAAUGAGGUGCAUAUACAAAUUUUUCUUUCUUUACUCCAAUAUACUAUUACGCUUGCCUUAUUUAUUUGCAUUCAUUUAUCUAUGUUUUUAUCUUGAUGCAGAAUGACUAACUUGCUACCUAUCCAAGACAUUGUCCCUUUCAUGAAGAAUUGGAGUUGCCUCGUCACUGUUCAAGAAAAGCAACAGAUUACUGACUCGAAGGGAACGCCGACAAAAGAACAAAAAUUUAUCUUUUAUGAUGCAGAGGUUAACAGACCUUUGUACUCGCUUUUUUCUAUGCACUUGUUUUACAAGAUAUUUCUGUUUUUUAGCUAAUUGUAAAGCUACCAAUUGUGUGCCUCAGGGAUCAAAAGUUGAAGCAAUAAUCUUCAAUGCUGAUAUUCCUAAAAUGAGUCCACUCUUACGUGUUUAUAAAAUGUACAAGAUCACAAAUGCUGAAGUGAAGCCUAUCCCAGCAAAAUUCCAGACACCUGAGCACUAAAACUGUCAUUGAAGAAAUAAAUGACGUUGAUAAUGAAAUCAUGCCUGUGAAAUUCAACUAUACAAAAUUUACUGAUUUAGUGCAUCACAUGGAUGACAAGAAUAAAUCAGUUGGUACGUCUCUCAGUGAAUUGAUAUUGCUGUGCUUACCAUAUUAUUACCUUCUUUUCCAUUAUGUUGGUUUUGUUUUUACAGAUGUGAUAGGAGUUGUGAUUGCUGCACUGGACAAGAAGACGUUAAACAGAAACUCAAGAGAAUCAAGUGUUCAAAAGUUUGUUCUUCUUGAUGAAGAGUGAGUAUCUUAUUUCUUAUCUUAAUCCUAAAUCUGAAUUAAGUUAUUUCCUGUCUAUUACUUGUAUUAAUAAUGAUUACAGAUCACAGACAGUAUUGCUAUCUUUAUGGGAUGACUUUCUUGCUAAUGAAGGACAACAACUACUGUCUAGCCUUCACAACUAUCCUGUCAUUAUUGCACGGAGAAUUAAAGUGAAUAAUUACAAUGGUACUUUUUCCUUUAAUAUUUUUAUAUUUUUGUUCUGCACACUCUUAUAUAUACCUUUCGCAGAAUCAAGACGCAUGGUAUUAAUGUUUAUUCUUUCUAUAGGAGUUGCAUUAGGUACUUGGUUUGAUUCUGUCAUACUUGUUGAUCCGCCUAUACAGGAAGCAAGAGAGCUAAAGAAUUGGUAUAUUGCACUUCCAAUGCCCUGUUUCUAUCUCACAAAACAGCAACUACAGAUAAUUUUUCGCUUCUUACAUCUUUUCUGCAUUUUUCCCUCGUGCAGGGCGCUUAGAAAUUCUCAAAUAAUUGCAGAUGUUCUUGUUAAAAGAGAUUACAUGAAGUAUAAUCCUACAAUUUCUCUCAGAACUGAUCAAAAAGCUACCUUGAUUUGUAAUGUUAGCCCAUCACAAAAGGUGUUAAAACAAUUUUCCCCAUUUGUUCCCUUGUGCUUGUUUAUAUUGGGGAUAAUUUCAGAAACCUCCCCUGAGGUUUCUGACGCUUUCACUGACAUCCCCUGAGGUUCUCAAAAUUUCACUUACCUCCCUUGAUAAAAAAUUGGGCCCCUUUUCUGACGUCAUCAGGGCCAAAAUUACAGAUAUAUCCCAAGUAGUUGGGGUUAAUUACUACCGUUUAGUUACAUAAUGGCAUCUGAUAUGAUUAAUUAAGCUUAACAACAAUAAUAGAAACUUGAUUCCUGAUACAUGAUUAUUGUAUUAUUUCUUAUGCAAAUAUAACAUUUAAUUAUUUAAAUUUGAUUUUAUUUUUACAAUUUAUAAAAUUUUUAUCACUUAUAUAAUAUUUUUAAAACCCUAAUACAUCUAAAUUUGAUUUUAUUUUUCAAAUUUAUAAGAUUUUUAUUUAAAAAAAUGGGAUACGGAUAAGAUAUCCGGUUGGUUCGAUUUGCAUAGGUGCAUAUGAGAAUAUCCGAAUACUCCUGAAACCCGCAAGCGGGAUUCUGUGUUUUUUCUAUUUCAAGGUUAGCUCGCAUGCGGGUUAAUGUUAUAUUUGAGCGCGAGAAGAAAAAAUUGGUAAUUAGGCUCUUUGGGCAUUAUAAGUAAAUAUUUAAAUUAAUGGCAGUUUUAUUACACCAAUAUUAUUGUAUUAUCAUUAUUAUGAUUAUUGUAUUAUUUCUUAUGCAAAUAUAACAUUUAAUUAUCCAAGCAGUUUGAUUUUAUUUUUACAAUUUAUAAAAUUUUUAUCACUUAUAUAAUAUUUUUAAAACCCUAAUACAUCUAAAUUUGAAUCUAAUUUUCUACAAGUCAUACUUAUAAAUGCGAAAUCUAACAAAAAAGUUAAAUACAAUUUUUGCAGGUCAAAUUUAACAAAUGCGAGCUAUUUUCAAAAUUUUAAAUAUUUGCAACAUUUUUUAAAACAAAAAUUAGAAGCUUUCUGCAAAUAAUUCCCUACCUCUCAAAAAAUACCAAAAUAAAAAAGAUAAGAGCUCGCAUUUGCUUCCUAGAAAUAAUUCCCUAGCUCUUAAAAAAGGAAAAAAAAAAUUGAGAAGAGCUCGCAUUCGUGGAAUGCGAGCUCAAUAACCAGAGCUCGCAUUCCACGAAUUCGAGCUCUUGUAAGCUCGCAUUUGUGAAAUGCGAGCUCAUUGAGCUCGCAUUUCACAAAUGCGAAGACCCCCCUGACGGAAAUUAAACCCAAAAUCACCCCUUUUGUAGAAUUUUUUUAAAAUUCAUCACAAAGUUGGAAAUUUCUCAAUAGAAAUACAACUUGUCUGGAUUCCUUUCACUCUCUGAUAUCAUUACGGUUGCUUUGCGAUUACAGCGGCAAAACCUGUUUUUAAUGGAGAAAGAUGUAGGUGAAUUCCAUGAUUCUCCCCUAUGGCUUGAAGAGGCCAUGGUUGCAGCUAAAACUUUUUACUCAGAGCUCUAAUUGUAGCACAGCAAAUGCACUUGUUAUCACUCCAAAUUAGUAGCAAAGAAUGUUAAUAGCUUGAAACCUCAGAGGUAGUUAAGUUGCUUUGCUUUAUAUGCUAUUGCUACUGAAACAGCAAACCUUCUGGCCGUUGCAAUUUGCAGCUAGCCGUUGCAAAAUCUGCCAAAUAACUGUUGCAUGGCACAUCUGGUGCAUGCAAUUUUUUGUAUUGCACUUACCCCCCCCUCAACUUUACUAAUUAGUCCAAAUCAUUUAUUCUUCUUUGAAUCUUCUACUAAUACAACUUCUGCAAAGGGUAGCUAUGGAAUAAAAAUACCUUCUCACACAUGAAAAUAAUAUUUUAAUCUGAUUUGGACUGGAUUGUUACCACAAAAUCAAAAGCAAGGGAGGUAAGUGAAAUUUUGAGAACCUCAGGGGAUGUCAGUGAAAGUGUCAGAAACCUCAGGGGAGGUUUCUGAAAUUAUCCCUUUAUAUUGCAGAUGACUUGGGUGAGAGCACGUUUCUUCUUUGAGCACAUAUUCCAAAAAUACUGGUAUAUGAGUUGCAAGAAUUGCUAUCGAGCGACAGCAGUAGAUUAUCAGGUUGAAUUUACCUGCAACUCGUGCAAGGAGAAGCAACCAGCUGUACCAAGGUGAUCAUUCAUAAGUCCUUGUUGUGUGAUUCUUUCUGGAUUUUGCAUAACAAUAAUUUUGCCGAUUACUAAUUCCCUCUAUAUUGAUGAUAUUCCAGAUGUCGCUUUGAUGUUGACUUGGUUGAUAGCAGCGGAGCUAUACCAACUUCCAUAUUUGGUGAACUGGCAGAGAAACUUCUAACGUUCAGCUCUCUUCAAGCAAUGCAACAUUUUAAUGAGGUUUUAUUUUGUCCCAUAUCACUUGUUGAUAGGCCUGUUAUAAAGCUACUAAUGUUUUUUUUCCUUCUUAUUAUCAGAAUGUUGAACUCUCUCUUGAGCUUGUUCAUGAACAGCUCAAAGUAAAGAUUUUCCUGAUUCAUAUCAAACCUGUGCAAGCACAACUAGCUGACGCUAGGCAGCGUUAUACAGUGAUAUAUUACUAUGAAGCUCAUGAUCAUACCAGUGUUCAAUUGAGGUAACAAAGGAACCAAAGAAUCAUUUGUCGUUGCUUAAUGACCAGCCUCCAACGCUGCAACUGAUUGAACCAGGUAAAUAGACACAUACUUUGAACUUCUAAUCCACAAACAUGCUUUCCCUGAAAUAAGUUAUAUAAAAUGAAAAAUUUAUUUGUUACAAAAGAAAAUACUUCUUCUCCAAAGAUUCGCAAACGACUUUCUGAAAAGUUUGAUGAAAUAGAGAAGCUGAACGACGACAACUCCCCUGAUGAAGCCAGCAACUCUGCCAAGAAAUCAAAACUAAACUAAUUCAGAGCUAUUCACUUUUUGUCUUCAUAAGAUAGAUGCACCUUACAAGUCAUUUGCACUGCUACAUUUUGUUAAGUUUGUUACAAGAGUCGUUAGUUUCUUCAUGAACACUCUUGUUUUGUCUGUACGUAUUAAUGAACCAGCUUCUUUUGACAUAUCUACUGUCCUCAACAGUCAACUUCAUGUAGUAUUAACUGUAUGUAAGACUAAUUAUUGUGCUGUUAUUUUGUGAUGCUUCCUUUUCUAGUUCAGAUUACAGCUUCUAUUACUUAUGACACCAACUUAUUUACUCACCACUAUUAUCUACUAGGUUGCAGGGAUCGAAAUAUUAAGGUAAACAAAAGCAAUAUGACAUACUGCAUUACAAAAAGUCUUCUUCCAAAGCUUAAAUGAAUUACAGGGGAGAGGACAAACAAGUUUUAAGCAAAAACUUCCAGAAAAAGUAAAGCCACAGGUAUUUAAAAUAUCUCAGACAGUGGCAGUGCAAUUGUACCUACCUUUAUCACAAUAAAGAAAAAAAAUAUCUCAAAACUAAAUAAAUUAUAAAGUUAGGAAAAAAAAUAAAUUAUAAAGACAAUAUAGUACUGUCAAAUUUUAGAAUCAAAUUACAACAAACUCAUCAUUAUUAACCAUGCAACUAGGCUGAUACUGCUAAACAUUACUACUUUGAAAGCAAGUACUCAACAAGUAUCGUUAUUUCUCUGGACAUAUACUUAAUAAUGUUACUCAUUGAGUAUUUGGCUUUAAUCUCCUUAUAAUAUAUAUGCAGCAAAUGCAUGCUAAUUUACUUGUAGUUUUGUUCAAUGUCCUUCGUAAGCUUCUUCUCAAUAAAAAAAAUUCCGCAAUGCUUAAUGCUGUCCUACUCCACUUCAUGUGCUUAUACUGAUAAAAAAAAUCAUGGCAAACGUUAACAAUGCUAAUAAAUAUUUGCUUUUCUUAUCAUUAACUAUAUUUAUCGUCAGUCCUUUAUUCAAUACAUGAUUACCAAAAUUUUAUAGUGCACAGUUAAAAACAAAAAGCUGCAACUUUCUGCAAGCAACCAUUUUUUCUGCUUACUAUUUUUUUUCCAUUUGACAGUUUAACAGCCUUUCUGAUAUAUAUAUUAAUAGCACCAUGCCACAUUUUCCCCCUGUUAUCUUCUUCUUCUUCUAUCCCUUUAAUAGCACAAAAUAUGUUUCCUUCUCCAUCGAGUUCUCAACAGCCAAACACCAGCUUAAACCCUUGCUGUUUUCUCCUUAAAUGUUGCUAUAGAGGCCAGGUACACCUUUUAUUUCCUUAUAAAACAAAGACAUUCAAACUAUCCAUGUCUAAUAUUUUUAUAUUAAUCUGGUUGCUUUCAUUUGAUUCAUCAAAUAAUUUCAGAUUUUGCCUGCUCAGUUUCGCCUGUUACUUGAUCAGCAUCAAAACAACACAAUCAUCCUCAGAUAUGGAAUGCAAAAAUGGCCUCUCACAAUUGCCAAUGGCUGCUUUGAAGAAGGAUGGGAUAAAUAUUGCCAUGACAAUAUCGUUAACACUCAUGAUCUGUUGAUGGUUCGCCAUGCUGGAAAUCUUAUUUUCGAUGUUAUUCAUUUCUCUGAACUGCAGCAACAAGUUUACUUAUCCUGGACAGUUCCGCUACCAAAUAUUUUGGAAAAUAACGCUGACUAUACACAAGGCCUGUAUAUCUUUUAAUUCAUUUUCUGCACUGAUUUCUGUUUUCAUUAUUUCUAAUACAUCAUCUAUUUAAUGACCUUAGAUACCACAUCCUUAUCAGUUAAUCAUCACGUCGUGACUUCAUCGUUAAAACCAGAUUUCUGUCAAAACCUAACUGAUUCGCAUUGUUUUUAUCAAACUUUUCAUUCAGCAACGGCCAAUUCAAUGGUGAGUUACUAUUAUAUCCAUAUUCAUCCAUUUUCUUUAACCUAUUUUUCUAUGUUCAAUUUUUCACUCUAAUUUUUCUUAAUAAUUCCUAGAAAAUCCCAAGAUUCAUUGAUCCCUUCUUGAAUAGCGAAAGAACUCCCACCGUCCUUAUCAAGACUGGCCAUAACAUUACAAGAAUUGGUAUCAAAGGGAAGCAAUUGAAAAGAAAUUGGAGAAACUUCGUUCUUCGGCAUCAAUUACAGCAUAACGAUGUUCUUGUGUUCAUUCCUGAAUCACAGACUACAUUUACUGUUUUAGUAUUUGACUAUAAUAGAGUUGAAAAGCUAUUUCCAUGGUAUUACACUUUCAGCAUUUGUUCAGAUGCUUAAAGCUGUAAUUAAGCUCUGUAAUAUUGUGUGAUCAUGCCUCUGCAGCUUUUUUACUCUUUCCUUUAAAUGCGCUAGAAACUUUUCCCUUCCAAUAAUAUUGUUCACUUUUAUCCCGUUUCAUUACAUAAAUGCAGAGCUAAUUAUCCAGUUUGUUUGCUCCAAAUGCUUUAGUGAUCCUUUUUUAUUUUACUUUAAACACAUAAAAAUUAUUCUAAGUAAUAUGAUACCAAAUUUAAAAUUUAUAAAUACCGAUAUCCAAAGACUCCAAAACAAUAGAUAUCGCAAUCUUUUGAAAGAAAUUACUGCAGACAAAAUCAACAGAGAAUCUCUGAACAUAUUCUUUUUAUGAACAUUUUGUACUCUUCCCUACCUAACAAUGAAUGCACGUUAACCUUUCAGAUUCUGAUCACUAUAUCAGCAAUAACAGUCCUUACUACAGCUCUCCAACUUUACAUUUAGAUAAAAAUGACACCAUGCAUAUCAAUCUUAUUAGAUUGAAUAGUUUUACGUUUUAAACUUAUAUCUAUCCAUCUGUGCUCAAUUCAUAACCAUGUUACCUUUUUAUGCAUUCCACCAAUACGUAUCACAACAAAACAGCAAUAUACAAAACUUUCCUUCCUCUAAUUCUACUUUUAGCAACAACAUCUUUCUUCCCUUCUCCUUCAUUUCCCCUUAUUGCCAUCUUAAAUUUCUUUCCUUACACUUAAACUUACACACUUCCUUGCUGCUCACCCUCAGGUAUGCAUUUACUCACCAUCAGCUUCCUUUUUUCAGUACGCUUUCAAAUCUUUUCCACAUAUAGUGCUAUGCUUCCUUGAAUAAAUUCUCUCCCUCUGCUCUCUGCUAACUGCAAAGUCCGGCUUCAUUUCUUCCAGCAUUUAUCAAUACAGUUGCAUUCAUUUAAACAUAUCCCAUCUUCCAAUCACAUUCUUCUUUUUAACACACUCGAUUUUACCUCACAACAGGUUAUUGCUCUUACUUCUAAUUUUUUUGAUAACUAUUAAACUGAUACCCAUCAAACUGCAUACCCUUGCAGCUCAUCUUCAUGUGUUCCUUAUCUUGCAAUUAUAUCCUUUCUCCGACCCUUUUAGCUCAUGUAGAUUACACUUCACCCAUUUAAUUUUUUCCUUUUCUAUUAUAGACUAUCUUACAAUGGAACCUGCAAUAAUCCCUCUAUCCGCUGUUCAUCCGCAUUCAUCAAACUGGACGGUAGCUCUCCAAGUUAUAGAAGUUGCUCGUAUAAAAAAUAAUUCACACCUCCAGCAAAACUUUCAAACUUUUCUGCUUACCAAUUCAUAGGUAAUGAAUACUUAAUUUCUUUUUGAUCUCAUGACUAUUUACUUAUGUCAUGAUACCUUUUAACAAUUGUUAAUAUCAGGGUGUAACAGUUAAUAUGCAUGUUAUCGGGAACAUGAUUGAUCGACUUGUUGGAUUAUUGCUACCAUUUAAAAAAUACUAUAUUUCUAGAGCUAUUGUUCAUCACCUACACGAUGGUUCUGCUACUACCGAAUAUCCAUUUUACUGGAUUGCUACUGAAGCUACAUCAAUUCGUGAAAUUGACCAACUCGAUUAUCCCUCUCUUCCUUCACAUUUUCAAUUAUAUCCAUUUACUAUGCUAGACGCCAUUGGUGAUACUGAACAGUUAAUAAGUAAGUUAUUCAUUAUGCUCUGCUUAUUUUUCCCCAUAUUUUAAUUGCUGCAUAAUUUUUUAUGACCUUAACACUUUUACUUCUUUCAUUUUCCUAAGCUGUCAUGGGAGUCGUUCUUCAUUCUCUACCUAACAAAAUUAUCCCUGUUGAAGGAGCCCCAUGUGUAGUUCGAGACUAUGUCAUAGCUAAUCAAGAGUAACACAUUUCAUUACUAAUCUAAUUUCUCCUUCCAUUUUUCAAAAUCGUGCGCAUUUCCAGCCAUUCAUUCUGUUACUAUUCAUUACCCAGCAUGAAACCUUUGAUACUAACUUUACAUGGUGAGCUUGAAGAAAAUUAUGGCCCUACUAUUGCAGUAGCAGAAGACCCUUUUCCAGUUAUCAUCGCCAUCAGAGUCAAAGCUACAACAAAUCAUUGUAAUCACGUGCUUCACCUCUAUUAUUUAAAGCAUCUUCUAAUUUUUUAUCAUUCCAAAAAAUUAUUUCCUCUAUCAACUUUAAAAUUUUUACCCUCUUCUUACCAAACAUAUCAGGUUUGAGUCUUUCAACUGAAUCUUCCUCGCUGAUUUUGAUAUCUCCGAUCGCUCAACAAAUGAUGCAUUUAAAAACAUGGUAAAAGUUUUAACCACCUUGUGCAUUAUUAUCGCUGUUAUUAUAUCACAACUUACCUUUUUCAGUUUUAUCAUAGGCAUCAUGCCCAUGCCCAUAUGCUGAGACGAAUGGUUAAUGAGAGCAGUUACACUAACCCACGCAUUCUUCUUCCUCCUGUAAACGAUAAUCGAAUCACUCAUAUUGCUACUGUUCUCCAGCAAGUAAAAUUCCUAAUUCAACAUUUACAUUUACCUACAAUAUUCCUUACAUUUACUUCUCUUUUGCCUUUUCUUUAAUGCUAGCUAUUCGUUUGUACCUUUUCUUUGUCAAAGAAACCAAAGACUGCCUGGAUUCAAGGCAUUGUGGAGCUAGAUUACGUACCUCAAAAGUUAACUUAUAUAGCUUGUCCCCUUUGUUAUUAUCCAAGCAAACUUGCAAGCAAUUUGCCUGUUACAUGUCAACAUUGCCACUCUAAUGUAGAUAUGGUUCCUAGGUAAACAUGAUUAUUUACUCCUCUUGCUUCCUUUCAUCGUCAGCUUUAAUCACUUUCAAUUUCUAACUGCAAAACUACCUACUUCUUCAUUGCAGAGCUCUCAUUGCAAUUUCCCUCAUCGAUGCAACUGGAUCUAUAUGUGCUACUGCUAUAGAUAUUGAAGCAGAGAGACUAAUUCAAUAUUCAACGGUGAGCUAUACUAUUUACAACAAGAAGUAACCGCUACUACUUUUUUAUACUAAAUAUUUUCUCUCUUCUUUUUUAAAUCUGUUACGAUUUUCUUCCAUCUAUUUUUACAACAGAAUGUUGAUCUUACUCAAUACCUUGCGCAUACUUUACAAGGGAAGCUGCUCAUGUGCUACAUUAAGCCCUCUCCUUCCAAAUUCAGACUCAUCAGACGUGCAGCUUAUGAAAUAAUCACAUCCUACUCAGCCCAUCAAGUUUUUAAUGCUGAAAAUAUAAACAUAAGCAAUCGUAACAUCAAUGGUUAACCUUUUACUUAUUUUGCAUACAUUACUGUUGCCUUUAAUGUCUUUUCUACUGUAUGUGUUAAAUCAUAAUUGCCACAAACAAUAACUAUAAUUACUAUUUUAUUGUCUUUAGCUUUAUAUUCCUCCUUCAUUGCAUACUUGUUUAUUUUAAAAUAAAUUUUCAGCUCUACAUUUAAUAUCUGCGAUUAUCCCAAUAUUAAAACAAACAUAAUUGACCCAAACAUUCGGAUAAAAAUAUUUUCCAAUUUCUAAAACAAUUUUUUCUAUGCAAACAUUUUAGCUUAACUGACAUAUCAACAUAUAAUCAAUACAAACGAAAAAUCAAUACGUAUAUAAACAUUUAAGUUUUUCUCAGACAAAAUUCCUUCUAAGCAUUUCAUACUUAUUAUUCUACACAUUUUUGGGCAAUCCUUAAACUUAUACCGUGCAUCGCGCGGUACCACCGACCUAGUCUCUUCUAAUACAUGAAGUACUACAAUUCACGUACACUUUUGGGAUGAAUUGUGACUCAAAUGAUUAGACAUUUAACACAUCAUGCUCCUUCUACUUCUUUCUUUGAAGCAUAUUAGAUUAAACAACAUUUUCAGCACUAACUCUAUUUUACAGCUUUAAAUUUGUAUCAAUUUUUCACUUUGCACCUUAAAUUUUAAUUUUAAACAUUUUACAUUAUAAACUCAUAAUUUUGGACAUUUUAAAAUUUAUGCUCUCAAAUUUAUCGCAUUUAAGUCAAUCAAUGAUAGUGUUAGUAAAAUCAAUAACACAAGGGCCUUAUAAAUCAAUGAAAAUUCACUGAAUGAAGGUGGUGUGUGAGGACCGUGAAUUUUCUUAUUUUCUAGGUUUUAUUUUAUUUAAUUACAUGCCUUUUAUGCAUUUUCUUUAUUAGAAAAAAUUUUCUAAAUAAUUUUUAUGAGUAAAUAGGGUUUUUAAAGUAUUUUUCUAGUAUAAGUUAGUUCAUGAGGUUUUAAGAGUGUAUACCGGAUGUGGGACCCACUAGUGCGGUAAGUUCGAUAAAAUUCGGCCGAUUAGAUUAAGUUUAGCAUUCAGGGAUUAAUUUACUAGAUGUUAAGAGAUAAUUAGAGGUUACCCAAUAGAUGAGAGUUGGAGAGACAAAAGGAUAGCUUUGCAUUAAAGAGGGGGGGGGACAAGUGUCACUUUCCUAUUUCUUCUUGGACUUUGACCAAAUUACCAACUUUACUAAAUAAUCCAAAAAUUGACCAAAAUUCAUCAUCUUACAACCUUCUCUUGGCCGACUCCUCUCAAGCAGAAAAGAAAAGAAAACUCAACUUUCUUGCUCUUAAUCUUGCUCAAUCUCCCAAUCCAACCGAUUAAAUUGGAAAUUCCUCCAUAAAAACCCUUAGUUUAGUGGUAGUGAGGUUGGUUGUGAAGUGGUUUGGAAGAAAGUGGUGCUAAGUUGGGUCUUUUCUUGGGUUUGCAAGGUAAGUGACUAAGGAACCUUUCCUUUGAUCUUAAUAAUGUUCAAUUAGUGGCUUGUGUGAGUUAAAGAGAUGGUUUUAGAUGAUAUUUCAUGACUUUUGGUAGAGAUUGGUGAAUUUUAUAUUUACUCAUGAUUUUUCUGUUUUUAUAUGUUUAAUAUUGGUUGGCCAUGGAUGAUGCUUGGAAUGGUCUAGAAUGAAGCUAUAGUGCGUAAAUUGUAGCUAUUUGCAGAAAAUUUCCGCUUUGUACGGAGAAUUCCAGCUUUAGCGUUUCUUUGUUGAGCUACCACUUGGUUGUUUUUGAAGCGUAUUGUGACUCUAAUUAAAGGUGUUUGGUAGCUUGUGAUGUGUGGGUGUAAUUGUAGUGGAGUUGAGAAGUGAUUGGGUGUUGAGGUUUGGUUGGAAAAGUAAAGAAAGACAAGGGGUAGUGCUGUCAAAAUUUUCGUGGGAGCUUCUGUGCAGUGUCGGAAAAUUUGCUAUAUCUUGAUGUAGAAAUGUCAGAAUUGAGUUCUGUUUGUUGCGUUUAAAACUAGAUUCAUAGAACCACAAACCAUAAAAAUUUCAGACCCUGUUUCUAUCUGUACGAUUUAUGGUGAUUUUUCAAAGUUAACUGAAAACUGCAUACCUGUUCUGUCUUGUGAUGGUUGAAGCAGCAAAUUGAGGCUCGAAUUUGACUGACUUGUGUUUUGAAUCCUAUAAUGGUGUCUUCUGGAAAGUUGUAGCUCUUUGAAUAUAUUUUCCAACGGUGUAAAUUGUAUCAAUUUUGGAUUUAAGAAGCUUGAGAUAUGAUUUUUCAUUUAGGGUUACGUAAAACUGAAAAAAAUCCUGUUUGCCUAGAAUUGUUCUUACUCUCAUUUUUCAUUUCAUAUCUGGAGUUGGUAAAGCAUUGUGAGUAUGGUUUUUGGGUAGAGGUGAAGGGGUUUGAGGUCAUUCAUGCCUUUAAGACUAAUUGUUAUAUUUUCACUUCAAAGCUACAUCUUUGUGUUGUAUUAAUGGUUCAUGUGGUUAGGCAUAUGACUCGCAAACGAGUCUCACCUGCAAAUUCCACUUACUAGGCAUCGGAGUCGAGUCUUAAGUGUUUUUCCUUGACUGUUUUAGGAAGUGCCGGCGAUAAAAGCCAUACUUGGGAAUGAAACUUUUGAAGUUAUCCUUGCUUGAAUUGGUGAGUGUACCACUCUCCUGAUUUAUUGCUAAACUGGUUAUCUGUACUUGCAAAUUGCUAUUUGAAUGUCUUUCUUGACUGUUUACUUUGUAGAGACGAGUGUGUACUUUAUCACACUCGCUCUCUGGCUUGUGUGACUUGUUUCCUGUAUAUACUUGAAUCUGUUACCUGCGCCUGUUAUAAUGUCGUUUGGAAGUGCAUCCAACGACCUUCCUGUUAAAUCUGAGCUCAACCUCAUGGGGAGUUAAUUGAAUCGAUCCACCAAGGGUUUGGUCGAGGAAAUUGACAAUCCAUGGGUGCCUGUUCCUUGGGAAUCAAUAGGUAUUGGAGACUCUGAAUUUUCGGUAUACUCGAGUAUUACCAUUCCUGUUCCUGUUUGGCGUUUGAGCCCGGUAAGGGGUAUGUUUGGUGAAUGGAAUUUUGGCGUUAAAGUGGUGUUCUUCUGGACUAGUUUCUUUAUUUGAACAUUGACGGAGGGUCAACGAGGCUGGAUCAAGUAUUGCAACGGGGAUUUGGCUCCUGAGAGCCACCUGUAUCCUUUACAUUGUGGUGUUUAUUCAUUUCUCGUAUUUGACGUGCAUAUGUGCCUUAAAAGAAAUUUCUUAUGAGUUCUACUGUUUCUACUAUUUAUACUUUUGGUACCUCACUGAGCUUCUAGCUCACCCCGUUCUGUUAUUCUUGUUUUCCUUACAGGGAACCAUCUUUUGCACCAAUGAUCAUUUUGAAGAAUGUAUAAACCCGAGGAGUUGGGGCCAGUGGUAAGCGGUUGGUAAUGCGAGCAGGACGACCAAGGUUCUAUCCUCGCUGCGCUCCUGCGAUAACUCCAGGGCCAGGCCUUCACCCUCGAGUAAGAGUCAAACUCUGCGGGCGCUCUCCGGGCCGAAUCCGGAUUAGUCCGAAAGGGAUAUCGGGUGGUUAGACCCAAAAAAAAAAAAACCCUUUUGUAUAGCUCCUUGGAAGUUGGAAAACCCUAAAUGUACCUUGAUCCAAAUAUUUCCCUUUUGAUUUGUAAAUUUCAAAAGUAUGUGUAUAAAACUGUUUAACCAUGUACAUGUAUCCGAUUUGGUUUGGAAAUGUUUUUCUCCUGAGUUAUAUAACAUUAUCUAUAUUCGGUUGGAGUCUGGCUGGAUGGUGACGUGGCGGUCACUCUUCAUUUACGGUUCCGAUUUUUUUCGUUUUGAAAUUUUGAAUCGUGUAAGCGCGCUAUUUUACUUCGGUGCGUCUUAGAUUGUGUAUAACUGUCUUCGUAGUCCUGGCGAGAGUUGGGCAGGCAGUCUGCUGACUCCUUUGGUACGCCUUAGGGGAAGGCGGGGCUAUCACAUGGUGAAAAGGAGCCAAGGUAUCUCAAGUACAAUAAAAUAAUAUAUUGUCAUUAAUUUAUACCAUCUUUCUAAUAUUAUUAGUGAUUGUAAGUAUAUAAAUCAAUGACAAUGUGCUGACAACGAUCAGAAAGAAUUAAGAGAUUGCAAUUGGAACAAAAUUAUACAUUGUCAUUAAUUUGUACCGUUUUUUAUCUCAUUAAUUUUGCUAAUGUUGUCAAUGGCUAAUUUAAAUGGGACAAAUUUGAAAAUUUAGGGAGCAAUAUGUUCAACAAAAUAUCUAAAAUUAAAAGUUUGGGAUUACAUUUUUAUUCCACACAAGAAUUGUAAUAUCAAUUUCGUGUUGUUGGACUGGUGGGUAUUAGGGAAAGAGGACUAUGCAAGGGUACUAAUUAGUGGGGCCAAUGGCCAUUACUAUGUGCAUCUAAUCUACUCCUACUACUAUUCCUACUCUUAUACUGAGAAAGGAGUCUAUUCUAGGGGGUGGGACUGAACCACCAUCUAAUUAGACGGGCAUUUCAAAAUUAAUGUGGUGGCCAACUUCUCUAAAGGGAUUGAUUAUAUAGGGAUAUUAUUUAAUGGUGAAUACUCAUGUGGCGAUUAGUAAGCCAUAACUGAUUUUUUAUAUUAUUUAAUUUGAAAUUAUAGUAGGACAUAUUAUUUAAUGGUGAGUGCUCAAGUGGCGAAUUGUGAGUCGUAACCGAUCUUUUUGCAUUAUUUAUUUUGAAAUUAUAGUAGGACACAUUCUCCACUAUUUUACUGUUGAGUGAUGUUAGGUUCCUCACUUGGAUUACAUCAUCGAAUGCGUCAGCAUCUAAUGAUGGUGACGGGAAAUUAAGCGUUAUUUCAGUACGCGCUACUUGUCCAUCCAUUACCUCGUGAAUCAUGCAAGUAUUUAUUGAGGGAAAGCAAUUGUUGUGACUGAUAAGAGUAUAUUUUACGUGUUUUUGGUGUAUUUUAUUGAUUAGUUUUGGUGUGUUUUAUUUAGUUUUAUAGCUAAUGAAUUAGGAUUCUAGUGAAAAUAUGCAUUUUAUGGUUUAAAGUGCGAAAAUUGUAUUUCUAUGGAUUUUAAUGGCGAAAACUUCAUGUUUUUGUAGGUUUAAUGAUUCAAUUAUCAAAGAGAGUGAAUUGAGAAGAGAAUUGAAUGGUUAUUGAUGAUUUGAAGUGGUUUAGAGAAGAUAUGAAGUGCAAAACAUUCAAAAGAAAAAAUGCAAGUGAACGCAGCUUUGACACCUUGUGGUAUUUUGAUAAUAUAUUGAGCUACACAGAUCAGAUUGAAGUGAUUCUUGAACCAUUUUGAAUCUAAGAGAUAGAUCUAUAUUUGUUAUAAGACAUAGAAAUCCAGUUCAGUCAUCUUCAUAGUCAAAAAUUCAAAAUACAGAAGUACAACUCUGUUUAUUGAAAGCUGAAACAAAGCUCUGAUCAGUUGAUGGUAUUUUGGUCAUAUCUCAGUCCAUAGAGCUCCAGCUUAGAUGAUUCUUAAGGCAUUGGAAAGUUAACUCAAAGCGCUACAACUUUCAUGUUUUGCACAAGAGUAUUUCGGCCUCCAUCAUUGAGAAAAUAGUAGUUGAAGUGGUGUCAAAUGCAUAGAAGUGAAAAUGUGACUUCAUGAAUACAUGGCUUGAAGCCGCGUAUUCUCUUCUGUUUUUUGCAACUGACUCAUCAACUUGCCCUGCUUUCAUAUAACUUUUCCAUCUCAAUUCUAGCUAUCAGUCUCGGCAGUAUCUCAUCAAGAAAAGGUUGAAAAGUUGGAAAGACAACUCAUGGAAGUUUCAAGAGUCAAAAAUGACAACUAAAAACAACUUAUUUGGCUCUUGAAUCCUCUAUAAAUAGAGGCCUUUGGAGAACAUUUGCACAACUUUGGAAGGCUAGAGAAACACACCAAAAAUGUAGACUUUCACUAGAGUUUCCUUAGUUCAUUAGUUAGGGUACAUUAGUAUAGUUAGUGUAGUUUAUCAGUCUUGUAUUUGUAGUUAGAUUUCGAUGAAGAUUUGAAGCGCAAAGAUGGAGAGUUACAGCUCAUGUGACAAGGGUGACAUCUCUUCUAUCACUUUCUCAUUUAUAUUUGAUUUCAUGUUUAGCUAUAAUAUAAGUUUGGAUUUGUUUUUCUUCAUGUUUAGUUAAAGUUUAUGCCUAGAGUAUGGAUGAACUUUCUAUAUCUUGUUAGUGAUGUUUAUUUGGUUAUGUGAUGAUAUUAUUUUGAGCAAGUUAUUUAUUACUUUUGCUUUUCUAAUCAUGAUUAACCGGCCAUUAAUUGUGAUAAUCUUAAGGUGUUAAGUUGGCAAUGAGAAUUGGAGUUUAACACUAGUUCAAGGAAGUGAUAAGUGUAGGGAGUAUACUUACGAGUGUAGAGGUGCACCUUUGUGGCUUUAGUGACUUGUUUCAUGUAAUUUUAUAGAAGAAAUGAAUUUGUAGUUAAUUUCAUAACCACGAGAGUAGAUAUGGUUUAGCUACAAGUAUAGUUGAUUCACUACGAGAGUAGGUUUCACAUACAUUAGGAAAUUACGCCAUUACUAGCCAAGAUAAUAGUAUUCACUUAACCGGUAAUCUCAUUUGCAAGAGUAGUAAUGAAUUCCAUAUCUCUAGGAGCUUUCUAGUGUUAUUUUCAUUACUUUUAUGUUUAUAAUAGUCUAGAUAAUAAAGGAGUUCGAAAAACAUCAAUAGUUGCAAUCUUCCCUGUGAGAUCGACCCUUAAUACUGUAUAUUCGCUCUCGACUCGUAUACUUGCGAUAAAUCGUGUAUGAGAUAUUUAGAAUUUAUAAAUGUAAAAUUUGAUUGCGAAUGAGUCAAUUGUUAUAUGUAUGCCCCGCAUACGUCAAUGACAAAGUGUCAUCUAUUGUCCUUUGAUAAUGUAAGAAAAAUUAUACUUGAUGCAUGGAGAAGGGAAUCAAUUUGAAUCUUAAUGUAUGACAUCAAUCCAAGCAGACCAUAUAUCAAAUUUAACUAAAUACUAUAAGAAAAAUUUUGAAAGCGUUCUUUUUGAUACCCAAUUUGCACCAAAAGCCAAAUAAUGGAGUACUUUAAUGUGUAAAAAUCAAUACUUUCUAAGGAUAAAUUGAUAUUAUUUAAUGAUGAGUGUUGACAUGAUGAGUACUGAUUAGUUUUUCUCAUUACUGUACUGAAUUUGAAAUUGUAGUCAGACAUAUUCUACAUCAUCAAAUGCGUUCAGUACGCGCUACUUGUCCAUCCAUUACCUCAUGAAUCAUGCAAGUAUUUAUUGAGGGAAAGCAAUUGUUCUGACAAAGUGUCAUCUAUUUUCCCUCGAUAAAGUAAGAAAAAUUAUACUUGAUGCAUGGAGAAGGAACUCAAUGUGAAUCUUAAUGUAUGACAUCAAUCCAAGCAGACCAUAUAUCGAAUUUAGCUAAAUAUUAUAAGAAAAAUUUUGAAAGGGUUCUUUUUUAUACCAAAUUUGUACCGAAAGCCAAAUAAUGGAGUACUUUAAUGUGCAAAAAUCAAUACUAUCUAAGGAUAAAUCGAUAUCAUUUAAUGAUGAGCACUCACAAGACGAGUACUAAUUAUUUUUUCUCAUUACUGUACUGAAUUUUAAAUUAAAGUUUGGGAUACAAAUUAAGAAAUCAAUACAAGUUUGGAGACGUAAAGUGAAAUUUAUUUACAUUUUUGCUCCGCACAAGACUUGUAAUAUCAAUUUUGUGUAGUUGGACUGGGGGGUAUUAGGGAAGGAGAACAACUAUGCAAGGGUAGCAAUUAGGGGGGCCAAUGGCCAUAACUGUGUGCUCCUGUGGCGAUAUUAUUUAAUGGUGAGUACUCAUGUGGUGAUCAGUGAGUCAUAAUCGAUUUUUUGCAUUAUUUAAUUUGAAAUUAUAGUAGGACGUAUUAUUCAAUGGUGAGUGCUCAUGUGGCGAGUAGUGAGUCGUAAAUGAUCUUUUUGCAUUAUUUAUUUUGAAAUUAUAGUAAGAUACAUUGUCCACAAUUUUACUAUUGAGUGAUGUUUAGGUUCCUCACUUGGAUUACAUCAUCGAAUGCGUCUGCAUCUAAUGAUGGUGACAGGAAUUAAGCAUUAUUUCAGUAUGCGCUACUUGUCCAUCCAUUACCUUAUGAAUCAUGCAAGUAUUUAUUGCGGGAAAACAAUUGUUGUGACAAAGCGUCAUCUAUUGUCCUUUGAUAAAGUAAGAAAAAUUGUACUUGAUGCAUGGAGAAGGAAAUCAAUGUGAAUCUUAAUGUAUGACAUCAAUCCAAGCCGACCAUAUAUCGAAUUGAACCAAAUAUUAUAAGAAAAAUUUUGAAGGGUUCUUUUUUAUACCCAAUUUGUACCGAAAGCCAAAUAAUGGAGUACUUUAAUGUGUAAAAAUCAAUACUUUCUAUGGAUAAAUUGACAUUAUUUAAUGAUGAGUGCUCACUUGACGAGUACUGAUUAGUUUUCUCAUUGCUGUACUGAAUUUGAAAUUAAUGUUUGGAAUACAAAUUAAGAAAUUGAUACAAGUUUAGAGAUGUAAAGUGAAAUUUAUUUACAUUUUUGUUCCGCACAAGAAUUGUAAUAUCAAUUUCGUGAGUUGGACUGGUGGGUAUUUGGGAAGGAGAACAACUACGCAAGGGUACCAAUUAGUGGGGCCAAUGGCCAUUACUGUGAGCUCAUGUGGCGAUAUAUUAUUUAAUGGUGGGUACUCGUGCGGGAUUAGUGAGUCAUUACUGAUUUUUUGCCUUAUUUAAUUUGAAAUUAUUGUAGGAUGUAUUAUUUAAUGGUCAGUGCUCAUGUGGCGAGUAGUGAGUCGUAACUGAUCUUUUUUCAUUAUUUAUUUUGAAAUUAUAGUAGGACACAUUCUCCAUUAUUUUACUGUUGAGUGAUGGCAGGUUCCUCACUUGGAUUAUGUCAUCGAAUGUGUCAGCAUCUAAUGAUGGUGACGGGAAAUUAAGCGUUAUUUAUUGAGGGAACUCAAUGUGAGGAGAAGGAACUCAAUGCAAGUAUUUGGUGAAUCAUGCAAGUAUUUAUUGAGGGAAAGCAAUUGUUGUGACAAAGUGUCAUCUAUUGUCCUUUGAUGCAUGGAGAAGGAAAUCAAUGUGAAUCUUAAUGUAUGACAUCAAUCCAAGCAGACCAUAUAUCGAAUUUAACUAAAUAUUAUAAGAAAAAUUUUCAAAGGGUUCUUUUUGAUACCCAAUUUGUACCAAAAGCCAAAUAAUGGAGUACUCUAAUGUGUAAAAAUCAAUACUUUCUAAGGAUAAAUCAAUAUUAAUUCAUGAUGAGUGCUCACAAGACAAGUACUGAUUAGUUUUUCUGAUUACUAUACUGAAUUUGAAAUUGUAGUCAGACACGUUCUACAUCAUCGAAUGUGUUAGCAUCUAAUGAUGGUGACGGGAAAUUAAUCGUUAUUUCAGUACGCGCUACUUGUCCAUCCAUUAGCUCAUGAAUCAUGCAAGUAUUUAUUGAGGGAAAGCAAUUGUUGUGACAAAGUGUCAUCUAUUGUCCUUUGAUAAAAUACGAAAAAUUAUACUUGAUGCGUGGAGAAGGAAAUCAAUGUGAAUCUUAAUGUAUGACAUCAAUCCAAGCAGGCCAUAUAUCGAAUUUAACUAAAUAUUAUAAGAAAAAUUUUCAAAGGGUACUUUUUGAUACCCAAUUUGUACCGAAAGCCAAAUAAUGGUGUACUUAAUGUGUAAAAAUCAAUAUGUCUUAAGCAUAAAUCGAUAUUAUUUAAUGAUGAGUGCUCACAUGAUGAGUACUGAUUAGUUUUUCUCAUUAAUGUUCUAAAUUUCAAUUGUUGUGAUAAAGUAAGAAAAGUUAUACAUGAUGCAUGGAGAAGGAAAUCAAUGUGAAUCUUAAUGUAUGACAUCAACCCAAGCAAGUCAUAUAUCGAAUUUUACUAAAUAUUACAAGCAAAAUUUUGAAAGGGUUCUUUUUGAUACCCAAUUUGUACCGAAAGCCAACUAAUGGAGUACUUUAAUGUGUAAAAAUCAAUGCUUUCUAAGGAUAUAUCGAUAUUAUUUAAUGAUGAGUGCUCCCAUGACGAGUACUAAUUAGUUUUUCUCAUUACUGUACUGAAUUUGAAAUUGUAGUCAGACACGUUUUGACUACUGAUGAGUGCUCACAUGACGAGUACUGAUUAGUUUUUCUCAUUAUUGUACUGAAUUUGAAAUUGUAGUCAGACACGUCAGACACGUUCUGAAAUUGUAGUCAGACACGUUCUGCAUAAUUGUACUUUUAGGUGAUGUGAUGAUUCAUCACUUGGAUUACAUCAUUGAAUUUGUCAUCAUCUAAUGAUAGUGAUGCGAAAUUAGGUAAUAUUAGUAUUUUAACUCAUGCUUUGCACUGGGUUCUAUUUUAUAUAUUUAUAUAUUGUGGUACAAAAUAAUAUAUAUAUACUAAAAAUUUUAAAGAAGUAUAUGCUUAACAUAUUGAAAAAAAUUAAUUUAUAAUGAUUUAUACGAUAGAGGAAUUGUUAACGCAUUUAAGAAGAGGGUUAGGUUGGGUGGUUAGUUGACACUCUUUAAACAAUUUGUAAUUUUAUAUGAACUGCUCAUAAAACUUUCUAGCAGGUACAUAAUUAUUAUACGUAGGACUCAUAUGAAUAUUACACUUCUAUUGCAAAGUGGUAAAGUAGUUAAGAAGGAAUUACAACUUUUUUAAACAGUGAUACACCAUUCAAGAAUGAUUGAACACAUAAUGGCAUUUGCCAAUUAGUCUAACAUCGUGAAUCAUGCAAGCAUUUAUUAAGGUAAAUCAACUCUAGCAGUAGUUAAGAAGGAAUUACAAGUUGUUUAGUUGGUGUUACACCAUUCAAGAAUGACUGAACUGACAACGACAGUUGCCAUUAGUCUAACAUCGUGAAUCAUGUAUUUAUUGAGGUAAAGCAAUUGCGGUGACAAAGUGCCAUCUAUUGUUAUUUCAUGAAAUGACACUUCAAAAAUUGUUGUUUGAAGAAAUGACACUUCUAAAAGUAGUUAAAUUCAGUGUUUUGAUACUCGAGUUGAAUCGGUCAGUUCGAUCAAUUGUACUGCAAGCCGAUCAUGACUCUAACCUGGUUUAUACUUUGGAUUGAUUGGACUUAAGAAUCAGUUGAAUAUUGGACUCAAGUUACUUUUAUCUUUUUGUCUAUAUAGUGUAAGUGGAAGGGUUUGAACCUGUGAACUCUCACUUAUACUCCUUCCUUUCAAAACACCUAUCCUGUCACUCUCUCGGACUCAAUUACUUAUGAAAACAAUGAAACGGUGAAUUGAGAUCUAAUUAAUUUUUCUGGUACAGAAAUAUUUAAAUAAUCCACUAUGACACUUUUGUUAUCGAUUAUUGGUUUGUUAAAAUCAACCAAAGAUACAUUAAAACACCUUCUAAGACCAUAGCUAAAUAAAUUUGGUAAAUAAUUGACUAUAUAUAUAUAUAUAUAUAUAUAUAACUUAGUGGGAGACUCGAACCUUAUAAGGGAGAAAAGAAGAGGGCUUAAGACUUGAAAAAGGGACCUUCGGUUCACUUAGCUAGUAUCUCUACCUGUUAAACUAGGUCUUCAUGACAUUGACGAUAUAUUUCUAAUAAUUAUAAUUGGCUAAUUGAAACUUGUAUUGAAGAAAGACACUUUCUUAAACGAGCAAACAAUAGUUCAGGCGUGAUUAAAUAUUUCGGAAACUUUCUACGAAGAAAAAGAAUUGAAAACAACCCAAAAAAAUAGAAAACUCAUCACUGAGUGAAAAAGAGAAAGGAAAUAUUAAAAACCAAUUUGAGCUCCUUAAAGCAGCAAGAUGUCUCUCACACUGCUGCAAGAUCACCACUUGAGGCGCCAAAAGGUCUUGUUACCUUAACAACGAUUAGCUUCUACAAAUUAACCAAUUUGAAUGUCGUGAUUGCACAAAAAAGAUAAACAAUAAAAAGGAGCAGAGACUAAAUUUGCACCUCUUCAUUAAUAAUUCUACAUAUUGUACACAAUUUAAUACUAAUAAUACAAAUCAUUAAUGCAUCAAAGAUGUGUGAAUUUAGGAUGAAAAGUGUGGAUUUAGUAUGUCCCAAAAAAGAUGUGCAUGGCAACGGACCAAUGGUGGGUACACUGUACAUCAAUGUGUUAUUUAUAGUUUAUAUGUUUAGUAUACAAAAGGAAAACCGAAAGAAACCAUAUAAAAGUUCCCCAACAUGAACAUAUCAAAAUACUCGAAUCCUGUGCUUGGAGGUGAAAAGAGGGUGGAAGGAUUAAAAAAAAAUAUCAAAAUGCAGCACAAUAACACUUUUUUUUUUUGUCCUGAGUGCCCCGAGGGGGUGUGUGGGAAUUGAUCUUGAAGCUAACACGAGAACAAAAGUCAGAAUUUCAGGAUUGAGAAAAAAAAACAUAGCUCAAGAUCCUGUUAAACAAUGAAAUACAGGUAAGAGGUUGCAUCUGAACUGUAAAGUAACAAUCCUAUCAAUAUCCCAGAAUUAUCAAAUGAAAUGAAUUUGGAUCCCAAAUUGAACAGGUAAGAAUCAAUUACUAUUCUUUUUUUGCUUGAGGCGGGGGAGGGACUCAAAAGGAAAGAGAAGAAAGAAAUAAUUUCAAUAACGGUCGAAUACCCAUUCUUGCUCUCCAUGAUGCCUGUUCAACUUUCACCUUGUACCUAUUUUUGUAACUGCAGCACUAGCUACUGCACCUUGUACGUAUUUGUUGGAAAAAAUUAGGAUGUGCAAACAAGAAGCGAAAAUGGUUACUAUUUAAGAUAAACAUUGGAAACUGAACCAAAAUUUUCUACAUAGUAGACAUAAAUUUCUAAAUUUGUUAACUGCGAGCAUUUGUUGCACAAAUUUAACUUGGUCACAUAGCUUUAAUAUGUCCUCACCCCGCGGUGCGCAAGGACAUAAAUUACUGUUUGGAUUGAAUAGAGUAUCAUUUCAAAUAAUUACUGUAAUAUUUUUUGUGAUGUGAUGUAUGUGAGAUAAAAAGGUGAUUGAGAAUGUAAAAAGGUGGAUUGAAAAAUGUAUUUAUAAUACAAACAAAAAUUUUUUUGAAAAAAUUUGCUAUCCAAACAUAGCAACUUCCCUAAAUAAAAAUGUCAAUGGACAAAAAGAGAUGAUCAAGUAGUUACAUCAGAAGGGACUACAGGCACAUGUAGUUAAAAUGGUACAAUUGAACUGUUAUUGUACUUUUUAUACAAAAUAGUGUACUUUUAUAUAAUUUUACUGUAUUCAUAAAUUUUAUUCUAUUCGUAUACAUCAAUUCAAUACCUAAAUACAACCGCGUUUAUAAGUAUACACCAAGUUAUGAAUAAAGUAUAAUAACCGUACACAAUUGCACCUAAUUCAUCCAUAACUGCUCCAAUUCCCAUCAAUGGAAAACAAACUAGAGGCGAAAACUGCAGUUCUCCCGCAUCUACAAGUAUAAAUACUCAUUACCACAUGUUCGGAAGCAGCGUAUUUCUGGAACUAAAAGACCUACCAUUGUCUAUUCUGUUAACAGUCAUGCUACCAAAAUUGUUCAGACAAGCAAAACGCCAUUACCACUACCUGAAAGGGCAGUACGGCUCUGGCAUAUGCUUGCAGCAACAUGAAACUAACAAAUCUUUCCUACUCACUUUGAACCAAGCCAGCUAUGGCAAUGUUUUAAACCCGGAACUCAUUCAGACUAUCCGGGAAUGUCUUGAUGUGGUUAAGUCCGAGGCCACCAAGGAAUCUGUCCUCAUCACCACUGGUGAGGGUGAAGUAUUCUGCAAAGGAUUUGAUGACAGGUAUGUUACUGGCAAAUUAAACAUGACUUGUUAAAGAUAAUAUCUCUUUGCAAAUUGAAGAGCAUCGUCCAAGAGAAGUUCAUCUUAAGAGCACAAACCGACAGCAAGGUUUUAUAUGCCAGAAAUCACAAAUUUUCCGAAGUUUAAGAAAGAAAUAUUGAUCACAGAGACUGACUAAUUUCCAAAGCAAAUUUCAAGUAAUUCCUAUGAUUAUGAGAAGAGAAGUUAAGUAAUUUAAUUACUGCUCUUUUUCUACCAUUUUGGCAGAUACCACAGAAAAAUGGAGUUACAAACCUUGCGUUCUGUCGUUUACCCUGACAAUUUUUCUCUGGGCUGAAAAUAUUAGGAAGAAAUUGUAUGGACAAUACUCAGAGUACAAAUUUAGCCUAAAAGUAAGACUGUAUAACCUCUUCUACGAUUCCACCAUUGAUUGAGCUGAAAAGAUCAUAAGAUCGAAUUGUAGGCUAAGAAAAAGAUGUGAAACCAUAAUUUGCCAUAUUCGUUUCUGGCCUUAGAGCCAAGAUUCGGUUCCUAAACCUUCCCAUUGUACCUUAAAACUUAAAAAGUAAAAAUAAAAUAAAUUACUAAACAAAUAAUUAAUGGAAAUAAAAGCAGGUUUUAGAUCUUUUGUAACUCUUUGGUGUUACUUUCUUUACACUAUGUGUUUGGAUGACAUGUACCUUCCGUAGAAUCUAAAACCCUUCGAGCGGCUUCUUGUAAUCUGUUCAAAUCUGACGUUGUUACCCUUUUCCCCUUAUCAGAUAUGCCAGGGAGCAAGCAAAAGGGUCAAAUGAAAGUUACAAACGCCACUACGAAAUGAUGAUUGACGACUUCAAGCAUGUAGUAUCAGAUCUCAUCUCCCUUCCCAUGCCCACAAUUGCGGCCAUCAAUGGCUACACGCAAGAAGCAGGGGUGAUGCUCGGUCUCAGCCAUGACUAUCUCACCAUGAAGAAAGGUACCCGUUGCCUACAACUAAGUUUGUCGGCCAAACAGAUGGCUUUACCAGCCUACUUCGCGGCUCUGAUUAGGUCAAAGGUUGCCUACCCUCUGGCUUACCGUAACUUUGUCUUGUGCGACUCACACUACGAUACAAAAGCAGCAGCAAAAAUCCAUAUUUUAGAGACGAAGCCUGAGCCUGGAGACAAUGCGCUGGAAGUUGCAGAGGAAAAAGCAAACCAUCUGGCUGGUGAACAGCAGAAGUUAGAUAAGUGGAACGGGGAGGUCUAUGCUGAGUUAAGGAAGGCUUUGUAUCCGGAGCUGUGCAAGGAAUUGGGAUUAACCUGUUCCACAAUACUCCCUGAUUUGAAUUCUUGACUUCGAAAUCAGAGGUCUUCCAGAGAACGAGUAAUAAACUAAUAACAAGAUAAAUUAUUGUUUUAAUUUCGUUUUGAAGGAAUGUUAAAUCUCAAAUAUUUUCCAUUUUGAACAAAUAAAUUUGGAGAAAACUUUUUCCCAUGGAAAAUGCUAACGAGUAUCUCCUAGAGAAUCGUCUGGUUUGAGUGACAAUAUUGAAAGUCACCAAACAUUACAUGUUUUUCAGAUUUUGAAUUUCUCAAGUUUGUUAACAUAGGAAUGGAAACAACAAUCAUGCUAGUAAUACUGCUUACGCAAAAAGAAACAACCAUAAUAGUAAGAUGACAAUUGACAAGUAUUAAUGGUGAAUCAUAAAGCAGUGACUCAUUUGUUUACCAUUUUAAAGUUAUGAGUUGAAAAUCAUAACUAGCAUUCAUUAUAGCACUUCGAUUGCUUUAGGGUCCCCGGAAGGGGUCAAAGAUCGAGACUGGAAUUUAGUGUCCGUUCGCUGAUUUGGCCGUUCACAGUAUUAUGCCCCCAAGGGAUGUUAUCAGGCUUUUCAUCAGAUUUCUUAACGCCAAUAUGGCACAUUAUGACUAUUUUUUCGUCAAGAAGGUCCCCUUUUAUGAUUUCAGAUUUCUUCGACAACUCCACUUCUUUCUUGCAUUUUAUGAUCACACAUAUAGUACCCAGAUAAUCCCUUUGUGUUUUGGGCAUAUUUUGACUGGAUGUUAUAUGAUAAAAGUAGUCGAUGUUAACAAAUGGCAUUGAUUUCUAUUGGGUGGUAGCAUGUGAUCCACAUGGUUAAGAAAUCGUAUUAGUAUAAUGAAAAAUUAGGCAUUGGUCCCCGCGGGGUUGCGGGGUGCCCAUAUUAUACGUUUUUUUGUGUGUUUUGGGGUACUAUAGGUUUUAUUAUUAUUAUUAUUUUUUUAUAAGUGGAAGAUUUUAGGUUCAAAAUUUAUUACUUAUCAUUCCUUUCAUCUGACCAUCCAAUCCAACCCUCCUUUGUUUGUUUAUUAAUUAUAUGUACAUGUAUUUUAUAUUGAAACAUGUGUAAAGAUUUGUAACAAAUUUUUACAAUGUAGUAUGAAUUUGUCAUAUUUUGAAUGAUUAUGAUUUUGAUAUGCUUUUAUAUUGGUAGAGUGGUUAAUUGUUUUGCAUUUUUAAUUUUUUGGUGUUUUUAGUGUUUACUGUAUAUUUGUGAUUUGUCUAAUUGUGAUUUAAUUAUUGGCUCUGAUUAAUUUUAUGCUAGUGAAAGUUGUGAGAGUGGAUUAAUUGAAGGAUUUUUUAGUGUGUAUGAUAGUAUAAUUUAAGUUGUAUUAUUCUAGGUUGUGUUGAUUUUUCUAAUAUUUAGUAUUGAUUAGUAAUGUGUAAAUUGUAUCAAAUUUUUAAUUGUUUGUUGUUGGUACUAUUUAACUUGUGAAGAAUAAUUUGGCAGCUAAAGUUUUUUUUUGGCGUAUCAUAUGCUUUUAGCUAUAUAUGGAUGGAUAUAGUGGUAUUUUUCUUAUGUCUGAAACCCAACCAUAGUGGGCUAGCAUAAGGCGGCAGACCCAACAAAAUUUUGCAAAACACGUGAGAGGCCCGAAGAAAUUUGGGUAGACAUAUGAAGCAGGUAGCGACCUAACCACUAAAAGUACUAUUUGCAAUAAAAGGACCAAAAAGCCCAAAAUCUAUAGAGGAACAACAGCGAAACCAGCGUGGAAGGGUAAAAUUGGACUAGAGCCACCAAAAUUCAGAAUUUGUGGGCGACAAACAUGAAGCAGAGAUAACCCCACAAUGAGUUCCAUCACACCGAAAAAGAUAAAUGAGGAUAAAAUCAACACUCAAAUUACAAAGAAACCAAAGGAAAUCACUAUUCCCAACCCUUCCGCGCCUUAUGUGAUUAGAGACUAGUAAGUGUUGGCUGUGCGUAGAGACUAGUAAGUGUUGGCAGUGCCCACCUUGAAACGUUAAUGGUUAGCAAAAUUUGAUAGAAUGUUUGUCAGUAGAGUGUCAUGUGUGAAAGUAUACAUAAAGUAUGUAUAUUAUUGAAAUGAAGAGAAAUUGGAUUAUCAGUAUUUAAAUUUGAACAAAUGAAUUUUUUCAUUUUUUUUGUCAAUUUUCUUUUGAGUCAUUAAUACAUUAAUAUUUAGUUAAAAUAUGAGUCAUUAAUGCUAACUGAAAUUACCACCAAGUAUAGCAUGCAAAUUUGAUGAGAAAAAUAUACAUGUCUUUAUUACAUUUCAUUAAGAUGCUUUUUUUCCCCUCUUUGAAUGAUAGCUUUCAAAUAUACAUUUUUUUGUCAUUGUCACUGGAUUUAUUAUUGUCUACAUUUUUCAUUUAACAAAUUUAAUUCAAGUACAAAUUAAUAAUAUACUUAUAUACUUUUUGUUUUAAAAUUAUAUGCAUAAUUUGUUCAGCAAAUAUACGCAGAGAAAUUGAAAAACAAUAGGAUUAAUAAUGGUUAGCAUUUUUGCAGAAGUUAUUCGUGUUUGAUAGAGGGACAUCUAUAUAUGAAUUGGAUUUAUAGCUUAUCAAUAAAUUUGCUUUUCAAGGUAAAAGAGAUUAAAUUGAAGUACAUUAACAUAGAGGAUAGACAAAUACAAGAUAAUAGAAUUAAAACAUACGUAGGUAGCAAGUCAAAAUAGCUAAGUCGAAUUAACACAAAUGAUAAAUAGAUAUAAGAUAAUUGAAUUAAAACACAAGUAGUUCAGUUCUGAAGCACAUAAGCAUUACAUUGUUGGAAACUAAUUUUAUGCAUAAUCAUUGUGAAGGUUCAUUUAAGUCUGCUGGCUAGCCGGGACUUGUUCAACUUCACAGCUUGUGAUAAUGGUAAAAGCUGUUCCUUUAAUUGCUUUUUCUCUUGGAGUUGCUUUCUUAAGAAAGCAUAGGAGUCUCUUUCCUUGGAAUAUAUUAAGUGGCAAUGUUAGUUCAAUUGUAUAACUUUUAAUGUACCAUUUUCUGUGUAUCAUGAUCUCUUGAAUUUUGGAUUAAAAAUUAAUAGAUGAUAAUAUAGUUCAUAAAUACAUUUUUCAUUUAGGUAAAAGUCUAGAAUUGUAUUUCAAUUUUGUAGUUUCAAAGAUAUUGACAUAAUUUAUAUCCUACUUAAAAUCUCAACAAUAAUUUUUUCAAGAAUCCAAAGCCAAAAAGGAAAAAAAAAAUGCUAUAAUGAUUGGUUCCAUUAUAUAUGCUAAAAACUAAUGGAGCUGAGAGCUGCAAUCAUCCAAACCUGUAAGAAGAAAAUUGUUUAAAGAAAGUUAGAAGAUUAAUAAAAGGGAGAAAGAAGAAUUAAGCAUACAAAUUCAUCAUUUGAGUAAAAUAAUAGAGUUUAGAAACUGAGCACUAGUUCAAUAUUAACAUCUUUUCUACUUUCCCACUGCCAAGUAAUUCAAUAGCCUGUCAUAAACUUUUUAGUAGUGCUAUAUCCUAGACAACUAUAAAUUGAAAUACUGACCGCCCACUAAUUAGAUUGCUAACUUGCGUUUACUCCAUCAAGUUCUUUAUGAGAACGCCAUCAUAAAGGAUCUUGAGCAUUGAUAUGAAAUUUGGGAACAUCUUUUGUGAUCUUCAUUUGGGAUUGCUAUUGAAAUUUGACCUCCAACCUCAGUAGUGUAUGCUUUGAUAGUGUUGUUCUUCGCUGACCUUUUGUCCUUGGAUUUUCUAGAUCAAAAGCAUGGAUGAAAAAACCAUUGUAACCCCCUCAACAUGAGAGGCUAGUUUAGCAAAUAUGUAGCAUCCUUAAUUUCAUUAGUGAACUUUGUUCGAAAUAUUUGUUUAAAAUAUUUAAUCAACAAUUACAUGUGUGACUAUGCAAAUUCCAACUGCGAAGCAAUAUAGCUUUUUACAAUAAAAAACUAAGGUAGCAUUCUAAAAUUUUAACAGAUAAGCAGAUACAUUAGAUACAAAUAACUUAUUAAAGCAUACAGAGUCAUUUUUUUUAUGGCAGCCUCAUUCAAAAACCAAAUAGUAGAAAUUUAUAAGUCACUUAUGCCUACGCCAUAACUAAGACAGCUUAUCUUUUUCAAUUAUUUCCAACUGACCAAAAGAAUGCUCUUAUAAGGCUUUAGGAUAUCUCAAGAGUCAAGACCAAAAGUUAUACAUGAAUUUGUAAGGGUAAACUUAUGAUAAAAUGUCAUACAAAAGAAUUAAUCCAAUAAGAAAAACUUAAAGCUAUAAAAUGGAUCAAAUAAGUUGAACAAAGCCUCAUUAAUUCUUUAAGGAAAAAUACGACUUUUUAGUAUAAUAUUUCAAUCCUUUCCUACAAUUGUUCUUCUAAGAGCAUUUAAGCGCAUUUAUCAAGUUGCACUCAUCAUUAUGCAAUAACUCAUCAAGUUAUAGCUCAUGGAGUUGAACU